UUUUCAGUCAACGCUUUUGCUUCAAGAUUUCGUUUUACCUUCCUUGAAAAUUAAAGCUCACCUAAUUGAUACAAUUAAAACUCUUUUUUUAGCUGAAAAUUGAUACAAUUUUCACUUCAUUUUUUCUUAACUUUGUAUCCAGAUUUGCUGCUUUUGUUUACAGUGUUUAUUUUUUUAAUAUUUUUCUGUGGAGCUAAGCUUGACUUUGGUUACAGCUUUAUAAUAUUUUAACAUAUAAUCAGACUAAUUUAUUUAUUUGUUGAUUUAUUAUUUUUUAAAUAUGGUUUGAGACUUCUGAUGUUUCAAUAUUUAUUGCACACGUGUAGUGCAGUGGCUUCAAUAAAUAUGGUAUUGUAAAGUUUAAAGCUUUUUGCAUGUGAAUGAGCUGGUGUGUACACUUUCAUUGAUGUUUAGAUUCAUGUAUGUGGUUAUCUCUGAUCUGGGUACACGUUAGAUUUUAAUUUUAUGGCAUGGUCCAUUUGACCAAAUAUUUUUGUUACUUGAACUGAUGAACACGAAUUUUGAAGUGAAUACGUGUGUUUGAUUGCUGGAUUUUGUAAGAUUCCUUUGUAGAAAUAUUUUAAUCCCACGAACAGUAUGAUUCAGCAAAUAGCUUUGGGAAUGGUAUUGAUUCUAUUCUUGUUUGUUUAUUCAUAUAAGAACUUUGAUGCAACCUUCAGAUUCCUUUUGAACCAUGUAGUUAUAUAUUUGGAUUAGUUUAUAGAUGUUUUUUGUUACUUCCGCUCUUGAUUGCUUAUCAUAUGUUAGUUAAAGAGCAAACAUUAUACAAGUUCUUUAUUGAUUAGUGCUCUUUCGUAUAACGGGUUCGUUACUGAUGUUCACUUUCUUAUUUGACUUUGUUUAUGCAGUUCUUGUAGCGAGAUUGUGUAAUUUGAAUAUUCAGAUACUUCCGUAGCUAAUGGCUUCGCCAGAUAUUGAGUCUCCCUGGCUUUGUGCCGCUGGUGAAUCCUUCCGUGCACGGUCGUUUAAUAUACGCGUGGAGAAGGGGAAUGCAGCUGAUAUUUUACAUGUGCUGGAAGUUCCCACCUCUUCUGUACCCUAUAACUGUAGUAUACCCAAGCCACCCCCUCUCCCAUGUCUAUUAACUCAUGGGUGGCUUUAAGUAUAAGCGAACAAGAUGGUCGCCUAAGGCCCUAAGUUUUAGAAAGACCUCAUUUUUUGAGUAUUAGUAAUAAUUCUUUAGUUAAUAAAUAUUUUUAAAAAAAAAAUUGUGUGGUAGAAAAGCCUAUUAGACAUCUCUCUAACUAAUAAUUAUCCUAUAAUUAAUAAUUAUUUUUUAUAUAAAAACCUAUAACUGGUUAUCUUAUUGUAAAAGAGAUAUAAUUAAUAAUAUUGUCUAACCAUUAAUUUAUGCAUUAUUAGUUUUUCCAAUAAAAAUAAGUAAAUUUUUUACCUUUUCAACUUCUUAAAAAAGAUCAAUUAUUCAACAUUAGAAUCUUUGACUUUGCGUAUUCCUUUUAAUUUCUAUUAAAAAUCUUAUAAUCUAGAAAAUCAUAAAUGAAAAAUUUCUUGUUUUCUUCUCUGCAAUGAAGAUUAUUACAUGCAUUAGUUCAUUCAAAAAGAAAAAAAAAUUAGUUACUUGAAAUACAAAGUUGAUAUCCAUUAUCUAACCACCAAUUCAUGAUCUCAACUUUCUAUGUGCUACCAUUCUAAAUAUUCUAUUUAAAAAUAGUGUUAUUCUCAUUUAUUCGUUUGUUUAUUUUUGUAUAAUUUCUAAUGGUAAAUUUUAGAUUUUGUUUUUGAAAAUUUUUAGAAUCUUCUUCAUUAUUUGUUGAAAUUCAAGAACUAAAACUGAAAUUGAUUUUCAGCUCUUUUUUGUUUUAUUGGGUAUUGAAGUUGCUAAAUAAAAAGAGGCCUCAUGAAAAAAUAAAUAAAUAAAUCGCCUAAGGCCCCUGAUACUCUAAAGUCGGUCCUGUAUUAACUCACCAGUAUACCGGAAUGAGCUGGGAUACAGGACUUGUCCUCGGUAAUAAUAUAGACAUCUGCACCAUUUCCUUCCUUGAAAAGCUUAUCCCAUACAUCCUUUGUUUCCUUUGGAACAAAACUACAAUGUAAAAAUCUAUUGGGAUAUUGAACUUUACCUUAGUUCUCUGUUAAAGUAGAGCUACACCGGGUUUUCUCAAUAACAAUUGCUUUAGUACUGUAAAGUAAUUUCACUUCGGAGAUGUUAUGGAUGUUAAAUAGAUGGUCCAGUGGCUAAGUUAGCAAUUUUAGAACCUGCUUGAAGAGUUGGCAUCUAUUCAACAUAAAUAUACAGUGUUUGGAAUUACUCUGUUUAUGAUGAAUAUAGUUUUUAGAGGAUUUGCAUGUUACCGAUUUAUUGGGUCCUAGAUUCCUUGAAAAUGAAUUAUUAUGGGUGUUGAUGAUUCAAAAAGGGGUCCCAGAUAUAUCAAAAUUGCUUGGUUUAAUUUUUAAGACUCGUAAGGCGUUGGUUAUUACGUCAUCCAUAUAUACUUGGUGUAUGGUGUACUCUUUCAUUUAUAAAUAAAAUAAAGUUUGCUCAUUCCUUAGAGGUUUAAUGACAUCCAUCUCUGUAUAUAUAAAAGACUACGUCCAAUCAGAGUUUUGAUUUUAAAUAUAUUUUAGUUUGAAGAGCGUACGGGGCAGUGAUGAACACAUUUGACGAGUUCGAAUGGGGGAUAUGUUGAAGAUUUUUGUAACUAAAAUGUUGUAGCUCAAAACCAACCGACUUUUUUUCUUUUCAGUUGAUUAAAUUCAUGACAAUACAAGAAAAGCUUUUAGUGUACGAGCCUUAGUAUAAUUUUUUAAAUAGAGCUUAUUUUACUAUAGCUUUGUUAACAACAGCUUUUAUUUUUUAAAAAAUUAUGUUGUGAAAGAAAUGAAAUAAGAUUGUCAAAUAUGCAAAUGAUAUUUUUAAAAUUUUAACAUUUUAAAAAGCUUAUCAACAUUUAUUCUAAAAAAUCCAGAAUUUGAGCUUUUGUUUGUAAAGGUAAAAAACUUAUUCAGUCCUCAAAAACUCUACUAAAAAAUUAUCUAACAACAACAAUAAAUUUUAAAAGAAAUUAUGAGUUUAAAUAAAUACUUAUGGUCAUUAGAUAAACGAUGCUAAACAAAGACUGAAAAAUAAAAAAGAAAUAAUGAAAACGCAACAGAUCAGCUUAUGGGAGACACAAUGAGUUUUACCUUCAUUAAAUACAAGAAAUAAAAAAAAUUGAGAAGCUCCACGCAGGGAGCAAGAAAAGUAGAGAACCAAAAGUUAACAUAAAUAAUAGUUUAAAAAGCCAUUAGCAUUUCUUGAAAGAAAAAGUGGAGCUUAUGCAAGAGGUGAUGACCACAAGUGAAGAUCACCAAAUAAAGUCUGUACAAUGAAGCUCAAGAUUAACAAUGACAAUCUGGAGCAGUAAUGCAACAUCAAAAGAAUUUAUUCGGUUGGAGUCAGAAUGAAUGUGAUAAUAUUUGCUCCACGAUUUCUUUCCACCGAUUAUCCAUCGAAGCAUAUCAAGCAAGAAUGUGUUGUUGUAUUUGGAAUAUGCAGCUCACUUUUCAGAUCCAGCCUUUGGAAUUGCCAAGUUUAUGAAGCCAGACUCGUGCAAUUGGACUGUAUGCGCAAGCACGUAUGGAUUUGUCAUUGUUUCUAAUUUAUAGACAAUGAUCUUUAAAACGGAGUAAACCAUGUUUCUUUUUUUUUUUUUCUCAGUUGACUUUGCGGAGCUUGCUUACACAAUGAAGAUCACAGAAAAACCCGACGUGUACAGUUUCGGAGCGUUACACUGGAAGUGAUCAAGGGUAUCUAAGAGAUUUUCUUUCCUCAGUUUCGUCUUCAUCUUCCAACAUGAACGUGCACGAGUAGUUGCUCUGCUAUACUAGUCAUUAUUAUUUGAGUUCUAAAUAUUUGCCUUCAUUACUCAUUGUUGCACAAACUAAUCGUACACAUCAUGCUAUGUAGGCCUCAAUUCGGAACAAAAGAAUGUUAGUUGAAGACACAACACAAAAUAGAAAAAUUUAGUUCUCAGAUGGCCACAAAAGACUAGCUACGUUUUUGUCCCAAAAAAAUAAGAAAUAAGAAAUAAACUGUUUGUACGGCCUCUGUAAACCAACUGCUUCAAUGCCCCAAUUUCAAAUCUAUCAUUGAUGUCAGAAGGAGUCAAAUUUUGAUAAAACGUUUUUGGGAUUGUAUCUAACAACAUUUUUUUUCCCGGUUAGAUAUCAAUGUUUAUACAAAAGCAAAGAUUUGGAUGACAAUUAAGCUAAUAAUUACGAAUAAUCCCAAGGGGUUGGAACUAAGAUUUAAGGUGAACUGCCACGGAGGAGUCAAAAUCAAUCACUAAAAUAAUUGCCAUAGCCUCAGCAUAGUAAUAAUUAAAAAAUAAUUUCUUGCGCGUGUACAAAGAGGUGAACCCCUCGAAUGUAAACUUGAAAGUGUUCACAAUUGGAUUAGUUAAUGGACAAUUCAUAGUUAUUGUUAAUGUUAAAAGAAAGUAAUAGAUUGGGAAAAAAAAUAAAAAAUUAAGGAUAAUUUACAAUUAAUGUAGUCCUUGUGAUUUAAGGAAAAAUCAAGUAAGCCGGAAAUAAUUAGUACUAUUUUUCAAAUAAGUCCUCUGACCGUGUUUGACCAUUCACCGUACUGCAAAGUAAGUGAAAAAAUCGACUUCUUAGCAGCCCACUUCUAUGAUGCGAUUAAUUUCAUCCAUUCGCUGAUUCGCGUGCUGGUAGUUAGGCAAGUUCAUUUGUUGGCUGGAGAAAUUUGAUAUUUUUGGUACCAAAUUUAUACGUGUGUGUGUGUGUAUUUCCUUUAAUUUGUGAAUUUGGUAUUUGUUGUGAAAAUUUUAAUAUACUCGCAAGCGCACGAAUCUAGAGAUAGAAUAGUGGUAACGAGGUCGAUCCCACAGGGAUUGUUAUAAAUUGAAAAAUCUAAUUUAAAUAUAAAAUUAAUAUCAAUUCUAACCUAGUUGACCAAAUUAAGUUUUAAGAGAAAUUAAACUAAUUAAACUAAGAAAACAAUUAAAGCAAAUGAGAAUUCAAUAAGACAAAAAUUACCAAGGUUUCAGAAUCCACCACUAUUCAACUAAUAAUUAUCUAAUUAUUAAUUAAUCCCCAAUUUUAGAGUGACAACUCGAAAUCAAUCUAUGUCAUCUCAUGGAUAUAACAAUUAAGCCCAAGUAAUUACAUCUAAUGUAGGUUCUUUUUCUGCUUAAUAAUAUGAUAUCUAAACAUCCCAUGUAAACGUAUUGAAUAACAAAGAGUCAAAGUUUUCCUAAGUACUAUGUGUAAACAAUUUAAUGAAAGACAUAGAAUCAAAGAUAAUCAUGUAUAAACUUUAUAAAUCCAAGCAUAGAUUUAAUUGAAUAUUAAUCCUAACAAUCAAUAAUGCAUGACAUAAUUGAUGAAAAGAUUUUAAUAACAUCCAUUUAAUCAUGUGAAAUAAAAACCAUAAUCAUUAAAGAACGUAUAUAGGGAAUUAAAAAAAUAAAAAGAUAAUUAUUUCAUUGAAUAGAGUUUCAUCUUUAACCUCAAUAUAAGUAAAUUAGCUAGACAUACUUGAAUUAGGAGCAACAAAAGAGAUAAAACCAGCCAUGGAAGCCGAACUGCUACUGCUCAGCCUUGCGUCUUGCGUCUGCAGCUCUGGCGGCCCCCUUCUCUCCAAAAGCCAAAAGCUUGCUUUUAUAUUACUCUUUAAAAUGGGCCCCACCGACCUUGUUAUUUCCUUAAGUCAAAAGGCUUGGCCUUUUAAUUUCUUUGCUCACUCACGUGCUCACCAAUUAAGCUUGCACUAGGAUUCCUUUUUCCAAUUGUAAAAGCCAAGUGUGGGCCCCUUUAAGUUGCUUUCCAUGCAUUACAAUGCUAUGCACGCCCAGGUCACUUGAAAAAUUGAAAUUCUUUUUUAGUGCAAAUUACUCUUGGCUUCACAUGCUAUAAACUCUUAAUUGUGUCACGGCUUUGAUUGAUUCUUUCCCAAACUUGUUAUUCUUUAUGCACUUUUUAUCCAUAAUCUCCAAUUAAUUCCCUAUUCAAUAAAAAAUACAAUUAAUUAAAAAUAAGAAAUAAAAAUAACUAGCAAAUAUAUAAUAAAGGGUAAAAUAUGUAUAUAAAUUAUGUUCAUCAGUAUUACUUCUGAUCAAGUGUGCGAAACAGAAACAACGGUAUUUAUUACAGAAAUAUUUCUAAUUUGCAGUAUGGAAAGCUUGGAGAUGUUAAAUCUAUCCCAAAAUAACCUGUCAGGUUCAAUUCUAAGUAAUUUUGAAGAAAUGCAUGGCUUGUCAUUGGUUUAUGCAUCUCCUACAUUGAAUUACAGGGCCCAAUUCCAGUUGACAGAUACACAGCCAGAAAAUAAAUAAACUCCGUAUGGACAAACUUGACACUCCCGCGGCCAGAUAUGUUCCAAAAUCUACUUAUAGCCAUAAUUUUGAUACAAAAGCCAAUGGAAUUAUUGACCCUUAUAAAUUAUGAAUUACAUCCUAAUCUAGUUGCUUAAUUUUGGAUAGAAAAUCUUGCUUUGAUCAUUAUACCGCUUAGAAAUAUCAAAUUGGGAUAAAAUUUUAUAUCACAGCUUUCUAAAUAAUUUACUUAUCAUUCAAAUAUAAAGUGGCCAGAGGACAUGCCGAGCGUCAAAAUGAAAGGAGAGAGGAGUAGUAGAUAAGAUACGGGUUAGAAGGAGUCAAAAUUUGAUAAACUUUUUUGGAUAUUAUCUCACAAGUCACAACUUUUUUUCCUUUUCCCCUGUUUGGAUCUCAGUGUUUAUAUAAAGCAAAGAUGAGCGAUGGUGUCUACCAGAUUAGUUCUCUGGAGUUUAGAUCACCGGGGUAACACAGACAUUGACUCCUUCACUUCUCAAUUGCUCUUUUGCUUCCGCUGUAAUUGUUUUCUGCAACGUUGUUAAAUUAUAAAUGAGUGUUUGAUAACCUUUUCAAUUUCAAUCAACUUUUGUAUUACCUUAAUUAUUUUGUUUCCUUUCUGCGUAAUUGAUCUUGUGUUUUUAUAAUAUCAAUGGUGUCACAAACCUUGAAUACAGCAUCUUUUACUGUUUUGUUGAUUCUAUUUUAUACGUGUUUGUAUUAGAAUUUUUACUUAUCAUUGAAAAACCCGGGGAUGAAAUCUCAUACGUACUAAUUAAUUAAAUUUAUUUCAUAAUAAUAAACUAAAUUAAUUUUUUUUAAUAAUUUGAUAACUUUACCUUAAAAGAAAAACUUUGAUAUGAAUUAUAACACUUACUAUGGCAUGAACAUGGACGCGUUUUUUCCCAAUCCAAAGCUUAUCCUAUGUUUGGCAAGGUUUUAUAUACUGGGAGAGGGAUAAAUAGAGAAAAACAUAUCCAUUGGAACCGUACCUUCAACAGGAUAAGUUGGGAAAAGCAAUCAAUAAUUUAACUAAUUAAUUAAAAUUAUUAAAAAAAAAGUUGAAGGUGGGACAAAAUCAAAUUUAUUUUUUAUCCUUUACCUCCCCAUGAUACUAUUCAGUCAGGGCCUAGAGACAAAUUAAAUUAAUUAUUACUAAGAUAACAAUAUUAUAGGUAAAUCAAUUUAUUCUAAUUCAAUUAUUUAAUGAUACAUAUAUUACAUAAAUUAAAAAAAUUAUAGAAAUUUUUAUUUAUAUUUAAUUAACUUCCAUUUACAUUGAUUCAAAUAAUAAGCAGUACCAAAUUUUUUUUUGUUAAUAAUAUAAAAUAUGUUAUUGGCAAUAAUAAAAGAAUGUAUUACAAAUAAUAAUACAUUUAAAUAUCUUGUAAUUUAGAUGUAUAUUUUUAUUAUUUAUUUCAUGUGGGAAUCCUCCUUGUUUUUCAGCUUCAAGUUCGUUUGAUUUAUUUACUUCCAUACUAGGCACAGUAUAUGGUGUUCUCAUCCUUUUACAAUGUAGUUCUGGUUGUAAUAACUAAUGAUUAGAAUUUUCCAGAUAAGUCCUCUUACCGUUUUUAAUCAUUAACUAACAAUUCAUAUUUUUAACGUUUAUUAAGAAUUUUAGGUUUGUCUAUAAAUAAAUGAAAGGAAUUAAUAAGAAAAUUAAAGAAGGAUGAACAAUUUUGGUAGAGUUAGGAUGUAAACGAAAAUAUAAACAAUUAAUUGUGGCAUUAAGUAUGAGAAAAACUCAAUCUAGACCACUCAUAUUUUGAUAUAUCAUUUGUCAUUAGAUCUUUAAAAGUCUAAUAAACUAAGGGUUACAAAUCCUUUUUUUUUUCUAACGUGCUCGAGUUCUACAGUACAUUGGAGAAGUCCUAAAAAAUUGAUCAAGGCAACCUGGCUACAAUUGAUAGAAAGGAAACGUUUAAAGUGGCUUGAUUAAUUUACAAGAACCCAGUUCGCGAGUCCAUGGUUUCUCUAGGAAGCCUCAGUCGGCUUGCGGUACCACAAUUAAUAGAAGCAUAAAAAAUAGCUUGAUGUAACAAAGAUUUGUGCGUUCUUUUAAAUUCAGCAUUUGAGUUCGUUAUGAUGAAGUUUCUGAGUUUCUUAAUCACCUAGAUAACAUCCUUUAUUGGCCGAGUCAAGUUGCUUCAGUGCCUAAUCCAUAUUAAUUCCUUGCAUUUUAAUGAAACAAGGAUAAAUCAAGUUCAACAAGGCAAAUCAUAUGCAUCCUCACUUCAGGAUUUUUUACCACUCGUAUUCUGAUAGAUCUUUAAAAGUCUAAUAAACUAAGGGUUACAAAUCCUUUUUUGUCUAACGUGCUCCUUUAAAUUCAGUAUAAAAGGUGCUGAUGGGCAGGUGUGUCAAAGCAGAGUGAUUUGUGAUUAUCACACCAGUGAUAUUUACUAGCUCUGAGUGAAAAGAUCAUCCUUGUAAUCUUGUUAAUCGUCUGCUUAAACAUACUGAAUAUUUGCCUUCCUUUUUCCUUCAGGGUAAUUACUAAAAGUUUUAUAGUCUUGGGCAUGAUUUUAUUGUCAAUGUAUAAAUUUAUUCUUUGCUUUUUACGCUUAAUUCCGCAUGAUUUCUCUCAAAUAAGCAAAUUAAUUCGCAAAUUCGCAAAUUAGUAUACCGGAAAUCUGGCUAGGAUCGAGAAAUAAAACUUAGUUUUGUUUGUUAAGCUGGUUCAUAUGAAUAUGAAAAGAUAUUGUAAUUCAACUUUUAAAGUCUCUUUAAUUUGUCUCGAACAUUUUAAUAACUUAAACAAAGUAUGUACAUUUGAUGACAAAAAAAGAAGGGUAUUGGAAAAGCCAACCCCAAAAUAUUUAGUCUUUCCGCUCUUUCUCUGGCAUAAUUUUCGAGGAGACAAAAUGCCCAGCUAACAAGUUAAUUUGAUCUGUUAGGAUCGAAAGAAACGUUAAUUAGUCAAUUCGUCCAUUAAUCUUGGUCACAAAUGUUUAUUCUAUGUUCUGGGACUACUUUCCAUGGACUUUAAUUGUAGUUCGAAGGAGAAUGGCUAUCAAUACAAAGAUUUUUUGAACAGAACCGCAUGCAACAAGUGAACCUUUUAUUUGGAAAACUCUUCCCUACUUGAUCAGGCUUUGACUCAUACGCCUCUCAAAUGCUUGUUUAGAAAAAGCUUGUGGGCACGAUCCCCAUACCCCUAGAAACACUCCACACCUUCAAAAUGCAAAAGGUAUAUGAGGAGGAAACGAUAGGAGAGCAAGGCAAAAAAAAAAAAAAAAACACUAAUUCAAAACAAAGUCAAUACCUUUACAAGAAUUCCACAUCUUUGCUAACUUAAGCAUCGGAGUGGAAUUCGGAAAUCUCAUUUUCCAAUUGUCCCAUUUCACAUUUUGGUUUAUUAUGUGCGCAAAUGACUUCCAUCUACCGCACUUGGUUCAGUUCACAUAGAAAAGAAAUAGGUAUUAACAAUCACAUAUAUUUUUUUAUUAUAUUUCCGAUAUGACUUUUCAUGUCCUUGCGUUGUAUAAAUUAAAAAAAAAAGGAGAAAGAGAGAGAGAAUUGAAGAAUCUUCCCGGAAAAACAUUAACGUCAAUUCAAUCCCAGAAAUUGUGCAAUUCACGGUAAGCUAAUCCGCCUUAACAAAGCUUGAAAACGUGCGUGCCGAGAAUUUUUAUUAUAAUUUUUUUAUUGCUAUUUAAAUUAGGUAGUUGCGAAUGCGAACUUGAAAAUGACAUAUGCAAUUUUAUGAGCUGGCAUUGAUUACAUUGUAAACCAUGCAUGCGAUCUUCACUGUCAGCCAUCAAUGAUAAUGGAGGUUCUUGUGUUGAGUUUUAUUACAGUCUCUGAUUCAUACAUAUAAAGCAUUUAGUGACAGAAUAAAUUCAAAGAAUUAGACUGUAAUUUUUUUAUAAAAAUUAAUUCGGUUCUCUUAUCUUGGGACCAUACCUUUUUAUCCUGAGCCACACUCUUACAAGGUGAAAUCAAUAGUUUUUAUAUCAUGAGUGACAUAGAAUUUGUUUCCCAACUUUUUACAUAUAUUAUUAAUUUAAAGAGAACUUUACAUGGCGUGAUUUAAUUCAUAUAAAACUGAGCUAACAUACUUUUUUUUUUUUUGCUAAAAUUUUUUUAGUAAUGACGUCUGAACUAACGAAAAUUUUCACUUACAUAUUCGAGUUCCAACAUAGUAUGCCAGUGAAAAAAAUAAAACGUCAUCUUACUGUUUAUUUGAUGAAAACCAAAUGUUUAAAGUGACUUGAUUUACAAGAACCCGAUUAGCGAGCCCAUGCUUUGCGUAGGUGCUUCAGGCCUCAGUAGCCCUGCGUUGUAAUAAUUAAUAGAAGCAUCAAAAAUAAAAUUUGUUUUGAUGUAACAAAGAUUUGUACUUACUAAAUUCAGCAUUUCAGUUCGUUAUGGUGAAGUUUCUGAGUUUCUUAAUCAAGUAAAAUAGCAUCCUUUAUUAGCCGAGUCAAGUAUAAAAUUAAGGUGCUGAUGGGCAGAUGCCAAAGCAGAGUGAUUUGAGAUUAUCACACCAGUGAUCUUUGCUAGCUCUGAGUGCAAAGAUAAUGUUUGUAAUCUUGUUAAUACUCUGUAUAAACAAUACUCUCUUCUGAAAUCCGUUGAUCAUAUUUGUCUUUCACCUUGCAGAACUUGCUCACACAAUGAAGAUUACUGCAUAUUUGUCAUUUCUUUUUUCCAAGGAAAUUAUUAUGACAGUAUUGAGAUUUGAAAUGAUUGUUUGCAAAUUUUAUAGUUUAAAAUUAAGUAUGGAUUUAUUAUCAUAGUAUGUUUAUUCUUUGCUUUAUGCUUAAUUCAUCUUGACUUGCUUACAGAUAAGUAAAUUAAUUUGAAAAUUAAGCUCGAAGUGUUGUAUCCAUUCUUCCAAUAUUAAUUACAAGCAUUCAAUAGGAUGCAACUGUUACAAGGUGCAAAUCAAAAUUAUGGUAACAAUGUUAGUAAAUUGGAAAGCUAGCUAGUCUCUACAAAUUCAAUAUAGUCUUGUCUAUUAAAUUGGUGGAUACGAAGGUGAAUAGAAAUUAUAAUUCAACAUUUAAAGUCUUUCUGUCUCACUCAUUUUAAUAUCUUAACAAUGUACAUUUGAUGACAAAAAAGAAGGGUAUAGAUAAGCCAACCCCAAAAUAUUUUGAAUUUCCAUUCUCUCUCUGGCGUAAUUUUCGGGGAAGCAAAUGCCCAGUGAACAAAAGUUUGAUCAAUCAAUGAUUGGAUCCAAAGAUACGUUAAUUAGUCAAGUCUUUCCAUUAAUUUUGAUCACAAAUGUUUAUCCUAUUUUGUGGGACGACUUGCCAUGGACUUUAAUUGUAGUUGGAAGGGGAGUGGCUAUCAAUACAAAGAUUUUUUUUCACGGAAUCAGAAUUGCGUGCAACAAGUGAACGUUUUGUUUGGUCAAUUUUAAAAUCGUAGAUGUCUUUUAAGACUUUUGCCUUAAGCAACGGGGAAAACUCUUCCCUACUUGAUCAGGCAUCGAUCAUACACCAGUUAAUUGCUCGUCUGGAUUCGAUAUAAUAUUGGUUCGUGUGAAAAAAAGCUACUCGUGGAUUCCACCUAAUAACUCCAAUAUUUUUUCCUGAAAUUAAAACCAUAAUCUUUAGCCUUUAACCAUUUAGACUUUGGGCACGGACGAACGGUGUGUUAUGUAGUUCAUAGUUGAAGUGAAAACGGUCUAAAUGUGGUGUGUGUGCGUGUUUAGAAAUGUACCUUUAGGUAGCGUUUGGUUUUAAGAAAGAGGAGGAGAGGAGGGAUAAAAAAUGGAGAGGAGUGGAGAGGUAAUGAGAGGAUAGGAGUGCAAAAAUUGAUAUUUAUUGUUUGGUUUAAAAAAAAAAAUUAAAAGGGAAAGGAAUUACAUGUUUUUUUAAUUUGGACAAGUAUACCCAUUGGAAUUUAGUGUUAAAAUGUUAAUAUUAGCAGUAAAUAUAAUAAAAAUAAUUAAACUAUAAGUUAAAUUAAUCUAUAAUAUAAACUAAUAAGAAAACAUUUGAGUUUAUAUUAUAUUUUUAAUUCAUUCAUUAUUAUUUUAUAAUCAAAAUAACUAACCAACAAGUAGUGGAUGGACGACUACAAGUCGUAUAUCGACGUAGAAGAACAUGACAUACGGCUCAAACGGUGAUUGAUUUACUGAACUGCAACCAAAGGAACCAUUUUUUGGAUAAUUUCAGAGCAAUAGUAUUCAGACUACUAUGUAAAAAACAUUCUAAUCUUGGAAAACUUUUCCACCUUAUGAAACAUUGGAAAAAUCUUCCCAACUUGACGCAUCGACUUGUUGACCUCUCAAUUGCUCUUGUGUGUGGCUUCUAUAAAUUUGGCGUCCAACGUGCUCGUUUUCUGCACCGUUGUAUGUUUUCCAAAAGCUAAGAGUCAUCAAAAGAUCUUUUGAAUUUCAAUAAAACUUCGGUUUAACUUUAUUUAUUUGAUUGUGUUUUUGGAAUAUCAAUGGGGUCACCAACCCUCAAUACAGUUGUUUCACUUGUUUUGUUGAUCCUAUUUUUUGUGUUAAGUUUCUUAAUAACUGUUUCUUCAGAAUCUAAUGAAGAAGCCGAUGCUCUUCUCAAAUGGAAAGCCAGCCUUCAAAUCCAUAACCGAUCUCUCCUUUCUUCUUGGAUUAAGGAUACCUCCAAUGUUUCAUCCAAAAUAAGCCCAUGUGCUUGGUCCGGAAUCAGUUGCAAUGAUGCCGGAAGAGUCAUCAAGAUCAGCCUCCCAGGUGUCGGAUUAAAAGGUAAGCUUCACGACUUCUCAUUCUCAUCGUUUCCUCAUGCUUAUCUUGAUCUCAGUAGGAGUGGACUCUUUGGUACUAUCCCGCCUCAAAUUAGCAACCUUACGAAUCUUAGCAACCUUUAUUUAACAUCCAAUCAAUUGUCAGGAAUAUUCCUCCAGAGGUUGGUCUUCUGAGUCAUUUGAAGUUCCUUUACGUUGAUUCGAACCAAUUAGAUGGCUCAAUUCCACCAGAAGUAGGUCAAUUAAGUUCUCUGGUGGAGCUUUUCUUGUUCUCUAACAACUUGAACGGUUCAGUUCCUCCUUUAGGUAAUUUGACACACAUCUCUUUAUUGUACAUUCGUGAAAAUUCAUUUUCUGGUUUUAUUCCUCCGGACAUUGGAAACUUGAAAUCUAUGUCCAUCCUAGAUUUGAGCAGUAAUCAAUUUAGUGGUCCAAUCCCUGUUUCUUUCGGUAAUUUGACCAACCUAAAAAACCUAGACCUCCUUUAUAACAACCUAUCCGGUUCCAUUCCACCCUCCCUCGACAAUCCUGUUUUAACUAUGCUAGGAUUGGAUUUCAAUCAUUUUACAAGUUAUUUACCGCACAAUAUUUGUCGAGGUGGAGCACUACAGUACUUUGGUGUUUCUGAAAACCAUUUUCAAGGAACAAUCCCUAAAAGCUUGAGAAAUUGCACAAGCUUAAUCCGAGUACGCCUUAAUGGAAACAACCUUACUGGAAAUAUAUCAGAAGCUUUGGGCAUUUAUCCUAACCUGACUUUCAUAGAUCUCAGCCGCAAUAAUUUUUACGGUGAAACUCAUCUAAUUGGGGGAAAUGCCCAAAAUUAGGCACUCUCAAUGUUUCGAUGAAUAACAUUACUGGAGGUAUACCGCGCGAGAUCAGAAACAUGUCUCAACUACAAGUACUCGAUCUUUCAUUGAAUCAUAUAGUUGGGGAGAUUCCAAAGGAACUUGGAAAGUUAAAUUCUCUAAGCAAGCUCAUUUUGAGAGGGAAUCAAUUGACAGGGCGUCUACCUACAGAAAUCGGCUCACUCAUUGAACUUGAAUACCUCGACUUUUCUGCUAAUAGGCUCAACAAUUCAGUCCCAGAAAUUCUCGGCAACUUGCUGAAAUUGCACUACUUGGGCUUAAGCAACAACCAGUUUGUCCAAGAAUUGCCAAAGGAAUUGGAGAAGCUAGUUCAACUUUCAGAAUUAGAUGCAAGUCAUAACCAUUUUGGAGGAGAGAUACCAUUUCAAAUAUGCAGUUUGAAAAGCUUGGAAAAGUUGAAUCUCUCCCACAAUAAUCUUUCUGGUUCGAUUCCAAAUUGCUUUGAUGGAAUGCACGGUCUAUCAGUCAUUGACAUUUCUGAUAAUCAAUUACAAGGCCCAGUUCCAAAUAGCACAGCAUUUCGGAAUGCCUCAGUGGAAGCGUUAGAGGGGAAUAAGGGAUUGUGUGGAGGUUUGAAAGGAAUGCAACCAUGCAAAGUUUUCUUGUCACACAAGCAAAAUUCUAGAGCCAAGUGGUUUGCAAUAGCGUUCCCUGUUUUAGGAGCACUAUUUCUUUCAAUGGCGUUGAUAGCAAUUUUUAUUCUUCGAAAGCGGAAGUCAGACUCAGGAGAUCGACAGAGUAGCAACCAGAACCCUCAUGGAUUGUUUUCUAUAUUGAAUUUUGAAGGGAAACUUGUGUACGAUGAAAUUGUUAGAGCAACAAAUGAUUUUGAUGCACAGUAUUGCAUUGGAAAUGGCGGACAUGGAAGUGUUUAUAGAGCUGAACUACCAUCUGGACAAGUCGUAGCUAUUAAGAAAUUUCACUCGCCACUUCCAUGUGACCAGAUUGCAGAUCAAAAAGAAUUCUUGACCGAAGUUGAGGCCUUGAAAAAUAUACGACAUCGAAACAUUGUGAAGUUUUAUGGAUUUUGCUCACAUGCCCGACACUCUUUUUUGGUCUAUGAAUUUCUUGAAAGGGGUAGCUUGGCUGCGAUCUUGAGCAGUGAUGCAGCAGCACAAGAACUGGGUUGGAGUCAGAGAAUGAAUGUGAUCAAAGGCGUAGCUGAUGCUUUGUCUUACUUGCACCAUGACUGCUUUCCUCCGAUUGUCCAUCGGGACAUAUCAAGUAAGAACUUGUUGCUGGAUUUGGAAUAUGAAGCUCAUGUUGCAGACUUUGGAAUUGCUAAGUUUCUGAAGCCAGACUCGUCCAACUGGACUGAAUUUGCUGGCACAUACGGAUACGUUGCACCAGGUAUUUUGUAUUCGUUUGUUACCAUUUUGAGGAGUCUGCGGUAACAGAACAAUGUAACUAGAUAUUGUUGAAAAAAUUAUGUAGUACAUUCAGUAGACUUGUAAAAGCUUACUAGUUUAUGCACAUUUAUCUGAGAAACAGAGUAAACAUUUUUUUUUUUUUUGGGUCCUUGACCUUGCAGAGCUUGCUUACACAAUGAAGAUCACAGAGAAAUGCGAUGUGUACAGUUUUGGAGUGUUAGUGUUGGAAGUAAUCAAAGGGAAGCAUCCAAGAGAUUUUCUUUCUUCGAUUUCAUAUUCAUCUCUCAACACGGAUAUAAAACUUGAUGAAAUGUUGGACCCGCGUCUUCCAGCUCCAUCACGCAGUGUUCAAGAAAAAUUGAUAUCAAUCGUAGAGGUUGCGUUUUCCUGCUUAAAUGAGAGUCCAGAGUCUAGGCCAACUAUGAAGAUAGUCAGUCAACAAUUAACCUCAGCUGCUUGACGGAGUCCUAAUUUUCUAAGUAUACUUCAAAUUUGCUUGCCUUAUUUUUCUCAUGUACUAUGGUUUGUUUGUUCUAGUUUUCAAGAAUUAGGAGGCGUUGGUUAUUACGUCAUCCAUAUAUAAUUCGCAUAUGGUGUACUCUUUCAUUUGUAAAUAAAGUUUGCUCAUACCUUAGAGGUUUAGUUAAAAGAACGCCUGGGGCAGUUGUGAGUAAAGUCAGUUUGUAAUAAUUAAAAAUAAUAAUUUCUUUCGACAUGCACAACAGGUGAACCCCUCAAAUGUAAACUUGAAAGUGUGUACCAUUGUAUCAAUUAAUGGGUGGCUCUUACUUAUUGGUAAUGUUAAAUUAAAUGUUAAAAGAAAGGAACAGACGGGGAAAAAAAAAAAUUGGGAUAAUUUAAAUGCAGUUGACACAAAGAGAAAUAAAGUAAAAUAAAAACUUUUUCUCGACAACGGCGCCAAAAACUUGACACAACUUAAAAGUAAUUUUUAACUCUCAAGUAUAAAAUUGUAUUGUUGUAUUAUAGCUCGGUGAGUCCGAGGUCGAUCUACAGAGAAAAUUUUUAAUUUUUAAUUUUAUUUUAUCUAAAAAUUGAAAAUGAAACUUAAAUAUAAACAACUUAAUUUAAAUAAAACUAUGAAAAUGAAUUAGUUAGGGUUGUGGAUCCACUCUUAGUAGCAAAUAAAACUUAAUAAAUUCUUUUUGCCAUUUUUUUAUAUUUAUUGCCCAAGAGAUUAAUUAUAUAAAUUAUUUUUAUUUUCCCUUUAAUUUUAUGAUGGAUUAAGUAUUUAUUGUGCCAAAAUUUAAUUUGUCUACAAUAAGUCAAAAUACCUUUUUACCAUGCCUUAUAUUAAGAUAUUAAGAAUUUAUUGUGCCAAACUCCUUUGUUUGUCUACAAUAAAUCAAAAUUUUAAAAUAUAAAAUAUGUAUAAAAUUAAAUAGAAAAUAAUUUAAUUUAUAAAAUUAAAAAUAGAAUUUGAUUAAAUCAUAUUUAUUUCCUAAGAGUUUCACCUUACCCUAACUAUUAUUAUUUAGUCAAGCAUAAUUGAAAUAAAAAGAAUUAUUAAAAUUAAAUUACUUAUAAUUAAAAUGAAUAAAAACAACUAAAAUGAAAAUAAAACUAAAUUUAUUUAUAAAAAUAAUUACAAAAAAUAUUAAAAACACUCAUGGAAAACAAGAUUACAAGAAGAUUAAGAGAAAUUAAGAAGAAGAGAGAUGUAGAGAGAUAUCAAAAACAUAAAACUGAGGCUCUAUUUAUAGAAAAAUAAAUUUAUGAUCCAGUAUUUCGCGGUCUAUCAUAAGCUUCAUGCAUACGCUCCUCACAACCAUUAGAUGAACAUCCAACGGCUAUUCAAACUUCAAAAGUCAACAUCACAUGUGGCAUCAUUUGAGACAUCGAUUCGGCCAAAGAAUGGCUGAGAUUUGGCGGGUUAAUGGGUGGAUUGAGUCAACCCGAAUACAAAGAUUUGAAUCCUACAACUUGUUUCACCAACCAUUGCCAUGUGGCAUAAUCGUAGCUAUUGAAUUAUGAACGAUUGAGAUUUAGUCAAAAUUACCAGCUAUCCCAAGUACUCAUAUCUAUUGUAAGCUCAUUUUAUCAUUCAUUCACUGCUCGAUUCACAGGAAAAGUCAACCUUUUUUUUACACAAGCCCAAUUUUAAGCCAAACUUGACUCAUCUUAAGGUUUUUGGAUCUCUGGAAUCCAAAUUUGACAUCUAUUUAUCUUUUUGGAGCCUUGAAUUACGUGAAAUUAAUAUUUUACCUAAUAAACACACAAAAAUACAUAAAUUAGAUAUAUUUAACACAUAAUUAAUAAUUCCUAAUAUAUUGUAUGAACACAAAUAUUAAUCAUACAUAAGCACAAAAUAACAUUAUUAUCGCUUGAUAAUUAAACAAUUUUUAAUACUAAUCAGCAGUCAUUGAAGGAACUUAUUGCUCUCACCAAUUGUCUUGAAUGCUCUAAUGGCUUACACUUUGUAGAAUCGCCAAUGUUGUGAUAACAACUUUGAUGGUUAAAGUUUGAUUGUGAAUCUCGGUUGAAUGAUUUAAUUUAUAUUUGAUUCUUAUACCAAGCGAACCUUUACCAAGUUAAUCUUUUUUCCGUAUGUUUAGUUUUGUUAUGUCAAAGUUAGUUGAUGUCCUAUAUUUGAUCAAUGUGGAUGGCUAAUCAAAAUUAAAGAAUCCUUGAACGAGAUUGAGGGCUCGACAGAGAUACGACAUCAGGGCAUUGUAAAACAUGGCUUACAUUCAAUUUUAGUUUAUGAAUUUCUUGAAAGGGGUAGCUUGGCCAUAAUAUUGAGCAAUAAUGCAGCCACAAAAGAGUUAAGUGGGCUGGAGUCAGAGAAUGAAUGGGAUAGAAGGCGUUGCCGAUGCCUUGUAAUAUUCGUUUGUUGCCAUUUUGAGGAAUAUUAUUAGGGGAUUGCCACUUUCCCAUUAUUAGGGGGUUGCUACUUUCCCCCUACAGUAAUUAACAUAUACAAUUUAUCCUCUUGCUGUUUUUAUAAUGACCAAAAACCCUCCUGACAGCAUAAGUUUACAAUAUUACCCUUAUUUUUAAUUACUCUUUUAUUUAUAUUUAUUAUAAAUUAAAUAAAUUACAUUAAUAGAAACUAAAUAAAAAAUUAAGUAUUGAAAAUAAAAAAUAUAUGUUUUGAUAUGAGCAAAAAAAUUAAUAAUAAAUUUUUUUCUUGUAAUUAUUUAUUUUGUGAACAUUUUCUUAUAAUAAACAUUUUGUAAUAAAUUUUUAUUUGUCAUUCAAAAUUUCUAAUAAUAAUUUUUUUAUCAUUUUAUAAUAACUUUCUUAUAUAUUUAUUAUAAGAAACUUUUCACAAAAUAAAUAAGUACAAAAAAAAAUUUAUUAUUAAUUUUUUUCUCAUAUCAAAACAUAUAUUUCUUGUUUUUAAUGCUUAAUUUUUUAUUUAGUUUCUAUUCAUGUGAUUUAUUUAAUUUAUAAACCUAAAUAUAAAUAAAAGAGUAAUUGAAAAUAAGGGUAAUAUUGUAAACUUAUUCUAUCAGGGGGGUUUUGGCCAUUAUAAAAACAAUAGGGGGGGAAAUGAUAUAUGUUGAUUACUGUAGGGGCAAAAUUGGUAAUCUCCCAAUAUUAUUAUGCAACACAUUCUAUAGAGAUAUAAAAGCUUACUAAUUUAUACGCAUUGAUCUUUAAAAAGAGAGUAAACAUUUUUUUUUUGUCCUUGACCUUGCAGAGCUUGCUUACACAAUCAAGAUCACAGAAAAAUACGACGUGUACAAUUUCGGAGUGUUAUUAUUGGAAGUGAUCAAGGGAAAAAUUUAAAUGCAAUAUAUAUAUAUUUAAAUGCAAAAUUAAUAUACAUACAUACAUACAUACUUACAUACAUACAUACAUACAUAUAAAUUAUUUUUUGAAGAAUAAAAUAAUUUGAAACAAUAUAUUUACAUAUAUUAUUUUUAUUGUUUACCCUCAACUUAUUAUUCUCCAAAAAAAAAUAGUAUAUGUAUAUGUAUUUUGCUUUUAAUUUUUAAAUUAAUUCUGAAGAGUUCUGAAAAAAUUUCUGAAUUAAUUUAAAAAUUAUGAUAAUUCCCUUACUUUUUCAAAUAAUUUUGCAUGUAAUUUUUAAUUAUUACCAUUUAAGAAAUUAUUUAAUUAAUUAAAUUAUUAAAGAUAUUCAUCUUCCAGACAUCAAAGAAACACCGAAGGUAAAAUACUAAGAUCCGCAAAACAGUUUGACUCUCAAGAAAAUUUGGAUAUAGUUUAAAAAUCAAGUGGGAGGAUUCGAUUAGUUUAGUCAAACAAGAGGGUUUAGCUAUUUUUUUCCAUUAAACAAGUGUCGAAUGCAUCUUUAUUUAUUAUUGAUACCAAGUGUCCGACUCAGACUGGAAGAAUGAAUCUGAAAUCGUCUUAAGGCAUGGAAGAAUCAAUGCAUAAUGUGUGUAUGGAAGAAAAAAAAAUAAUAAGGCAAGUGGUAACUGAAAUAAGGAUGAACUCACAUUAAACAUAUUCCAUGUGUUUCACGUUGCUAAAAAAAAGAACAACAUUUUCCACGUACGCCAUGUGCAGCAAUAAUCAUGCCUGUCUACACAGAAGCACAGUUCACGUUUGAACUUUUUCUUUUUUCUUUUUUCCCCAUUUCACAUACCAUAACCCCAUCCCAUCCUAUACGCAAAAAGAAAUUAAAGCUUCCACAUUGUGAGGGGAAUCGAUCUUAACUAAGCUAUGUGAGCUUAGAUGGAUUAUAAUUUUUACCAUUCAAUUGUGUGUUUUUUUCUGGAAUGAUUGAACAUCGAUGAUGAAAUAAGGUAUUAAAAAUCUAUCCAAGAUUAAAAAAAAAAAAUCCAAGAAACUGUGUGCUUUCUAUAGCAGAUAUAAGAUCCUUACAGGUGAUUCGGAUUAAAUUUUUUUCUUUUAAAAAAGGCCUAACAAAUUAAAUUUACAAAGUUUUAGUGAAUUAAUGAUUUUUAACAUUUUAGUAAAUUAACUUUGUGAAAAUUUUAAUUAUUCACAAAUGCCCUGUUUUUCUAGUAGUGAAUAAAAGCAUAAAAAAUAAAUAAAAAAAAGACCUAAUUCUAGUUUGUCCACUUCCGAAUUUUCUUCGUUUAUCUUCUUUGUGUUUUCACUAAGCUUUACUUGACGCCUUGACUCGUUUACUCCAAAUAGCCAACCCGAUUUCUGUCGUAUAGUUUCUAUAAAUUUAGUUCCCGAUUGUGCUUGUUUCAUGAACCAAUGUUCAUGUCGAUGCCAAUGGGGCCACUCACUCUGCAUACAGUAGUUUCUUCUCUUGUUUUCUUGAUCCUAUUCUUUGUGUCAAAUUUUUCUCUUCCUGUUUCUUCUAAUUCUAAUGAAGAAGCUGAUGCUCUUCUCAAAUGGAAAGCCAGCCUUCAAAACCAUAACCGAUCUCUCCUUUCUUCUUGGAUUAACGACGCCACCAAUGUUUCUUCCAAAAUAAGUGCUUGGUCUGGAAUCAACUGCAAUGAUGCUGGAAGAGUCAUCAACAUCAACCUCACAAAUACAGGCUUAAGCGGUACACUUCAUGAUUUCUCAUUCUCAUCGUUUCCUCAUCUUGCUUAUCUUGAUCUCAGGCUUAAUGAAUUAUUUGGUAUCAUCCCGCCUCAAAUCGGUAAUCUCUCCAAGCUCCAGUUACUUUCGCUACAUGCAAACAACUUUUCUGGAAGAAUACCGUCUGAAAUUUGCCUUCUAACUCACUUGAAAGUUCUUUUCUUGCACUCCAACAAUUUGAACGGCCCAAUCCCUCCUUCUUUAGGUAACCUGAACAACUUGGUUAAGUUGUUUCUUCUUAAUAAUUCACUUUCUGGUUCUAUUCCUCCAAAUAUUGGAAACUUGAGGUCACUUUUAGAACUAGAUUUGAGUAUAAAUCAACUUAGUGGUUCAAUACCUCCUUCUGUGGGUAACUUAAGUAGCAUGACUCGAUUGUAUCUUUAUGGUAAUUCAUUUUAUGGUUCCAUUCCACCAAAUGUAGGAAACUUGAAGUCCCUUUCUGAUUUACAGUUGAAUGACAAUCAACUCAUCGGUUAUAUUCCACGUUCCUUUAGUAAUCUAACCGGGUUAUCAAUUUUACGUUUGUCUAAAAACGAGCUUUUUGGUUCCAUUCCAGAUGAAAUAGGAAAGAUAAGGUCUCUUAGCAUUCUCGAUUUGAGCCAAAAUCAAUUUAAAGGGGUUCUUCCACCAUCUGUUAGUAAUUUGACCAACCUAAAACAACUAGACCUCCUUUAUAACAACCUAUCCGGUUCCAUUCCUCUCUCCCUCGACUAUCCUGUGUUAACUAUGCUAGUAUUGGAUGAGAACCAUUUCACUGGUUAUUUACCCCACAAUAUUUGCCGAGGCGGAGCACUACAAUAUUUUAGUGUUUCUGAAAACCAUUUUCAAGGAACAAUCCCUGAAAGCUUGAGAAAUUGCACGAGCUUAAUCCGAGUACGCCUUAAUGGAAACAACUUUACUGGAAAUAUAUCAGAAGCUUUGGGCAUUUAUCCUAACCUGACUUUCAUGGAUCUCAGCCGCAAUAAUUUUUACGGUGAAAUCUCAUCUAAUUGGGGGAAAUACCCAAAAUUAGGCACUCUCAAUGUUUCGAUGAAUAACAUUACUGGAGGUAUACCGCGUGAGAUUGGAAACUCGUCUCAACUACAAGCACUCGAUCUUUCAUUGAAUCAUAUAGUUGGGGAGAUUCCAAAGGAACUUGGGAAGUUAAAUUCUCUAACCAAACUCAUUUUGAGAGGGAAUCAACUUACAGGACGCCUGCCUACAGAAAUCGGCUCACUCAUUGAACUUGAAUACCUCGACUUUUCUGCUAAUAGGUUCAACAAUUCAGUCCCAGAAAUUCUGGGCAACUUGCUGAAAUUGCACUACUUGGGCUUAAGCAACAACCAGUUUGUCCAAGAAUUGCCAAAGGAAUUGGAGAAGCUAGUUCAACUUUCAGAAUUAGAUGCAAGUCAUAACCUUUUUGGAGGAGAGAUACCAUUUCAAAUAUGCAGUUUGAAAAGCUUGGAAAAGUUGAAUCUCUCCCACAAUAAUCUUUCUGGUUCGAUUCCAAAUUGCUUUGAUGGAAUGCACGGUCUAUCAGUCAUUGACAUUUCUGAUAAUCAAUUGCAAGGCCCAGUUCCAAAUAGUACAGCAUUUCGGAAUGCCCCAGUGGAAGCGUUAGAGGGGAAUAAGGGAUUGUGUGGAGGUUUGAAAGGAAUGCAACCAUGCAAAGUUUACUCGUCACACAAGCAAAAUUAUGGAGCCAAGUGGUUUGCAAUAGUGUUCCCUGUUUUAGGAGCACUAUUUGUUUCAAUGGCGUUGAUAGCAAUUUUCAUUCUUCGAAAGCGGAAGUCAGACUCAGGAGAUCCACAGAGUAGCAGCCAGAACCCUCCGGGAUUGUUUUCUAUUUUAAAUUUUGAAGGGAAACUUGUGUACGAUGAAAUUGUUAGAGCAACAAAUGAUUUUGAUGCAGAGUAUUGCAUUGGAAAUGGUGGACACGGAAGUGUUUAUAGAGCUGAACUACCAUCUGGGACAGUCGUAGCUGUUAAGAAAUUUCAAUCACCACUCCCAUGUGAUCAGAUUGCAUAUCAAAAAGAAUUCUUGACCGAAGUUGAGGCCUUGACAGAGAUACGACAUCGAAACAUUGUGAAGUUUUAUGGAUUUUGCUCACAUACCCGACACUCUUUUUUGGUCUAUGAAUUUCUUGAAAGGGGUAGCUUGGCAGCGAUCUUGAGCAGUGAUGCAGCAGCACAAGAACUGGGUUGGAGUCAGAGAAUGAAUGUGAUCAAAGGCGUAGCUGAUGCUCUGUCUUACUUGCACCAUGACUGCUUUCCUUCGAUUGUCCAUCGAGACAUAUCAAGUAAGAACUUGUUGCUGGAUUUGGAAUAUGAAGCUCAUGUUGCAGACUUUGGAGUCGCUAAGUUUCUAAAGCCAGACUCGUCCAACUGGACUGAAUUUGCAGGCACAUACGGAUACGUUGCACCAGGUAUUUAGUAUUCGUUUGUUACCAUUUUGAGUAAUAUUUUUAUGUUGUGUGUCGUAACAUAACAAUGUACCUAGAUAUUGUUGAAAAAAUUAUGUAGUACAUUCAGCAGACCUGUAAAAGCUUACUAGUUUAUGCACAUUUAUCUCAUAAACAGAGUAAACAUUUUUUUUUUGGGUCCUUGACCUUGCAGAGCUUGCUUACACAAUGAAGAUCACAGAGAAAUGCGAUGUGUACAGUUUUGGAGUGUUAGUGUUGGAAGUGAUCAAAGGGAAGCAUCCAAGAGAUUUUCUUUCUUCGAUUUCAUCUUCAUCUCUCAACACGGGUACAGCACUUGAUGAAAUGCUGGACCCGCGUCUUCCAGCUCCAUCAUGCAGUGUUCAAGAAAAACUGAGAUCAAUCGUGGAGGUUGCGUCUUCAUGCUUAAAUGAGAGUCCGAAGUCUAGACCAACUAUGAAGAUAGUCAGUCGACAAUUGCAGAUUUCAGCUGCCUUGACUGAGUCUUAAUUUUCUAAGUAUACUUCUAAUUUACCUGGUGUCUUUUUUUUUUUUUUUUCUUCUUUCUUCUAAUUUGCUUGGUUUAUUUUUCUCAUGUACUGUAGUUUGUUGGGUAAUUUUCGGAUACCUCCCUGAGGUUUACCCCUGCUACACUUAGAGAGAAAGUAUGAAUAUAUUAACAUAUAGCACCCCUGACGUAUAUAAGCGUUAGGGAGCCGUUUGGUUUGACUGAGUCAUAAUUUUCUAAGUAUACUUCUAAUUUACUUGGUGUCUUUUUUUUUUCUUUCUUCUAAUUUGCUUGGUUUAUUUUUCUCAUGUACUGCAGUUUGUUGGGUAAUUUUCGGAUACCUCCCCUGAGGUUUACCCCUGCUACACUUAGAGAGAAAGUAUAAAUAUAUUGACAUACAGUGCGUACCACUGUAUUAAUUAAUGGCUGGCUCUUACUUACCAAUAAUGUUAAAUUAAAUGUUAAAAGAAAGGAAUAGAUAUGGGGGAAAAAAUUAAAAAUUGAGGAUAUAUAAUUUACAAUGUAGUCCUAGUGAUUUAACCAAAAAUCAAAUAAAGCAAUAAUAAUUAGUUUUUUUUUUUGAAUGAUUUGUUUUAGCUUUGAGUAAACGAUUUGAAGGAACUUAUCGCUCUCACCAAUUGUCUUGAAUGCUCUAAUGGCUUAUACUUUGUAGAAUCGCCAAUGUUGUGAUAACAACUUUGAUGGUUAAAGUUUGAUUGUGAAUCUCGAUUGAAUGACUUAAUUUACAUUUGAUUCGUAUGCCGACCUCUACCAAGUUAAUCUUUUUUUCUGGAUGUUUAAUUUUGUUAUCUCAAAGUUAAUUAGCUGAUGUCCUAUAUUUGAUCAAUGUGGAUGGCGGAACAAAAUUAAAGAAUUCUUGAACGAAGUUGAGGCCUUUACAGAGAUACGACGUCAGAGCAUUGUAAAACAUGACUGACAUUCAAUUAUAGUUUAUGAAUUUCUUGAAAGGGGUAGCUUGGCCAUAAUCUUGAGCAAUAAUGCAGCCACAGGAUAAAAGGCGUUGUCGAUGCCUUGUAAUAUUCGUUUGUUGCCAUUUUGAGGAAUAUUAUCAUCCAACACAUUCUAUAGAGAUAUAAAAGCUUACUAAUUUAUACGCAUUGAUCUUUCAAAAGCGAGUAAACAUUUUUUUUUCUUUUUUAUUUGUCCUUGACCUUGUAGAGCUUGCUUACACAAUCAAGAUCACAUAAAAAUGAGGUGUACAGUUUCGGAGUGUUAGUAUUGGAAGUGAUCAAGGGAAAGCAUCCAAGAGAUCAGAUGUUUUUUUCCGCAGUUUCAGCUUCAUCUUCCAAUGCCGCUUGAUGAAAUGUUGGAUGUUCAGAGCAAGUUGAUCAUUACUGUUUGAAUUUUAAAUAUCUGCCUUCAUUUCUGCUGCACAAGUUAAUUAUACGCAUCAUGCUUAUGCAGGCCUUAAUUCGGAGCAAAAGAAUGUUAUUAGUUGACAGAAUGUGCAACUAGAGAAGGAUUUCAUCCACCAAUUCAUAGUUAAUUAGUCUCUCUUCAACACAAAAUAGAAAAUUUAGUUGACAGAUGGCCACAAAAGACUAGCUUCGUUUUUGCUAAAAAAAUAAAUAAAAUCUGCUUCUAUGGCCCCUGUAAACCAAUUCCUUCAAUGCCCCCAAUUUCAAAACUAUCAUUGAUAUAGAGCCAUUGAACCUGGGCUUCAUAUUCAACUUUUCAGCGUUCCAUUUCUUGCCUGAAGUUUUUGAGAGCUUGGACGCACUUAGGGUGCGUUUGGGAUUGAGGUGCUGUAGCUUUUAAGCUACAGCUGCUGUGAAAAAAAAGCUGUAAUUAUGAAAUAAAAGUUAAUAAUAUAUAGUAAAUAUAAAUUUUAAAUAAUAAUUUUAUCAAAAUUAUUAAAGAUAUAAUAAAUUUUAUAUUAUACAAGUGAAAAAUUAUAUCAACAUAGCUUAAAAGCUACAGCAGCUAGUGUUUACCAAACACUUUAGUGCUGUAGCUUUUAAGCUACAGCUGCCCAACCUCAAUCCCAAACGCACCCUUAGUCUUGACAGUACUACAUAACCCUCGCGAGAUAUGUCCCAAAAUCCCCUGGGCCAUAAUUUUGCUACAAAACCCGACAGAAUUAAUGAUCCUUAUUAAUUAUGAAUUACAUCGUCCUUUGGUUGCACAAUUUUGGAUAAAAAAAUUGGACCAGUUUCGGUGAUCGGCUGAGCUUGUGUGGACUAUUAAGCACUAAAUCAAUAGUUGAGAUUUGUCCAACAUGAGUUUCACGUGGAUCCCAAUCAACUCUUGACCAUAGAUUCUGUACCCUACACAACAUGCUUAUGGUUUAAAAAUAAAAUAAAUCAUGUUAAUGCUUUGAAUCAAUACUUAAUGCAUUGACAAUCAUUUUCUUUGUGCACCGACUUGUCGAUAAAGAAAGUUUAAUGGUCCAUCUAUUAGUUUACAUCUGCUUAAUUUGAUUGGAAUGAAACGAAAUUAAUAGUUUCUUUGUUUUAAAAAAUAAAUAACUAUAAUUUCUUGAAUAUUCGAUGAAUAAACAAAAGAAUUGUGAAUGAAGUUUUGUUUAGUAUUAAGGUAUUGUUAUCUUUAAAUCACAAUUAUCAUGAAAAAUAAAGGUAUAAUAAAAAAAAGAAAUUGAUAAUUUGUAAUAAAUAUAAUUUUUAAAUAAUAAUUUUGAUAAAAAUAAUAAAGAUACUGUAAUUUUUCUAUCAUUAAAAUAAAAUCAUUUCAACUUUCAAGUCAUAGUGAUGAUAGAAUUAUAAAUUUUUAUAUAAAUUUAUUUUAUAUAAAUAGCUGCGUCAUAAAUUAUUAGUUAGAUAAAAAUAUAAAAUAAUAAAAUAAACUAUGUGAAAGAAAAAAUAUUUAAUCUAAUUAAUUUAAUUAUGUCAUGUUAAUUUAUAUAAAAUAAAGUCUUCUAUUUAUGUUGGCGUAAACCAGCACCGAUACACACAGUAUUCUAUUUGCUUGAGUGCUCUAUCCAAUUUUUCCGUCCAAUAUGAUUACUCUUAAAAUAAAGGAAGCCAUGGACCCCACGAACGAGACAUCACGUGGGCCCACUAACCUUGAUGAUAACAUCUUUUUCAUGUAAAAAAAACACCCCCGCUUUACAACGACACCGUCUUUUCUUUGUCUUUCCUUUCGUUUUCGUCAGCCUCCACCAACACUUCAAUAGCCGCCCCAUUUUCUUACACUCCUAUCCAUUGUCCACGCGUCCGACCAUGAUUGCUUCUCCGGUUCUAAUCUCAAGAUUUUCGUCAAAUGGACGUACGAGAUGGGCCCCAUCUCUGCGCAGACCACACCGUCUACUCUCUUUGUGAAAGGAAAAUAAAACUAUUAAAAUCUCUAAAUCAUUCUAUCUUCUCGUGAUAAAUUGAAUUCAACUCUUUUUUUAAUCUUUUAUUUAUAAAUUGUAAAUAAAAAAAUCAAAAGCAUUCAACUGAAUAUUCCUUUUUAGAAAUUAUAAAAACAGAAUUAUACAGUGGUGAACUUCCUUGCACGAACAUGACCUUGAUUCAAUUUAUUGAAUAUACGUAUAUGUUACUUUAAUAUACUUUUUUCUUAUAGUUUACAAAAUGUAGUGCUUAUUUUCUUUCUUAUACCAAACAAUAGAUGUGUAUGUAGGUUGAAGCAAAUAUAAUUUUAUAAACUAACACUAUGUUGUAUCGUUUUUGGUAAAAUAUUUAAUGUUGACAUCUUAUGACAUUAUUAUUAAAUCUUCAAUAAAGAUUCUUCAUUGUAUUGAACAAUUUUCUAUAUAAUAUAAAUUAUGUAUUUUGUCAUAAUAGAAACUGUUAAGAAAGAUUGUCUCAACUUUAUAUUAAGAAUUUGUAUUCAUAAAUAUAUAAUAUGAUCUGAACCUUAAACAUUAAAAUUGUUUCAUAACUUAGUUAUCAAUAAAAGAUUUAACAAUUUUUUAAUUAUUGAUUGUAAAUAUUAGCACAUUAUAAUACAAUAUUAAAAUAACCUUAAAGUUAAUUUAUUAUUGUCACAUUAUAAAUCUAUAGAAUUAAUUUGAAUUAGUAAAAUUAUUAAGCCAAAGUUAGAAAGAUAUAUCAAAUUUGGCUAGAACUACCUAUUAAAGAAACAUAUACGUAUUAUAUAUGGAUACAUUAUGUGGCAAAAAAAUGAAAACUUUGGCUAGUCAACCAAUUAAUCAAACAAGGUCCCCUCAAUAUAAUGAGAACUUGACCUUUUGCUUUAUAUUAGCAACAAGUUGAGUGUUGUGUGACUUAAGAUUAAAAUAUUAAUUAAACUACAAAAUUAUAUCAUUUAAGAAAUUAUAUUUAGGUAUUUACUUAAUUAAAAUUUUAGUUAGCCACCGAGUGAUUUAGAUUUAGAAUUUUAGAUAAGACUCUAGUUGAUCUCUCAUGUGAGAAUGUUAAUUCACUAAGCAUCAUGUGGCAUUUUCUUUAAAGAUUUUUGAAUUGUUUGAUGGUUGUGAGAGUAAAAUUUAAAUUAAUAAAAAUAAAUAUAAUUAUCAUGUUAACGGGACCACAUCUUAGUCGCUAAUUCAUAUAAGAAUAUGAAUUCAAAUAUCACAUAAAUGAAAUUAAAAAAAAAUAGAUUUAUUAACAUCGCAGUUACAAGUUGACUUUAAAUUUUUAAUGAAUCUGUCAUUAUAUUUUUUUCGCUGAAUAAUCAUAUUAAUAUUUAAGUUAUUAGAUAAGGGUCCAACAUUAACAUUUGAAGUUUAUGCUUUAAUAAAUUGUGUAAAUUCGAUAACAAAAACAUUAAAUUCAAAAAAAAGUAAAAUUUACAUGUUGUUCAGCUAGUGAUGCAGCGGAAGUUUAAUGUUCAAAAUAUUCCGUUGAUUCUAGAGAAUACCGGAAUAAAAGAACAACUAAAUUCACGUUGAUUCAAAAGAAUACCGCGAACUUAGGGGUUAAGACUCGUUGAUUCAGAAUACCGAGAAUUAACUGUUCAAAUACUCACAAAGAGAUUUGAAAAUUGAAAUAUUAUUGAACUCAAAAUUCUACCUUCAAAGGCUACAAGAGGGAGCUAUUUAUAAUAGUAGUAAUUAUCCUAAUUCAUGAAGUAAAACAAAAUCUUAAAUUGAAAGGGAAACAAAAUUCUAAAUUAGAAAUGAAUUAAAAAGUCUUUAAACUUUAGUUAAUAAGGAAACUAAUCCUAGUAUAAUAUGGAUUCCUACUCUUCAUCAUUCCCCCCAGGGUAGAGAGAAUUCGCCCUCGAAUUCGGAGUGUCAGCAACCACAUCUUCAUCAUGGUCACCUCUAUAAGGAAUAAGAUGCUUGACAGUAAAUACAUCUGCGGUGCGGAUAUGACUAGGAAGCUUUAAUCUGUAGGCAUUAGGAUUUAUCUUCUCUAUAAUCUCCAAAGGGCCGAUUUUCCUGGCAGAAAGCUUGUUGUACUCACCAACCGAGAAUCUAUCUUUAGUUAGGACAGCCCAAACAAGAUCACCCACUUGAAAUUCCAAAACUCGACGUUUUUUGUCUGCCACAAUUUUAUAACCUUCGGUUGUCUGCUUCAAAGACUCUUGCGUAGUUUCAUGAAUUUUCUUAAGUUGCUCAAUAAAGUCUUCUGCUUUACUACUUUUGCGAACUAAAUCUGGAAUUGGAGCCAAGUCGAUGGGAGCUCGUGGAUUAUAUCCGUAAUUCACCUGAAAAUGGCUUAAACUAGUACUGCGCUUAACUGCACGGUUAUAAGCAAACUCGACUUGAUAUAACUUUUGAUCUCACAUCUUCAGGUUAUCGCCGACUAGACUACGUAGAUGGUUGCCUAAAGAACGAUUGACAACUUCGGUUUGACCAUCUGUUUGUGGGUGGUAGGCACUACUAAAAUUCAGGCGAGUGUUAGUUAACUUCCAUAAUGUCUUCCAAAAAUGGCUAAGAAAUCGUGUAUCCCGGUCAGAUACUAUAGAACUCGGUAAACCAUGCAAUCUAUAGACUUCCUUGAAGAAUAGACGAGCAACAGUCAAAGCGUCUGUAGUCUUUUUGCAGGCAAUGAAGUGAGCCAUUUUCGAGAAUCGAUCAACAACAACAAAUAUUGAAUCCAUACCCCUCUGAGUGCGGGGUAAUCCCAAAACAAAAUCCAUGCUAAUGUCAGCCCAAGGUUGUAUUGGAAUCGGCAGCGGCAUAUAUAACCUAGCAUUAGUUGCUGCGCCCUUGGAAACUUGACAAAUGCGACAAGUCUCGACAUAGUGAUAGACUUCACGCCUCAUAGUAGGCCAAAAAUAAGUGUUGCCGAUUAGAGCCAGAGUUUUGUCACGACCCAUGUGCCCUUCGUUAUGUAACUCUAAAAUAAUUUUCAAUCUCAAACUUGAGUCAGGAACACACAAUUGAUUACUCUUGAAAAGGAAUUCGUCAUGUAAAUGAUAAUCUGAGCGAAACCCUACAACAACGUCUUCUAAUAUAGGAGCAAAGUAAGGAUCAGAAGCAUAUAACUCUCAAAAUGUGUCAAAUCCGAGAACUUGAUUAUGCAUCUGUGUCAAUAAAGAAGUUCGUCGACUAAGUGCAUCUGCUGCCCGGUUGGAUUCACCAGAGGUAUGCUUCACCACAAAAGUAAAUUGUUGAAGGAAUGUUGUCCACGUGGCAUGUCUGUGAGAGAGCUUGUCUUGACUAUUGAGGUAUUUUAACGCGGCAUGGUCAGUGUAUAAAACAAAGUCUUUAUGAAUUAGAUAAUGUCGCCAAUGUUUUAACGCUUGGACUACUGCGUAAAAUUCCACGUCAUAAGUGUUGUAGUGUGCCUUUGCUCCAUUUAACUUCUCACUGAAAUAAGCUAUAGGCUUACCCUGUUGGCUAAGAACAGCUCCAAUGCCGACCUUAGAAGCAUCACAAUGUACCUCAAAAGUGAGCGAAAAAUCUGGUAGAGCAAGUACUGGGGCAGUAAUCAACUUUUCUUUGAUAAUCUUGAAUGCCUUAGUAGCUGCCUUUGUCCAAGAGAAUUGUCUUCCUUUCAUGCAAUCUGUGAUUGGUGCCAUAAUAGUACUGAAAUAAGGAAUGAAUCGCCUGUAAAAAGAGGCUAAUCCAUGGAAACUUCUGGUGGCGGAUAAAGUAGUUGGCUGAGGCCAAUCUCGAAUAGCAUCCACUUUUGAUUGGUCAAUAGAUAUACCAUCCUUCGACACCACAUAUCCAAAAAUAAUACUUUCUCUGUCAAGAAAAUACACUUGUUUACUGCUGUGUAUAAACUUGUUGCUCUUAAGGCUAAAAGCACUUCUCUCAAAUGUUGUAGAUGUAACUCGUGACUGGUGUUAUAUAUAAGUAUAUCAUCGAAGUAAACAACCACAAACUUUCCAAUGAAAGGGCGAAGAACUUGAUUCAUGACUCGCAUAAAAGUACUCGGAGCAUUGGAUAAGCCAAACGGCAUUACCAACCACUCUUAUAACCCUUCGCGAAUUUUAAAAGCUGUUUUCCAUUCAUCUCCAGGCCGUAUUCGAAUUUGAUGGUAGCCACUUUUCAAAUCAAGUUUGGUAAAAAUUGUUGCUCCACUGAGUUGAUCUAACAAGUCAUCUAAUCGAGGGAUUGGAAAACGAUAUCGAACUGUAAUUUUAUUGAUAGCUCGACUGUCCACGCACAUCCUCCAAGAACCAUCUUUUUUUGGAGUCAAUAAAGCAGGGAUUGCACAGGGACUAAGACUUUCACGGAUAAAUCUCUUUUCUAGUAACUCUUCCACUUGGCGCCUUAAUUCUUCAUGUUCUGUAGGACUCAUACGAUAAUGAGGUCGAUUUGGUAAUGUAGAACCUGGUACCAAAUCAAUUUGGUGUUGUAUAUCCCGAAGAGGUGGUAAACCCUGUGGUAGCUCAUUGGGGAACAAAUCUUGAAAUUCUGUCAGAAUAGGUGUCACAGCUUCAGGAAUCUUCGAAUCACUGUUACUCUAUUUUCCCAAUAAAAUGUAGACUCUCUUUGUCUCUGCUACAACAUCUAUAAAUUGUUUCUUGCCUAACAAAUAAUUACCCAAAUCUUGCUGGAGAGUAAACUCCUUGUUAGGUAGGAGAACGAUCUUGGUGUUGUUAAACAUAAAGUUGUAGGUGUUUCUCUUCCCAUCAUGCACUACGUUUCGAUCAUAUUGCCAAGGUCUACCCAGUAAUAGAUGACAAGCAUCCAUAGCCACAACAUCACACUAAAUUUUGUCUUUAUAAAUUGAACCAAUGGAUAAGGAAACUAAACAACGUUUUGAUACUGUCAUUUGAUUUCCCUUCUUCAGCCAUGUGAGCUUAUAUGAAGUUUGAUGAGGUUCUGUCUUUAAAUUUAGCUUUGUUAUGGCUUCUUCCGAAAUGACAUUCUCGCAAUUGCCUGAGUCUAUGACCAUACGACAUACUUUACCCCCAAUUGUGCAAGUAGUCUGAAAGAUAUUUUGUCGUAGCCACUUGUCUUUGUCUUGCCCUUUAGGAGUGAAGAAUGCACGGUUCACGAUCAACAUUGGUCCGCUAUCACCAUGUUCUUCAACAGAUUGAGCGCUACCACUACUAUCAAAAGUUGGCUCUACAGCGAACUCUUCAAUUUCUUCCUUCUGAUAGUCUUCGCUUUCCUCUGUGCCUACGAAUAAGCCUUUACCAUAUUUUCCUCCCUUUUUACAUUCUGUCAUUCGGUGCCCAUUUUCUCCGCAAUUAAAACAGCGUAAUCCCGAACCCGAGGAUUGAGUUUUGCUGCUUUGACCGAUUUCACUAGGUUUACUAGUUUUAUUUGGAGGAUUUGGAGGAGUGAAAUUACGAAAUUGGGAAGUCGGGUUUGAAUUAUCACAAACAACACUUCGAGCACCCUGAAAGCUUGAGUCAUUUGUACGUCGACUAAAUUGCUUCUCCAACUGCAAGGCUUGUUGGUGUGCCUCUGAAACAGAGUAUGGGUCAAAUAAAUUUAAUUGGUCUUGAAAUUGAGAUCGUAGGCCUCCAAUGUAGCAGGAAACCUGUUGUUCUUCUGUCUCUGUCAAGUCAUUGCGUGCCACCAACCAAUGAAAUUCUGUAGUGUAAUCAUCCACUGAUCGAUUACCUUGCCUUAAAUUCUGUAGCUGUUGGUAUAACAGUUUGGCGUAAUUAUGAGGAAAGAAUGCUCCACGCAAGUGCUUCUUGAACUUUUCCCAAGAAUCAAUCUUCUUUUUGCCUUGCCUAAUCCUUGUGAGCUUAGUUUGUUGCCACUAAGCUGCUGCUCUUCCACGAAAUCGAGUUGCAGCAAGCGAAACUAGUUUAUUUUCAGGAACUUCUUUGUAUUUGAAAACUUCCUCAAUGGCGUUAAUCCAAUCCAAUAAUUCUUCAGGUUGACCACUUCCUUGAAAUUCGGGAAUGUCAAUUCUCAACCCAGAUUCCCAUCUUCUGUCAUCAGUAGACUCAGUUCUAGGUCGACGCCCAAAGAAUGGGUUAGCAAAGCUUCCACUUGAUUUGUCUUCACGUUCUGGAGUACGAUGGUGUUCGUCAAGUAACUCUGUCAUUCGUGCCAUUUGUGCAGCUAGUAUAUCAAUUCUGGCUAUCAUACUAGCCAGGGCUUCAUCUUUAGAAACAUCUUCUUGAUUGUAAGUUGCAGUAUGAGCAUCACGAGCUUUUCUUGGAGGCAUCUUAUCAAAUUCGGGUUUAAAAAGGUAGUGGGGCUAAACUGAAAGUAAAUAAAAAUUUUAGGCCGAAACUGUAAUUAAGCAAAAGUUUUAGAUUUCUGAUGACGGUAGUCGGAAAUCGAGUAAGGAUGGGUGGAUCUGAAAGAUUUUGGGUUGGUAAGUAUGAUGGUGGUGGUGGUUUGUCCGAAAAAGUGGUGUUUUGGCCGGAAAUUGUAGAUAAAGCCGGCGGUUUUUGAGGGCUUCGGUUUCCGGUGGUUUGAGCGUCGAUCGGCGGUGAGGAAUGGUGGGAAAGGUUCAGUUGAUGGAGAGGAAUGGACUGAUGGUGAUACCGGGUUUUGGUUCUGAUACCAAAUUGAUGCAGCGGAAGUUUAAUGUUCAAAAUAUUCCGUUGAUUCUAGAGAAUACCGGAAUAAAAGAACAACUAAAUUCACGUUGAUUCAAAAGAAUAUCGUGAACUUAGGGGUUAAGACUCGUUGAUUCAGAAUACCGAGAAUUAAUUGUUCAAAUACUCACAAAGAGAUUUAAAAAUUGAAAUAUUAUUGAACUCAAAAUUCUACCUUCAAAUGCUACAAGAGGGAGCUAUUUAUAAUAGUAGUAAUUAUCCUAAUUCAUGAAAUAAAACAAAAUCCUAAAUUGAAAGGGAAACAAAAUUCUAAAUUAGAAAGGAAUUAAAAAGUCUUUAAACUUUAGUUAAUAAGGAAACUAAUCCUAGUAUAAUAUGGAUUCCUACUCUUCAUGAGCUAGUCUUGGAAUGACAGAGUACUUGUUCAAUACUUAUUACGACCAAAAUAAAAUUUUUUGAUUCGCCAUGUCUUUCAAAUUUGUAAUCAAAUGGCAGAUGUUUUAACUAAAUUUGUACUCUGUUGCUUUGAUUUUUAUGUUUGGCUCGAUCCCAGCCAAUUACUUUGUUAUUUUUUAUUGGUUAUUCGGAAAUAAAUGAAGUAUUAUUCAGAAAAAUAAUUACCUGCAAAAAUCGUACCCCAUUUUCAAUUAUUCGUAUCCAAAAUCUUACAAAAAGGUAAUAAUAUUCCGAAUUAAUUAAAAAAAAAUGAUGCAUAAGCAGGCAAGUCUACAAGAAACCGACCGAAAAGCGCAAAAGAAAAACAAAAGAAACACGUUCAUUCAAUUUAUCGCGAUACUAUAAAUGCUUAACAAAAUGUCAUAUCAAUUUCACCAUCAAAACUACGGUAAUUUCUUAUAUAGAUUAAAAAAAAUUAAAAGCAAAUAAAAACAAAAACAAAAAAGCAACAACUGUACUGCAACUUACCGCUCCCAAUUUUCCAAUGAAUAAAAUAAGAGUUAUUUUAAAAUACCUCUUCCGAGAUUUGAUAUAAUUUCAGUCGGAUGGUGAAAUUGAUUGUAUUCUCACUUAUCUUCUUUAUAGUUAUUAUACAUACACGUAUAAUGUUAGUAUUUGAAGGCAAAAAUAUAAAAGACAUGUUGAAAAUCUAAAAAAAAAAAGUAACAAUUAAAAAUGGUUUGAAAUUCAUUAGAUAAUUAUAUUAUCUAAUUACACUAAAUAUCAAUUGUGUAAAAGAGUGAAUUUUCUCUUUCUCCAGCACAAAAAAGUAAUGGAAAUGUCUUGCUCUCACAUCAAGAAUCAAAGCAUUUUCCACUCCACUCCCCUACUCUUAGUUGCUAGAACAAAAGCAAAUAAACACAAAGAGCAUAUAUAACCCAUGAAGAAGACAAGCAUGGGUGGUCGGAAAAGGCCACCGACCAGUGACGAUUGACGGCGAUCGGAAUAUGCCACUGGUAUUGGAGUUUGUAAGAGGUUAGUUACUUUAUCAAAGUCUAAAAUUUUUAAAUACCUUUAAUUUUCUUAUUUUUGGAGAUUUCAUAAGUAGUUGUUGAUUGGGUUUGAUUUUCUUGUUCAUUGGGUUGAUGGUGGAAAAAUUGAUUAAAAGGAGAAUGGGUUCAACAAUAUGUGGGCAUGAGUUGAAAAAAAAUUGUUAUUGGUUGUUUUUUGUUUGUGAUUUACACCAUAAAUAGUAUAAUAAAGUAUAUAAAGCCAAUAAUUUGUGAUUUUUAUGACAAAUAAGUAUGUAAAAUAGAAGUAGUCUUAGCUGUAAUUUUUAUUUUUUUUGGCCAAAGUUUGCUAAAGUUGAUCUGUUUAUAAAUUUGUAGUGUUUUUGUGCGCCCAACGCACAAACACAGUUUUUGUGUUUUUGAGAGACAGGGGCCUGUCCCCCGUGCGACAGACCCACGUUGCACGAACACAGUUUGUGUUUUUGGGCGACAACAUUGUCGCCUGUGUGACAGGCUUAUGUCAUCCGAAUUCAGUUUCUGUGUUUUUGGGCGACAAUGCUUGUCGUACAGGCGACAACCCCUGUCGCCCAAAAAACACAGUUUGUGCUUAAUAUUAAUUCAAAAUAAAAAUAGUAAACUGACACUCACACACACAUAAUUAAAACAUAUAUAUACAUUAUUAUUAUCACAAUUAUUAUUAAUAACUUUAUUAAAAUGUAUUACUAUUAUCAUUAUUUUUCUUUAUUAUUGUAAAUGUUGUUUUUGUUUUUUAGUAAUGUCAUUAUUAUUAUUAUUAUUAUUAUUAUUAUUAUUAUUAUUAUUAUUAUUAUUAUUAUUAUUAUUAUUAUUAUUAUUAUUAUUAUUCUUUUUCUUCUUCUUCUUCUUCUUAAUUAUUACUUUGUUUUCACUUAUUAAUGUCUGCAUAUUAAAAUAUGAUCGGGACGAAAUGCCAACUGAACCGUCUGUUGUUUCACUAGAACCUACAGCAGAAAUGGACUGAUUUGACUUAGCAAACGAGAAUAAGUUUGCUCUCCCUGAUUUGAAUGGUGAGGUUCACAUUGAGCAGGUGACAACAAUAGAAGCUUCUCUUGAGAGGAUGCCAGCAAAUGACGAUGGAGAUCGCUAUGCGGAUGAACCUACAGAAAAGGAUAUUGAAAAUGAUUUGCCUCACGCUGAUAGCGAAUGAGAAUUUAAUGAAGUUGUUGGCGCUGCGCUUGAAUUUUUGUAUAUUCUGUAUAAAUGUGAUACUAACGAACUCACAUUAUAGUGACAAUGCCAUGUAUAAAGUAUAACUCAACUAUCACAGUAUAUUGUUAGUGUAGUUGAUCUUUUUGUUCUUUUUGUGUAUAUGAGUGAUUGUUGGAUGUAUAGGUUGAUGAAAUUCAGUCAAUUUGUGACUAUCACCAACUGUAAGCUGCGGAAAUGCACAUGUCGCCGUAAUUUAAAUUAUGAUGUCGUUCUACUUAGUGUUAUUUUCUAAUUCAAUUAACUCAUACUAAUGUUUUUUUUUCCUUUUGGUACAAAUUUAAAUGUUUGUUAUUUGUGUUGUUGGUUUGGUGAUAUACAACUUGAUGGUUUGGAAUUUACUUAUUUCUUUAAACAACUAAAAUACUACUGGGUUAGUGGUGAUGGAAUCCUUUAAUGUAUUUUGGAGACUGGUAUAGUCUGUUGCUGAGAAAACUAAAUUAUAUUUUAGUGGUUUUGAUUUCACGCGACAGUUUCUGUCUCCCAAGAGACGAGCAUUCGUCACUCAAAAUUAGUUAAACAAGUUUUAUGUAAUUUGGUGAGACAGCCACCUGUCUCCCGGGAGAUGAGCAUUUGUCACUUAAAAUUACAGAAACAAGCUUUCUGUAAUUUGGGGAGACAGACACCUAUCGCCCAGGAGACAGUGCCUGUCACUUAAAAAGUAGGCGCGAUUGCGAUAGACCCUGUUGCGUGCGCGAUUUUACAGAAAUCCAAAAUAGCCUCUUAAGCUUGUUGUCGCAAACUUUUUGUGCUAGAUGAUGAGCUUACAAAACAGGACUUUGCAUGAAUGCACCAUCAACACCUUAAUCUACCUAAAAUGAGACAAAAAAACCCUAAUAGAUAUUUUGUCGAGCACCUUAUAUGCCAUUUAUUAACUACCAAUUUCAUUAAAUCAUUUUUAAUAUUUACUCGACAAUCAAUCCUAAUGCUCAUUUAUAAUCAUCUAUACACUCAUAUGUCAUCAAUAAAUCUUAGUAUAUGUUACUUUAAUUCAACUGAUAUUCCUGUUGAGAAAUUAUAAAAACAAAAAUUAUACGGUAGCCAACUUCCUUGCAUGAACAUGACCUUGAUUCAAUUUAUUGAAUAUACGUAUAUGUUACUUUAAUAUACUUUUUUUUUUAUAGUUUACAAAAUGUAGUGCUUAUUUUCUUUUGUAUACCAAAUAAUAGAUGUGUAUGUAGGUUGAAGCAAAUAUAAUUUUAUAAACUAACACUAUGUUGCAUCGUAUUUGGUAAAAUAUUUAAUGUUGACAUCUUAUGACAUUAUUAUUAAAUCUUCAAAAAAGAUUCUUCAUUGUAUUAAACAAUUUUCUAUAUAAUAUAAAUUAUGUAUUUCGUCAUAAUGGAAGCUGUUAAGAAAGAUUGUCUCAACUUUAUAUUAAGAAUUUGUAUUCAUAGCUAUAUAAUAUGAUCUAAACCUUAAACAUUAAAAUUGUUUCAUAACUUAGUUAUCAAUAAAAGAUUUAACAAUUUUUUAAUUAUAAAUCAUAAAUAUUAGCACAUUAUAAUACAAUAUUAAAAUAAACCUUAAAGUUAAUUUAUUAUCGUCACAUUAUAAAUCUAUAGAAUUAAUUUGAAUUAGUAAAAUUAUUAAGCCAAAGUUAGAAAGAUAUAUCAAAAUUGGCUGGAACUGCCUAUUAAAGUAACAUAUAUGUAUUUUAUAUGGAUACAUUAUGUAGCAAAAAAAAUGAAGAUUUUUGUAACAAACUUGGCAAAUAUCUAAAUUGCUAUGUUGAUACUAAAUAAUUAAUCGCUUUAAGAAUCCAUUUACUUUUGGUGUAAAUCAAAAGGAAGACGAUAGAUUCACGGAACUUCUGCCUCAAAAAAGCAAACGAUCCAAAUUGGAUAAAUAGUCAAUCAAUUAAUCAAACAAAGUCGUCUAAAUAUAAUGAGAACUUGACCUUUUGCUUUAUCUCAGCAACAAGUUGAGUGUUGUGUGACUUAAAAUUAAAAUAUUAAUCAAACUACAAAAUUAUAUCAUUUAAGAAAUUAUAUUUAGGUAUUUAUUUAAUUAAAGUUUUAGUUAGUCACCGAGUGACUCUUAAGUGAGAAUGUUAAUUCCUUGAGCAUCAUGUGACACUUUCUUUAAAGAUUUUUGAAUUGUUUGAUGGUUGUGAGAGUAAAAUUUAAAAUAAUAAAAAUAAAUGUAAUUAUCAUGUUAAUGGGACCACAUUUUAAUCAUUAACUCAUAUAAGAAUAUGAAUUCAAAUAUCAUGUGAAUGAAAUUUGGAAAAAAAAAAUAGAUUUGUUAACAUCACAGUUACAAGUUGACUUUAAAUUUUUAACGGGUCCAGCUACUAUACCCAUGAGGUUUGGUACCCCAUUCUUUUGUCUUUUUCAAAUCCAUCGUUGGAUUUAACUUGAGAGUUGUAUAAUGGUUAGAUGUGAUUAUUGGGUCAUUAACAUUAAAAACCCUUGUUGUUCAUGCAAAAUAAGAAAAAUCAAAAGUUUUAUAAUUAUGACAUAUAAGUCCACAAUAUUUAUUUUUUUACUCUAUUGAACUAGGUUUUCAAUUAAAUGACUUAUUCUUACAUUUAUUAAUAUCUAUUUAAAUUAAUAAAUUUACUUAUUAAUUAAUUAAUUAAUUAAUAUAUUAACUAAUUUAUUACAUAGUUAAACUAUGUAAAUUAUUUACUAACCAUAAUUGAUGAUAAAUAUAAAUAUGAUUUUUUUUUUUUAAUUUAACACGGCAACCAAUUUCCUUUCACCCGUGUGAGCAGAGUUCAAACCCCAUAUCUUUUUCUUUUUUUUUCUCAAACAAGAGAUUUUAUAUGUAAAGUAGAUGGAAUACACAAAAUACGAAAAUAAAUUUAAUUUCAUAUUCUAUGUAGGUAAUGUUUUGUUAUUUUUUUAUAACAUAAUAUUUAAUUAACAUACUAAAUUAUUUAAUUAUGUAGUAAAAAUAUUUUAAUUUACUAAUAAUAAUAAAGUGUUGUUUAUGAAUUUGUAAAAUCAUUUUUGUUUGUUUGAGCAAUGAGUUUUGUAUUUUUGAUUGAAUUUUUUUCCUAAAAUAAAAGGAGUAAAUUUAAUUGUAUACUUAAAUAAAUUUAAUUGAGUUUUUGUCCUGAAAAUCGUGGCUUCCAUAAGCAUUAAUGCAAUUAAAAAUUUGUAGGGGUAGGACUAAUAUGUGAAAAUUUAAAACUUUUUAACUUUUUUGUUUUUAGAAUAAAUUACAGGACUCUAUUAUAAUUGACCUUAAGAAAAAGACAAAAAGGUGUACCAAACCCUAGUUGCAAAGUAGUUUUGCCCCCAACAUUAACAUUUGAAGUUUAUGCUUUAAUAAAAUUGUGUAAAUUCGAUAACAAAAACAUUAAAUUCAAAUAAAAGUAAAAUUUACAUGUUGUUCAGCUAGUCUUGGAAUGAUAGAGUACUGGUAUAGAAUUAUGAUGUUCAAUACUUAUUACGACCAAAAUAAAUUUUUUUGAUUCGCCAUGUCUUUCAGAUUUGUAAUCAAAUGGCAGAUGUUUUAUCAAAAUUUGUAUUCUGAUGCUUUGAUUUUUAUGUUUGGCUAGAUCCCAGGCAAUUACUUUGUUAUUUUUUAUUGGUUAUUUGGAAAUAAAUGAAGUCUAUUAUUCAGGAAAAUAAUUACCUGCAAAAAUCGUACUCCAUUUUCAAUUAUUCGUAUCCAAAAUCUUACAAAAAGGUAAAAUAUUCUGAAGUAAUUAAAAAACGACACGUAAGCAGACAAGUCCACACGAAACCUACCUAAAAGCGCAAAACAAAAAAUAGAAAGAAAAAGAAACACGUUCAUUUAAUUUAUCGCGAUACGAUAAAUGCUUAACAAAAUGUCAUAUCAAUUUCACCAUCAAAACUACGGUAUUUUCUUAUAUAUAUUAAAGAUUUUUUUUUAAAGCAAAUAAAAACAAAAAAAAAAGCAACAAUUUCCCAAUGAAUAAAAUAAAUAUAAAGGACUCGUGCAUGCCUACCAUUUCCCUCCUGUUUUUGUCACCCGCCUCCUCCUCAUCUCGCCACCUGUUUCCCCCACUACACCCCCCAAAACGUCACCGUUUCAUUCUCACUCCUUCCUCACACCCCUCCUUUUCCCCACAUUCCUUCGUUUCAUAUCAACUCAAAAAUUCAUUCUUUCAACAUUAAUAAUAAUAAUUUUAUUGAAAUAAAUCAAUCAAAAAGGUAACCCCAAAUAUCUCCUCCAGCUUUUUGCUGCUUCUUAAUUUUGAUCGACUAUGACGAUGUACUAAAGCUUCAAUUUUUUUCGGUUUUUUCAGUCAACGCUUUUGCUUCAAGAUUUCGUUUUACCUUCCUUGAAAAUUAAAGCUCACCUAAUUGAUACGAUUAAAGUUCUUUUUUUAGCUGAAGAUUGAUACAAUUUUCACUUCAUUUUUUUUCUUAACUUUGUAUCCGGAUUUGCUACUUUUGUUUAAAGUUUUUUAUUUUUUUAUAUUUUUCUGUGGAGCUAAGCAUGACUUUGGUUACAGCUUUAUAUUAUUUUAACAUAUAAUUAGACUAAUUUAUUUAUUUGUGGAUUUAUUAUUUUUUAAAUAUGGUUUGAGACUUCUGAUGUUUCAAUAUUUAUUGCACACGUGUAGUGCAGUGGCUUUAAUGAAUGUGGUAUUGUAAAGUUUAAAGCUUUUUGCAUGUGAAUGAGUUGGUGUGUACUCUUCCAUUGAUGUUUAGAUUCAUGUAUGUGGUGAUCUCUGAUCUGGGUACACGUUAGAUUUUAAUUUUAUGGCAUGGUUCAUUUGACCAAAUUUUAUUGUUACUUGAACUGAUGAACACGAAUUUUGAAGUGAAUACGUGUGUUUGAUUGACUGGAUUUUGUAAGAUUCCUUUGUAGAAGUAUUUUAAUCCCACGAAGAGUAUGAUUCAGCAAAUAGCUUUGGGAAUGGUAUUGAUUCUAUUCUUGCUUGUUUAUUCAUAUAAUAACUUUGAUGCAACCUUCAGAUUCCUUUUGAACCAUGUAGUUAUAUAUUUGGAUUAGUUUAUAGCAUAUCAACUGUUGAUUGUUGCAUUUAGAUGUUUUUUGUUACUUCCGCUCUUGAUUGCUUAUUAUAUGUCAGUUAAAGAGCAAACAUUAUACAAGUUCUUGAUUGAUUAGUGCUCUUUCGUAUAACGGGUUCGUGACUGAUGUUCACUUUCUUAUUUGACUUUGUUUAUGCAGUUCUUGUAGCGAGAUUGUGUAAUUUGAAUAUUCAGAUACUUCCGUAGCUGAUGGCUUCGCCAGAUAUUGAGCCUCCCUGGAUUUGUGCCGCUGGCGAAUCCUUCUGUGGGUCAUUUAAUAUACGCGUGGAGGAGGGGAAUGCAGCCGAUUUUUUACAUGUGCUGGAAGUUCCCACCUCUUCUGUACCCUAUAACUGUAGUAUACCCAAGCCACCCCCUCUCCCAUGUCUAUUAACUCACCAGUAUACCGGAAUGAGCUGGGAUACAGGACUUACGCAACGAAGAUCACAGAAAAACCCGACGUGUACAGUUUCGGAGUGUUACACUGGAAGUGAUCAAGGGGAUACAAGAGAUUUUCUUUCCUCAGUUUCGUCUUCAUCUUCCAACAUGAACAUGCACGAGUAGCUGCUCUGCUAUAUCUAUUGGUUGCCUUCAUUACUCAUUGUUGCACAAGCUAAUCGUACACAUCAUGCUAUGUACGCCUCAAUUCGGAACAAAAGAAUGCUAGUUGAAGACACACAACUCAAAAAAGAAAAAUUUAGUUCGCAGAUGGCCACAAAAGACUAGCUACGUUUUUGUCCAAAAAAAAAAAACAAAAGAAAUAAACUGUAGUUCCAUGACCCACUUUCAAAACUAUCAUUGAUAUAGAACCAUUAGUUCCAUCUCUCGCCUAAAGCUUCGGGAGAUAUGGUAAAAAAUCUCCUUAUCGCCAUAGUUUUGCUACAAAAGCCAAUAGAAUUAAUGAUCCUUAUAAAUUAUGAAUUACAUCCUAAUCUAGUUGCAUUAUUUUGGAUUUAAAAAAAAAUCUUGCUUUGAUCAUCAUACCGAUUGGAAAUAUCAAAUUCUAAGGCUCGUCAUUAAUUGGGACAAAAUUUUAAUUACAUCUCAACUUUGUAAAUAGAAGUACUUAUCAUUGAAAUAUAAUUAAAGUAGCAAGAGGCCGUUUGAAGUGUAAAAUGAAAAGGAGAGAGAAGGGUAGCUAUAGAUGGAUAAGAUAUGGGUCAGAAGGAGUCAAAAUUUGAUAAAACCUUUUGGGAUUGUAUCUAACAACAUUUUUUUUCCCGGUUGGAUCUCAGUGUUUAUACAAAAGCAAAGAUUUGGAUGACUAAAAUGUGACGCUAUACUUAUAAAGUAGAGAUAUAGAGUUUAUCACCAGUGUAACAUAUACAUGGUCUUUACACAAUUCACCAUGUGACAGAUGAUAAGGUAAAUUAUCAAUUAAAAACAUGACAGUUUGUAGUAAUGUUAGAUCAUAUGAUAUGCUUAUUGAGUUAAUGGUCAUGUUCGGUCCAAUUGAAUAAGUCUAAAGUAUUAGUAAAGUUGAAUAAGUCUAAUUUAGUUGAGAUAUUAUCAACUUAGUUUGUCAAGUAUCCAGUUCCUGAUUUGUUGGGAUUAUUUUGUUUCAUUCCUGUUUAUGUGUUUGUCUGGCUUGUAUAAAUAAGCCAUUGUUGAAUGAUGAAGGCAUGAAUCAUUUUAUCAAAGAAAUACUUGUGUUACAUCUUGGAGGGAUUGGCUUCCUCGAAUUAGCCAACUGUUAACGUUACCAAGUGCAAGGGCAAGAUAGGAAGAGACAAGCAGAAUAAAAAUAGCUUGCCUGUAUCAUCAUAUGUCACACUAGUUGAGAUUGAAAUUAAAAAUUAAGAAGUCCUAUACUCAAAGUGGUUCUAACACAUUGUAGAUGCAAUUCAAUGCUUGAAUGGAUAUUUGCGAGGGAAUAUGAUCCUCUCCUAAUAUGAGCACUACUAAGCUUUUAAACAAUGUAAGAACUUGUUUUCUCCAGAUUAAGAAAUUAGAUCGAUCUAGUUUUAUUGGAUUACUAAAUGAGAAUGAGAUCUGUGAGGAUUGAUUUGCAUUUGUUGAAUUUGAAAGUGUUGUUGUGUUGCUGGAACUAGCCAUACUGGCUCUGAUACCAUGAAAGAAAUUAAGAAAAUUGUUGUUUGGUUGCUGAGAAAAUAUCUCAGAAAAUUUCCAGAGAACUUCCAGAAUACCUGUAUUUAUUUUUCUUAAAUGGAAAUGUUAUAAUUACAACUUAUUUAUACUUGAUGCUUAAGCAUUACUAGAGCUAAUGAUUAACUGAUUCAGAAGAAUCUACACAUGCUCAACUACAGCUCGAUAUACAGAGUAAACAUAACAAACUCUCAACUACUUGAGCUGAGGUGGCAGCUGAGCUGUCAUUCUGCUCAUACUCAUCUGACGCCACCAGCUUGCUGGUUUUCCUUAGCUUGAGCACCUUCCUCUUUUCUGCACAGUGAGCUUCUCUAACAGUUACCAAGUCCAAGUGGUUCUAACACAUUGUAGAUGCAAUUCAAUGCUUGAAUGGAUAUUUAUGAGGGAAUAUGAUCUUCUCCUUAUUUGAACUCUACUAAGCUUUUAAACAAGGUUUACUCGACAUCGAAACAUUGUGAAGUUUUAUGGAUUUUGCUCACAUGCCCGACACUCUUUUAUGGUCUAUGAAUUUCUUGAAAGGGGUAGCCCAUGUCUUACUUGCACCAUGACUGCUUUCCUCCGAUUGUCCAUCGAGACAUAUCAAGUAAGAACUUGUUGCUGGAUUUGGAAUAUGAAGCUCAUGUUGCAGACUUUGGAAUUGCUAAGUUUCUGAAGCCGGACUCGUCCAACCGGUCUGAAUUCGCAGGCACAUACGGACACGUUGCACCAGGUAUUUAGUAUUCGCUUGUUGCCAAUUUGAGGAAUAUUUUUAUGUUAUGGGUGUGGUAUCAGGACAAUGUACCUAGAUAUUGUUGAAAAAAAUUAUGUAGUACAUUCAGUAGACUAGUUUAUGCACAUUUAUCUUAGAAACAGAGUUUGCUUACACAAUGAAGAUCACAGAGAAAUGCGAUGUGUACAGUUUUGGAGUGUUAGUGUUGGAAGUGAUCAAAGGGAAGCAUCCAAGAGAUUUUCUUUCUUCGAUUUCAUCUUCAUCUCUCAACACGGAUACAGCACUUGAUGAAAUGUUUGACCCGCGUCUUCCAGCUCCAUCAUGCAGUGUUCAAGAAAAACUGAGAUCAAUCGUGGAGGUUGCGUUUUCAUGCUUAGAUGGGAAUCCAGAAUCGUGACCAACCACGCAGACAGUCAGUCAAUUACGAAUAAUCUAAUAAUUACGAACAAUCCCAAGGGGUUGGAGACUAAGAUUUAAGGUGAACUGCCACGGAGGAGUCAGAAUCAAUCACUAAAAUAAUUGCCAUAACCUCAGCAUAGUAAUAAUUAAAAAAUAAUUUCUUGCGCAUGUACAAAGAGGUGAACCCCUCGAAUGUAAACUUGAAAGUGUUCACAACUGGAUUAAUUAAUGGACAAUUCAUAGUUAUUGUUAAUGUUAAAAGAAAGGAAUAGAUUGGGGAAAAAAAAUUAAGGAUAAUUCACAAUUAAUGUAGUCCUUGUGAUUUAAGGAAAAAUCAAGUAAGCCAGUAAUAAUUAGUACUAUUUUUCAAAUAAGUCCUCUGACCGUGUUUGACCAUUCACCGUACUGCAAAGUAAGCGAAAAAAUCGACUUCUUAGCAGCCCACUUCUAUGAUGCGAUUAAUUUCAUCCAUUCGCUGAUUCGCGUGCUGGUAGUUAGGCAAGUUUAUUUGUUGGCUGGAGAAAUUUGAUGAUUUCGGUACCAAAUAUAUACAUAUGUGUGUGUGUGUGUUUUUCCUUUAAUUUGUGAAUUUGGUAUUACUUCUGAUCAGGUGUGCGAAACAGAAACAACGGCAUUUAUUACAGAAUAUUUCUAAUUUGCAGUAUGGAAAGCUUGGAGAUGCUAAAUCUCUCCCAAAAUAACCUGUCAGGUUCAAUUCUAAGUAAUUUUGAAGAAAUGCAUGGCUUGUCGUUGGUUGAUGCAUCUCCUACAUUGAAUUACAGGGCCCAAUUCCAGUUGUAUAUUUAAUAACCAAUUUUAUUUAAACUUUAAACUUGUAUAUUUAACAAUUCUCCACAUGUCAAUCAUUUAAACUUGUACAUUUAUAACCAAUUUUCUAUGUUAUUUAUUAUGGUAUUAAUAACCAAUUUUAUUUUUAAAAUUAUAAUUAUUUACAAUUUUUUUUAUGUGUAGAUGUCUUUUUUAAAAAUUGGUUAUUGAUAAAAAUUUAAAUAGAGGAAUGAGACAAUGAUGAUAUAUUUAUAAUUUUAUUAACAAUAUAUGGACAAAUUGGAUAAUCUAAUAAUUUUUUUCAUAUGUUAGAAGGGUAUAAUGGUAAUUACAUACUAAAUUAUAAUUAAUGGGGAUGUAAAUAAUUUUUUUGAAAUAUUAGGGGGUUUUUGUCAUUUUGCCUAAACGUUAAGGGUACGUUUGUCCUUUUCCCUGUAUAAAGCAAAGAUUCGAUGACUAAAACAUGACGCUACUUAUAUAAUAUAGAGAUAGGCCAAUGCUAAGUUACAUUCAUGUAAUUUAGGGGGAUCCAUAGAGAUAUAGAUUUAUGGGUUCUGAUCUAGUGGGUCACGCGUGAAGGCCCACGUGUCCAUAAGAUGAGCGAUGGUGUCUACCAGAUUAGUUCUCUGGAGUUUAGAUCACUUCUCAAUUGCUCUUUUGCAUCCGCUGUAAUUGUUUUCUGCAACGUCGUUAAAUUAUAUACGAGUGUUUGAAAACCUUUGCAAUUUCAAUCAACUUUUGUAUUACCUUAAUUGUUUUGUUUUCUUAAUAUCAAUGGUGUCACUAACCUUGAAUAGAGUAUCUUUUACUGUUUUGUUCAUCCUAUUUUAUACGUGUUUAAUUUUUUACUUACUGUUUGUAUUAGAAUUUUUAUGUAAUUUGAUAACAUUACCUUAAAAGAAAAACCCGGGGAUGAAAUCUAACACUUACUAAUUAAUUUAAUUUUGUUUCAUAAUAAUAAACUAAAUUAAUUUUUUUUAAUAAUUUGAUAACCUUACCUUAAAAGAAAAACCUUCAUAUGAAUUAUAACGCUCACUGUGGCAUGGACAUGGACCCUUUCUUUUUUUUUUCUUUUUUUCUUUUUUUUUGGGGUCCAAUCCAAAGCUUGUCCUAUGUUUGGCAAGGUUUUAUAUAAUGAGAGAGGGAUAAAUAGAGACAAGCAUAUCCAUUGGAACCAUACCUCUAACAGGAUAAGUUGGGAAAAGCAAUCGAUAAUUUUAACUAAUUUAUUAAAAUUAUUUCAAAAAAAAAGUUGAGGGUGGGACAAAAUCCAAAUUUAUUUUUUAUCCCUUACCUCCCCAUGAUACUAUUCAGUCAGGCCCCUGAGGAAAAUUAAGUUAAUUGUUACUAAGAUAAAAAUAUUAUAGGUAAAUCAACUUUUUUCUAAUUGAAUUAUUUAAUGAUACAUAUAUUACAUAAAUUAAAAAAUUAUAGAAAUUUUUAUUUUUAUUUAAUUAAAUUCCACUCACAUUGAUUCAAAUAAUAAGCAGUAACAAAAAUUUUUUGUUAAUAAUAAUAUAAAAUAUGUUAUUGGCAAUAAUAAAAAACUGUAUUACAAAUAAUAAUACAGUUAAAUAUCUUGUAAUUUAGAUGUAUAUUUUUAUUAUUUAUUUCAUGUGGGAAUCCUCCUUGUUUUUCAGCUUCAAGUUCGUUUGAUUUAUUUAGUCUCAUGUAGCAGUGGUUGAUAAUUGUGUAGGUUAUUACGACUUCCAUACUAGAUACAGUAUAUGGUGUUCUCUUCCUUUUACAACGUGGUUCUUGUUGUAAUAACUAAUGAUUAGUAUUUUCCAGAUAAGUUCUCUGACCGUUUUUAAUCAUUAACUAACAAUUCAUAUUUUUAACGUUUAUUAAGAAUUUUAGGUUUGUCUAUAAAUAAAUGAAAGGAAUUAAUAACAAAUUCAAAGAAGGAUGAAGGAUUUUGGUAGAGUUAGGACGUAAACGAAAAUAUAAACAAUUAAUUGUGGCAUUAAGUAUGAGAAAAACUCAAUCUAGACUACUCAUAUUUUGAUAUAUCAUUUGCCAUUAGAUCUUUAAAAGUCUAAUAAACUUAGGGUUACAAAUCCUUUUUUUUUCUAUCGUGCUCGAGUUCUACAGUACAUUGGGGAAGUCCUAGAAAAUUGAUCAAGGCAACCUGGCUACAACUGAUAGAAAGGAAACGUUUAAAGUGGCUUGAUUAAUUUACAAGAACCCGGUUAGCGAGUCCAUGGUUUCUCUAGGAAGCCUCAGUCGGCUUGCGUUACCACAAUUAAUAGAAGCAUAAAAAAUAGCUUGAUGUAACAAAGAUUUGUGCGUUCUUUUAAAUUCAGCAUUUGAGUUCGUUAUGAUGAAGUUUCUGAGUUUCUUAAUCACCUAGAUAACAUCCUUUAUUGGCGGAGUCAAGUAUAAAAGGUGCUGAUGGGCAGGUGUGUCAAAGCAGAGUGAUUUGUGAUUAUCACACCAGUGAUCUUUACUAGCUCUGAGUGAAAAGAUCAUCCUUGUAAUCUUGUUAAUACUCUCUAUAUACAAUAACUGUACUCUCUUCUGAAAUCGAUUAAUCAAAUUUGUCUUUCACCUUGCACAGCUUGCUUAAACAUACUGAAUAUUUGCCUUCCUUUUUCCUUCAGCGUAAUUUGCAUGACAAUAUUGAAAUUUGAUAUAAUUAAUAAAAGUUUUAUAGUCUUGAGCAUAGUUUUAUUGUCAAAGUAUAAAUUUAUUCUUUGCUUUUUACGCUUAAUUCUUCAUGACUUUCUCUCAAAUAAGCAAAUUAAUUUGCAAAUUAUGCUCAAAGAGUUGUAUCCAUUUUUUUAAUGUUAAUUAUAAGCAUUCCCUCUAAAUGAAAAUGAUCAAACUGUUACAUGGUCCAAAUUAGAAUUACGGUCACAAUGUUAGUAUACCGGAAAUCUGGCUAGGAUCGAGAAAUAAAACUUAGUUUUGUUUGUUAAGCUGGUUGAUAUGAAUAUGAAAAGAUAUUGUAAUUCAACUUUUAAAGUCUCUUUAAUUUGUCUCGAACAUUUUGAUAACUUAAACAAAGUAUGUACAUUUGAUGACAAAAAAAGAAGGGUAUUGGAAAAGCCAACCCCAAAAUAUUUAGUCUUUCCGUUCUUUCUCUGGCAUAAUUUUCGAGGAGACAAAAUGCCCAGCAAACAAGUUAAUUUGAUCCGUUAGGAUCGAAAGAAACGUUAAUUAGUCAAUUCGUCCAUUAAUCUUGGUCACAAAUGUUUAUUCUAUGUUCUGGGACGACUUUCCAUGGACUUCAAUUGUAGUUCGAAGGAGAAUGUAUAUCAAUACAAAUAUUUUUUUAACAGAACUGCAUGCAACAAGUGAACCUUUUGUUUGGAUAAUUUUAAUAUCCUAGAUGUCGGGUUCCUCUAUGAUACUGUAAUUUUUUUACAGCAUCAAUAAUGUUUUUAAUUGUGUACCAUUGGAUUUAAUCAAUGGUACACAAAAUUUAUAGGUAAAAAAAAAUAAUAAUAAUGGUAAAUGGUUAACAAACGUGCAAGGGGUGGAGAAAUUUGUAAAAUAACUGUAACCACCCUUAGAGUUUGAAAUAAUUGCACUUAAAUAGCAUAUUUUAUUUAAAAUUAUUUUUCAAUCCCCCUUUAAAUUUAAAAUGUGAUAAUCUUUUUUAAAUAAAUCUUCCAAAAUCUAUUACCAUUAAGUAUAAAAUAUAAUGGUAGGUUAUUUAACACAAAUCAAAUAAAUAAGUUGCAAUUACAAAAUUUAUAUAUGAUAUAACACUAAUAAAUAACACAACUAAAUACAUAUACUUAAGUAAAUGUCAUAGUUACAUCAAUAAACUCAUUGUUGAGAUUGCUUGUAACAUAAAAAUUACUUGAUAACAUAUGUUUUAAUAAAAUUUAAUAUCAUAUAUUAAAAUACUCAUUAUUUUAUAUAAUAUUAAGGGUCAUUGUAUAAUUGAUCAUGAAGUAUGUAUUAUUUUUAAUACCCAUUUAACAUACUUAUUUUCUUAACUUUAUAUUUAUCUUAUAGUUAAUAUCCUUACAUGGUAGGAGUUUUGAGUUUUAUAAGCUUAUAUAUUUUCUUUUUAUUUUCAAAUAUCACUUUGUUAAUUUCAUAAAAGUUAAAUCGAAUAUAUAUUCCUAAUGAGCUUUAGUUUAUGAAUCGUGAAAGAUUAUUUUAUUGAUAUCCUUUGAUUGUAAUUAUAAAAUUUUAUGUUAUGAAGAGUAAUUACUUUUGUUAUGAUAGUUAAUAGUGACAAUAAAUAAAAUAUUGCCUUCAAUAAUAUUUAUGUGGGAAAAAAAGUGAAAGAAAAUAAUUUAUAUUUUUAGAUUUUUAUUAACAUGGUAGGAAAUUAUCUCAGCCUUAUAAAAUUUAACAUUCACAAGCUUAUUUUCAUUUUAUUUUCAAAUGUCACUUUGUUAAUUUCAUAAAAGUUAAAUCUAACACAUAUUCCUAAUUAACUUUAGUUUAUGAAUCAUGAAAGAUUAUUUUAUUGUUAUUCUUUGAUAGUAAUUAUAAAAUUUAUAUGCUACGAAGAGUCAUUACUUUUAUUAUGAUAAUUAAUAGUGACAAUAAAUAAAUUAUUACAUCAAAUAAUAUUUAAUGGACAAAAUGAGGAAAAAAAUCAUUGUAUAUUUUUAUAUUUCCAUUAUAAAGAUAUGGUUUGUGAUACUUUAACUUAAAAUUUUGGCACAAUAUUUGAGCCACUAAUAUCUCAUAGUCUAAUGGUUGAUAUUGAAAGUGAAAACACCAUUUCAUAAUGUUAUAUCCUCCACCAUUGAAUUGCAUGAAAUAAAUAGUUUAAUUUUUUGAUAAAAAUUUAAAUCAAAAUAUUUCUCACUCUAUAGUUAUAUAGACAUAUAUAUUUUUCAAUAAUAAUUGGUGAAUAAAAUAUUUCUCAUUUGCUUUGACUCGUAUAGUCUUAUUAAUAAAACACAUAUAAAAUAGUUUAUUACAAUACUUUCUAUUAUCAUUAUUGUUUGGGUUCCUCUAUGAUGCUGUAAUUUUUUUACAGCAUCAAUAAUGUGAUGUCUUUGAAAACUUUUGCCUUAACCAAUAAAACUCUUCCCUACUUGAUCAGGUUUUGACUCAUACGCCUCUCAAAUGCUUGUUUAGAAAAAAGCUUGUGGGCACGAUCCCCAUACCCCUAGAAACACUCCACACGUUCAAAAUAUAAAAGGUAUAUGAGGAGGAAACGAUAGGAGAGCAAGGCAAAAAAAAAAAAAAAAAAACUAAUUCAAAACAAAGUCAAUACCUUUACAAGAUUUCUACAUCUUUGCUAACUUAAGCAUCGGAGUUGAAUUCGGAAAUCUCAUUUUCCAAUUGUCCCAUUUCACAUUUUGGUUUAUUAUGUGUGCAAAUGACUUCCAUCUACCGCACUUGGUUCAGUUCACAUAGAGAAGAAAUAAGUAUUAACAAUCACAUAUAUUUUUUUAUUACAUUUCCGAUAUGCUUUUCAUGUCCUUGCAUUAUAUAAAUAAAAAAAAAAAGGAGAAAGAGAGAGAGAAUUGAAGAAUCUUCCCGGAAAAACAAUAACGUCAAUUCAAUCCCAGAAAUUAUGCAAUUCACGGUAAGCUAAUCCGCCUUUACAAAGCUUGAAAACGUACGUGCCCAGAAUUUUUAUUAUAAUUUUUUAUUGCUAUUUAAAUUAGGUAGUUGCGCUUGCGCAUGCGAACUUGAAAAUGACAUAUGCAAUUUUAUGAGCUGGCAUUGAUUACAUUGUAAACCAUGCAUGCGAUCUUCNNNNNNNNNNNNNNNNNNNNNNNNNNNNNNNNNNNNNNNNNNNNNNNNNNNNNNNNNNNNNNNNNNNNNNNNNNNNNNNNNNNNNNNNNNNNNNNNNNNNNNNNNNNNNNNNNNNNNNNNNNNNNNNNNNNNNNNNNNNNNNNNNNNNNNNNNNNNNNNNNNNNNNNNNNNNNNNNNNNNNNNNNNNNNNNNNNNNNNNNNNNNNNNNNNNNNNNNNNNNNNNNNNNNNNNNNNNNNNNNNNNNNNNNNNNNNNNNNNNNNNNNNNNNNNNNNNNNNNNNNNNNNNNNNNNNNNNNNNNNNNNNNNNNNNNNNNNNNNNNNNNNNNNNNNNNNNNNNNNNNNNNNNNNNNNNNNNNNNNNNNNNNNNNNNNNNNNNNNNNNNNNNNNNNNNNNNNNNNNNNNNNNNNNNNNNNNNNNNNNNNNNNNNNNNNNNNNNNNNNNNNNNNNNNNNNNNNNNNNNNNNNNNNNNNNNNNNNNNNNNNNNNNNNNNNNNNNNNNNNNNNNNNNNNNNNNNNNNNNNNNNNNNNNNNNNNNNUUAAUUUAAAGAGAACUUUACAUGGAGUGAUUUAAUUCAUAUAAAACUGAGCUAACAUACUUUUUUUUUUUUUUUGCUAAAAUUUUUUUAGUAAUGACGUCUGAACUAACGAAAAUUUUCGCUUACAUAUUCAAGUGAAAAAAAUAAAACGUCAUCUUACUGUUUAUUUGAUGAAAACCAAAUGGUUAAAGUGACUUGAUUUACAAGAACCCGAUUAGCGAGCCCAUGCUUUGCGUAGGUAGCCUCAGUAGCCCUGCGUUGUGAUAAUUAAUAGAAGCAUCAAAAAUAAAAUUUGUUUUGAUGUAACAAAGAUUUGUACUUACUAAAUUCAGCAUUUCAGUUCGUUAUGGUGAAGUUUCUGAGUUUCUUAAUCAAGUAAAAUAGCAUCCUUUAUUAGCCGAGUCAAGUAUAAAAUGCUGAUGGGCAGAUGCCAAAGCAGAGUGAUUUGAGAUUAUCACACCAGUGAUCUUUGCUAGCUCUGAGUGCAAAGAUAAUGUUUGUAAUCUUGUUAAUACUCUGUAUAAAUAAUACUCUCUUCUGGAAAUCCGUUGAUCAUAUUUGUCUUUCACCUUGCAGAACUUGCUCACACAAUGAAGAUUACUGCAUAUUUGUGAUUUCCUUUUUCCAAGGAAAUUAUUAUGACAGUAUUGAGAUUUGAAAUGAUUGUUUGCAAAUUUUCUAGUUUAAAAUUAAGUAUGGAUUUAUUACCACAGUAUGUUUAUUCUUUGCUUUAUGCUUAAUUCAUCUUGACUUGCUUACAGAUAAGUAAAUUAAUUUGAAAAUUAAGCUCGAAGUGUUAAUCCAUUCUUCCAAUAUUAAUUACAAGCAUUCAAUAGGAUGAAACUGUUACAAGGUGCAAAUCAAAAUUAUGUUAACAAUGUUAGUAAAUUUGAAAGCUAGCUAGUCUCUACAAAUUCAAUAUAGUCUUGUGUAUUAAAUUGGUGGAUACGAAGGUGAAUAGAAAUUAUAAUUCAAUAUUUAAAGUCUCUCUGUCUCACUCAUUUUAAUAUCUUAACAAUGUACAUUUGAUGACAAAAAAGAAGAGUAUAGAUAAGCCAACCCCAAAAUAUUUAGAAUUUCCAUUCUCUCUCUGCCGUAAUUUUCGGGGAAGCGAAUGCCCAGUGAACAAAAGUUUGAUCAAUCAGUGAUUGGAUCCAAAGAUACGUUAAUUAGUCAAGCCUUUCCAUUCAUUUUGAUCACAAAUGUUUAUCCUAUUUUGUGGGACGACUUGCCAUGGACUUUAAUUGUAGUUGGAAGGGGAGUGGCUAUCAAUACAAAGAUUAUUUUGACGGAGUCAGAAUUGCAUGCAACAAGUGAACGUUUUGUUUGGGCAAUUUUAAAAUCGUAGAUGUCUUUUAAGACUUUUGCCUUAAGCAACGGGGAAAACUCUUCCCUACUUGAUCAGGCAUCGACUCAUACACCUCUCAAUUGCUAGUCUGGAUUCUAUAUAAUUUUGGCUCGCGUGGAAAAAGCUACUCGUGGAUUCCACCUAAUAACUCCAAUGAUUUUUCCUGAAAUUAAAACCAUAAUCUUUAGCCUUUAACCAUUUAGACUUUGGGCACGGACGAACGGUGUGUUAUGUAGUUCAUAGUUGAAGUGAAAACGGUCUAAAUUUUAGCCAACACUCGGUUUAUGAAAACAUAUAUAGUUGUGAUCAAGAUUAAUGGACAAAUUGGUUAAGGCUUUUUGGAUCAUAAACAAACUUGUGUACUGGGCGUGCCAUUCAAAGAAAGGAAAAAUAUUGACCGUACCGCGCCGGGUGUUAGUUGCUAGGCAAGUUCAAUUGUUGGCAUUAGAAAUUUGAUUUUUGUUGAACUACUUUUGUGGAGGAAAGAAAAAAAAAAAAAAAGCUCUCUGCCCACUGCAGAACUGAUGUAAAUCUAAACAGGUUUAGGGUUUAUUAAAUCAUAUACUUGGGUGAGAUUCCAAAAGAACUUUGAAAGUUAAAUGAUCUAACGAAACUCAUUUUUUGGGGGUAAAGGAAUCAACUUACAGGACAUAUACUCCAGAAAUUAGAUUACUUAUUAGUUGAACUUACGUACCUCUGCAAAUGGAUUUAACGUCAACGUACUCAAUCCCAAAAAGUCUAACAACGCUUGAAAACGUGCUGAGAAUUUGUAAGAUUCAACACCGAGUGGACUGACUCCAUCAGUUGCCCCACAAAAGUUAAUGCAGUCCGCAAUAGUUGUACGCCAAAGCAUUAUAAUUUUUCUACUGCCAUUUAAAUUGGCUAGUUGCGAAUGAGAACUCGAAAAUGACAUACGUAAUUUUAUGAGCCACCAAUAAUAAUGGAGGCUCUUAUGUUGAGUUUUAUUACAGUCUCUGAAUUCUAACCUUUUUUCUUUAAUUUUUUUAAAUUCCUGUACGCUGGUGGCGUAUGUAUUAUACAAUCUGAGUAUAUCGAUUGGGAGUCUGAUUCAUACAUAUGAAACAUUCAGUGACAGAAUAAAUUCAAAUUAGACUCGGACCACACCAUUUUAUCCUGAGGCCACACUCUUAUAAGGUAAAAUCAAUAAUUUUUAUAUCAAGAAGUGACAUAAAAUUUGUUUCCCAACUUUUUACAUAUAUUAUUUAUUGAAGGAGAAUUUUACGUGAAGUGAUUUAAUUUGUAUAAAAAUGAGCUAACUUACUGCUUUUUCUUUUUUUUUUUGCUAUAUAAGUAAUAACGUCUGCACUAAUGAAAAGUUUCAAUUAGACAUACAAGUUACAACGUAGUAUGCUGGUGAUUAAAAAAUAAACAAAUAAAUAAAACAUCAUCUUACUGUUUAGUUCAUGGAAACCAAAUGUUUAAAGUAACUUGAUUUACAAUUAAUAGAAGCCUCAGUAGCCUUGCGUUAUCACAUCACAAUUAAUAGAAGCAUCAAAAUUAGCUUUUGAUAUAAUAAAGAUUUGUACUUCUAAAUUCAGCAUUUGAGUUCGUUACGAUGAAGUUUCUGAGUUUCUUAAUGAACUAAAAUAACAUCCUUUAUUAGCCGAGUCAAGAAUAAAAGGUGCUAAUGGCCAGGUGUGUCAAAGCAGAGUGAUUCGUGACAAUCACAAAUGUGAUCUUAACUAGCUCUCUGUGAAAAGCUCGUCUUUGUAAUCUUUUUAAUACUCUCUAUAUAUAAAUAUAGGGUAAAAGCUCGUUUAGUCCCUAUAUUUUGAAGUUAGUAUCCUUUUAGUCCCUAUAUUUUUAAAAAUACCUCAAACCAUCCCUACCAUUUAAUUAUUGACACUCUUGCCAUUAUCUUCUGUUCCUUUUAACUUAUUUUUACAAUAUUACCCUAUUACAAUAAUUUUUUAGACAUUAUUAAAAAGAAAAAAAUAAAUUGUCAGUUUAACACCAAAAAAUAAAAUAAAAUAAAAAAUAUAUUAAUUUUUGUGGAGCAGUCUCUUGAGUUAAAAUAUUAAUUUUUCUAAAAAAAUUGAUAAUGUAAUUUUUUACAACAUUAAUUUUUUAGACAUACGUGAGCUUCCACAAAAAUUAAUAUAUACAUUUUUUGUUUUUAUUUUAUUUUGGAGGAUAAUUUGAUAAUCUAAUUUUUUAUUAAUAUCCAAAAAAGAAACAUUAUUGUAAGAGUGUAAUAUUGUAAAAGCAAGUUAAAAAGAAUAAAAAAUAAUGGCAUGAGUGUCAAUAUUUUGCUACAGGGACGUUUUGAGGUUUUUUUAAAAAUAUAGGGACUGAAUAGACACUAACCUCAUAAUAUAGGGACUAAACAAGUUUUUACCCUAUAAAUAUACUCUAUUAUGAGAUCAACUGAUUAAAUUGGUCUUUCACCUUGCAGAGCUUGCUUAGACAUAUUGGAUAUUUGUCCUCUUUUUUUUAAAGGGCAAUUAGCACGACAUUAUUAAGAUUAGAUACGAUUCCUAAUCAACUAAAAAUUUUAAAGCGUGAAUUUAUUGUCAAAGUAUUAUUCUUUGCUUUUUACGCUUAAUUCAUCAUGAUUUGAUCUCAGAUAAGUAAAUUAAUUUGUUAUGCUCAAUGUGUUAUAUACAUUCUCCUAAUAUUAAUUAUAAGCAUUCUAUCUAAAUGAAUAUGAUCGAACUGUUACAUGGUCCAAAUUAAAAUUAUGGCCACAAUGCUAGUAAAUUGGAAAGCUAAGCUAGCAUCGCUAAAUUGAACUUAAGUUUUCUUUGUUAAACUGGUUGAUAUGAAUAUGACAAGAAAUUGUAAUUCAACUUUUAAAGUCUCUCUGUCUCAACCAUUUUAAUAUCUUAAUAAAAAGGUACAUUUGAUGGCAAAAAUAUUUAGACUUUCCAUUCUCUCAUUGCCAUAAUUUUGGGGAGAUAAGUGCCUAGUAAGCAAGUUUGAUUAGUCGCUGUUAGGAUCCAAAUAAAUGUUACUUAGUCAAUUAAUUUGUCCAUUAAUCUAGACCACAAAUGUUUAUUCAAUUUUCAUAAGUCAACCCCAGACCUUGGACAUGGAUUUUGUUUUAAAAAAAUUGUCAUAAUAUGAGAAUCUAAAAAUUUAGAUUUAUGGUGUGUUUACUUGUGAAAUCAGGAAAUCGAAAUUCACAGUGGAAGUGAUUCUUAAAUUGUUAUUUUUUACUUGUUAAAAUGGAAUGGAGAAUUAUAAUGAAAUAUGCAGGAUCCACAUAUUUUUUAGUCAAGGAAAAGAAAUCUGAUUCACAUGGGAUUGAGAAUCAAGUUUUCAUUCCUUUAACUCACCAUUUUACCCCCCUCACAUUUCAUAAUUUCAAUUUUGUGCUCAAUUAAAUGUUAUUAUAUUAAUGUAAUAAUAAUAAUAUUUAAACUAACAAUAAUAAUCAUAAUAAUGAUAAUAUAAUAAUAAUGAAAAUAACAACAACAACAAUAAUAAUAACGAAAAGUAAUAAUAUUAAUAAUCACAAUAAUAAUAAUGAAAAUAUAAUACUACUAUAAAUAACUAUUAUAAUAAUAGUAUUAAUAUGUUGCAGUUACUAAUUUCAUCAUUUCACAAGCCACCUCCACGGGCUGAUCUUGGGCACCUUGCGGAUCUUGUCGUUUAUCAUACCCACGUUUUAAAAGAGGAAGAUGAUGAUGACAAUGAUGUGGUGUGUGCGUGUGUUAGAAACGUACCUUCAGGUAGUGUUUGGUUUUAAGAAAGAGGAGGAGAGGAGGGAGGAAAAAUAGAGAGGAGUGGAGAGGUAAUGGGAGGAUAGGAGCGCGAAAAUUGAUUUUUAUUGUUUGGUUUCACCAAAAAAUAAAAAAUAAAAUUAAAAGGGAAAGAAAUUACAUUUUUUUUUAUUUGGACAAGUAUACCCAUUGGCAUUUAGUGUUAAAAUGUUAAUAUUUGCAGUAAAUAUAAUAAAAAUAAUUAAACUAUAAGUUAAAUUAAUCUAGAAUAUAAACUAAUAAGAAAACAUUUGAUUUUAUAUUAUAUUUUUAAUUAAUUCAUUAUUAUUUUAUAAUCAAAAUAACUAACCAACAAGUAGAUGGACGACUAAAAGUUGCAUAUCGACGUAGAAGAACCUGACAUACGGCUCAAACGGUGAUUGAUUUGACUGAACUGCAAUCAAGGGAACCAUUUUUUGGAUAAUUUUAGAGCAAUAAUGUUCAGAUUACUAUGUAAAAAUAUCCUAAUCUUGGAAAACUUUUCCACCUUAUGAAACAUUGGAAAAAUCUUCCCAACUUGACGCAUCGACUUGUUGACCUCUCAAUAUUAUGUCCAGCAUGCUCUUUUGAAUUUCAAUAUGAGUGCUCGUUUGUUGUUUAUGAUAUAAUAAACUACAAGCAACUUGUCCAGCAUGCUCGUUUCCUGCACCGUUGUAUGUUUUCCAAAAGCUAAGAGUCAUCAAAAGAUCUUUUGAAUUUCAAUAAAACUUCGAUUUAACUUUAUUUAUUUGAUUGUGUUUUUGGAAUAUCAAUGGGGUCACCAACCCUCAAUACAGUUGUUCCUUCACUUGUUUUGUUGAUCCUAUUUUUGUGUUAAGUUUCUUAAUAACUGUUUCUUCAGAAUCUAAUGAAGAAGUCGAUGCUCUUCUCAAAUGGAAAUCCAGCCUUCAAAACCAUAACCGAUCUCUCCUUUCUUCUUGGAUUAAGGACACCACCAAUGUUUCAUCCAAAACAAGCCCGUGCGCUUGGUAUGGAAUCAGUUGCAAUGACGCCGGAAGAGUCGUCAACAUCAGCCUCCCAUUUGAAGGAUUAAAAGGCAAGCUUCAUGAUUUCUCAUUCUCACCGUUUCCUCAUCUUGCUUAUCUUGAUCUCAGAUAUAAUGAACUCUUCAGUACUAUCCCGCCUCAAAUUAGUAACCUUACGAAUCUCAGCAUCCUUUCUUUAGGAGGCAAUCAAUUUUCAGGAAAUAUUCCACCCGAAGUUGGUCUUAUGAGUCAUUUGAAGAUCCUUUACAUUGAUUCAAACCAAUUAGAUGGCUCAAUUCCACCAGAAGUAGGUCAGUUAAGUUCUAUGGUAGAGCUUGCGUUGUUCUCUAACAACUUGAACGGUUCAGUCCCUCCUUCUUUAGGUAAUUUGACACACAUCUCUAUGUUGUUCCUUCAUGAUAAUUCAUUUUCUGGUUUUAUUCCUCCGGACAUUGGCAACUUGAAAUCUAUAUCCAUCCUAAGUUUGGCCAUUAAUCAAUUUAGUGGUCCAAUCCCUCUUUCUUUAGGUAAUUUGACCAACCUAAAACAAUUCAGCCUCAUUUAUAACAACCUAUCCGGUUCCAUUCCACCCUCCCUCGACAAUCUUGUGUUAACCAAGCUAUCAUUGGAUGACAAUCAUUUUACAAGUUAUUUACCGCAAAAUAUUUGUCGAGGUGGAGCAUUACAGAUUUUUACUGUUUCUGAAAACCAUUUUCAAGGAACAAUCCCUAAAAGCUUGAGAAAUUGCACAAGCUUAAUCCGAGUACGCCUUGAUGGAAACAACCUUAUUGGAAAUAUUUCAAAAGCUUUCGGCAUUUAUCCUAACCUGACUUUCAUAUAUCUCAGCCGCAAUAAUUUUUACGGUGAAAUCUCGUCUAACUUUGGGGAAUGCCCAAAAUUAGGCGCUCUCAACAUUUCGAUGAAUAACAUUACUGGAGGUAUACCGUGUGAGAUUGGAAACUGGUCUCAACUACAAGCACUCGAUCUUUCAUUGAAUCAUAUAGUUGGGGAGAUUCCAAAGGAACUUGGGAAGUUAAAUUCGCUAACCAAGCUCAUUUUGAGAGGGAAUCAACUUACAGGACGCCUGCCUACAGAAAUCGGCGCAUUCAAUGAACUUGAAUACCUCGACUUAUCUGCAAAUAGAUUCAACAAUUCAGUCCCAGAAAGUCUCGGCCACUUGCUGAAAUUGCACUACUUGGAUUUAAGCAACAACCAGUUUGUCCAAGAAUUGCCAAAGGAAUUGGAGAAGCUAGUUCAACUUUCAGAAUUAGAUGCUAGUCAUAACCUCUUUGGAGGAGAGAUACCAUUUCAAAUAUGCAGUUUGAAAAGCUUGGAAAAGUUGAAUCUCUCCCACAAUAAUCUCUCUGGUUCGAUUCCAAAUUGCUUUGAGGGAAUGCACGGUCUAUCAAUCAUUGACAUUUCUGAUAAUCAAUUGCAAGGCCCAGUUCCAAAUAGCACAGCAUUUCGGAAUGCCCCAGUGGAAGCGUUAGAGGGGAAUAAGGAAUUGUGUGGAAGUGUGAAAGGAAUGCACCCAUGCAAAGUUUUCUCGUCACACAAGCAAAAUUCUGGAGCCAAGUGGUUUGCAAUAAUGUUCCCUGUUUUAGGAGCACUAUUUGUUUCAAUGGCGUUGAUAGCAAUUUUCAUUCUUCGAAAGCGGAAGUCAGACUCAGGAGAUCGAUAGAGUAGCAACCAGAACCCUAAGGGAUUGUUUUUUAUAUUAAAUUUUGAAGGGAAACUUGUGUACGAUGAAAUUGUUAGAGCAACAAAUGAUUUUGAUGCAGAGUAUUGCAUUGGAAAUGGUGGACACGGAAGUGUUUAUAGAGCUGAGCUACCAUCUGGGGAAGUCGUAGCUGUUAAGAAAUUUCACUCACCACUCCCAUGCGAUCAGAUUGCAGAUAAAAAAGAAUUCUUAACCGAAGUUGAGGCCUUGACAGUGAUACGACAUCGAAACAUUGUGAAGUUUUAUGGAUUUUGCUCACAUGCCCGACACUCUUUUUUGGUCUAUGAAUUUCUUGAAAGGGGUAGCUUGGCAGCGAUGUUGAGCAGUGAUGCAGCAGCACAAGAACUGUUUGAGGGAAAUACUUCGGUGAGACCAGACGUGGUGAGCAGAUGUUUGGUGGCAGAAGUCUGCGAGCAGGUGUGUCCUGUAAGAGCCAGGUAGCAGGGGAACAGGGGCAGGAAUAUCCUGCUCAUCCACGAGCACGACAUCCGCGAGGCCAAUUUCCUGUAAAAAGCAUAAAGCCAUUCCUGCUGUAUUCUUGCUAAGGGUUGAUUCGAGGAGACCCGGUCAACGACAGUUGGCGAGGCAUGCUCUCCAGCCUGAGAAUCUAGGCACGAAGGCCACGCAACCACCCACGACUACGGAAAUGGAGAAUCCACGUUCGAGAGGUGGGAGGAUAACGGGCGUAGACUGCGAAAAACUGGGAUUCAGAGGAAGCCUAUAAAAAGGUAGCCAACGAAGGUAAAAGGGUUAGCAAUUUUGAGAUUAGAAGAGAGAUAAAAGCAAUUCUAAAAGAGAGAAAACAACCUAACAGCCAUAAGAUCUGUGGCAAGCGUUCCCCGAACCUUCAUAUCUGACUUGAGCGUCGGAGGGUUUGCGCCGGGAAAACAACCGGCGUACUCUGACCUGUCUGUGUGCGCAGGAACCUCUGGAGAAGAAUCUUUACGAGGAGAGAUCCUGGUCGUGGUGAAGUUGAUCGAGCAGAGACCCUGGUCGUAGAACGAGGACAACCAGAAUCUCGCAUCAACAUUUUGGCGCCGUCUGUGGGGAGCUGAGCAAAAAGCUUCUGUUGAUAGCAAGAAGUGAGGGGAAGUAACUGAAAAGCAAUGGAGGCAGGAGGAAGUAGUGCACAAGGGGGUGAUAUGAGGCUUAACAAUUCCGUGACACUGAGGGAGAUAGCCAGUGAAGCAUGGGAAAAAGCCAUGUUCGACCGGAUGGAACGGAUGGAAAAGCAGAUGGAGUCCUUGACAACCAUUCUGCAUGAGCGGCGGAGCGAACGAAGGGUAACCCAGGAAGAAAGGGUGAGAGGAGGUGGAGUGGCACCAGAUCCCGGUAGUACAAGGAGAAGUCAAACCACCGGGAGACUUGGUGGUGAGAGAGGUAACAUACCCCUGCGGGGAGAAUUCCAUAGAGAGGAAGAGCAGUCCCCGGCAAGGCAGAUUUUUGACGAGGACGACGGGGUGGCGAAUGCAGAGGAAACAGUGCUGUCCAACCACUAUCUGGCUCUGAAGUACCGGGUAAAUGGGGUAGUUGGAAUGGUACGAGGAGACCAGAGGAUCGCAAGAAGCUGCUACUCCUCGGCAGCAAAGGAAGCAAUGCAGAUAACAUCCCUCGAUACCCGAGUGGAAAACAAGAACGGCAGACAAGAACCUGUAGAGGAUCUGGAAACAGUAAGCCUGGGACCAGAGAAUCCGGGAAAGACGAUCAGAAUCGGGUCGAGACUUAAGGGAGAGCAAAAGCAGGAGUUGGUGAAAUGCUUACAGGCUCAUGCAGAUGUGUUUGCUUGGACACACAAAGACAUGCCUGGGAUUGACCCUGAGGUAGCAUGUCAUAAGUUGGCAAUAAAGAAAGGCGCUCGGGCAGUAAGGCAGAAGAGGAGGUGCUUCAACCAGGAGAGGUAUGAGGCCAUAAAUGGCGAGGUGGAGAAGCUCUUGAGAGCAGGGUUCAUUUGGGAAGUCAAUUACCCUGAAUGGAUAUCGAAUGUGGUGUUGGUAAAGAAAACAAAUGGUAAGUGGAGGAUGUGCGUGGAUUUCACAGACCUGAAUAAGGCGUGCCCAAAAGACAGCUUCCCUUUACCAAAGAUCGAUCAGCUAGUAGAUUCAACGGCUGGACACGGUCUGCUUAGUUUCAUGGACGCGUUCUCGGGAUACAACCAGAUCCCCAUGUACGAGCAGGAUGAGGAGAGCACGGCUUUCAUCACUAACCAGGGUUUGUUCUGUUACAGGGUAAUGCCAUUUGGUCUCAAAAAUGCUGGGGCCACCUAUCAGAGGCUGGUGAACAAAGUCUUUAAGCCGUUGAUCGGGAAAACCAUGGAGGUGUACGUGGAUGACAUGAUCACCAAAUCCAAAAUCCCGAAGGAACAUGUCAGACACCUUGAGGAGACCUUCGGGCUUUUGAGGAAGUAUACGAUGAAGCUUAACCCGGAGAAGUGCGCUUUUGGGUCGAGUCAGGGAAAUUCCUUGGAUUCAUGGUGAGCCAUAGAGGGAUUGAGGCAAAUCCCGAGAAAAUCCAGGCGAUUGUGCAGAUGAGGUCUCCUCGUAACCUGAAGGAAAUGCAGAGCCUCACGGGGAGGUUGGCGGCGUUGAGCAGAUUCAUAUCCAAGGCUACAGAUAAGUGUCAGCCAUUCUUUCAAGUGAUAAGGAGGGGGAAGAAAACCGAAUGGACACCAGAAUGCGAGGAAGCCUUCUAGAACCUGAAGUAGUACUUGCAGCAAGCUCCACUGCUGUCCACACCGAGGGAUGAGGACAAGUUAUAUCUGUAUUUGGCGGUAUCGGAUAGAGCCGCCAGUUCUGUUCUGGUGAGAGAGGAAGAAGGAGUUCAGCAUCCGAUAUACUACACCAGCAAGGCCCUGCUCGACGCUGAGACCAGAUACCCACCGUUGGAGAAAUGGGCACUUGCCUUUGUAGUUGAGGCUCGAAAGUUGAGGCCAUAUUUUCAAGCAUUCCCAGUCUCGGUAAUAACAAACCAGCCAUUGCGUCAAACUCUGCACAAGCCAGAUGCUUCUGGUCGGCUCGUCAAGUGGGCUAUAGAGCUGAGCGAGUUCGACAUAGAUUACAAACCCCGAGCAGCGGUAAAGGCUCAGGCAAUGGCCGACUUCGUAGCAGAAUUCACAGAGCCUGAAGUACGUUUAGACCAGCAAGAUGUAGUUACAGACAGUGGCGAAGCUCAAGUAUGGCAGAUGUCUGUGGAUGGGUCGUCAGGGGAGCAGGGUUCAGGAGCAGGGAUUGUAUUGGAAGGCCCUGAGGGAGAGGAGAUCUCUUAUGCUGUAAAGUUAAAAUUCGCAGCCACCAAUAACCAGGCAAAGUAUGAAGCCUUGAUCGCAGGUUUAGAAUUGGCUAAGGCCGUGAAAGCAGACAGAGUUAAGAUUAAGACUGAUUCCCAGCUGGUUGCGAACCAUGUCAGUGAAAGAUUUCAACCAAGAGAGGAGAAGAUGGAACAGUACCUGAAGAUAGUCAGGCAGAUGAUGGGGAAAUUUGAAGCAGUGGAGGUGAUACAAAUCCCCAGGGAGCAGAAUAGUCGAGCAGACAUUUUGGCCAGGAUGGCAGCAGUAGCCGACCCAAAAAUACCAAAGUCGGUCCCUUUGGAGGUGAAGUCCAGCCCUAGCAUCGAGCAGAAUUUGGGGGUGCUGCGGAUAGAGCAAAAAUGCUCAUGGAUGGACCCGAUAAUUUCAUACCUCAGAGACGGGGUAUUACCACCAGAUAAGCUGCGAGCUCGGAAGGUUAGAGCCCAGGACUCGAGAUACACGAUGAUUGAUGGGGUACUGUAUCGGCGAGGGUAUACACUACCUUUCCUUCGAUGUUUGGAUGAGGACGACGCGGAUUACGUACUGAGAGAAGUACAUGAAGGAAUUUGCAGGAAUCAUUCUGGUGGGAGGUCACUGGCCCACGAGGUUCUAAGGCAGGGAUAUUUCUGGCCAACAAUGCACCAGGAUGCAUAGGAGAAGACCAGGAGCUGUGUAAGCUGCUAGAGUUUUGCAAGUUUCUCCAACCAACCCCCAGAGAAACUCACCUCCAUGGCCUCCCCUUGGCCAUUUGCUCAAUGGGGGAUUGAUCUGAUCGGCCCGCUGCCAAAGGGACGAGGAGCAGCAACGCAUGCAAUAGUUGCUAUAGAUUACUUCACGAAGUGGAUAGAGGUCGAAGCCCUUAGCAGGAUUACAGAGAAGAAAACGACAGACUUCGUGUGGAGAAACCUGGUCUGUCGGUACGGGAUCCCUUAUGCCUUGGUAACGGAUAAUGGCAAGCAGUUCGAUAAUCACAGCUUCAGGGAUUUCUGCCGGAACCUCGGGAUAGAGCUGAAGUAUUGCUCGCCUGCUCACCCCCAAUCGAAUGGACAAGUAGAAGCAGCCAACAAAACCAUCAAGAGGCUUUUGAAAACCAGGCUUGGAGCAAAGAAAGGUGCUUGGGUUGAUGAGCUAUCAGGCGUACUAUGGGCAUACAGGACAACCCAUAAGACAGCAACGGGAGAGACACCGUUCGCCUUGGCUUUCGGACAUGAAGCGGUCAUACCAGCUGAGAUAGGAAUGACCACACACCGAACAGAUCAUUUCAACGAGCAAGAAAACGACGAGCAGAUGUGUUUGAAUUUGGACUUGCUGACGGAAAAAAGGGAGCAAGCAGCCGAGCGAUCAGUCAUUUACCAGUAGAGGGUUGCCCGGUAUUAUAACCAGAAGGUGACUAUACGGCAGUUCAAGGUCGGAGAUUGGGUGUUAAGGAGAGUAAAUCAGAACAACAAAGACUCGACUCAAGGAGUGCUCGGUCCGAAUUGGGAGGGACCAUAUAGAGUCAAGCAGCUAGUUGGACCAGGAGCGUACAAGCUGGUUCGCAUGGACGGCCACGAGGUGAAGCGCCCAUGGAACGCAUCACACCCCCGAAAAUACUUCCAGUAAGACUUGUUCACAUUUUAAAGCAAUUUCUGCUCGUGCUCUUUAUUUUUUAUUUUUAUGUUUUACGUCAAAGCAAGUUCAUGUAAAAUCAAAACUUGCGAUUAAUGGAACGUCGAGGAAUGUUAUUCACUUGAAACUGUGAUAAAUCAUCUAAGGCAUGCAAAGGCUCGACAAGUCUCAAAGCCUGUUUAUGGCGAGACAGAAGCCAAGCAUGCCAGGAUCUGCUCGGCCACGAGAACGCUAGCAGAAUCCCAAGCUUUGAAGAAAUCAUCCAAGGCAUGCAAAGGCUCACCAAGUCUCAAAGCCUGUUUAUGGCGAGACAGAAGCCAAGCAUGCCAGGAUCUGCUCGGCCACGAGAAGGCUAGCAGAAUCCCAAGCUUUGAAGAAAUCAUCUAAGGCAUGCAAAGGCUCACCAAGUCUCAAAGCCUGUUUAUGGCGAGACAGAAGCCAAGCAUGCCAGGAUCUGCUCGGCCACGAGAAGGCUAGUAGAAUCCCAAGCUUUGAAGAAAUCAUCUAAGGCAUGCAAAGGCUCACCAAGUCUCAAAGCCUGUUUAUGGCGAGACAGAAGCCAAGCAUGCCAGGAUCUGCUCGGCCACGAGAAGGCUAGCAGAAUCCCAAGCUUUGAAGAAAUCAUCUAAGGCAUGCAAAGGCUCACCAAGUCUCAAAGCCUGUUUAUGGCGAGAUAGAAGCCAAGCAUGCCAGGAUCUGCUCGGCCACGAGAAGGCUAGCAGAAUCCGAAGCAUUGAAGAAUUGACUAAGGCAUGCAAAGGCUCGCCAAGUCUCAAAGCCUGUCUUAUGGCGAGACAAAAGCCAAGCAUGCCAGGAUCGAAGAAGUCAUUAAGGCAUGCAAAGGCUCGCCAAGUCUCAAAGCCUGUUUAUGGCGAGACCAGAAGCUAAGCGUGCCAGGAUCUGCUCGACCACGAGAAGGCGAGCAGAAUCCCAAGCAUUGAAGAAUUUACAAAGGCAUGCAAAGGCUCGUCAAGUCUCAAAGCCUGUUUAUGGCGAGAUAGAAGCCAAGCAUGCCAGGAUCUGCUCGGCCACGAGAAGGCUAGCAGAAUCCCAAGCAUUGAAGAAAUCAUCUAAGGCAUGCAAAGGCUCACCAAGUCUCAAAGCCUGUUUAUGGCGAGAUAGAAGCCAAGCAUGCCAGGAUCUGCUCGGCCACGAGAAGGCUAGCAGAAUCCCAAGCAUUGAAGAAUUGACUAAGGCAUGCAAAGGCUCGCCAAGUCUCAAAGCCUGUCUUAUGGCGAGACAAAAGCCAAGCAUGCCAGGAUCGAAGAAGUCAUUAAGGCAUGCAAAGGCUCGCUAAGUCUCAAAGCCUGUUUAUGGCGAGGCCAGAAGCCAAGCGUGCCAGGAUCUGCUCGACCACGAGAAGGCGAGCAGAAUCCCAAGCAUUGAAGAAUUUACAAAGGCAUGCAAAGGCUCGUCAAGUCUCAAAGCCUGUUUUAUGGCGAGACAGAAGCCAAGCAUGCCAGGAUCUGCUCGACCACGCGAAGGCGAGCAGACUCCAAAGCAUUCGAAAAAUUUUUAAAGGCAUGUAAAGACUCGCCAAGUCUCAAAGCCUAUUUUAUGGCGAGACAGAAGCCAAGCGUGCCAGGAUCUGCUCGACCACGCGAAGGCGAGCAGAAUCUCAAGCAUUGAAGAAUUUUCCAAGGCAUGUGGCGAAACCAUAUGCCAAGCCAGAACUUGCUCAAUCAGACGAAGACGAGCAGAUUCUCAAACGAGAAAUAACUCAUGAUUACAACACAAGAAAGUAAUCAAAAAACAUUUUUUAAUUUGUUAAUAAUUAACAGAGGAGAGAAUCUUCACAAACAUGGUUCAUUACAAGACAAGAAAUACAUCAAGAAGAUGGUGGAUCAGUAAGCCGAGCAGCGUCGGCGGGCUGGGCCUCCUCAGGUGCGGGGGGGGGGGGGGUAUCACCAGUUGCGUCGGGAGGGGUGCUCGCCUCGCCAACAUCAGCAGGGAUUGCACGAGGAGGAGAGCUUUCCUCCUCAAUCACGAUUGGCUCCACCCCUUGGGCAUUUUCCUUGGCAGCCUUUUCCAGUCCUACGCGACCAAGAACCACUGAGUUUCUACUGCUGGUCCAUUACAUUACCCAACACCAGAAACUGGGGGACCGGUGUUUGAGGGAAAUACUUCAGUGAGACCAGACGUGAUGAGCAGAUGUUUGGUGGCAGAAGUCUGCGAGCAGGUGUGUCCUGUAAGAGCCAAGUAGCAGGGGAACAGGGGCAGGAAUAUCCUACUCAUCCACGAGCACGACAUCCGCGAGGCCAAUUUCCUGUAAGAAGCAUAAAGCCAUUCCUGCUGUAUUCUUGCUAAGGGUUGAUUCGAGGAGACCCGGUCAACGACAGUUGGCGAGGCAUGCUCUCCAGCCUGAGAAUCUAGGCACGAAGGCCACGCAACCACCCACGACUACGGAAAUGGAGAAUCCACGUUCGAGAGGUGGGAGGAUAACGGGCGUAGACUGCGAAAAACUGGGAUUCAGAGGAAGCCUAUAAAAAGGUAGCCAACGAAGGUAAAAGGGUUAGCAAUUUUGAGAUUAGAAGAGAGAUAAAAGCAAUUCUAAAAGAGAGAAAACAACCUAACAGCCAUAAGAUCUGUGGCAAGCGUUCCCCGAACCUUCAUAUCUGACUUGAGCGUCGGAGGGUUUGCGCCGGGAAAACAACCGGCGUACUCUGACCUGUCUGUGUGCGCAGGAACCUCUGGAGAAGAAUCUUUACGAGGAGAGAUCCUGGUCGUGGUGAAGUUGAUCGAGCAGAGACCCUGGUCGUAGAACGAGGACAACCAGAAUCUCGCAUCAACAAGAACUGGGUUGGAGUCAGAGAAUGAAUGUGAUCAAAGGCAUAGCUGAUGCCUUGUCUUACUUGCACCAUGACUGCUUUCCUCCAAUUGUCCAUCUAGACAUAUCAAGUAAGAACUUGUUGCUGGAUUUGGAAUAUGAAGCUCAUGUUGCAGACUUUGGAAUUGCUAAGUUCCUGAAGCCAGACUCGUCCAACUGGACUGAAUUUGCAGGCACAUAUGGAUACGUUGCACCAGGUAUUUAGUAUUUAUUUGUUACCAUUUUGAGGAAUAUUUUUGUGUUAUGUGUACGGUAGCAGAACAAUGCAACUAGAUAUUUAUCUCAGAAACAGAGUAAACAUUUUUUUUUUGGUCCUUGACCUUGCAGAGCUUGCCUAUACAAUGAAGAUCACAGAGAAAUGCGAUGUGUACAGUUUUGGAGUGUUAGUGUUGGAAGUGAUCAAAGGGAAGGAUCCAAGAGAUUUUAUUUCUUCGACUUCAUCUCCAUCUCUCAACACGGAUAUAGCACUUGAUGAAAUGUUGGACCCGCGUCUUCCAGUUCCAUCAUGCAGUGUUCAAGAAAAACUGAUAUCAAUCAUGGAGGUUGCGUCUUCAUGCUUAAAUGAGAGUCCGACGUCUAGACCAACUAUGAAGAUAGUCAGUCGACAAUUACGGAUUUAACCUCGGCUGCCUUGAUUGAGUCUUAAUUUUCUCAUUAUGCUUGUAAUUUGCUGGGUUUAUUUUUCUCAUCUAUUGUAGUUUGUUUGGUCUAGUUUUCAAGAACCGGGAGGCGUUGGUUAUUACGUCAUCCAUAUAUACUCGGUAUCUGGUGUACUCAACUCUUUCAUUUAUAAAUAAAAUAAAGUUUGCUCAUUCCUUUGAGGUUUAGUUAAAAGAACGCAUGGGGCAGUGGUGAGCACACUUAAGGACAUGUGGAGUCUGUACAAUGAAGACCAAGAUUAGUAAGAUAGUUUGUAAUAAUUAAAAAAAUAAUUUCUUGCGACAUGUACAAACAUGUGAACCCCUCAAAUGUAAAUUUGGAAGUGUGUACCACUGUACUAAUUAGUGGGUGGGUGCAUCCGAAGAUCAGCAGUUUAAAUGUUAAAAGAAAUCUCGGUUGAAUGACUUAAUUUACAUUUGUCAUGUCAGAGUUAGCUGAUGUCCUAUAUUUGAUCAAUGUGGAUGGCUGAUCAAAAUUAAAUAAUCCUUGAACGAGAUUGAGGCCUUGACAGAGAUACAACAUCAGGGCAUUGUAAAACAUGACUGACAUUCAAUUUUUGUAACGUAUGUGAAUUAAAUGAAUAAAAAAAAAGCAAAAGAGAAAAGAGCUGGAAAACAGAGGCAAGAUACACGUGUGACAGAGAGUGAGAGAGAAGCUGCCAAACCGACCCAACUACAGACCCAAAAACCCGACCCGAACUGCAAACGUGACCCGUCCUUAUCUUCCGAUUCCGGCCACCCUACAAGUCAAUCUUGGUACCAAUCUGAAGCUGAGAAGCCGGCCGUUGUAUCUCUGCCAUCCUCUCCGCCGAAAACUAACCGAAACGCCGACGACCAAAGCUUGAAAACCCGCGACUGUUUCGCUUUGUUCCGCCGAGAUUUUCGCCGGUUUUGGGUGACACCACCGGUUGGAUUUUGUUCCCCACGACUCCCUCUUCCAUUUACGACCAUCUACUGCAGCCGGGGACAUCGUUUUGCCGUUGAUCGGCCGUUGGAGGACUUACGGGUUUGGGAGCUCAAUCCGGAGCCAUCGCCGCGCGUGGAAGGUCACCACCGCCCCCGUUGGACUCAGUGUGGCCAGAAAUUUUAGACUUGAGCUUCCCGGCCAGCGUUGACCAAAUUCCGGGACCGGCAGGGGCAUUUUGGUAAUUUCACACUAUGAGGGCAAUUUUGUAAUUUCUGAGCCUGUGGAUAUGUUAGUAAUUCCUAGAAUUGAGGAUUGGGUUUAAUUACGAUUCUGAGGGUAAUUCGAUGGUUUACGAUUUCGGAGUAUUUUAAUGAUUUACGAACUCGAGGGCAUUUUAGUAAUUUUAUCAACACAUGAGUUGUAAAUUAUGGAUAGAUCUUUGUUUCGAGUUUAUUGCAUAAAUUUAGUCCUAAUUACGAUUUACGAAAAGUAAUUAUGUCGUUUCCUUGAUUUAGGAGGAUCCGCGAGAGAGAACCGGUCCGCGGACGUGGACGAUAACCGAGCGUGAACACCGUCACUGUGAGUGGAAUAUACAAAACUUAUUUUCAUAAUUAAUUAUGAUAGUAAUGCAUGUUUGCGAAAUAAGUGUUUUAAAUGUUCUGAUUUAAUGAUUUUCUCGAAAUGGAUUUUGUUCACGCAUUGGUAUUUUAUUAAAACGUUUUAUUAAUGAUUUUGCAUAUCGACUUUGAAUAAGCAUGAUAGUAUUUUAAAGAUAAGAAAAGUGGAUUCAAAUGUGAUAUGAUUUAAAGUAUGGUUAAAAGUUAUGUGAAUAUGAGUAUAAUGAUUGUUUUUGAAAUCAUUAGACAAUACCCUUCCCCUCCAGAUACAGUGAUACAAAUGAGAUGAGAUAGAGAGGCCUUUGGGGCCCAUCUAAACACACAUAGAGGCUUUGGGCCGUGUGUUUGGACGUUUCUGCCUUUUGGGGGAAUAUGCAUGCGGUAUGAUGAUUACAGAGAUACAUAUAUGAGAUACUGACAGAUAUUGAGAUACAGAUGAUACAGAUGAGUUAUAGGCCUUUGGGGCCCGUCUGAGCACACAUAGAGGCUUUGGGCCGUGUGCUUGGGCGCUUUUGUCCUUUGGGGACUAGAUUAUGCAUGCACAGAUAUGAUAAGAUAUGAGAUGGUAUUUCCCUGUCUAUCCGUGUAGCUCCGGGGCGUGACGGUACCUAGAUAGUACGUCAUUGCCCGUCCGUUGAGGUCCGGAUAUGACGAGAUUAUUCCCCUAGGUACUUGUUUGGUGAUGAUUUUCAGAUUUGUGUAUUCUAUAUGAUAUUGUGAUAUGAUUUUCAUGGUUAGUAAUCUGAUUUAAAGGUUAAAUGAUUUAUUACUGGUUUCUCGUAUAUGGUUUGAUGAAAUCAUGUUUGGAAAUGACAUGAUUAUUUCUUUUAAAGUAAGAAUUAAAUUUUCAAAAACUACUAUCCACUCACUGAUCUCACUGAAUUUUAAACUCACCUUGUUUUUAUUAUAUUUUCCCCCCCUCACCAGGAGGUUGCAGGUACACCAGACCGACCCAGCGACUAUAAAUAUAUUUUGAGUCUUGGCCACGUGAUAGUGUUAGAAGAUAUAGAUGUUUUUGUUAGGACAUCUUGGUUAUCUCAUCCUGUUGGGAUUGUAUAAUUUUGUUAUAUUAUUCUUUUGGGAUUAAGAAUAAACUGAAAUAUUAAUAUUAGUUAUAAUAUUAUCUUUUUGAGACUUUGAAAAUAUAAAACUCAACAUUUUGGUUGAAGAUGUUGAUCGCUGGAGUUUGUUGUAUAUUGAAUUAUAUUGGGAGUGUUAUAUUCAUAUUUGUAGAUUGGGAGUGUUAUAUUUAUAAAGGAGAUUCUGCCAAAUUUUCGACAGAAUCCUUACUAAUAAAAUUAUUAGCAAGUCCGUUUUGAUGAGACUAGAUUGACUGGCCCGGGGAGAUUUGGGGCGGGUCGUUUCAAUUUUAGUUUAUGAAUUUCUUGAAAGGGGUUGGAGUCAGAGAAUAAACGGGAUAAAAGGCGUUGCCGAUGCCUUGUAAAAUUCGUUUGUUGCCAUUUGAGGAAUAUUAUCAUGCAACACAUUCUAUAGAGAUAUAAAAGCUUACUAAUUUAUACGCAUUGAUCUUUAAAAAGAGAGUAAACAUUUCUUAUUUUCUCUUUUUUAUUUGUCCUUGACCUUUCAGAGCUUGCUUACACAAUCAAGAUCGCAGAAAAAUGACAUGUACGGUUUUGAAGUGUUAGUAUUGGAAGUGAUCAAGGGAAAGCAUCCAAGAGAUCGGAUGUUCUUUCCGCAGUUUCAGCUUCGUCUUCCAAUGCCAUUUGAUGAAAUAUUGGAUCCUCGGCUUCCACCUGAUCCAUUAUUCGAUGUUCGGAGGAAGUUAGUAUCAAUCACGAAGGUUGCCUUCUCUUACUUAAAUGGGAAUCUAGAAUCCAGACUAAUCAUUAUUAUUGUUCGAGUUUCAAAUAUUUGCCUUCAUUUCCCAUUGUUUGUUACUAUCAAUAAACACGUGUGCUACACGUGGCUACUCAACUUGCUACCUGGCCUUGAAUUAGUCUUUGUUGAAUAAGUCUUGUUUGUUAGUUUUGGUUAUUAAGUCUAGAUUCCAUUUGAAUGAGUCUUCCUAUUUACAAGAAACUGAAUUUGUAAUAUUUCUAUUUAUUUGAAGUUCAGUGAAUAAUAGAAGGGGUUUUUACCAACUUCACUUGAAGUCUUACAAAGGAGGAUUUUGGGUUUCCCUCGAAGUACCCAAGUGUUAUAACUUUAUUAAUUCUCUGUUGAAGAAAAACUCUGAAACGCCAAAAUAGGUAGAACUAAGGACGCCAUACCAUUCUUGCACGAGUUAAUUAUACGUAUCAUGCUUAUGCAGGCCUUAAGUUGGAAUAAAAGAAUGUUUGUUGACAGAAUUUUGCAACUAGAGGAUGAUGUACUUCAUAAUUAGUCUGCCUUCAACACAAAAUAGAAAAUUUAGUUGACAAAUGGCCACAAAAGACUAGCUUCGUUUUCGCUAAAAAAGAAAUAAAAUCUGCUUCUAUGGCCUCUGUAAACUAACUGCUUCAAUGCCCCCAAUUUCAAAACUAUCAUUGAUAUAGAGCCAUUGAACCUGGGCUCCAUAUUCAACUUUUCAUAGUUCCAUUCUAGCGCGAAGCUUUUGAGAGCGUGGACACACUUGACACUAGAUAACCCUCAGCCAUAAUUUUGCUGCAAAAGCCGAUAUAAUUAAUGAACCUUAUUUGCACAAUUUUGGAAAAAAUAUUUGGACCAAUUUCGGUGUUCAGCUGAGCUUGUGUUGACUAUUAAGCACUAAAUCAAUAGUCGAGAAUUUAUCCAACACGAGUUUCACAUGGAUUCCAAUGAACUCUUGACCAACACAAUAUGGUUAUGGUUUAAAAAUAAAAUAAAUCAUGUUAAUACUUUGUAUUAAUACUUAAUGCAUGGACAAUCGUUUUCUUUGUGCACAGACUUGUCGAUAAAAAAAAAAGCUUAAUGGUCCAUCUAUUAGUUAUUAGUUUACAUCUGCUUAAUCUGAUUAGGAUGAAACGAAAUUAAUUGUUUCUUUGUUUUAAAAAAUAAAUAACUAAAACUUCUUGAAUAUUGGAGAAUUAACAAAAGAAUUGUGAAUGAAGUUUUGUUUGGUAUUAAGGUAUUGUUAUCUUUAAAUCACGAUUAUUGUGAAUAAUAAAACUAUAACAAAAAGUAAAAGUUGAUAAUAUAUAAUAAAUAUAACUUUUAAAUGAUAGUUUUGAUAAAGAAAAAUAUUAUAAGUUUUCUAUCAUUAAAAUCAAAUCAUUUUAGCUUGCAAGUCAUAAUAAUGAUAGCUAUGAAUUCUUUCAUAAAUUUAUUUUGUAUAAAGUGACAUGGAAUAAAUUCAUUGGUUAAGUAAAAAUAUGAAGCAAUAAAAAUAAUUUAUGUGAGAUAAAAAUAUUUUAUUUAAUUAGUUUGUAUAAAAUAAAUUUAUAUAAAAGAUUUGAAAUUAGUUUGCAAGUGACAAUUAUGAUAAUUACAAAUUUUUGUAUAAAUUUAUUUUAUAUAAAAUAAUAUGGUAUAAAUUUAUUAGUUAAGUAAAAAUAUAAAAUAAUAAAAAUAAAUUAUGUGAGAAAAAAAAUUUAAUCUAAUUAAUUUAAUCAUAUUACGUUUAUAUAAAAUAAAUUUAUAUAAAAGAUUUGUAAUUAGAUUAUUGCUCUUGUAAACCAGCACCGAUACGUACAUUAUGCUAUUUUCCGUCCAAUACGAUUAGUAUUAAAAAAAGAAAAACAUGGACCCCAUCGACGAGACCUCACGUGGGCCCACUAAUCUUGAUGAUCACAUCUUUUUCAUGUGAAAAAAACACCCCCCUUACAACGACACCGUCUUUUCUUUGGCUUUCCUUUCAUUUUCGUCAGCCUCCACAAACACUUAAUAGCCGCCCCAUUUUCUUUCACUCCUAUCCAUUGUCCACGCGUCCGACGACGAUUGCUUCUCCGGUUCUAAUCACAAGAUUUUCGUCAAAUGGACGUACGAGAUGGGCCAGAUCUCUGUGCAGACCACACCGUCUAUUCUCUUUGUGAAAAGAAAAGAAAACUAUUUAAAAUCUCUAAGUCACUCUAUCUUCUCGUGAUAAAUUGAAUUCAACUCUCUUUUUAUCCUUUAUUUAUAAACAGUAAAUAAAAAAUCAAAAGAAUUCAAUUGAUUAUUCCUUUUGGGAAAUUAUUAAAAAAAAAUUAUACGGUAGCGAACUUCCUUGCAUGAACAUGACCUUAAUUCAAUUUAUUAAACAUACGUAUAUGUUACUUUAACAUACUUUUUUCUUAUAGUUUACAAAAUGUAGUGCUUAUUUUCUUUCGUAUACCAAAUAGUAGAUGUGUAUAUUAGGUUGAAGCAAAUAUAAUAUUAUAAACUCACACUAUGUUGUAUCAUAUUUGGUAAAAUAUUUAUUGUUAACAUCUUAUGACAAUAUUAUUAAAUCUUCAAUAAAAAAUCUUCAUUGUAUUAAACAAAUUUUUAUGCAAUAUAAACUAUGUAUUUUAUUAUAAUGGAAGCUGUUAAGAAAGGUUGUCUCAACUUUAUAUUAAGAUUUUGUACUUAUAAAUAUAUAGUAUGAUCUAAUCCUUACUCGUAUAAAUUUUUUUCAUAACAUAGCUAUCUAUAAAAGAUUUAACAAUUUCUUAAUCUUUGAUCAUAAGUAUUAGCAUAUUAUAAUACAAUAUUAAGUUUACCUUAAAGUUAAUUUAUUACUGUCACAUUAUAAAUCUAUAGAAUUGAUUUGAAUUGGUAAUAUUGUUAUGCCAAAGAAAGGUAUAUCAAAUUUGGCUAGAACUGCCUAUUGAAGUAACAUAUACGUAAUUUGUAUGGAUACAUUAUGUAGCAAAAAAAAAGAAGAUUUUUGUAACAAACUCGACAAAUAUCUAAAUUGCAGUGUUGAUGAUAAAUAAUUAAUCUCUUUUAGAAUCCAUUUGCUUUUAGUCUAAAUCAAAAGAAAGACGAUAGAUUCACAUAACUUUUACCUUAAAAAAGCAAACAAUCCAAAUUAGAUAAAUAGUCAACCAAUUAAUCAAACAAACAAGGUCCCCGCAUUUAAUGAGAACUUGAGCUUUUACUUUAUCUCAGCAACAAGUUGAGUUUUAUGUGAUUUAAGAUUAAAAUAUUAAUCAAACUACAAAAUUAUGUCAUUAAAGAAAUUAUAUUUAAGUAUUUACUUCAUUAAAGUUUUAGUUAACCACCGAGUGACAUAGAUUCAAGACUCUAGUUGAUCACUCAUUUGAGAAUGUUAAUUCACUUACUUAGCAUUAUGUGGCAUUUUCUUUAAAGAUUUUGAAUUGUUUGAUAGUUGUGAGAGUAAAAUUUAAAAUAAUAAAAAUUAAUAUAAUUAUCAUGUUAAUGGGACCACAUCAGAGUCGUUAAUUCAUAAAAGAAUAUGAAUUCAAAUAUCACAUAAAUGAAAUUUGAAAAAAAAAUAGAUUUGUUAACAUCGCAGUUACAAGUUGACUUUAAAUUUCUAAUGAAUCGGUCAUAAUAUUCUUUUUUUUGUGAAAUACUCAUAUUAAUAUUUAAGUUAUUAGAUAAGGAUCCAAUGUUAACAUUUAAUAAAGUUGUGCAAAUUCGAUAACAAAAAAAUUAAAUUCAAAUAAAAGUAAAUUUUACGUAUUGUUCAGCUAGCUUGGAAUGACAUAGUACUCGUAUGGAGUUAUAAUGUUCAAUAAUUAUCUUGUUAUUUUUUAUUGGUUAUUCGGAAAUAAAUGAAGUCUAUUAUUCAGAAAAAUAAUUACCUGCAAAAAUCGUACACCAUUUUCAAAAAGGUAAUAAUAUUCCGAAUUAAUUAACAAAAAAUGAUACGCACCCAGGCAAGUUCACACGUAACCCACCAAAAAUUGAAAAAAAGAAAAAGAAAAGAAAAGAAACAAGGAACACGUUCAUUCAAUUUAUCGCGAUACGAUAAAUACUUAACAAAAUGUCAUAUCAAAUUCACCAUCAAAACUACGGUAUUUUUUUCUAUAUAUUAAAGAAUUUUUUUUAAAAGCAAAUAGAAUUAUAGAAACCAGCCAAAAAACAACCACUAUACUGGAACUCACCGUCCCCAAUUUCCCAAUGAAUAAAAUCAAUAUAAAGGACUCGUGCGUGCUUUCCCUUUCCCUCCUGUUUUUGUCACCCGCCUCUUCCUCAUCUCGCCACUUGUUCCCCCCACUACGCCCACAAAACGUCACCGUUUCAUUCUCACUCCUUUUUCCCACAUUCCUUCGUUUCAUAUCAACUCAAAAAUUCGUUCUUUUAACAUUAAUAAUAAUAAUUUUAUUGAGAUAAAUCAAUCAAAAAGGUAACUCCAACUAUCUCCUCCAGCUUUUUGCUGCUUCUUAGUUUUAUUGACGGUUUUGUUCUUCGUUUCAUUUUUUUCAGUCAACGCUUUUGCUUCAAGAUUUCGUUUUACCUUCCUUGAAAAUUGAUACGAUUAAAAUUCCUUUUUUAGCUGAAGAUUGAUACAAUUUUCACUUCAUUUUUUCUUAACUUUGUAUCCAGAUUUGCUGCUUUUGUUUAAAGUUUUUAUUUUUUUAAUAUUUUUCUGUGGAGCUAAGCAUGACUUUGGUUACAGCUUUAUAUUAUUUUAACAUAUAAUUAGACUAAUUUAUUUAUUUGUUGGUUUGUUAUUUUGAUGUUUAUUUAUAGGAUCCGCCUAUGUUACUACUGUAGUAACGUACCACACUUUUUGUCUCCAUCCUAAACUGCCGUUGGAUGUAAAUUGAAUGAAUCUAACGGUCGAAAAAGAAAAAUGGGUAAAGGUCUAUUGCCGGUUGUUGAAAGAUAUUGUAUGAAAUUUAAUAAUUAAACAAAGGAAAAAAUGUUAAAUAAGCGUCCACGUAUUUUUAAACAAAUAUUGACUCUGGUUUGAGAGGCCUUCAUCAAAAGAUUUUUCACACCCCAAUUAAGAUCAUCGAAAUCUUUUCCACCCCCAGAAAAUCCGAUAAUUGAAUUGUUUUUCACCCCCAGAAAUCACGAUCAAUUUCCCCUAGAAAUUGCUAUUGUGAAGUUUAAAGCUUUGGUGUCUCCCGAUAAAGUCAGAAACGAUGCAAGUAAAAUUCAAGUUGGAUACAUGACAACGGCAACCAACUGGAAAAGAUAUUGGGUGGUGGUGGAAGUUUAGGAAUUAGACACAUCAAUUUGCCUUAGAACAGAGUCAAUUUCUCACGUGCACUUGAUCUAUUGUUGUGCCGCUGGAACAGAGGCAGCAGGUAAUUAAAAAGAAAAAAAUGUUUAUUUUUGUUUGCAACAGUAUGGCAAUGGUAAUUUGCUUAGGAGUGUCGGUCAUGUUUAUUUGUUAGAAUAAGUGAAGGCGAGAUUAGUAACAAGUACUGCUUGUUUAAUUUGAUUGCAAUAAGCACUACGUUGAAGGAGCGAGCGAGAGGGAAAUAAUUCCUUGGAGAAGAUUUUGUAGAAUGAUUGGGCUAUUAUUUUGCAAUAAACUGUGAAGGUACAUAUUUCUUUAUUUUUGUAAUGGUUAAAUGUAACCAUAUCGAUGAUUCAAUUAACCUUGCUUGGUUAGUAUUUUUAUUUUAUUUUGUUUUUUGUGUUAUCUGCUGGUGGCCAAUUAUGUAUGGAUGACAUUGGGGUUAUGAAUUGUUAAUUUAGUUUUGUGAAUGGGCUGCACCUAGCUGAGGAAAAAAAUGAGUUGCUUGGCUAUAAAAGCAAGCAUGUUCAUGCGCUUUGGGAAUGUACCCCCUUGAAAUGCUUUGUAUACUUGGUAAAAUAGGCUAUCUAUCUGUUGCAGAAAAUGAAUAAAUUUUCAUGUUGACCAUGUUCUUUAUGGGCCAUGAGUUGAUGUUCAUGAUUGUUUUAUAUUGUAGGACUGCCAUGUGGGGUUCUGUUAAGAGAAGGUCGGGCUCUACCAGGUAGUCACCUUAUGGCUCAACAUUUUUUUCAUAAUGUUCCCAUCACAUGAGUCUGUUUGGACAAGUUCUGCUUGUUCAACAUGUAGUGUCUCGGAAGUCUAUCUUACUGUUUGUGUGUGAGGUGUUGCCCUCUCCAUUAGUAGCAAGGAGCCAAGGACAGGGCUGUUUGCAGGUGUUCUUAAAUUAAGCAUGCAUUUGGAACAUGUAAAAAAGAGUGCCUUUCUCAUGGCAUGCAGAGGAAAACACCCAUGAGAAGAAUUUAGCAGUAAACAUAUUAUAAAGGGCAUCUGAUUUUGUUCUUGGAUGAUGAUAUGGUUCUCAGCUGUUUUUAUGAUUAUAUUCAUAAUAGUCUUAAUUCAUUUUUGAGUUUCUCUUUUAUGGAUUGUUAAAAUCUGGCAACAAGACAUGUAGUAGUUGGAAGAAGAAAUGGCAACAAUUUCAAGAAUUUAUUUAAUCCUGUUGUUAGCUCUAUUGUGAAAUGGUUAAUGGUAUUCAGGGACCUCUCGAUUAAUGUAUAGAUAGAUUCGGAUGGUUUCAUAGCAAUGUAAAAAGUUUGCUAAAUUCUCUAAAUACAAUCUGGAUUCCCAAGAUUAUUAAGAAAUCUUCACCGAAAUUAAUGGGAAGCUACCUUAGAAUCAGCGGAGAACUAUCUAAAAUCUAUGUAGAAAUCAAGUUUCUAAUCAUAUUAGUUAAGCUUACUGUAAACAAAUUUCAGUUGGAAGGAGCCUCCGAUUUAAUUGAAAAUUCUUCAUCAUUGGUUAUUGGCGCUAUUAACCACCGAUGUAUGCAAAUUUUUCUUUAUUCUAAUAAAUGGCGUUGCCUCUGCUGAUUAGAGGAAUGCUGUCUCAUAUCAAAAAUUUUUGUUUCUGAAUGGUUGGUAGGCUGUCGAGGAGAUUUAUGAGAUUGUUCCAGCUCGAAAAUGGAGAGCAGAGGAGAAACAGAUGAAUAAGAUAGUUUUUAUAGGUAAUCAUCUAAUGGUGUUGCUGCAUUAUUUUUCAGUAAAAUCCUUCCCACGAAAAAAAAAGGAAAAAAGAAUUUUGUUUGAGCUCUUUCCCUCCCUGCUGCCCUCAUUUAAAGUUUUGUUGUAAUUUCUCUGGCAGGUCAUCAUCUGAAUGGAGACAUUCUUGAAGAUUCCUUCAGAAGUUGCACGUUAGCAACUAUUUAACUAACAGUGAGAAGCAUUCCCAUGAUAUUUGCUAUUCUGAAGAUUCAAUUUAGUGAAGAUUGUUAUUUAGUCCAAUUAUAAAUAAUGGAGCUCAAGGAGUUGGGCCAUAGAGUACAUACCAAUUUUACUUGUUGAAUAGACUUUUUCACGUAAUUGGAAUAUUGGAAUUUUAUUAGUUUUAGCAGCAGCAUGUAUUUUAUAAAUUAUCAGUGGUCACCUCUUCCACUUUAAUUCAAUUUUUUUUUUCACUUAUAAAUGGAGAACCAAUAGAUGCUUAAAUCUUGAUAUUACUAAAAGUAGGGAAUAGAAAUGGUAUUGCACUCGGGAGUUGCCGGCAUCAAACUGCUCUGAAUCUCCAUAAUCAAAUGUUGCCCAAAGGAGACACAAGCAGAAUUUAUUAUUUCCUACUUCCAUUAGCAAACAUAAAAGAUAAUCUUAAUUCCUGUUUAAAAGAUAGCACAAGAGCUCAAUGGAAACAGCAGGAAUCUCUUUCUUAUUUUAUACAACUGACAAUUGGGAACUUUUGAAUCACAAUUCAAGUGAUAUUUUUGUAGGCUGUUGGAUUAUUGAAUAUUAUGUAGUUGUGCCCUUGAUGGCCAUUGUUAUGGUCAUGAUGAAUGCAAUUUCAAGAAGCUCGUGCCUGUAUUAUACAUUUGAAGAUGGUAAAAUGCUUAUAGCGACUUCAAGCAUGAUUCCAUCCCAUUAUACUUCAAACUUGGGCAACUUGUUACUGGGUUCUUGUUAAUUAAUUUAAUUUAGCAUACAUUAUAAUGCUGGGAACUUGUAUAAUGCAAAAUACUACGUCAAUGUUAAAUAAAUACAUGGUUUAAACGGAAAUGGUAAUUGAAGUAAAAGGCCAUAGUAGGAUGUUAAUAACAUUGCCGUAUAAAAAGGUAAUAAAUUACCUCUUAUCAGCAAUGGAUUGCCUUAGUCAAUAAUAACAUCAAACUUCAAUAGCCUAGACACCAAAAAAUAUUGAAGAUGAAGCAUGCAAUUCACAGACAAAGUUAGUUUAUAGGUUGUUAAUGCACACUGCAGUAAGAGCAAACUGGAUGACCAUGGUGGUAGAUAUCAAAAGUUAAUUUAAGAGAUAGUCAUUCUAGGAAAUAAUCACAAUCUUCCUCCAUCCGAAGACAAACAAAAGGCCAUCCUCACCCCUCCAACAACCAUCUCCAAGCUUUCAUCUCAAGCCAACCAGCCUCCAGCCCGCAACCAACACAAGCCACACAACAUUCGGGAGAGCAUCAUGUUGUCACACCAGAUUUGGUGAAUGGAUUUUCACCUCAAGCCAACCAGCCACCAGCCUCCAGCCCGCAACCACCACAAGCCACACACCAUUCGGGAGAUCACCCUGUUGUCACAGCCCUUAUACACCAUCAAAACCAGCCCGUAAUCCAUGGCCAAUUGCCUCAAGAUUCAGUUCAAGCUACAAUCACCACCUACACAAACAACUCCCACACAACAAAAAACCACAUGCAAAUCACAAGCAAGCACUCGGAACAAUGCUCACGACCAAUGUUGUGCAAAUUUUAAUGUACUCGCAAGCGCACGAAUCUAUUGUAGUAUAGAUCAAUGGUGCCGAGUGUCGAUCCCACGAGGAGGUGGAUUUUAAUUGUGUGUAGAAUUAAUUUUGCAAAUGGGUGAUUGGAUUUGUGGUGGAAAUGAUUUGGAAUAUGCUAAAACUUAAAUUAAAAUGGCGAGAAUAAACUCUAAAAUUGGAAUUGAAAUGGCGAGAAUAAAUUGAAGAGAAUUCUAUUGAAAUGACGUACUUGGGUAUCUGGAUCCGUAUCAACAUGCAUCAUGGGCUAAAUAUUCCUUAUUAAUACCAAUUAAAUCAUGAGGGGGGAAUCCACACCUCAUGAACCACACUCUAAUCAAUAUGGUGCUAAGGGCUUAUCGUGCCAAAUAAUAAUAACCUUGUACUAGAAUGCCGGUAAAACCAAGGCGAUACUAGACAAGAUUAGUAUUAUUUAUUGACGAGAAGUCAAAACAUCCACAAAAACUAGAGGGGAAGAGAAAAUAAAUUUACCAAAUAAAGCCCAUGACACUUGUUGAGACUUCACCUUCAACCCAAGCUUGAAAGGAAAUUAGCUACUCAUAAUUGAACAAGGGGCAAAAUGAGAAUUUAUUAAAAUACAAAGAAAAUACAAGAUGGAGAAGGAAUUACAGAAAAUAGAUCCCAAAAAUGGAUUCAGAGAUGCCAAAUUAGGGGGGAGAGGUCCCCUUUUUAUAGACAUAUGGAGUAAAUUAUGGCCAUCGGAUUAAAAACAGUUUGGACGCUCAGGAUUGUGCCACGUCAUCAGUCAACAGUACGCGUGAAUAGUAACACGGUUUCACCACGCGGUUUGAACAGUAUGCGGUUUGAUGCAUGUACCGUACGCGAGAUUUUUCGUCCACUGAUAUGUUGCCACGUCACCAUUAAUAGUACAUAAGAAUUUUAGUCCAACAGGAUCGUGACACCUCAUCGGUCAAUGCCACGUCAUCGAUCUGUCUAUGUGAACAGUGUCGUGAACAGUAAUGUAGACAGUACCGUACACGUGAAUAGUACCAUUUUUCUUUUUAUGCCCCUCCUAAGGUUUUCGACCGUCCUGAGUUCAAAAGUGAUGUCCGUUUUGCCAUCUGAUCUCUCCUUUAUUGUGAAAUGACUAUAAUGCCCCUAAAAUACCUAAAAUACUUAAUUAAAAUAAAACACACGUAAUUGAAUCACAAGAAGGUUAAAUACAUAAAAGUAAUGGUUGUUAGUAAGACUUGAAAUGUAAAAUGAUGGUUUUCUCCUUUUAUAAAUAUGCAUUUUCUAACACUCAACACACCCCCCAACCAGUUUAUUGCUAGUCCCUAGCAAAUAAAGCGAAAACAAAAUUCAAAUUUAAAAUAUAUAUAUAUAUAUUUUUAGAAACACUCGUGUUUAUUCAAUCAGAUUAAUGAUAGCAAUCAAAUAAAAGUAUAAGCAUUAUCUCCAGUCUAAAGCAACAUCAUACCCACAUCAACCAUCCACAUGAAUAAGCCCAGUAGACUUUGUCAUAGCUACUUUCAAGAAUGAUAUGUCAAACCCCAAAAUCUCACUGGAAGUAGUGACACUCUCACAAAGAAAUUAAACCCAAUAAAAAUAGUCACUCCAAUGAAUGAUAAUUGAGAGAAAGUAAUAAAGAAGUGAUAUCACAUGCUCUCACCAAGAUGAAAGAAAUAUGCUCUUAGCUUAGAAAUAAUACGAUCUCAAGUCAAAUAAAAAUGCUAGUCAACCCAAUUUAUUUAUUUAUUUUUUUUAUUAUGCACCACUACAUUUUUUUAGCCCAUAUAACUAGCUUCUACUUCAAACUAUAGUUUCCUAAAAUCAAGAAGGACUUUUAUUAGGAUGUAACGUAGGGUAGGGACAUGGCUAACAAAGAAGGGAAAUAAGGGAAACAAAGUGUAUGUUUGAGAAAAAUACAGAGAAAUAUUUUUUUUUUUUGGAAGUUGCAAGGUGGAUUUCACCUAUUAUUGUUAUUUUUAUUCUUUUGAAACAACUUUUAUUUUGUUUUGUUUUUUUUUUUUGCUUUUAUUUGGCAUAACUUUACUGAACAAAAUAAUUAUUUACAUUUUUCUCAAACAUAAAUAGGUGAUGGAACUUAUAAGACAUCGGGUAAUACUCCAAAUCGGAGUGGGUCAAGAUGAUAAGUUGACAAAGAAAUUUUUUUUUUAAAGGCUCAAAAGGGUUAACUAUGGAUAUUUAAUAAAAGGGAUGGCUAGAAAGGCUCAAACGGAUCAAAUAUGACCUUUCCAUCGUUUUUUAGGGCUCUAAAUAAUCAUCCAUAUCUACUAAUUAGAUGGGCCUCCAAAUGUAGCAACACACAUUUUUUUUUUUAAGGGUUAACUCAAAAGAAAUCUAGAGAUCGUGUAUACAAUAAUAAACUGCUAAACUGUAUAAAAAAUGGGCAAAAAGGUUACUCUCCAAGAAAAAUGAUAGGCUCAAAAACCCACUUGGUACUUAUUAUGACAUGUUCAUUCUUUCAAGCAACUCAUAUUUGUCUCCGACAUUAACAUAUAAAGUAGCAAACAUGGCGUAACAUCACUUAAGACCAAAGAUAAUACAAAUACUAAAAUUUGAAAUUCAUCAUGUCAUCCAAUGUUAAAACAAAUCACACAAAUUUUUUUUUUAAACAACAUUCUACCCCCCAACCUAUUCUAAACAUGAAAGGAAAAUAUGCAUGUAGAAAUGUGAAAAUGAUGUAGAAAACUAAUUAGAAAAGUUACACUUAAAAUGAUAGAAAAAGAAAAUAUAUAUAUCUAUAUAUUUUUACUAAGAAGAUGCGUUUCUAGAGGCAUUACACUCCAUAUUCAGCGAUCUUCGACUCAAAAGUUGGAAAAUGUAUAUUUAUAGAGGAGAAAUUAAAAAGAAGAAGAAAAAUGAAUAUCAAAACUUAAUAAAGAAAAAGAAAAUUUAUUUUUUAUUUUUUAUUUUUUAUUAUUUUUUUUCAAACAAUGAAGAUGCGUUUCUAGAGUCACUACACUCCAUAUUCAGCCAUCUUCAACACAAAAAGUUAGCAACAGUUAGUUUCUACAACAAAAAAUCAGUAAAAACUUAAUCAAGAUUCCACAAUUGUCGACUAUUCCCUCCUCCCAACCAGAACGAAACAUUGUCCUCAAUGUUUUAAAGGAAAGAAGUAGAGUUUAGAAGACAUCACCUGAGUGGUGCAACACAGAAGAAAAUAUUUACAGGCGGAGAGUUAAAUCUAAUUUGUACUUCUUACUGCUUCUACUGUUACCAUCAUUCUUUGGACGCUCCAACACAAAUGUCCAAGGGUCUGGCUCCAGUCUAUAAGCUUGUAACAGAUCAAGUAGCUUGUUGUGCAAAUUUUAAUGUACUCGCAAGCGCACGAAUCUAUUGUAGUAUAGAUCUAUGGUGACGAGUGUCGAUCCCACGAGGAGGUGGAUUUUAAUUGUGUAGAAUUAAUUUUGUAAAUGGGUGAUUGGAUUUAUGGUGGAAAUGAUUUGGAAUAUGCUAAAACUUAAAUUAAAAUGGCGAGGAUAAAUUCUAAAAUUGGUAUUGAAAUGGCGAGAAUAAAUUGACGAGAAUUAUAUUGAAAUGACGUACUUGGGUAUCUGGAUCCGUAUCAACAUGCAUCAUGGGCUAAAUAAUCCGUAUUAAUGCCAAUUAAAUCAUGAGGGGGGAAUCCACACCUCAUGAACCACGCUCUAAUCAAUAUGGUGCUAAGGGCUUAUCGUGCCAAAUAAUAAUAACCUUGUACUAGAGGGCCGGUGAAACCAAGGCGGUACUAGACAAGAUUAGUAUUAUUUGUCGACGAGAAGUCAAAACAUCCACAAAAACUAGAGGGGAAGAGAAAAUAAAUUUACCAAAUUAAGCCCAUGACACAUGUUGAGACUUCACCUUCAACCCAAGCUUGAAAGAAAAUUAGCCACUCAUAAUUGAACUAGGGGCAAAAUGGAAAUUUAUUAAAAUACGAAGAAAAUACAAGAUGGAGAGGGAAUUACAGAAAAUGGAGUCCAAAAAUGGAUUCAGAGAUAUCAAAUUAGGGGGGAGAGGCCCCCUUUUUAUAGAUACAUGGAGUAAAUCAUGGCUAUCGGAUUAAAAACAGUUUGGACGCUCAGGAUUGCGCCACGUCAUCAGUCAACAGUCCACGGUUUGACCACGCGGAUGAACAGUAACACGGUUUGACCCGGAUGAACAGUAACGCGGUUUGGUUGAAAAUAAUCCUGUGUGAUGCAUGCACCGUACACGAGAUUUUUCGUCCACUGAUAUGCUGCCACGUCACCAUCAACAGUGCAUAAGAAUUUUAGUCCAACAGGAUCGUGACACCUCAUCAGUCAAUGCCACAUCAUCGGUCAAUGCCACUUCAUCAUCCGUCUAUGUGAACAGUGUCGUGAACAGUAACGUAUACAGUACCGUACACGUGAAUAGUACCGUACAUGUGAAUAGUGUCAUUUUUCUUUUUAUGCUCCUCUUAAGGUUUUCGACUGUCCUGAGUUCAAAAGUGAUGUCCGUUUUGCCGUCUGAUCUCUCCUUUAUUGUGAAAUGACUAUAAUGCCCCUAAAAUACAUAAAAUACUUAAUUAAAAUAAAACACAUGUAAUUAAAUCACAAGAAGGUUAAAUACAUAAAAGUAAGGUUUGUUAGUAAGACUUGAAAUGUAAAAUGACGGUUUUCUCCUUUAUAAAUAUGCAUUUUCUAACACUCAACACACCCCCCAACCAGCUUAUUGCUAGUCCCUAGCAAAUGAAGCGAAAAUAAAAUUCAAAUUCAAAAUGAUUUUUUUUUUUAAUUUAGAAACACUCGUGUUUAUUCAAUCAGAUUAAUGAUAGCAAUUAAAUAAAAGUAUAAGCAUUAUCUCCAGUCUAAAGUAACAUCACACCCACAUCAACCAUCCACAUGAAUCAGCCCAGUAGACUUUGUUAUAGCUACUUUCAAGAAUGACAUGUCAAACCCCAAAAUCUCACUGGAAGUAGUGACACUCUCACAAAGAAAUUAAACCCAAUAAAAAUAGUCACUCCAAUGAAUGGUAAUUGAGAGAAAAUAAUGAAGAAGUGAUAUCACAUGCUCUCACCAAGAUGAAAUAAAUAUGCCCUCAGCUUAAAAAUAAUACGAUCUCAAGUCAAAUAAAAACUGUUAGUCAACCCAAUUUAUUUAUUUAUUUAUUUUUAUAUGCACCACUACAUCUUUUUAGCCCAUAUAACUAGCUUCUACUUUAGAUUAUAGUUCCCUAAAAUCAGGAAGGACUUUUAUUAGGAUGUAACGUAGGCUAGGGACAUGGUUAACAAAGAAAUGAAAUAAGGAAAACAAAGUGUAUGUUUGAGAAAAUUGCAGAGAAUUUUUUUUUUUUCAAGUUGCAAGGGGGAUUUCACCUAUUAUUGUUAUUUUUAUUCUUUUGAAACAACAACUUUUGUUUUGUUGUUUUUUUUUUUUUUUUUUUUUUGGUAUAACUUCACUGAACAACAUAAUUAUUUACAUUUUCUCAAACAUAAAUAGGUGAUGGAACUUAUAAGAUAUCGGGUAAUACUCCAAAUCGGAGUGGGUCAAGAUGAUAAGUUGACAAAGAAAAUGUUUUUUUUUUUUUUUUUUUUAAGGUUCAAAAGGGUUAACUAUGGAUAUUUAAUAAAAGGGAUGGCUAGAACGGUUCAAACGGAUCAAAGAUGGCCUUUCCAUCGUCUUUUAGGGCUCUAAAUAACCUUCCAUAUCUAUUAGUUAGAUGGGCCUCCAAAUGUAGCAACACAAUUUUUUUUUUUUUUUUUAUUAAGGGUUAACUCAAAAGAAAUCUAGAGAUCGUGUAUACAAUAAUAAACUGUUAAGCUGUAUAAAGAAUGAGCAAAAUGGUUACUCUCCAAGAAAAAUGAUAGGCUCAAAAACUCACUUGGUACUUAUUAUGACAUGUUCAUUCCUUCAAGCAACUCAUAUAUGUAUCUGACAUCAACAUGUAGAGUAGCAAACAUAAUGUAGUAUCACUUAAGACCAAAGAUAAUACAAAUACUAAAAUUUAAAAUUAAUCAUGUCACCCAAUGUUAAAACAAAUCACACAAAUUUUUUUUUUUUUUUUAAACAACAUUCUACCCCCCAACCUAUUCUAAACAUGAAAGGAAAAUAUGCAUGCAGAAAUGUGAAAAUGAUGCAUAAAUACUAAUUAGAAAAGUUACACAUAAAAUGAUAGAAAACGAAAAUGAUUUUUUAUUUAUUUAUUUUAAAGAAGAUGCGUUUCUAGAGGAACUACACUCCAUAUUCAGCCAUCUUCGACUCAAAAGUUGGGAAAUGUAUAUUUAUAGAGGAGAAAUUAAAAAUAAGAAAAAUAAACAUAAACACAUAAUAAAGAAAAAGAAAAUGUCUGAAUGUUUUUUUAAACGAUGAAGAUGCGUUUCUAGAGUCACUACACUCCAUAUUCAGCCAUCUUCAACACAAAAAGUUAGCGACAGUUAGUUUCUACAACAAAAAAAUUAGUAAAAACUUAACCAAAAUUCCACAAUUGUCGACUAUUCCCUCCCCCCAACCAGAACGAAACAUUGUCCUCAAUGUUUGAAAUGAAAGAAGUAGAGUUUAGAAGACAUCACCUGGGUGGUGCAACACAGAAAAUAAUAUUUACAAGCGGAGAGUUAAAUCUAGUUUGUAUUUCUUACUGCGGCUACUGUUACCAUCAUUAUUUGGGCGCUCCAACACAAAGGUCCAGGGGUCUGGCUCCGAUUUAUAAGCUUGUAACAUAUCAAGUAGCUCAUUAGCAGUGUGAGCACAAAUAAAAAGUUUUUUCACAUUAGAAGGAAUGAAAUAGUUUUUUAUUGCAUGGUUAAUAAAUGCGAUAAAGCCAUCAUAAAAGUUAUUGACAUUUAACAAACCGAUGGGUUUCUGGUGGAUGUGCAGAUGGGCCCAAGAUGCUAGUGUGAUAAGUGCCUCUAGUGUUGCAAGAUCUCCUGGAAGGAAAAUAAAAGCAUCAGCAUGAUUAAGCAUUUCAGUUAUUCUUUCUUGCAUACCUGAGACGACUAACUCUUCUCCAGUUGAUGAGUCAGACAAACUGCCCAAUGGUUUUAGAACUCUUGGGAUGAUGCCUAACACUUGACUUCCUCUGAUAAAAGCUGCUUCUGAGACCAUUUUUGAUAAUCCUCGGUUACCUCCUCCAUACACCAAGUGUAAUUUUCUCUCUGCUAUACGUCGACCAAGAUCUAUGGCUGCCUCAACGAACUCUUUAUGUUUGCCAUAUGUAAAUCCAGAAAGCACACAAAUGUUCUUGAAUUGUCUAUUGGGAGUAGCUGCCAUUGUGAUAUUUCUCAAAAACAAUUUGUGAGUGCUUGACAAAAAGAAAUCACAUUUAAGAAUCUUGGUGAUAGUGGGUCAUAGUUGUGUAUGAGGUCACAUGUCCAUGUCAAAUAACGCGUAAAGCACGUGGCUCGCGAGUCAAAAAGAAAACAGUAAAAAGGAAAUAGCAAACAGUAAUAAAAUUAUUAAAGACAAUAAUGCAAACAAUAAGACAAUAGUGAAAUAAAAUAACAAUAAAGUAAAAGGAUAUUUACAGGUAGUUGCGACUGUGGCUCACAUCUUCCUCUGGUUUUACGUCCAGAAACGGCUUGAACGCCCUCUAUGGGUCGAGGAUAGGCUUCCUAUCCAGUUUUCUUAUAAACUGGCAAACAGGGUCGUUUAUAGUCAGAUUCCCAAGACUAUAUCGUGCAUGCUCUUUCUGGAAUAAUGGCCAUAACUGGAGAAUUGCUCCUUGCACAUAUCCACUGGGAUGCGUUUCAAGAGACAAAAGGAUAUCAUCCAAUGACUCCUUAUUCAAGCCAUCCCUAAUGAAUUGAAUCUUAUCUUCCCUGUUAUCAGACACCAUUCCUAAAGAACAUGGGUUUUUAUUGCAACUCAUUCUGGCACACUUAUGACAAGCGACAGAAAUUCUUCGAGCUCGUCGUUUUCUUGCAUAAUUUCCUUUACCACAACCAGGCAUGUAUGCAAUAAAUUUUGGAGGUAACUCACCUGCCGAUCGUACUUUAGCCUCGAUUAACCAACGGAUGUCAGCAGGUAUGUUAUUCCUCAUGAGUAAUCGCAUGCGUUCGGACCGAGCUUUAUAGAUCGUAAGGAGGGCAUUCUGAGGAAGUGAAGGGAAUCGCUUGUGAAGCUUCGCUAGAAUCUCGUUUCUGUCCAUACCUUCGCCUCAGAAUAUCAGUUAUUAUGGGAAACUGAAGUAACCGACUUGAUUGUCACGGAGUACCGUUAUCCGCCACUUCACCGGGGUAACAAACUAAAGCACACAAACAGAAAAACAAAUUAAAACACACAAAGAAAAUUAAAAUCGUCCUCUUAUUGAAUUUACCUCAAGCUCCAACUGGAUGUCGUAAACACUUCUCUCAAUGUCUCUGAGUUGGCUUUCUAAACCCUCAACAUAGGCUACUAACUCUGGUGGUUGUAGAGCCCAAAUGCGUUGUGUUUUACAAAAUUGAAUCUGCCUUUUGAGAUGAGUUUUGACACGUUGAAGUGGUUUAAGAAUGUUCAGGAGGAACGGUCUAAGUAUGAGACUCAUGAUUAACAAUGAUAAGAGAAAACUUAAUAGUAAAAUAAACACACUUAUGCAAAAACAAUUUCAAUUAGCAAAAGAAUAAUAUAAAGAAAGAAAACAAAAUCAAAUCAACGAAAAGAAAGAAAAAAAAAUCAAUUCAAAUCUGGUGGGUCACUCAAAUUUAUUUCGGUGUCUUCUCCACGUGGUUGGUAUUCUAGAUAUGGCUUUAAUCUUUGACCAUUAACUUUAAACGUGACACCGUUCUUUGGGUCCUUAAUUUCAAUUGCCCCAUGUGGAAAAACAGUAUGAACAAUAAAGGGACCAGACCAACGAGAGCGUAACUUACCUGGGAAUAGGUGCAAGCGAGAAUUGAACAAAAGCACUUUCUGACCUGGAGUGAACGAUUUUCUCAUAAUUUGCUUAUCAUGGAAGACUUUCAUUCGUUGCUUGUAAAUCUUGGCAUUUUCGUAUGCAUCAUUGCGAAUUUCUUCAAGUUCUGCCAGCUGUAAUCUUCUUUCUGAGCUGGCUUGCUGCAUGUCAAAAUUGAAUUUCUUGAUAGCCCAAUAUGCACGAUGCUCGAGUUCCACAGGUAGGUGGCAAGCUUUUCCAUACACUGGUCUGUAGGGUGACAUCCCAAUCGGGGUCUUGAAAGCCGCUCUAUAUGCCCAUAAGGCAUCAUCAAAUCUUAAUGACCAAUCUUUCCUGUCUGGCCUCACCGUUUUUUCUAAUAUGUGCUUUAUUUCUCGAUUGGAUAUCUCAACUUGGCCACUAGUUUGCGGAUGAUAUGGGGUUGCCACUUUGUGUGUGAUUGAAUACUUUGUCAAAAGAGCUUUGAAUGCUUUGUUACAAAAGUGGGCACCACCAUCACUGAUUAUUGCUCGAGGGAAUCCAAAGCGUGAAACAAUGUUGCUUUUCAAAAAUGCUAUCACCACCUUGUGAUCAUUGGUCCUACAUGGAAUUGCUUCUACCCAUUUCGAUACGUAGUCAACAGCAACCAAUAUGUAUUGAUGGCCAAAAGACGGGGGAAAGGGUCCCAUGAAGUCGAUACCCCAUACGUCAAAAUCUCAACCACUAAAAUUGGAUUUAGUGGCAUCAUGUUCCUUCGUGUAAUGCUCCCCAUUCGUUGACACCUAUCACAUGAAGAACAGAAAGUGUAAGCAUCUCGAAAUAUAGUUGGCCAAUAGAAACCACAUUGUAAAACUUUAGUCGCUGUUUUCUUAGCACUGAAAUGGCCUCCACAAGCUUGUUCAUGGCAGAAUGAAAGAAUAUUCUGAAUUUCAUUUUCUGGGACACAUCGUUUAACAAUUUGGUCUGCACAAUACUUGAACAAAUACGGGUCAUCCCAAAAGAAAUUCUUUAUCUCUGCAAAGAAUUUAGCCUUGUCUUGCUUGGUCCAAUGCUCUGGAAGUUUACCUGUAACAAGAUAAUUAACUAUAUCAGCAUACCAAGGUAAUACUUCCACAUUCAUUAAUUGUUCAUCUGGAAAUGACUCAUUCAAUGGUAAUGAUUCUGUAAUUGUGUCAAAAUGGAGACGAGAGAAGUGGUCCGCCACAACAUUUUCUGUCCCUUUUUUAUCUUUGAAUUCCAAGUCAAAUUCCUGCAAAAGUAACACCCAACGAAUUAGUCUGGCUUUUGCAUCUUUCUUUGUGAGAAGAUAUUUAAGAGCAGUAUGAUCCGUGAAUAUAAUUAUUUUACAACCAAUGAGAUAUGAUCGAAAUUUUUCCAAUGCAAAUACUACUGCUAGCAUUUCUUUUUCAGUAGUUGAAUAGUUCAACUGUGCAUCAUUCAAUGUCAUACUAGCAUAAUAAAUAACAUGGGGAAUUCGAUCAACUCUUUGUCCUAAUACUGCUCCUACUGCAUAAUCAGAUGCAUCACACAUGAGUUCAAAUGGUAAGCUCCAGUUCGGGGCCUGAAUGAUGGGUGAUGAUGUCAACAACUGUUUUAAUUUUUCAAACGCCAUAAGACAUGAAUCAUUAAAGAUAAAAGGUACAUCCUUAGCAAGUAAAUUGCAUAAGGGUCUAGAAACUUUGCUAAAAUCUUUAAUGAAACGUCUAUAGAAACCAGCAUGCCCAAGGAAAGAUCUUACUUGUCUGACUGUUUUGGGUGGAGGAAGAUUAGAAAUGAGAUCCACCUUGGCUUUGUCAACCUCAAUACCUUUGCUUGAAAUGAUGUGACCGAGAACAAUACCUUGUUUUACCAUAAAAUGGCAUUUCUCCCAAUUUAAGACCAAGUUCUUCUUGACACAUCUCUGCAGAACUAGUGUUAGAUGAUGUAAACAUUGAUCAAAUGAAUCACCAAAGACAGAAAAAUCAUCCAUAAAGACUUCAAGGAAUCGUUCAACCAUAUCAGAAAAAAUACUCAACAUGCAUCGUUGAAAUGUAGCAGGUGCAUUGCAUAAUCCAAAUGGCAUUCUCCUAUAUGCAAAUGUGCCAAAAGGGCAAGUGAAAGUAGUUUUCUCUUGAUCUUUUGGUGCUAUGGGAAUCUGAUUAUAUCCUGAGUAGCCAUCUAGAAAGCAAUAAAAUUCAUGGCCUGCUAAUCUAUCAAGCAUUUGAUCAAUAAAUGGUAAAGGAAAAUGGUCUUUACGUGUGACAGAAUUCAACUUCCUAUAAUCAAUGCAUACACGCCAUCCUGUAGUUACUCUAGUGGGUAUCAAUUCAUUAUCAGCAUUGGUAACUACUGUGACUCCUGACUUUUUAGGGACAACUUGCACAGGACUGACCCAUGAACUAUCAGAAAUUGGAUAAAUGAUACCUGCAUCUAAUAGCUUAAGGACUUCUGUUCUAACAACUUCUUUCAUAUUAGGAUUUAACCGACGUUGCAUUUCCCUAGUAGAUUUAGCAUUUUCAUCAAGGUGAAUGUAAUGCAUGCAGUCUACUGGAUUUAUACCUUUUAUGUCUGCUAUGGUCCAUCCUAAUGCUCCUUUGUGCUCUUUCAAAACAUCUAACAACUUACCUUUUUGUUCGUCAUUGAGGGAUGAUGAGAUGAUUACCGGCAGAGUGCUUUCUUCUCCCAAAAAUGCAUAUUCCAAAGUGUUGGGCAAUGGUUUGAGUUUCGGUGGUGAUUCUGAUGAUGGAAUGAGUUGCUUCUCUGAUGGUGCUAGUUGUUCAACUAUUGACUUCCAUUUAUUAGUGUCCAUAGAUGGUGCUGAGUCAAGCAGGGCGUUGACCUCAUCAACCGAUCUGUCAAUAUCAAAAUCAAAACCAAAGUGAGUUAAACAUGUUUGUAAAGGAUCAUCACUAAGGUUUGAAACAAAAGUAUCAUCAACUAAUGCUUCAAUUAAAUCCACAUCAACAAUUCCAUCAUCUACACUGUGAGGUUGUUUGGCAAUGUUGAAGAUGUUCAGUUCCAUAGUCAUGUUGCCGAAGGACAACUGCAUAUUUCCGGUCCUACAUUGAAAGUGAGCAUCCGCAGUUGCCAAGAAAGGUCGGCCUAGAAUAAUGGGGAUGUGCUUCCUUGAAUCCCGUAUUGGUUGAGUAUCAAUUACAAUAAAAUCAACAGGAAAAUAAAACUUGUCUACCUGGAUAAGCACGUCCUCCACAAUACCACGAGGUAUUUUCGUGGACCGAUCUGCAAGCUGUAACACCACUGGAGUUGGGUGUAAUUCUCCCAGUCCAAGUUUCACAAAUACUGAAUAAGGCAACAAAUUUACACUAGCUCCUAAAUCCAACAAAGCAUUCUCAAUUGUGUGGUUCCCUAUACUACAUGAGAUAGUGGGGGAGCCUGGGUCUUUGCAUUUUAAAGGAAUUUUAUGUUGGAGUAUAGAACUAACGUUUUCUGUUAAAAAUGCCUUCUUUUGAACAUGCAUAUUUCUCUUUUUAGUACAAAGGUCUUUAAGAAACUUGGCAUAAGAUGGAACUUGUUUAAUAGCAUCAAGUAAAGGGAUGUUAACACUUACCUGUUUGAAGAUUUCAAGAAUCUCACCUGUGGAUUUUCCCUUCUUUCCUUUAGCUAACCUUUGAGGAAAUGGAGCUUUGGGAACGUAUUCUCGUGGGUUAGUUUCUUCUUUCUCCUCCGGUGAUGAGUCCUCAACAUUCACAGGUACAAUUUGAUUUUCUUUUGUCACCGGCAUCUCCACUUUGUUGUCGACUUCCUUUCCUUUUCGCAAGGUCAUUACUGCUUUGAUCUCUCCAUGCUGCUGUGGUGAACUGGUACUUGCUUCAUGUACUCCUUUAGGAUUAGGCACUGGUUGACUUGGAAACUUGCCUUUCUCAACAGUCAUUGCCAAGGUCUGAACUGAAGAAGCAAGUUGUCCCACCAUUUUUUCGAGGCUUGAAACAGAUUGAGCUUGUGAGUUGAAGCCUGCUCUCAACUCAUUUCGUAGUCCAUCAAUGGUGCGAUUCUGUUGCUCAAUCGUGGAGUGAGUAACAUUCCUGAAAUUCUGGAAUGCAUCCUCCCAUGGUCUAGGUUGAGAGUGGUUCUGGUUCUGAUUGUAUGGUCUAAAUGGUGGCUGAGAGGCUUGAGGAUUUUGUGGAAUUGGUGGAGCUGGAGCUGCUGGUCCGUUCUGUUGGAAUCCUUGAGACCAUGAAAAAUUGGGGUGGUCUCUCCAUCCAGGGUUAUAUGUGUUGGAGUAUGGGUUGUAAUUCGAUGGUUUUCUCAUUACACCUAUGGCAUUGGCUUGAUCUGAGUAUGAGUCAUGGUCAUGUGACUCUGUUGAUUUAGCAGUCGAUAAUGAUGCUAUUUGUCGAGCAAGACCUUCAACCAUCUCCUUGACUUCUUUGAUUCCUGAAGUUGAUUCGCCAAUUUGAACCUCAUUCACUCCUUUAAUUCUUCUAGUGGUCCUGAGUGAUCGACUCCGUUGUUGGGAAUUAUCUGCUUGUCGCUGGAAGAAUUCCCAAAUUUCUGAUGCACUUUUUGACAUUAGCUCUCCUCCACUUGUUGCCAUUAGCCAUUCUUGCACAUUCGGCAAUAAUCCCUCCAAAAAGUAUUGGCAUUGGUGCCAUUUUUCGUACCCAUGAUGUGGACACUUCAAGAGUAGCCCAUUGAAUCGCUCCCAUGUUUCAAAAAACUGCUCGUCCUCUCUCUGGGUAAACUCCGAGAUUUCCCUGCGAAUAGCGUUGGUUUUAUGCACUGGGAAAUAUUUAUUUAAAAAUUUUGUAACCAUUUGUUCCCAUGAUGAAAUGCUAUUGGCAGGUAAAGUAUUUAACCAUGAACGAGCUCUAUCCUUUAAAGAAAAUGGGAAUAGUCUAAGUUUGACAUCAUCGUCUGAAAAAUUCUCGUAUUUAAAAGUUUGACAAAUAGCAUGAAAAUCGUUCAGAUGAUUGUAUAGGUCCUCAUUUUCUAAGCCAUAGAAUGUGGGGAGACAAUUUAGCACACUAGGUUUUAGUUCAAAACUCCUAGCAGCUACAUUUGGGUAUCUUAUGCAUGAUGUGCUCAAAUUUGCUAAAGGACUGAAAUAAUCCUUAAAUGGCCUCUCCUGUGGUUGCAAAUCCAUUUUAUUUUUUACUUGUUUGUGUGUGCGAAGAGUUUUCUCAAGUUCAAGGUCUAUAGGUUCAAGAUUGGGUAAUAAUGACCUUCGACCAUGCAUGCAAAACAAAUAAAAUAAAAAAUAAAGAUGGGAACAAAAUAAAUAAAAAUAAAGAAGAGGGAGAAAUUACGAUACUAACCUUAUUGCACUAUUAUAACCUUACUAAAAAAAAUACACAAAACAAAUACGUGAAAUAAAUUAAAUAAAAUAAACAAAAAUUACAAAGAAAAAAAUAAAUUAAAAAUUAAAUUACAGAAUUUUAAAUAAGAGAAAAAGAAAAGAAAUACUAACCUUUAAAUGUAGAUUCACUUUUUUUUUAAUAAUAAAAAAAAAUGCAAGAAAACAAAUAAAAGAAAUUAUUCAAAAAAAUUAAUUCUAUGAAUUAAAAUUACUUACCUCCCCGGCAACGGCGCCAAAAACUUGUUGUGCAAAUUUUAAUGUACUCGCAAGCGCACGAAUCUAUUGUAGUAUAGAUCUAUGGUGACGAGUGUCGAUCCCACGAGGAGGUGGAUUUUAAUUGUGUAGAAUUAAUUUUGUAAAUGGGUGAUUGGAUUUAUGGUGGAAAUGAUUUGGAAUAUGCUAAAACUUAAAUUAAAAUGGCGAGGAUAAAUUCUAAAAUUGGUAUUGAAAUGGCGAGAAUAAAUUGACGAGAAUUAUAUUGAAAUGACGUACUUGGGUAUCUGGAUCCGUAUCAACAUGCAUCAUGGGCUAAAUAAUCCGUAUUAAUGCCAAUUAAAUCAUGAGGGGGGAAUCCACACCUCAUGAACCACGCUCUAAUCAAUAUGGUGCUAAGGGCUUAUCGUGCCAAAUAAUAAUAACCUUGUACUAGAGGGCCGGUGAAACCAAGGCGGUACUAGACAAGAUUAGUAUUAUUUGUCGACGAGAAGUCAAAACAUCCACAAAAACUAGAGGGGAAGAGAAAAUAAAUUUACCAAAUUAAGCCCAUGACACAUGUUGAGACUUCACCUUCAACCCAAGCUUGAAAGAAAAUUAGCCACUCAUAAUUGAACUAGGGGCAAAAUGGAAAUUUAUUAAAAUACGAAGAAAAUACAAGAUGGAGAGGGAAUUACAGAAAAUGGAGUCCAAAAAUGGAUUCAGAGAUAUCAAAUUAGGGGGGAGAGGCCCCCUUUUUAUAGAUACAUGGAGUAAAUCAUGGCCAUCGGAUUAAAAACAGUUUGGACGCUCAGGAUUGCGCCACGUCAUCAGUCAACAGUCCACGGUUUGACCACGCGGAUGAACAGUAACACGGUUUGACCCGGAUGAACAGUAACGCGGUUUGGUUGAAAAUAAUCCUGUGUGAUGCAUGCACCGUACACGAGAUUUUUCGUCCACUGAUAUGCUGCCACGUCACCAUCAACAGUGCAUAAGAAUUUUAGUCCAACAGGAUCGUGACACCUCAUCAGUCAAUGCCACAUCAUCGGUCAAUGCCACUUCAUCAUCCGUCUAUGUGAACAGUGUCGUGAACAGUAACGUAUACAGUACCGUACACGUGAAUAGUACCGUACAUGUGAAUAGUGUCAUUUUUCUUUUUAUGCUCCUCUUAAGGUUUUCGACUGUCCUGAGUUCAAAAGUGAUGUCCGUUUUGCCGUCUGAUCUCUCCUUUAUUGUGAAAUGACUAUAAUGCCCCUAAAAUACAUAAAAUACUUAAUUAAAAUAAAACACAUGUAAUUAAAUCACAAGAAGGUUAAAUACAUAAAAGUAAGGGUUGUUAGUAAGACUUGAAAUGUAAAAUGACGGUUUUCUCCUUUAUAAAUAUGCAUUUUCUAACACUCAACAUAGCUCAUUAGCAGUGUGAGCACAAAUAAAGAGUUUUUUCGUAUUAGAGGGAAUGAAAUAGUUUUUUAUUGCAUGGUUAAGAAAUGCGAUAAAGCCAUCAUAAAAGUUAUUGACAUUUAACAAACCGAUGAGUUUCUGGUGGAUGUGCAGAUGGGCCCAAGAUGCUAGUAUGAUAAGUGCCUCUAGUGUUACAAGAUCUCCUGGAAGGAAAAUAAAAGCAUCAGCAUGAUUAAGCAUUUCAGUUAUUCUUUCUUGCAUACCUGAGACGACUAACUCUUCUCCAGUUGAUGAGUCAGACGAACUGCCCAAUGGUUUUAGGACUCUUGGGAUGAUGCCUAACACUUGACUUCCUAUGAUAAAAGCAGCUUCUGAGACCAUUUUUGAUAACCCUCGGUUACCUCCUCCAUACACCAAGUGUAAUUUUCUCUCUGCUAUACUUCGACCAAGAUCUAUGGCUGCCUCAACGAACUCUUUAUGUUUGCCAUAGUUAAAUCCAGAAAGCACACAAAUGUUCUUGAAUUGUCUAUUUGGAGUAGCUGCCAUUGGGAUACUUCUCAAAAAUAAUUUGUGAGUGCUUGACAAAAAAGAAAUCACAUUUAAGAAUCUUGGUAACAGUGGGUCACAGCUGUGUAUGAGGUAGCAUGUCAAUGUCAAAUAACGCGUAAAGCACGUGGCUCGAUAGUCAAAAAGGAAAAAGUAAAAAGGAAAAAGCAAACAGUAAUAAAAUUAUUAAAGACAAUAAUGCAAACAAUAAAACAACAGUGAAACAGUAAAGUAAAAGGAUAUUUACAGGUAGUUGCGACUGUGGCUCACAUCUUCCUCUGGUUUUACGUCCAGAAACGACUUGAACGCCCUCUAUGGGUCGAGGAUAGGCUUCGUAUCCAGUUUUCUUAUAAACUGGCAAACAUGGUCGUUUAUAGUCAGAUUCCCGAGACUAUAUCGUGCAUGCUCUUUCUGGAAUAAUGGUCAUAACUGGAGAAUCGCUCCUUGCACAUAUCCACUGGGAUGCGUUUCAAGAGACAAAAGGAUAUCAUCUAAUGACUCCUUAUUCAAGCCAUCCCUAAUGAGUUGAAUCUUAUCUUCCCUGUUAUUAGACACAAUUCCUAAAGAACAUGAGUUUUUAUUGCAACUCAUUCUGGCACACUUAUGACAAGCAACAGAAAUUCUUUGAGCUCGUCGUUUUCUUGCAUAAUUUCCUUUACCACAACCAGGCAUGUAUGCAAUAAAUUUUGGAGGUAACUCACCCGCCAAUCAUACUUUAGCCUCGAUUAACCAACGGAUGUCAGAAGGUAUGUUAUUCCUCAUGAGUAAUCGCAUGCGUUCGGACCGAGCUUUAUAGAUCGUAAGGAGGGCAUUUUGAGGAAGUGAAGGGAAUCGCUUGUGAAGCUUCGCUAGAAUCUCGUUUAUGUCCAUACUUUCGCCUCAGAAUAUCAGUUAUUAUGGGAAACUGAAGUAACCGACUUGAUUGUCACGGAGUACCGUUAUCCGCCACUUCACCGGGGUAACAAACUAAAGCACACAAACAGAAAAACAAUUAAAACACACAAAGAAAAUUAAAAUCGUCCUCUUAUUGAAUUUACCUCAAGCUCCAACUGGAUGUCGUAAACACUUCUCUUAAUGUCUCUGAGUUGGCUUUCUAAACCCUCAACAUAGGCUACUAACUCUGAUGGCUGUAGAGCCCAAAUACGAUGUGUUUUACAAAAUUGAAUCUGCCUUUUGAGAUGAGUUUUGACACGUUGAAGUGAUUUAAGAAUAUUCAGGAGGAACGGUCUAAGUAAGGUACUCAUGAUUAAAAAUGAUUAGAGAAAACUUAAUAGUUAAACAAACACACUUAUGCAAAAAUAAUUUCAAUUAACAAAAGAAUAAUAUAAAGAAAGAAAAAAAAUCAAAUCAACGAAAAGAAAAAAAUCAAUUCAAAUCUGGUGGGUCACUCAAAUUUAUUUCGGUGUCUUCUCCAUGUGCUUGGUAUUCUAGAUAUGGCUUUAAUCUUUGACCAUUAACUUUAAACGUGACACCGUUCUUUGGGUCCUUAAUUUCAAUUGCCCUAUGUGGAAAAACAGUAUGUACAAUAAAUGGGCUAGACCAACGAGAGCGUAACUUACCUGGGAAUAGGUGCAAGCGAGAAUUGAAUAAAAGUACUUUCUGACUUAGAGUGAACGAUUUUCGCAUAAUUUGCUUGUCAUGGAAGACUUUCAUUCGUUGCUUGUAAAUCUUGGCAUUUUCGUAUGCAUCAUUGCGAAUUUCUUCAAGUUCUGCCAGUUGUAAUCUUCUUUCUGAGCUGGCUUGCUGCAUGUCAAAGUUGAAUUUCUUGAUGGCCCAAUACACACGAUGCUUGAGUUCCACAGGUAGGUGGCAAGCUUUUCCAUACACUAGCCUAUAGGGUGACAUCCCAAUCGGGGUUUUGAAAGCAGUUCUAUAUGCCCAUAAUGCAUCAUCAAGUCAUAAUGACCAAUCUUUCAUGUCUGGCCUCACCGUCUUUUCUAGUAUGUGCUUUAUUUCUCGAUUGGAGAUCUCAACUUGGCCACUGGUUUGCGGAUGAUAUGGGGUCGCCACUUUGUGUGUGAUUGAAUAUUUUGUCAAAAGAGCUUUCACUGCUUUGUUACAAAAGUGGGCACCACCAUCAGUGAUUAUCGCUUGAGGGAAUCCAAAGCGCAAAACAAUGUUGCUUUUCAAAAAUCCUAUCACCACCUUGUGAUAAUUGGUUCUACAUGGAAUUGCUUCUACCCAUUUCGAUACAUAGUCAACAGCAACCAAUAUGUAUUGAUGGCCAAAAGAAGGGGGAAAGGGUCCCAUGAAGUUGAUACCCCAUACGUCAAAAAUCUCAACCACCAAAAUUGGAUUUAGUGGCAUCAUGUUCCUUUGUGUAAUGCUUCCCAUUCGUUGACACCUAUCACAUGAAGAACAGAAAAUGUAAGCGUCUCGAAAUAUAGAUGGCCAAUAGAAACCACAUUAUAAAACUUUAGUUGCUAUUUUCUUAGCACUGAAAUGGCCUCCACAAGCUUGUUCAAAAUAGAAUGAAAUGAUAUUCUAAAUUUCAAUUUCUAGGACACAUCGUCUAACAAUUUGAUCUGCACAAUAAUUGAACAAAUACAGGUCAUCCCAAAAGAAAUUCUUUAUUUCUGCAAAGAAUUUAGCCUUAUCUUGCUUGGUCCAAUGCUCUGGAAGUUUACCUGUAACAAGAUAAUUAACUAUAUCAGCAUACCAAGGUAAUACUUCCACACUCAUAAAUUGUUCAUCUAGGAAUGACUCAUUCAAUGGUAAUGUUUCCAUAAUUGUGUCAAAAUGGAGACGAGAUAGAUGGCCAGUCACAACAUUCUCUGUGCCUUUCUUAUCUUUAAAUUCCAAGUCGAACUCCUACAAAAGUAACACCCAACGAAUUAGUCUAGCUUUUGCAUCUUUCUUUGUGAGAAGAUAUUUAAGAGCAGCAUGAUCUAUGAAUACAAUUAUUUUACAACCAAUGAGAUAAGAUCGAAAUUUCUCUAAUGCAAACACUACUGCUAGCAUUUCUUUUUCAGUAGUUGAAUAGUUCAACUGUGCAUCAUUCAAUGUCAUACUAGCAUAGUAAAUAACAUGGGGAAUUCGAUCAACUCUUUGUCCUAAUACUGCUCCUACUGCAUAAUCAGAUGCAUCACACAUGAGCUCAAAUGGUAAGCUCCAGUUUGGGGGCUGAAUGAUGGGUGAUGAUGUCAACAAAUGCUUUAAUUUUUCAAAUGCAACAAGACAUGAAUCAUCAAAGACAAAAGGUACAUCCUUAGCAAGCAGAUUGCAUAAGGGUAUAGAAAUUUUGCUAAAAUCUUUAAUGAAACGUCUAUAAAAACCAGCAUGCCCAAGGAAAGAUCUUACUUCUCUGACUGUUUUGGGUGGAGGAAGAUUAGAAAUGAGAUCCACCUUUGCUUUGUCAACCUCAAUACCUUUACUCGAAAUGAUGUGACCGAGAACAAUACCUUGUUUUACCAUAAAAUGGCAUUUCUCUCGAUUUAAAACCAAGUUCUUCUCGAUACAUCUCUGCAAAACUAGUGUUAGGUGAUGUAAACAUUGAUCAAAUGAGUCACCGAAGACAGAAAAAUCAUCCAUAAAGACUUCAAGGAAUCGUUCAACCAUAUCAGAAAAAAUGCUUAACAUGCAUCGUUGAAAUGUAGCAGGUGCAUUACAUAAUCCAAAUGGCAUUCUCCUAUAUGCAAAUGUGCCAAAAGGGCAAGUGAAAGUGGUUUUCUCUUGAUCUUUUGGUACUAUGAGAAUCUGAUUAUAUCCUGAGUAGCCAUCUAGAAAGCAAUAAAAUUCAUGGCCUGCUAAUCUAUUAAGCAUUUUAUCAAUAAAUGGUAAAGGAAAAUGGUCUUUACGUGUGACAGAAUUUAAUUUUCUAUAAUCAAUGCAUACACGCCAUCCUGUAGUUACUCUAGUGAGUAUCAAUUUAUUAUCAGCAUUGGUAACUACUGUGACUCCUGACUUUUUGGGGACAACUUGCACAUGACUGACUUAUGAACUAUCAGAAAUUGGGUAAAUAAUACCUGCGUCUAAUAGCUUAAGGACUUCAGUUCUAACAAUUUCUUUCAUAUUAGGAUUUAACCGACGUUGCAUUUCCCUAGUAGAUUUAGCAUUUUCAUCGAGGUGAAUAUAAUGCAUGCAGUCUACUGGGUUUAUACCUUUGAUGUCUGCUAUAGUCCAUCCUAAUGCUCCUUUGUGCUCUUUUAAAACAUCCAACAACUUACCUUUUUGUUCGUCAUUUAGGGAUGAUGAGAUGAUUACCAGUAGAGUACUUUCUUCUCCCAAAAAUGCAUAUUCCAAUGUGUUGGGCAAUGGUUUGAGCUCGAGUUUCGGUGGUGAUUCUGAUGAUGGAAUGAGUUGCUUCUCUGAUGGUGUUAGUUGUUCAACUCUUGACUUCCAUUUAUUAGUGUCCAUGGAUGGUGCUGAGUCAAAUAGGGCGUUGACCUCAUCGACCGAUCUGUCAAUAUCAAAAUCCAAAUCAAAGUGAGUUAAACAUGUUUGUAAAGGAUCAUCACUAAGGUUUGAAAGAAAAGUAUUAUCAACUAUUGUUUAUAUUAAAUCCACAUCAACAAUUCCAUCAUCUGCACUGUGAGGUUGUUUGGUAAUGUUGAAGAUGUUCGGCUCCAUAGUCAUGUUACCGAAGGACAACUGCAUAUUUCCAGUCCUGCAUUGAAUGUGAGCAUCCGCAGUUGCCAAGAAAGGUCGGCCUAGAAUAAUGGGGAUGUGCUUCCUUGAGUCCUGUAUUGGUUGAGUGUCAAUUACAAUGAAAUCAACAGGAAAAUAAAACUUGUCUACCUAGAUAAGCACAUCCUCCACAAUACCACAAGGUAUUUUCGUGGACCGAUCAGCGAGUUGUAACACCACUGGAGUUGGGUGUAAUUCUCCCAGUCGAAGUUUCACGAAAACUGAGUAAGACAACAUAUUUACACUAGCUCCUAAAUCCAAUAAAGCAUUCUCAAUUGUGUGGUUCAUUAUACUACAUGAGAUAGUGGGGAGCCUGGGUCUUUGCAUUUUAGAGGAAUUUAAGGUUGGAGGAUAGAACUAACGUUUUCUGUUAAAAAUGCCUUCUUUUGAAUGUGAAUGUUUCUCUUUUUAGUACAAAGGUCUUUAAGAAACUUGGCAUAAGAUGGAAUUUUUUUAAUAACAUCAAGUAAAGGGAUGUUAACACUUACCUAUUUGAAGAUUUCAAGAAUCUCACCUGUGGAUUUUCUCUUCUUUCCUUUAGCUAACCUCUGAGGAAAUGGAGCUUUAGGAACGUAUUCUCUUGGGUUGGUUUCUUCUUUUUCUUCCGGUAGUGAGUCCUCAACAUUCACAGGUACAAUUUGAUUUUCUUUUGUCACCGGCAUCUCCACUUUGUUGUCGACUUUUUUUCCUUUUCGCAAGGUCAUAAUUGCUUUGACCUCUCCAUGCUGCUGUGGUGUACUGGUACUUGCUUCAUGUACUCCUUUAGGAUUAGGCAGUGGUUGACUUGGAAACUUGCCUUUCUCAACAGUCAUUGCCAAAGUCUGAACUGAAGAAGCAAGUUGUCCUACCAUCUUCUCGAGGCUUGAAACCGAUUGGGCUUGUGAAUUGAAGCCUGCUCUCAACUCAUUUCGUAGUCCAUCAAUGAUGCGAUUCUGUUGCUCAAUCGUAGAGUGAGUAACAUUCUUGAAAUUUUGGAAUGCAUCCUCCCAUGGUCUGGGUUGAGAGUAGUUUUGGUUCUGAUUGUAUGGUCUAAAUGGGGGCUGAGAGGCUUGAGGAACUUGAGGAAUUGGUUGCAUUGGUGGAGCUGGAGCCGCUGGUCCAUUCUGUUGGAAUCCUUGAGACCAUGAAAAAUUGGGGUGGUCUCUCCAUCCAGGAUUAUAUGUGUUAGAGUAUGGAUUGUAAUUUGAUGGUUUUCUCAUUACACCUAUGGUAUUGGCUUGAUAUGAGUAUGAGUCAUGGUCAUGUGGCUCUGUUGAUUUAGCAGUCGAUAACGAUGCUAUUUGUCGAGAAAGACCUUCAAUUAUCUCAUUGACUUAUUUGAUUUCUGAACUUGACUCGCCAAUGUGAACCUCAUUCACUCCUUUAAUUCUUCUAGUAUUCCUGAGUGAUCGACUCCGUUGUUGGGAAUUAUCCGCUUGUCGGGAAUUAUCCGCUUGUCGCUGGAAGAAUUUCCAAAUUUCUGAUGCACUUUUUGACAUUAGCUCUCCUCCACUUGUUGCCAUUAGCCAUUUUUGUACAUUUGGCAAUAAACCCUCCAAAAAGUAUUGGCAUUGGUGCCAUUUCUCGUACCCAUGUUGUGGACACUUCAAGAGUAGCCCAUUAAAUCGCUCCCAUGUUUCGAAAAACUGCUCGUCCUCUCUCUGGGUAAACUUCGAGAUUUCCCUGCGAAUAGCGUUGGUUUUAUGCACUGGGAAAUAUUUAUUCAAAAAUUUCGUUACCAUUUGUUUCCAUGAUGAAAUGCUAUUGGCAGGCAAUGUAUUAAGCCAUUAACGAGCUCUAUCCUUUAAAGAAAAUGGGAAUAAUCUGAGUUUAACAUCAUCAUCUGAAAAAUUCUCAUAUUUAAAUGUUUGACAAAUAGCAUGAAAAUCAUUCAAAUGAUUAUAUGGGUCCUCAUUUUCUAGGCCAUAAAAUGUGGGGAGAUAAUUUAGCACACUAGGUUUUAAUUCAAAGCUCCUAGCAGCUACAUUUGGGUAUCUUAUGCAUGAUGUGCUCAAAUUAGCUAAUGGACUAAAAUAUUCCUUAAAUGGCCACUCUUGUGGUGCUUGUAAAUCCAUUUUAUUUUUAACGUGUUUAUGUGUGCGCAGUGUUUUCUCAAGUUUAAGGUCUAUAGGUUUAAGAUUAGGAAAUAAUGACCUACGACCAUACAUGCAAAGAACACAAAAAUAAAUAGGAACAAAACAAAAAAAAAUAAAGAAAAUGAGAAAUUACGAUACUAAUCUUAUUACGCUGUUACAACCUUACUAUAAAAAUACACAAAAAAAUACGUGAAAUAAAUUAACUAAAAAGAAUUAGUAAGAUAAACAAAAAUUAUAAAGAAGAAAAAAAAUAUAACUUAAAAAUUAAAUUACAGAAAUUUAAAGAAGAGAAAAAGAAAAGAAAUACUAACCUCUAAAUGCGAAUUCACUUUUUUUUCUUUUUUUUAAUUAAAAAAAUACAAGAAAACAAAUAAAAGAAAUUAUUCACAAAAAUUAAUUCUAUGAAUUAAAAUUACUUACGUCCCCGGCAACGGCGCNNNNNNNNNNNNNNNNNNNNNNNNNNNNNNNNNNNNNNNNNNNNNNNNNNNNNNNNNNNNNNNNNNNNNNNNNNNNNNNNNNNNNNNNNNNNNNNNNNNNGUUGUGCAAAUUUUAAUGUACUCGCAAGCGCACGAAUCUAUUAUAGUAUAGAUCAAUGGUGACGAGUGUCGAUCCCACGAGGAGGUGGAUUUUAAUUGUGUGUAGAAUUAAUUUUACAAAUGGGUGAUUGGAUUUGUGGUGGAAAUGAUUUGGAAUAUGCUAAAACUUAAAUUAAAAUGGCGAGAAUAAACUCUAAAAUUGGAAUUGAAAUGGCAAGAAUAAAUUGAAGAGAAUUCUAUUGAAAUGGCGUACUUGGGUAUUUGGAUCCGUAUCAACAUGCAUCAUGAGCUAAAUAUUCCUUAUUAAUACCAAUUAAAUCAUGAGGGGGGAAUCCACACCUCAUGAACCACACUCUAAUCAAUAUGGUGCUAAGGGCUUAUCGUGCCAAAUAAUAAUAACCUUGUACUAGAGGGCCGGUGAAACCAAGGCGGUACUAGACAAGAUUAGUAUUAUUUGUCAACGAGAAGUCAAAACAUCCACAAAAACUAGAGGGGAAGAGAAAAUAAAUUUACCAAAUAAAGCCCAUGACACAUGUUGAGACUUCACCUUCAACCCAAGCUUGAAAGGAAAUUAGCUACUCAUAAUUGAACUAGGGGCAAAAUGAAAAUUUAUUAAAAUACGAAGAAAAUACAAGAUGGAGAAUGAAUUACAGAAAAUAGAUCCCAAAAAUGGAUUCAGAGAUGCCAAAUUAGGGGGGAGAGGUCCCCUUUUUAUAGAUACAUAGAGUAAAUCAUGGCUAUCGGAUUAAAAACAGUUUGGACGCUCAGGAUUGCGCCACGUCAUCAGUCAACAGUACGCGUCAACAGUAACACGGUUUCACCACGCGGUUUGAACAGUAUGCGGUUUGGUUGAAAAUAAUCCUGUGUGAUGCAUGUACCGUACGCGAGAUUUUUCGUCCACUGAUAUGCUGCCACGUCACCAUCAACAGUACAUAAGAAUUUUAGUCCAACAGGAUCGUGACACCUCAUCAGUCAAUGCCACAUCAUCGGUCAAUGCCACGUCAUCGAUCUGUCUAUGUGAACAGUGUCGUGAAUAGUAAUGUAGACAGUACCGUACACGUGAAUAGUAUCAUUUUUCUUUUUAUGCCCCUCCUAAGGUUUUCGACCGUCCUGAGUUCAAAAGUGAUGUCCGUUUUGCCAUCUGAUCUCUCCUUUAUUGUGAAAUGACUAUAAUGCCCCUAAAAUACAUAAAUUACUUAAUUAAAAUAAAACACACGUAAUUGAAUCACAAGAAGGUUAAAUACAUAAAAGUAAGGGUUGUUAGUAAGACUUGAAAUGUAAAAUGACGGUUUUCUCCUUUAUAAAUAUGUAUUUUCUAACACUCAACAGCCAGUUGCAGCUGUCAACUGAAAGCCAGCUACAUACAACCAUCAUGGAACGCAGCCAAAGUCAGAAAACAUCCAACCAAAUCCAGCUCAAAAGUCUGCACGCGGGUGGUAAUUUCCAUGCCCAUGGAAUACUUUCGGUAACUCAAGAAUUGUGUUCCCCAUGUGUGUCUCCCACUAGCACUUCCCAUGCCCCACUAGCUUUUCCCACUAGUCAAACCCAAGCCCAAACCAUUUUGGAAAUAAAUCCCAACUCCUAGCCCAAUUGAAUGCCCUCCACAUUUUUAUUAAAUAACCUCCAAAGUGAUCCGUUAAUCUAAAAUACCACUCAGCCCACGUCCGCACCCUCCUACGCCUCGGUUUUGAAAUCCGUCCCCAAUCUAAAUAAAAAUAAACCGACUAAAAAAAUCUUUGGUGGAUAUUAUGAACGGCCCAUCCAACUUGACGAUUCCGAUCAAGACCAUUACUUUGUUCGAGGGAGAGCCUAACGUUCAAUUAUCCACUGCGGAAAAUCAAGCGAUGGCCAUUCCUUUCAAGCUGACAUUGGUAGAUAAAUUUUCCUACAAUAGACCUAGUAUGGAAUUAAUUCAUAAAUUUUUUAAUACUUUGAGAUUGAAGGGAAUUUUCAAGGUGUCCCUUUUAGAUAAUCGACAUGUGUUAAUUCAAUUGGAUGUUGAGGAGUACUACUCCUGCCUAUGGGUUAGGCAAGGAUGGUACAUCAAUGGGAGUGCCAUGAGAAUUUUUAAAUGGACCACCGAUUUUUGAUGUUCCGAGGAGUCCCCUAUAGUCCUAGUUUGGAUUUCAUUUCCUUACUUGCCUGUCUAUUUCAUGCACUGUAAGGAAGCAUUAUUUUCUAUUGCAUCAGCUAUUGGUAAACCAUUGCGAAUUGACCAAGCUACCACCUCUUUAGUUCGCCCUUCUGUAGCUAGAGUGUUAGUGGAGUAUGAUGUCACUCAACCUCCAUUGCAACGGAUACGAAUCGAUGUGGGAGAUUCUGGGUUUUGGCAGAGUGUAAUUUUGAGAAAAUCCCAAUGUAUUGUGCUUCUUGCAAACACUUUGGCCAUUCCAUUGAGACGUGUUACGUGGCCAAUUCGGGACUCCGUCCCCAGUGGCCCAAUGGGAAUUAGCAGACUAGAAUAGAUAAUAAGAAGUCAGAAGUUCUGCUGUCAGAUACUCCUCAACCCUUGGACACUCCACGACUUGAGCCGUCCAUCACUAAGCAGAUUGUUGCGAGGUCUCCGAUUGUUCUUACGGAGAGCCGAGCUAACGCUGCAGACUCUACUUCCAUUCAGGAGCCGAUUGGCCAGGAUGUCACGACUCAUGAUUCUAGGAUCCGAGAACCAGGUGAGUAUAAUACACAUCUUCAUCGAGCAUCCAACACAGAUUUUAGGCUUUACAAUUCUCAUACUGAUAAUGAUGAUAGCUCUGACAAUCACUUGGCGAAUAAUUACCAUUUCAUGUCUACUCCUGAGAAUUCUGAGAGAAUUGACUCUAGCCCUAAUUUUAGUGUUGUCGGUCAUUAAAAAAAAGGCAUUAAAUUACUUGUCGGCCGCAAGUAUCAUAAGAGAUAUUAUCAUCGUCUGCAUUAGUCUUUUUCUUCUUAUGUUAGGCUAUGCCUAGAUCAUUUCGUUUACUGUUAUUUUUAUUUCUCUUGAUUGGAGGUCUUGGUUUAUGUCCCCCUCCAAAUGUAUUUUCUUUAUCAAUUCUAAAUGGCAGGUAGGGGUCCCGCCUAACCCCCCAUAGAGUGAAAAAAAAAAAACUGCUCUAAGAAAGAACUCAAUGAGAAACACAGCAAUAUUCAGACUAGCAUGUAAAAAAAUAUCCUUAUCUUGGAAGACUCUUCCACCUUAUGGAGGAAAAAUAUUCCCGACUUGACACAUUGACUUGUUGACCUCUCAAUUGCUUUUGUGUGUGGUUUCUAUAAAUUUUGAGUCCAACAUGCUCGUUUUCUGCCCCAUUGUAUGUUUUUCAAACGGUAAGAGUCAUCAAAAGCUCUUUUGAAUUUCAAUAAACCUCGGCUUAACUUUAUUUAUUUGAUUGUGUUUUGAUAAUAUCGAUGGGGUUACCGACCCUCAAUGCAGUAGUUCCUUCACUUGUUUUUUACAUCCUACUUUUUUUGUUAUGUUUUUAAAUAACUGCUUCUUGUCAAUCUAAUGAAGAAGCUGGUGCUCUUCUCAAAUUGAAAGCCAGCCUUCAAAACCAUAAUUGAUCACUCCUUUCUUCUUGGAUUAACGACGCCACCAAUGUUUCAUCCAAAAUAAGCCCCUGUUCUUGGUCCGGAAUCAACUGCAAUGAUGCUGGAAGAGUCAUCAACAUCAGCCUCCCAAAUGUAGGAUUAAACGGUACGCUUCAUGAUUUCUCUUUCUCAUCGCUUCCUCAUCUUGUUUAUGUUGAUCUCACCUGGAAUGGAUUCUUUGGUACUAUCCCGCCUCCAAUUAGUAACCUUUCGAAUCUCAGAUAUAUACCUUUAUUUAGGAUCCAAUCAAUUUUCUGGAAAUAUUCCACCAGAGGUUUGGUCUUCUGAGUCAUUUGGAGGUCCUUCACUUUCAGCUUAACCAAUUAGAUGGCUCAAUUCCACCAGAAGUAGGCCAAUUGAGUUCUAUGGAGGAUAUUUACUUGUACUGUAACUACUUGAAGGUUCAAUCUCUCCUUUAGGAAACUUGAGCUACAUGUCUCGAUUGGUUAUUAAUGAUAAUUCACUUUCUACUGUCAUCCCAUGUUUUGCAAGGUUUUAUAUAUUGGUGAGAGAUAAACAAAGAAAAAUAUAUCCAUAGGACCCAUACCUCCAACAGGAUAAGUUGGGAAAGGCUAUCAAUAAUUUUAACUAAUUAAUUUAAGUUAUUUUGUAAUAAUAAAUUAAAUUAAUUUUUUUUAAAAAGGUUGAAGGGUGGUCAAAGUCCAAAUCUAUAUUUUAUUCCCUACCUCACCCAAGAUUUGAACUUAGAUAGUUAGUCAAAUAAAACUAUUUGAAAAUCAUUCAGUCAAGACCCUAAGGCAAAUUAAAUUAAUUAUUACUAAGAUGAUAAUAUUAUAGGUGAAUCAACUUAUUAUAAUUUAAUUAUGUAAUAAUGAAUAUGUAUAUUGUAAAUUAAAAAAUUAUAGAAAUUUGUAUUUAUAUUUAAUUAACUUUCGUUCAUAUUGAUUCAAAUAAUAAAUAGUACCAAACUUUUUUUUGUUAAUAAUAAUAUAAAAUAUUUCAUGUGGAAAUCCUCCUUGUUUUUCAGCUUCAAAAUUGUUUGAUUUAUUUUUCAUAAUUGUGUAGGUUAUUACGACUUCCAUAAUAGGUACAGUAUAUGACGUACUCUUCCUUUUACAAUGUAUGUAGAUCUUGUUGUAAUAACUAAUGAUUAGUAUUUUUCAGAUAAGUCAUCUGAUCGUUUUUAAUCAUUAAUUAACAAUUCAUAUUUCUUACGUUUAUUUAGAAUUUUAGGUUUGUCUAUAAAUAAGUAAAAGGAAUUAAUAAGAAAUCAAUAGAAGGAUGAAGAAUUUUGGUAGAGAUAGGACGUAAAUGAAAACAUGAACAAUUAGUUUUAACAUUAAAUAUGAGAAAAACUCAUAUUUUGAUAUAUCAUCUGUCAUUAAAUCGUAAAAGUCUAAGAUUGAUAUGAGGAACAACAAGAAGGAACUAACUAAGGUUAGAAAUCCUUUUUCCGUAACGUGCUCAUUGGAGAAGUCCUAGAAAAUUGAUCGAGGCAGCCUGGCUUCAAUUGAUUGAAACCAAACGUUUAAAGUGGCUUGAUUAGUAGAACCCGGUUCGCGAGUCCAUGGUUUCUCUAGGAAGACUCAGUCGACUUGCGGUACCACAAUUAAUAGAAGUAUAAAAAAUAGCUUGAUGCAACAAAGAUUAAUUUGUACUUCUAAAUUCAGCAUUUGAGUUCGUUAUGAUGAAGUUUCUGAGUUUCUUAAUCAACUAGAUAACAUCCUUUAUUAGCCGAGUCAAGUAUAGAAGGUGCUGAUGGGCACGUGUGUCAAAGCAGGGUGAUUUGUGAUUGUCACACCACUGAUCUUUACUAGCUCUGAGAGGAAAGAUCAUCUUUAUAAUAUUGUUAAUACUCUCUGUUUGGGUGCGUUUAAUAAGCCCAUUUCUUUUUAUUUUAUCGUUUUAUUUUAAUAACAAUAAAGAAAAAGGGAAGAGGCAAAAGAAUUGGAAGGAGUCAACAACCUAGACCGACUCCUUCGGUACAAAGUGGGAAUGAUAUGCGCUUAUUCGGGGGAUCACUCCUCCAUAGAGGAGAUCAGUUUUUCUUGGCAGGGAGAAAGGGGGAAAAGGGGGGGGGGGGGGGGGAAGACCCUUUCCUUAAUUCCAUCUCCUGAUCACAAACACAUUAGGGGUAAACUUCAACAUCUAUAAAAAUCUCUAGGAGAAUUAAUGAAGAGGGAGAAUCAACUAUCCUUCCCAAUUUUUAUUUGUUUUUCCAUUACAAUUUAACCUUGAGAUUAUUUCUUCAGAAAAACUCAGAAACUAUUUAUUUACAUUUUUUUCCUAUAAACCCAUAAAUUAACUUGAGCGUUGAAGCGUUAACACUAGAUAAAUUUCUAGCACCUCUGAUCGUCGUCUGUGAUCUCAAGUGUUCGUGAAUUAUCUGCUAGUGGUCGCAGGGAGUCCUUGAUGAUUGGCAAGUCAUUUCUCCACUAAACAAAUUUAAUGCUGAUGCAAGGUCUGGUAUUUAUCACUAGCCAACUCAACUAGAUUUCAGUGUCAAUAUUUGGUGCCUUCUGUAGGGAUGGUACGAAAAGUCACACUACCUGUACUAAGACCACAAUUAAAUGAAUGGUGAAAAAAAAAAGAAUUAAGAUAAAUAAAACAUCAUCCCCAUCAUCCUAAUAGGGACAUUAUCAUCAUCAUUAUAAUAAGCAAUAGUGGGGACUACUGCCUAGGCGAACACGGCUAGUUGCUUUUUCUAAAUUUAGCCAAGCUGAUUAGAUUCAAUCUUGGCAUUGUGCUUGUUUUUCUUUUUUUCUUUUUUCUUUCGGCCUCUGAUUUCCUAAACACUCUGCUUUUUUUGUUUAACCAUAAAAUGUUUGUUAAGUCUAUUAUUUAUGGAGUUGGCAUCUUAUGGAAAGUCUAGUUAAAUUGUAAUUUUAUUUAUUGCAUAUCUUGUAAUAUGGAUUAAUUUAUUAGUUCCUUAAUUUAGUGAGAUUUUAAUUUAUUUGAAAUAUUUGUUUCCUAGCUUAAUUAGAUGUUUAAUUUGGCAAGUCAAUUAAUAACGGGAUUCUACAAUUGGCAUGUAAGAUCUAUUUAGAGCAAGAAAUUAGUUCAAACAUGAAGUUUAUUAAACGCUCCAAAUAUUUCUUAGGAGACAAACAAGACAAGAAGAUUAGAUUUAUUACUAUUCAGAUUUGUAGGAAUUAUAAAAGAAAAUAAACUCUUAUUUGGAAGGAAUCCAAGUCUUUUAAGACUUACAAUUUUUGUGAAACCCUAAUACCUAUAUAAAGCGAAGUAUUUCACAAUUGAUGAAGCACAACAUAGAGCAUAAAACAGAGAAGCAAAAUUCAGCCUUCUUCCUAUAGAAUCAGAAUUUGGCAUAUCAUGUUGUGUUAAUUUGUUUUCGUUUCUUUUUCAUUCAAAGUCUUGUAAUGAGACUAUCUCUUUUCAUCUCUGUGGAGAGUUUAUGUAGAUCUUGAAUCACUAGACAUUGAAGAAUUGAAGAAUUGCUAUUGAUCACUUUGCAGAGUGCCUUAAGGAUUGUGGAUCAAGAGGGGUAGCAAUUAAGCAGAUUCAGUCUAAGGUUGAGUAAGUUGUAUGGUGAUAAAUUGUAAGUGAGUAUUAAGUUUGGUAAAUCCAUAGGUUGUAACAUCUCAACUUAGUGAAUUGCUUUUCAUCUAGGCAUGGCCUCGUGGAUGUAGGAUUGAUUAAUCUAAACCACGUAAAAAUUAUUGUGUCAUUUAAUCUCUGCAAUUUAUUGUGUUUUGAAAAAUUAAUAUUUUUUAUACGGAUGAACAACACCCAUAAACAGUGUUAGUGAACAGUAACUAUGAACAAUUUUGGUGAACAAUAUUUUCAAAAAUUAAUUAAGUUGUUAAUUCUAAGGUUUUAACUGCCUACAUCUAUUUGUAAUAGAUCUAACUUACUUUCACAGUUUAUUUUAUUUUUCCUGAAAACCCGUAAAUUGAAUUGAGCAUCAUAGGGUUAAUGCUGCAAAAACUUCCAUUGCCCCUUACUUUCUUUUGUGAUUUUAGGUGUUUGUUGGUUAUUUGCUAGUGGUCGUAGGCAUCUUUGGUGAUUAGCAGGCCGCUUUCCCAACAAAUAAAUUUAAUGCUGGUGCAAAAGUCUGGUAUCAAGCUGUUAAUUGACUUGACCAAAUUUUAGCAACAAUAUUUGGUGUUGUCUAUGGGGACGAUAAGAAAAGUCAUACUACCUGCAGUAAGACCACAAUUAGAAGAAAAGUGAAAAAAAGGGUGAUGAGCACAUCUUUGAGGAGAUCAGUAGAUCAGAGACAAGAUCGUUGAAUCAAAGUCCAUAAGACUGGAUCGAAGAAGUUGUCUUUCAAUGUUGAACUUGCCUGAAUUGGUAACAACUAAUCCAAUGUUGACAUUUAGGAGCUUUCAAUCGAUAACAUAUGUCUCACAGUUUCAUUUCUACUUAUAUUUUCUAUUAAAUUGAUGCAAUUACUUUCAAUUUAUUUAUCUAUGUGCGUGAUAUAUUCAUCUGAGUGAUCAAUUGUAAAUCCCACAACCUUGGUAUAGCUUGAAUUUAUCUCCUUAUUAGUAAACUUGUGUAUUCACAUGACACGGAUUUGAGAAGCUUAGUUUCAUAAACAUCAAUUGGUUGUGGAGAACGAAUUUGAAAACUAUUGAAUUCCAAUGCUAGUUGCUUUAUAGUCAAACUCCUCUCCAAAUCAUGUGCUUGCCAUAAACUUUUGCAUGAUUUCAAGCUUAGACAAAUUAAGAUCUUAGUUACUUUAACAUGAUGGCACAUGCACAUGAUCCAAUAACUUUACCAACGCAAGACUCACAAUUGGAUUGUGCCACGGCUUUAACACAUUUGCAAUAGAUUUAUUCACUUAAAAAUAAGAUUUGUCUAUUAUUUGGAUGCAAAGAAGUGGAGUUUGUGAUUUGGUCAUGCAAAAUCACACACGGAAGAUGUUCGACAAAGUGACUGAAAGAAUCGAAAUGAGUUCGCAGCCUCAAAUUGUUGCCAUUACCAUAUCUAGAGAUAUACCUUGAGAAUGAGGAACAAGCUCAAGAAUCUAUGGAAGAACACACCGAUUAGAUUGCUGAGAUGAUCAAAUUAACCUGAAGAGCUGAGUAAUAAGUGUUCCGAGUAGCUAAACAGUAAUAUGGUGAUGAUGGACUUUCUUUUGGAGAAAUUUUUGGGGCAUGAUGACUUGCAACACUAAAUGGAUGUUGAGAUUAAUUGGAUUGGAAAGCAAAGGCAGCAAAUGAAAUUGUAGGGAGUGACGCUUGAAAGAACACUACCUAGUGGCCAAGGACCAAAAUCUAGGUUCAGUUUCAAUUUAUUCUAUAUAAGCAUGAAACUAGCUAAUUGAAGGGCAUGAAUUAUUCUUAAUCAUUGCUCCAUUAUGUAUAUAUGUAUGAUGUCUUUAAAUCAUAGCUAUCAUUUACAUUGCAUAAAUUCCUAUAAUUGUUGAUGAUGAAGUAUAAUUAGCAUAAUUUGGAAAAGGCUAAGUAUUGGUUAUUUUGGCUUAGGUUAAUAAAGCUUUUAAAACAAAACAAAUGCUUAUUGAUGAUGAGAAUUGAAAGGCAUGUCUUCAAGCUUCAAAGCAUUGAUGAAGUUGGAUUUUUGUUUCCCACACAUUUUAUUCGUUUUAUGCCUGGGUUACAAUAUUGCAAGAAUUAUUCUGAGAAGGGACCUUUGCGAAGUCAAGCUCGGGAUUUGUAUGAUGAAAUGCCAAUCAAAUAUUGCAGAGCAUAAUCUCAGGUGCACUUGUUCUUUGACCUCAAUUUUAUAAUCCUUUAAAUCUCUUUAUUGACUUCAGAUAUCUGCUAGAUCGGGUUUUGACUCGUCAUCGUUAGCAAUUUUCUAGUACAAAAAUUACAUAUUACAACAUAUAUAAUUUAGUUCUAUAUUGUCAAUUUUGUCAUAGCACCGUCUCCCCAUGAUAAAAUGAUAUGACUUUGUUUAAUGGUUUAGACUACCAUCUCUUUUCUGAUUACAUAUUUUAAAAUGCUAUGCUUUAUUUUAUACUUAAAUUUCAAUAUUCAUAGCCAUAAUAAAUGAUAGUAUGGACCUUUAUCAGAGAAGUUUUAUCAUAUGGAUAUAUGAAUAUAUUAUUUGAUACUCAUGGAGCACAAAGAAUGCUUAUCCAUCAAAAAAAAAAAAAAACUUAGAUGCAUAAAUAAAUGACUAGAAGCAUAAGUCAUAAAUGGCUGGAAGCCCCAAUUAUGUUUGAUUUGUGAGCUAUUUUUUGGGUAAGUAAUAAGUUGCAGGUUUAGUUUGAGAAGUUUCACAACAGUGACAAAUUUAGACACCUGCACAUUAGAUUCCUGGUUGUACAGUGGGACCCCGUCCUUGACCAAGCCGAAAGACAGACCUCUUUCGAUCCUUUGAUACCGACCAAUUGAAAGAGGUUGGAACGAUUCCUGUGUACUCUUCCCAUAAAAGCACAACAAUAAGGGGAAUAGCUCCUACUUUAGAGCUCUCGUACUUAGUGACGAGUUCGAGCCUUAGAAGCAUGCGAAGGGAUAGGUCUGAAAGAAGUCUUGUAUUAGUCCUUUAAUAGAGUCCCUAUUGUUUAAUAGGCGCUUUCCGGUAGCAGGGCGUUAAAAUAUCCAUAUCUUCUUACGUUCUGCUGCUCUUCACUAUUUCCCCGUCUCUCACUAUCAGGAUCAGUCGUCCCUAGCCCGCUCUCUGUGUUCGCGGACAGUCUUACUAUUACGCUCGUAUCUUACUCGUUUUCAAGUAUGUAACUCGUUUAUUCCGCAUGUAGCCCACGAAAAAUUGCGUCUUUUCAAAGAUCUCGGCAGUUUAGAAUGAUUCAUUCCAUCAAGAAUAGCUUAGUGAACCUUUCGAGCCAAGCACCUUUCCAAUAUCUAUGGUUAUGCUCGGGGGUCAGUUUCCUUUUUGCUGCUACUACUACUACAUCAGUCAAAUAGUUUGAAUGCCUAAUUAGAUGCGGUUUAGGCCAUUGGAUGGCAUUUCCAAGUGACAUGCUUCUUCCAAGUGAGAUGGCUUUCGAGAGGUCUAACUAAGGUACAAGGUACUCGACUCACUUUUCUUGUGCAGGUAUAGGAAGAUUCCUUAUUCCCUCCUUCUACGUAGCUUUUAUCAGGAAAAACAAAAAAGAAAAGCCCCUUCCCCUUAGUGGGUUCAUGUGCGGAUAGCUCUUUUCCGGUCUUUUUUUCUUUUCAAAAAAAAGGGGAAGCAACGCGGGCAGGCAGAACCUUUCUUCCCCCCAAUUAUGUUUGAUUUGUGAGCUAUUUUUUGGGUAAGUAAUAAGUUGCAGGUUUAGUUUGAGAAGUUUCACAACAGUGACAAAUUUAGACAUCUGCACAUUAGAUUCGCUGCUAUUAAAGUUAUGUUUUUUUAAUCAUAAUUCCUAGUGAAUGAUAUCACAUCUUUAAUUAAUACCUGACACUUAUUGAUUUGGCAAACUCUUAUUUGAUUGGCCGAGGCAGUUUUUUGGUACAUUUGCGGAUGAGGCAGGCUAUAUAUGCACGAAGAAGGAGAACCUUGAUGCUAAAGUUGCACGCUAGUCACUACAAGAAGAAUGGUUAUUUCCAAGGGCAAAUAUCCUUGAAAAUACAUAAAUGCCCUCGGAAAAACUCAUUUCCAACAAAGUCAUGCCGUCGACCAUCGUCGUAUUAAGUUGCGUUGGAAAAGCACAAUUUCCAAUGGAUCGUCGGAGAAAAAAUUUAUUUUCAAUGGCAAUGCCAUCAGAAAUGAUAUCAAAUGCCCUCGAAAAUAGUCCCUAUAAAACCAAAAAAUACAUAUUUCCAAUUGCAUUUGCCCUUGGAAAUGGCAUUGACUGCCCUUGGAAAUGUGAUUGGAUAACACAAAUAAUUACUAUUCCAACCAUAAUUUACUCUCGAAAAUUCAAGAAACACGUUGGAAAUAUGCUUUUUCUUUUUAUUUAGUUAGCCAUUUAAUUUAAUCAAUAUUAUUAUUUCUUAUGCUUUUUGUUUUCAUUUUUUUAAGUAUCUAUAUUACCAAUGCAACAUAAUCAACAAAAUAGUAAUAGUAACACACAAAAUACAUGAAAUGUAGAUUCAUUAAUUUCAAAAAUUCAUAGAAAUCACGUUCACCAUUUUUUGGAAGUGAACCAUUUUUGUAUAAUUUUAGAGCAAUAAUAUUCAGACUACUAUGUAAAAAAUAUCCUAAUCUUGGAACACUUUUCCACCUUAUCAACAUUGGAAAAAUCUUCCCUAGCUGACGCAUUGACUUGUUGACAUCUCUGUUGCUUUUGUGUAUGGUUUCUAUAAAUUUGGCUUCCAACAUGCUUGUUUUCCGCACCGUUGUAUGUUUUUUAAAAGCUAAGAGUCAUAAAAACAUCUUUUGAAUUUCAAUAAACUUCGGUUUAACUUUGUUUAUCUUAUUGUGUUUUUAUAAUAUUAACGGGGUCACCAACCCUCAAUAUAGUAGUUCUUUCACUUGUUUUGUUGAUCAUAUUUUUUGUGUUAAGUUUUUUAAUAACCAUUUCAUCAGAAUCUAAUGAAGAAACUUAUGCUCUUCUCAAAUGGAAAGCCAGCCUUCAAAGCCAUAAUCGAUCUCUAUAGAAUUAAAAGGUACGCUUCAUAAUUUCUCAUUCUCAUCGUUUUCUUAUCUUGCUUAUCGUGAUCUCAGCCUUAAUGGAUUCUAUGGUGUUAUCCGGCCUCAAAUUAGUAACCUUUCACAUCUCAGCUACCUUUAUUUAAUGUCCAAUCAAUUAUUUAGAAAUAUUCCGCCAGAGGUUGGUCUUCUGAGUUAUUUGGAGGUCCUUCACACUCAUUGGAACAAUUAGAUGGCUCAAUUCCACUAGAAGUAAGUCAGUUAAGUUCUAUGAGGGAGCUUUCCUUGCACUCUAACUACUUAAAUGGUUCAAUCCCUUCUUCUUUAGGUAAUAUGAGCUACAUGGCUCGAUUGUAUAUUAAUAAUAAUUCACUUUCUGAUUUCAUUCCUCUAGACAUUGGAAACUUCAAAUUUCUUUAGGAUUUAGAUUUGAGCAAUAAUCAACUCAGUGGUCCAAUCCCUCAUUCUUUAGGUAAUUUGAGCAACAUGGCUCUAUUAAUCAUUCAUAAUAAUUCACUUUCUGGUUUCAUUCCCCUUAACAUUGGAAACUCCCAAUUUCUUUGGGGAUUAGAUUUGAGCAAUAAUCAAUUCAGUAGUUCAAUCCCUCUUUCUUUUGGUAAUUUGAGUAACUUGAUUUUUUUAUACCUCUAUGAAAAUUCAUAUUUUGCUUCUAUCCCGUCAAAUGUAGGAAAAUUGAAGUCCCUUGGUGAUUUACAGUUGAAUGGAAAUCAACUCAUCAGUUACAUUCCAAGUUCCUUUGGUAAUCUAACCAAUUUAUCAACUUCACGUUUGUCUAAAAAUAAGCUUUUUGUCUCCAUUCCAAAUGAACUAGGAAAGAUGAGAUCUCUUAACAUUCUUGAGUAGAACCAAAAUUAAUUUAAAGGGGUUCUUCCACUAUGUGUUAGCAAUUUGAGCAACCUAAAUCAAUUUAAAAGGGUUCUUCCACUAUCUGUUAGCAAUUUGACCAACCCAAAAGAACUAGCCCUCCUUUAUAAUUGCCUAUACGGUUCCAUUCCUCCCUCCCUUGAGAAUCCUAUGUUAGCCAGGCUAGGAUUAGAUUUCAAUCAUUUUAAGAGUUUUUACCGCACACUAUUUGUCGAGGUGGAGCACUUUGGUGCUUCUGAAAACCAUUUUUAAGGAACAAUCCCCAAAAGCUUAAGAAGUUGCAUAAGCUUAAUCCGACUAUGCCGUAAUAGAAACAACCUUACUAGAGAUAUAUCAGAAGCUUUAGGCAUUUAUCCUUACCUGACUUUCAUAGAUCUCAGCCGUAAUAAUUUUCAUGGUGAAAUCCCAUCUAAUAGGGAGAAAUACCCAAAAUUAGGCACUCUCAGUGUUUUGAUGAAUACCAUUACUAAAGGUAUACCACGUGAGAUUAGAAACUCGUCUCAACGACAAGCACUUGAUCUUUCAUUGAAUCAUAUAAUUGGGGAAAUUCCAAAGGAACUUGGAAAGUUAAAUUCUCUAAUCAAGCUCAUUUUGAGAAGGAAUCAACUUGUAGGAUGUCUACCUAGAGAAAUCGACUCACUUAUAGAACUUGAAUACCUCGACUUUUCUGUAAAUAGGUUCAACAACUUAAUCCCAGAAAGUCUCGAAAACCUACUGAAAUUGCACUACUUGGGCUUAUGUAAAAACAAGUUAGUCCAAGAAUUGCCAAAGAUAUUGGAAAAACUGGUUCAAUUUUCGGAAUUAGAUUUAAGUUGCAACUUUCUUGUAAGAGAAUUACCACCUUAGAUCUACAAAAUGAAAAGCCUAGAGAAGUUAAACUUCAUUGAUAUAUCCUACAAUGACUUAUAGGGUCCAAUUCCUAAUAGCAUAGCAUUUCGAGGAGCUUCAGUGGAAGCAUUAAAGGGGAACAAAAGAUUGUGUGUAAGUGCAAAAGGAUUGCAACCAUGUAAAGCUCUAAGGCAACAAAAACAAGACUGUGGAGCCAAGUGGUUUACAAUAGUGUUCCUUCUUGUAGGAGCACUGUUUGUUUCAAUUGCAUUGAUAUUAAUUUUCUUCAUUUUUUGAAAGUGGAAGUCAAACUUAGGAGAUCGACAGUGCAACAACCAAAACCCUCAGGGAUUGCUUUCUAUUUUAAAUUUCGAAGGGAAACUUGUAUGAUGAAAUUGUUAGAGCAAUUAAUGAUUUUGAUAUAGAAUAUUGCAUUGGAAAUGGUAAACAUGGAAGUGUUUGCAGAGCUGAGUUACCAUCUGGGGAAGUCGUAGCUGUCAAGAAAUUUCACUUACCACUCCCAUGUGAUCAUAUUGUAGAUAAAAAAGAAUUCUUGACCGAAGUUUAGGCGUUGACAGAGACUGGACAUCGAAACAUUGUGAAGUUUUAUGGAUUUUGCUCACAUGCCCGACACUCUUUUUCGGUCUAUGAAUCCCUUGAAAAGGGUAGCUGAUGCCUUGUCCUACUUGCACCAUAACUACUUUCCUCCGACUGUCCAUUGGGAUAGAUCAAGUAAGAACUUGUUGCUAGAUUUGGAAUAUGAAGCUCAUGUUGUAGACUUUGGAAUUGCUAAGUUUCUAAAGCUAAACUAGUCCAAUUGGACUGAAUUUAUUAGCACAUACAAAUUCAUUCCUCUAGGUAUUUAGUAUCUGUUUGUUGCCAUUUUGAGGAAUAUUUUUAUGUUAUGUGUGCAGUAAUAGAACAAUGUAACUAGAUAUUGUUGAAAAAUUUAUGUAGUACAUUUAGUAGACUUGUAGAAGCUUACUACUUUAUGCAAAUUUAUCUUAUAAAUAGAGUAAACAUUUUUUUUUUUGUCCUUGACCAUGCAUAGCUUGCUUACACAAUGAAGAUCAUAGAGAAAUGUGACGUAUACAGUUUUGGAGUGUUAGUGUGUUGGAUCAUAAACUUGAUCCAAUUUGAGCAAGUUCAUGCUCAAAUACAAAGAAGUUUCUUGUGGUAGUAAUGGUAGGUGUGGUUGGUGAAGUAGGUGAGUGUUAGGUUUUGAUGAAUAGUUAGGAUUUGUUUUGUAUUUAAAUAAAUGAAUGGUUGCAAUUGAUUUGUAAUAUGUAUAAAUACCCCCUCAUGUAUUUAAUUUAAGUAUCAAGUGAUGCAACAAAGUCUCUAAUUUGUAGAGAGUGAAAAAUAAGAGUUGUAGUUGAGGAGUGUUGUUGAGAAAAUAAAAUAGUAUUUCUCCAAUAAAGUGGUAUCAAAGCUAGUAAUCGAUUUUCAACAUAGUCAUAUAGCAUAUCAAAUCGAAGAUGUCGAUGAGUGGAAAGCAUCACCGUAGAAAUCAGUCUAAUUGGAGUUCGAAUGUGCCCAUAAUCACCGUCGGAAGUUUGCUAUGAAUUUAACCAACUAAAUCGAGCUUAACCAAACCAAACCGAUCCAGGUCUGAGUCAAGUCAAUCGAGCAGAACUGAACCAUUGACCGUUGACUAGAGUUGAUAGUUGACCAGUGUUGACUGUUGAUCGAAUGUUAACUCGAGUUCCUCUCAAGAUUUUUUUACAUUCCAAAUUCAUCUGCGUAUUCAGAAUCUCUAAAUUCUCACUCAAUUUAUAAAUUAUGGUAAAUGGUGGCAUGAUGUCAUUCCAAGUUCCACAGUUGAAGGGAAGUAAGUUUAACAACCAGAGUAUUAAAAUAAAGGCUCUAUUGGGCAUACAUGAUGUAUGGGAAGUCGUGGACAAAGGCUUUACUCUGGAGGAAAAUGAAGUUACUUUAACUGCAGCGCAAAAGGAGAAUUUGAAAUAUUUAAAGAAGAAAAAGAAUAAAGCAAAGUAUCUCAUCUUUCAAUCAUUAGAUAAAGAUGCUUUUGAAAAGAUUGCCAGUGCAACCUCCUCAAAGGAAGCAUGGGAAAAGUUAGAGAUCUCUUACAAAGGAGCAUAACAAGUUAAGAAGGUUCGUCUCCAAACAUUACAAGGAGAAUUUGAGUCCUUACACAUGAAGGCAUCCAUGUCGAUUUCUGACUAUUUUACUUGGGUUGUGACUAUUUAUAAUGAGUUGAAAUGAAAUGGUAAGGAGUUAAAAGAGGUAAAGAUCAUUAAAAAGAUACUUCGAUUAGUAGACUCGAAGUUUGACUAUAUUAUUGUGACAAUCGAGGAAACAAAAGAUUUGGAGGAUAUAACGAUCGAGCAAUUUCAAGGAAGGUUCCUAAGAAGAAAAACAAAAGAAGAAGCAUGAGAUCAAAGACCAACUCCUCAAGAUAGAAGUAAAUCCAAAGAAAAGAGAAGAAAGCAUCGACAAUGAGAAAAGACAUUAUAUCCAAGGUAAAGGUUGAGGAUAAGGUAAAAGUCGUGGUCAUGGACGAGGUUGGAAGUUCAAAAAGAAUUCUAAUCAUUAAAAAGGAUAAAGCUCAACCAGAUGACGAGGUAGAGGAAAUCUAAGAUCGAGGUAUGAUAAAUCCCAAAUACAGUGCUAUAAUUGUCAAAAAUUUGGGCAUUAUGCUUUAGAGUGUUGAGUUCCAAGUACCAGAAUUGAUUAAAGAGUGAACUAGAUUGAAGAGAAAAGUGGUGAAGAUGGUGCACUUUUAUUGGCACGCAAUGACAUUAAUGGGGGUCAAGAAAAUACAUGGUAUAUUGACAUAGUGCUAGUAAUCACAUGAGCGGAAACAUAAGUAUGUCGAUAGAACUAAAUGAAUUUAUGAAUGAUAAUAUUGCUUUUAGAGAUAAUUCAAAAGUACUAGUGAAGGGCAAAGGUGACAUGCUCUCUCGUGCAAAAGAUGGUAGCCACUAAUUAAUUUCAAAUGUUUACUAUGUGCCCAGUAUGAAAACCAACAUCCUCACUUUAGGUCAACUCUUGGAAAAGGGCUAUGAUAUUUACUUAAAAGAUUAUAAUUUUUUUUCUAAGAGAUGACAAAGGAAACUUAAUUAUAAGGGUGAGAAUGUCGAAGAAUAGAAUGUUUCCUUUAAAUAUCAAAAAUGAUGUUGCAAUGUGUCUCAAAGCUUGUCACAAAGAUCCAUCUUGGAUUUGGCAUCUUCGUUAUAGGCAUCUUAACUAAAAUGACUAUCAAAGAAGAACAUAGUGAAAGGCCUUCCUUCAGUCAAUCAUCCUGAUUAAGUUUGUGAAGUAAGUUUACAUGGAAAGCAGUUCAGAAAGAGCUUUCCAAUUGAGUCAAACUCAAGAGCGUGGAAGCCUCUUGAGUUAAUUCAUAUUGAUGUGUGCGGUCCAUUCAAGCCAUGCUCUCUUGGUAAAAGUAACUACUUCCUUCUUUUCAUGAAUGAUUUUGUAAGAAAUCUUAGGUACAUUUUUUAAAGCAGAAAUCAAAAGUUUUUUCAGCUUUCAAGAAGUUAAAAGUUGUAGCCAAAAAGGAAAGUGGACACAAAAUUAAAGCCAUAAGACCUGAUCAAGGUAGAGAGUUCAUCUCUAAAGAUUUCAUAGAGUUUUGUAAAGCAAAAGAAGUUUGGCACCCUUUAGUAGUUCCAAGAUCUCUUCAACAAAAUGGUGUUGCAGAAAAGAAGAACAGAAUCAUUCUCGAUAUGGUUAAAAACAUGCUCAAGAAUAAGAGACUACCCAAAAAAUUUUGGGUUGAAGCUUUUGCAUAUGCAGUUUAUUUAUCUAACUGAUCUCCAAUAAGAAGUGUGUGGGACAAGACAUCACAAGAAGCAUGGAGUGGAAGAAAGCCUGAAAUCGCCCAUCUAAGAGUUUUUGGAAGCAUUGUCCAUGUACAUGUACUAGAUGAGAGAAGAGCUAAGCUGGAUGACAAAAAUGAAAAGUUCAUCUUCAUCGAAUACAACAACGAUUCCAAAGGAUACAAAUUGUAUAAUCCAAAUAGUGGGAAGGUUGUGAUUAGCCGAGAUGUAAUUUUUUAUGAAGAAGGAGAAUAAGAUUUUGACUCUAAUGUGGAUGACUUCAGCUUCUUUCUUAUUUAAGAAGAUGAUCAUACACAAAUAAAACAAGUAAAAGAACAACAAAAGCCAACUACUCCACCUAUCUUACCAACAUCAACCACAAUUAGAGAUUCACUACCAUCUUUUUUAAAAGAAAGAACCAAAUAGCGUGGAAGGAAUUUUCAAGAUCUCUAUGAGGUAACUGAAAGGCUUGAUAAUUUCAGUCUUUUUUUUUUCUCUUUGCUAAAUAUGAACCAGUGAACUUCCAUAAAGCUGUACAAGAUAAAAAGUGGGGAAAAGCAAUGGAUAACGAAAUCAACACUAUUGUAAAAAAUGACACCUAAGAACUUACUACUCUUCCCAAGGGUCAUAAAGAGAUCGGUGUUACAUGGGUGUACAAAAUGAAAAGAAAUACAAAGUGAGAAAUUGAAAGAUACAAGGCGAGACUAGUUGCAAAAGGCUAUAGUCAAAAGGUUAGCAUAGAUUAUGAUGAGGUAUUUGCUUUUGUAGCUCAACUUGAAACUAUUAAACUUAUUAGUUCUUUGGCUGCUCAGAAAAAUGGAAGAUUUUUUAAAUGGAUGUGAAGUAUGCUUUCUUGAAUGGAUUCCUCGAAAAAGAAGUUUACAUCGAACAACCAUCGGGCAAUGUAAGUGAAAAGAUAGGAGGACAAAGUUCUGAGAUUGAAGAAAGCUCUUUAUAGGUUAAAUCAAGUACCAAGGGCAUGGAAUAGAAGAAUUGACUAGUAUUUUCAAGAGUAUGGCUUCACUAAAUACCCAUAUGAACAUGCUCUUUAUGUCAAAGAAAAGGAUAAAGACAUUUUAAUUGUGUGCCUGUACGUGGAUGAUCUCAUCUUCAUUAGAAGUAAUCCAAGCUUAUUUAAAAAGUUCAAGAAAGUGAUGAUCAAAGAAUUUAAGAUAACUAACAUUGGAUUGAUGGCAUAUUAUCUCAGUAUUUAAGUCAAGCAAAAGAAAGAAGGCAUAUUUAUCUCCCAAGAAAGUUAUGCAAAUGAUAUUCUUAAGAAGUUUAAGAUGAAUUAUUACAAGCCUAUAAGCACGCCAGUAGAAUGCAGAGCUAAGUUAUCCAAACAUGAUAAAGGCAAAGAUGUAGAUCUAAUGUUCUUUAAGAGUCUAGUCGGAAGGUUAUGUUAUUUGGCGUGCAUGAGACCAUAUAUCCUUUAUAUUGUUAUACUUGUGAGUCGUUACAUGGAGAAUCCAAAUACCACCCAUUUUAAAGUUGUAAAAAGAAUCCUUUGCUACAUCAAAGUAACAAUUAAUUUUGGCUUGUUUUACUUAGAUUCUAAUGGUUACAAGCUCGUUGGAUAUAGCAAUUGUGACCGGUGGCGACAUAGAUGAUCGAAAGAGUACUAGUAGUUUCAUGUUCUCUAUCGGAGAUAUUACUUUCACAUGGAUGCCAAAGAAGCAACCAAUUAUCACACUUUCCACCGAUGAAGCUGAGUACGUAGCUACUAUAUCAAAUGUUUGUCAUGCAAUUUGGCUUAAAAAUUUGCUAAAGGAGUUGGGUUUGCCACAAAAAAGAGCCAAUCGAGAUUUGUGUUGAUAACAAAUCAACAAUUGCACUAUCCAAGAAUAAAGUCUUUCACGAUCGAAGAAAACACAUAGAUAGUUGUUACCAUUUCAUAAGGGAGUGUAUUAUAAGAAAAGAAGUGCAAGUCAAGUAUGUUAGAUCAAAGGAUCAAGUAGCUGAUAUCUUUACCAAGUUGCUCAAACAUGGAGACUUUGUAAAAUUCAGAUGUUUGCUUAGUGUCACAGGAUCAAGUUUAAAGAGGGUGCUGGAUCAUAAACUUAAUGCAAUUUGAACAAAUUCAAGCCCGAAUACACAAAAUUUUAUUGUGGUAGGAAUGGUAGGUGUAAUUGGUAAAGUAGGCGAGUGUUAGGUUUUGAUGAAUGAUUAAGAUUUGUUUUACAUUUGAAUAAAUGAAUAGUUGUGAUUGAUUUGUAAUAUGUAUAAAUACCCCCUCAUGUAUUUAGUUUAAGCAUCAAGUGAAGCAACAAAGUCUCUAAGUUAUAGAGAGUGAAAAAUAAAAUUUGUAGUUGAGGAGUGUUGUUGAGGAAAUAAAUAGUAUUUCUUUAGUAUUUGAUUUUUCAAAAUUCCCAACAUAGUUUUAAAAGUGAUCAAAGGGAAGCAUCUAAGAGAUUUUCAUUCUUCAAUUUCAUCUCCAUCUCUCAACAUGAAUAUAGCACUUGAUGAAAUAUUGGACCCGCAUCUUCCAACUUCAUCAUGCAGUGUUCAAUAAAAAUUGAUGUCAAUGACGGAGGUUGCUUUUUCAUGCUUAAAUGAAAGUCUAGAGUCUAGACCAAUUAUGAAGAUAGUCAGUCAACAAUUACAAAUUUGACCUCAGCAACCUUGAAUGAGUCUUAAUUUUCUAAGUAUAUUUCUAAUUUGCUUGGUUUAUUUUUCUCGUGUACUAUAGUUUGUUUGUUCUAGUUUUCAAGAAUCAAGAGGCAUUGGUUAUUACGUCAUCUAUAUACACUUAGUGUAUGAUGUACUCUUUCAUUUUUAAAUAAAGUUUAUUCAUUCCUCAGUGGUUUAAUGACAUCUAUCUUUGUAUAUAUAAAAGACUACGUCCAAUGAGAGCUUUAGUUUUAAAGAUAUUUUAGUUUAGGAAAAUUAUAUAAUGCCGUAAUAAAAAUUACGGUAUCAAUACUGAAGUUAUUAUAUACCAUUGGAUUAGAUCAACGGCACACAAUAAUUAUAAUAUAAAAAAAUAAUUUUGUUUCUUUAACUGGUUUACAACUCGUUAAAUAUUUAUUUAAAAAGAAAUAAAACUAGUUAAUAUUGUAAAAGUUCUAUAUAGUUUUUUAAAACAAAGUCCGCAGAAGUCAAAAUAGAAUCACGAUCCUAACUCAUAAGAAACCUUAAAACAUAAAUCAUAGUACAAUCACCAAAUUGAAUCUAAGAAGCCACUGUAUUUUCGAAGCAAUUGUGUUUGCUGUCUAACCCAUAUUGUGUUUUCCUCUUUCAUUCCUCAGUUCUUGCCCAUCACUGAUUUGAAAUAAGCCCAAUGUCGAGCCCUUUCUCUUUAAAUCGACUGCUAAAUACCACUAAAUUAUUUAAUCCAACAAGAAGAAGCUCUAAAAUGUCGUUGAGAAGAACCAGGUUGGGCUCUUGUUCGUGAAGGGGUUUCGGGUCGACGAUAACUGCUCCGCGUCGGCGAUUCAAAAGGUGAACUCUUCGUAAGAAUUUUUUUCACCGUUUUUUACAUUUUUUAAGUGGAGUUUUUAUAAUAUUUGGUUAAUGUGCGCCUGUUCUAGUUUUAGUAUUUUGUUUGGUUUCUAAGAAAAUUAAGGGACAAAGAAAUUUUGAUGAGAUUGUGACUGUGCCUGAAGCCGAGGACCAAGUGUUGAUCAUAAGUUGUUGCUGCUCUCCUUAAUCCUGUUGAGGGAAGAGAAGGCAAGGAAGUUUCAGGCCACUGAUUCUCCUCAACCGUAUUUGCAUUCUUGUUAAUUCUACCAAGUAAGCCUAAUUUUUGGUAUAUUUGUUUGUUUGCUACAAAUAAUUUCAACAUAUAAUUUAAUGGAAUUGUUUUGUGUCACUUGGGUUAAUGAAGAAAUAGAAACUAAAAAUUUGGUGUGGAUGAAAAAAAAUGCUGUUGUAAUAGGCUUGCAAAAGAUGGAACAGAACUUGGCUACAGAAGAAUUGAAACAAUUAUAAAACAUUACAGAUGUUGUAGCAGCUGCUGUAGCAACCAUUGCUGUACCAAACUUGGAAAGACGACAAAGAAAAUUUCGCGCGAGAUACCCAGAAUAUUGCGAUCUGCAGUUUCCUAAUCUGGAUAAUGCGCGCCCUAUACUUUCAUUUACCCUAAUUUUCAACUAUAAAAGAAGCACGCGUAUGAGGAAAUAAGGAGAGCCGUCACCCAAGGAGAAAAACCACAAUAAAACAAAAGAAAAAUAGGAUUUAAGAGAGCGAUUAAGGGCUGCACAAGAGGAGAAAACGUAGAGAUCCAUUAAAAAUCAGUCUUUCUUAUUCUUUUCUUGUUUUUUAUUUAUUCAUGGGGAUGUAUUCGAUGGCUAAAACUCUUUUAUUUAUUUUUCUUUUGCAAACCAUGAACUAAAUUUAUUUGUGGUUGAGUGAUAAACAAACUUGAUGGUUUAUUAACUGAAUAUAUGUAUUGCGGCAUGUUUGUUGAAGCAUUUUGUUUUUAUAGUAUUUAUUUCUAUUCAUUAUUUCGGAUGAUCACUCAUUUAAUGAUACUAGCUAAGAAAGAGCCACAAAAGAACCUAUCUUAGUGGAACAUAUCAGAGCAAUACUUAGUUUUAGAUUGAGUUUCCUUAUUUGAGUUUUACUUGAUUCUAAAAGGGUCAUGCUUAAUCUAAAAUUAUUGAUGAACUAAACGUAGGGAUUCACCUUGUAGGGCAAUUAGAUCCUAAGCAUGUAAUGCUAUAUCUAAUGGAAGUAUAACAACUAAUCACUGUUAGGUUAUAUAUAGAUAUAAGACAUCCAACAUGCGACAAGUGAGGAUACAUAAGGAUUUUGCCCAGUGCUGCAGUAGAUGUUACGGCAACGAUACUGGAAUUGAGAAAAUAGUCAACGCCAUUAAGAGAGUUUAUUCACUCAACUACUCUAUAGUCCCAUUGAUUUUAUCCUUGAGUUUGACGUGAUAAUUUACUUUGUUGCAUUUUAUUUAUUGCAUUUUUAUUUUGAUUAAUAUAUUACUUUCAUUAAUUGUUUUAUUUUAAUUUAGAACAAAAUUUGCACUGUUAAGAUUGCUGUAGCAAAUCUAAUAACAUCAAUCCAUAUGGAAACGAUCUUGAAUACUCAUUAUUAUAUUACUUAUUGUAUACACUUGCACAUUGACACCCAUAGUUUUAGAAAUCUCACAACAAAGGGACCACAAUUCUAAAAUUGGAAGUGGGUUUUUGUCUCAAAUAUUAUUGAAGUGAUAGAGAAUUAUGUGAAGUUGUGGAAAAAUUUUGGGUUUGAUAUGCUUCUAUUUCUAGGUAAAUUUUCUGCUGUAUUUGGGAUUUAUUUACUGUUGUUUUUGUGUUAAAUUUUCUGCUGCUUCUGGGUAAAUUUACUGUUGUUUUUCAAUUUAAUUUUUUGCAUUUUUAUAUAAAUUUACCGUUGUUUUGGGUUAAAUUUUUUUGUUGUUUCUGGCUAAAUUUGCUGCUGCUUUUCAAUUAAAUUUUUUGCCAUUUCUAGAUAAAUUUACUAUAGUUUUUGGGUUAAAUUUUCUACUGCUUCUAGGUAAAUUCGUUGUUGUUUUUCAGUUAAAUUUUUUGUUGUUCUCGGACAAAUUUACUACUAUUUUUUAGUUAAAUUUUUUGCUUUUUCCAGGUAAAUUUGUUGUUGUUUUUGUGUAUAGGGCUGGCCAGAAAAUGAUCAUGAUGCAUUUUGAACGGGGAAAAGUUGCUUGUGUUAUUCCUGCUGCUACUUGCUCCAUUUGACCUUCUAGAAUCCGUUAAGAGUAGAGGGGAAGAAGAAAGAGAUGAUGAGAAAUGCAAAUUGUUUGUGAGGUUUAGAUUGAUGUACCAAGCCAACAAUCAUAUUACAAAACAUCUAUAUAUAUUUUUUAAGUUUGUUUAUAUUUUUUAAGGAUUAUAACUAAUGUUGCAAAUAGUUAUUUUCUGUCACUGUUCUUGAAGCAAAUACUAGUUUAACUUUCCAAGAAAGGUGUUCCUAAUUCUUUCUUGGGCGAUUGAAUUUUAUGUUGAAAUGUUUAUUUGUAAAAUAUUUUUACCGGAUCCAAAACUUGUGAUGUUUGACAUUUCUUUUAAUGCCUAAUAUCUUCAUGUACAGGUUCUUGUUGUAAACUCGAAAAUGGUUGAGAAUGUAGAUAAGGGUAACGAGAAUGAUUUCAAGGAGAAUGAUAAUGUGAACUAAGAAAAUGAAAUUUUAAGAAAAAAUUAGCCUUUCAUUGAGUAUUUGUAAGUCUUCAUACAUUAAAUAUUAUGUAUUUGAUUGUUGGUAAAUUUAUGAAUAUUUAGUAAAGUCAAGCAUAAUCAUGUGACGGUGCACUGAUUAUAUAUUUGUCAAAAUAUUUAAUUAACUACAGCAAGCAAGAAGCAAAAAUACUACGGGAACAAGGAAAAUAAGUGAUGAGUUCAGUUAUGAUAUCAAUUAAUUUCCAUUAAAUUUGGGACAUGUUUCAAGCAAUAACUUAUUGUUAUAUUUUUUAAUUUUUUUAGGAUAAAAUUAAAUUAGGGAAAUGUUUCAAAAAUUUGAGUGAAGAAGAGAAGGCUAAAUUUAGAAUGGUUGGCAGUGAUAUAGCACAGAAUAAAGACAAAGAAGAUGAUUUUUUUAAAAGGAACUAAGAAAGCCAUGGAAACUAGAUGCGCUCGAGAUCAUUUUGCAAAACUAGUAGCAAAAUUGUCAGAAAAAAAAAAAGUUGUUGUGGAGUUGGGAUUUGAAAGUCUUCUGCACAUAAAAUGUGGUCGACUAAAACGAGAUUUAUGUCCAUAGUUGGUUCAAAAUUUUGAUCCAUUUACUUCAUGUUUUUUUUUUUUUUUGCAUGGGAGGAGUAUCAAUCUAUCACCUCGAGAUUUUGAGUACAUUAUGGGACUAAAAGAUGGUGGAGUCGACAUUGAUGUGGAUCUUAGUAUUAAUGACAUAGAUAUAUUGAAGGAUGAAUAUUGUGAUGAUAGUAGAUACAUUAAGUUGAAAACAUUAGAGUCAAAAUUGGUGAAUCAAAGGGAGGUGAAUGAUGACUUUAAAAGAAGCUUUGUUUUGUUUGUUAUAACUGCACUUAUUUUUCCUAAAUGGGGUUGAAUUUAGCCCUUUAUUACUUGGUUUUUUUAAAGACAACAGUGUUAUAAAUAAAAAAAAAAAAAUUGGGCAACAUGGGCUUUUAAAGGGCCCAUUGAGGGCAUACAAAAGUUUAAGGCAACACAACAAAAACACUACAACAAAACUGAGAUAUAGUAGCAUGUGAAAAGUUCUAAUGAAAGUAAAUUGUAGCAUUUUACAAAGUGCUAUGUUAGCCCAUGUUACUAAAAGUAUUCCUUUUUAGUAGCAAUUAUAGAAUGCUAUAAAAUUUUAAUUAUGUAGCAUAUAAUAAAAGCUGCAUAUUUAGUUUUAGUUGUAGUAGAUAAUUGCUAUCAGUACACAUUAUGUAGCACUUAAGAAAUGCUAUCAAAUCGUCUUUUAUAGUAUAAUAACAAUGUUGCAAAUAUAUUAUUUGUAGCACUUUAAUCAUGCUACACAUUUUAAUCCAGUAGCACUUAAAAAAUGCAAUCACAUUGUCUCUCGUGGCAUAACAAAAAUGCUACAAAUUUCAUGAUAUUAGCAAUUUUAAGAUGCUACAAAUUACACGAGUCGUUGCAUUUGCGAAAUCCUACCAAAGCUUUUUUACAUAGCCUAACAAAAAUGCAACAAUAUUGAAUUAUUUGAAGCAUUCUUAGAAUAUUACAAAGUAGUGGCCGGAAGCAUUUAAUUAUUAUAGAUUGGUUGUUAUCACAAUUAUUAAAUAGAAUCGAACAUGCUCUAUCAAUUUGUAUAAUAAUACAAAAUCUUUCUCAAACUAUACUCUAUAUGAACAAACUAUACCAUACAUAUAAAAUAUUGUAUCAAAACAAUAAUGUAUGAAGAUGAACAUCAUAAUUUAAAGAUAGACAUCAAGUACAAAUAUAGAGUAUGUUUAACUUUAAAGAUAAUGUGCCAUAUAUCAAAAAGGCAAUAAUUAAACAAAAAAAAUAUUAUUUCAUCUUUAAUUUGCAUCGGAAACUCCUUUACAAGUAGUACUUAUCUACAAGACCUGCAUUAUAAAUUAAAAACAAAAAAAUAAGUGCAAAAAAUCACCUAAACAGAGCAAAUCUAGUGAUAAACUUUUAUAAGUAUUUCACUAGAAAAUUUAAUUUACUAUCAUGAUUAUUUUUACUAAAGAAAUUUCAACAUAAUAUUUAAAUAACUAUAAAAUGUUGGUGGCAAAAACUUUUAUUUUAACUUACAGUUUUACACCAAUUCUAGUUUUGAGCAGUGAACUCAAAUAUACAACUAAUCUUAUCUUUAGCAAAAAUUUUGACAGAGUCUCCCCUAAAACAUGGACAUUUCCUCAAACAACUUACAACUCAUAUAACAUAAUAUAUAUCAUCAACUCAAUACUUCUAGAAUUAUACUUUCCAGCCAACAACUACUACGAUAGUCAUUAAAAUCAAUAUACGAUGCCUCAAGCUCUAUGUUGACACAUACGCUAAAAAAACAUAAAGAAAUACUCAAGAAAAUACAUAAAAGUUAAUGGACAUGAGAUUACCUAAAUAUGUGAAUGACGCAAAUUUCAAUUUGUAGAGUCUAUAACAACCCGAUCUGCAGGCCACACGACUGUACUACCAACAACUUCUUCAAUGUAUGUCAUAUAAGGUGUAGUCCUCCAUAGAUAUGUCUCAUGUUCUUUUUUAUACAUCUACCCAAAUUCUCAUGGACUUUGGUCCAAUAGGAAUAUGAUGAACAAGUGCUUUUGGAUCACUUGAAGACCAACGCCCUUCAGCUACUACAACCUCAAAGCCCUCCCAAUCAAGCAACUUGCAUUUAGUGCUAUUAGUCUUCAUAUUCGCACUCUAGCACAAUGAAAUAAUAAUAAAGUUAUAAUUUUAAUCAAUAUCAUUUAUUUUAAUUUAUAGAUAAAUAUGGUUGACUUUCAAAUUCUUACCAUAUGAACAUGUGCAUUCAAUUCAUCAUCACAUUCUUGACUCGAUUGCUUUUGACUCUAUAUAAUAAAAAUUUCAUAAUUUAGUUACAAAAAAAAUGUCCUAUAUAUAUAUAAAAUAUGGGUUAUGUAAUGAAAUUUUAUUGUUUUUUUUGCAUUUCUUCGAAGAACUUCCUGUAUUGUGAUAAUUCUUUCUUCAUUUCAUCUUGAUCCUUCAGUACUUGAGCUACAACCACAUCCUUCUGUGAUAUAAGGGUUAAUUGUGCAAAAGUAAUUCCUUUUCCAAGUGCUUUCACAUAAGAUUUGUCAGGACCUAUUACUUUUGACACAACAUCAUCUUUCAAAUCACUUGAAGUAAGGCUUGAAGGAUCUUUUUUAAUUUCAUUUAUUUGACAUUACAAAUUUUCAAAUGCAUUCAAUGUUAUGUACAAUCAUCAACAGCCACUGUAUUUAUAGGUUCGCCAUUUUUUUGUACGUAUUAUUUUCCAAACCUCAACUCUAGAUACAGGUUUUCCAUUAGUUUUCCUCUGAGAAAAAAAAAGUUUAUAGUAAAGUAAUGCUCAGGCUUUUGAAAACUUAAAAAAAAAAUAUUUGACAUUACCAUACCAUGAGUUGUCCGAGCAAUUCCCCUAUGACCUGAGGUGUGUAGAAUCUGCUUUUUCCUUUUUUUUUUAACUUGUCACUUUUAAACUAUAUUUAAUAAGUAAUUCUAUACAGUUAAUUAAACAAAUUGAUGACACAAACUAACACACAACUAAUAUAAAAGCUCAUACCUUAAAUUCAUCACUAGUUUUUUCUUUAACAAAAUCUUUCCAUUCAUGAAUUGACUUGAUAUUCUUAGGUUUGAGCUGCAUCUUUCUUCUACAUUUUUUGCUCUAAUAUUUUUUGCACAACUCUUGAUUUUGAAGUCCUCCAAAGUCCUCCCAUCUCUCUAAGUAUGUAAGCGUUUUGCCAUUCAUUAUCCAACUUGUAUCUCACCUAUAAUAUAAAAAUGCAUUGUUAAUCAAAUAAAUGCUGUAAAGAAAAUAAGUUUCAUAAUUUGAAUGGAAAUCAUGAUAUUAAAACUAACCUGAACACAAUUCCAUAGAAUAUUUUUCAUUUUCAAACGAACCUUUCUCCAAUUUGAAAUUGUAUAUGGUACAAUCUCUCGAACUAAACUUCCUAAAAAUGACGAUAAUGUAAUAGAUCCUUCUUCUAUCGGUUGUCCAUUUUCAUUAAAUUUGACUUCAAUUCUGUCAUCGCCAUCCAUGGUAAUGUUCUUCAUUUUAGUUUUAAUAGGACCUCUCUUUCUUUUUGAUACUUUUGACUUCUCCAAAUGAGCAGUAGUUAAAUCCAUGGGAUCUUCUACUUGGAUAUUAGAUGAUGCUUGCAAACAUCCAUUUCUUGUAGCUGAUUCAGGAUGUAAUUCUUUCUUACUUGAACUCAUGUUAAUUAAUCUACUCCAAAGCAAUCUGAAAAUGCCAAAAAAAAUGAAAAAAGUUAGCAUUACAUAUAUCAAAUACAAAGUAACAAAAGAAAACUUAUUUUAGGCAUGAAAUUAAGUAAAUAAAAAUUAGAAACACAAAAUCUUGCCAGUAACCAAUGCACUGUAACCAUUUUUACAUUUUAUUAUAAGAUAUUCACCAUAUAAAAGUUUAGCAAAGAUACUUAUUAUGAGAAGUUUAAGGAACAAGCACAAUAUAAAGCAUAACUUAUAUAUGCAACACAACACAACCACAAAAGUUACAUAGCAAAGACAUUAACAAAUUUAAAGUACAACAUCAUAUUGUUGAAAAAUAAUAAGAAAGCAAAAAGAACAAUGAAACACCAAAAGAUACCAAAAAUAAAAAAAAUAAACAGGUUACACCAAUAUGUCAUCACCACUCCCUCUAACAUUAGUAACAUUAGUAACUUCUUCAUUUUCAUUAUCAUUGUUUAUAUCCUGUGUUGAUAUCUCCUUCAGCCCAAAAGUUGUAUCGACAUUCUCCUUGUACAUGUCUGAAUCAAAAUAUCCCCUUGGUGGCGCUUUAAGUAAGACAUACCAAUUUGAUGCAUCAUUUUCUUUCGAAUAAAAUACUUGUUUUGCCUCUGAUGCAAGAAUAAAAGGCUCUCUCUCAUAUUGAUUUUGCCCUUGGUGUAGAUUAACAAUUGUAAACCAUCUUCAAUCCUCACAUUGUGCCCUUUAUUUGCCCAAUCACACUUGAAUAUUGGAAUCUGAAACUUAUGGUAAUCAAGCAAAAUUCUCUCUCUUAUAACUCCAUAAUAAGAAACAACAUCAACAACUUGUGCAGUGUCUUUCACACUUGUCCUACAUAUAGUUAUCGCUUCUAUUGAAACUCUAUUGUUUUGUGUUGAUAUUUCAACAUCUCGUGUGGAACCGCUGCUGAUUAAUAAUAUAUCCUUUGUAGCUCAUGGCCUGAUUUCUAGGACCAAAUGAAAGCCAUUUUAAUUCAUCCAUAUCAUUAUUUGCAUCAGUGGAGAAGACAAUUUGUGGACAAGAAAAUUAACUAAUCAGAAUCUUAUAACUAAGCUUCCAAAUGUACAACCAAAAAUCAAUUAGCAUGUUACCUUUUCUUUUAACCAUUUAGAGAAAUUAUCAGCAUGUCUUUUCGAAAGAAAAUUUUUAUUUUUUUUGUAAAAUCUUGCUUGAUUGCUUUAACUCCUGCACAUGCAUCCUAAUUGAUAAUUUAAAAAAUAAAGAAAAAAUUGAGUAAAGUUAUAGUUUUUCACAAAAAGUAAAUAAUGAAUUUUUUUAAGUACUUAUUCUAAAUAGGGAAAUUAUCAGCCAUAUACCCUUAAAUGACACCCGUAUCAAACAUGCUACAACGCCCGUAUCAACAUUUUUUUAUGAUGUCAGCGCUUGCAAACGGCAGUUAACGGAUUGGUGGACUGCAGAAGUAUUUUGUCAACUUAGGAUAUACGAGUGAUAUACUUGAAAAGUGUUGUAGCAUGUUUGAUACUGGUGUAAUUUAAGGGUAUAUGACUGAUAAUUUCCCUUCUAAAUAUGGCUCCACUAUAGCUAUAUUGAAUGAUACAUAACGAUGUGCACUUUCUAACACUUCAUUAUUUAAAGUAAUUAAUGUUCCCCCUAAGAUUGGACGACCUUCAAGAAUCACAUUACUGAAAAAAUCUUCAUUCCAAUGUUCAUGAUAACUUAAUUCAAUAUUCUGAUUCAAAAAUCCACUACAAAAAUUCAUCCAUUCCUCUGCAAGAUAGCAUUGUGCGAUACUACCUUCUGGCCAUGCAUGAUUCCUAGCAUAUCCCUUAUAAAUCUUCAUGUUCCUAAUAUAGUUAUAUGAUGUUAAAAUGAUGUUUAUUUUAAAACUUAAUUGAUUUUAAACUUUGAGUAUAUUUUUUUACCUUUCAAAACAAUACAUCCAUCGGUACUGAACAGGUCCUCCAAGUCGUGCUUCACAUCCUAAAUGAAUUGGCAAGUGGAUCAUUAUAUCAAAGAAUGCUAGAAGAUAGAAUCUUUCAAACAUACAUAAGGUUUCGUUGAUCUCUUCUUCAAUGUUUAACAUAUCUUCUCUUUCAAUAAUCUUUUGGCAUAACUUGUUGAAAAAUAAACACAUCCGAAAUAUGGCUUUCAUAGAUCCCUUGGUCAGCAAUCCUUUUAAUGCUACAGGCAGUAACAGCUGCAUCAAAAUGUGACAGUCAUGUGACUUGAGGCCCGUAAUCUUACAUUCAUCAACUGAUACACAAUUUCCAAUGUUUGAACUGUACCCAUCUGGUAAUUUCGAAUCAAAUAACCUUUUGCAAAAAAUUCUUUUCUUAUUUUUGGUUAAUGUAAAUGAAGCUGCAGGCAAGUGUUAUCUACCACCUUCAUCAACUUUUGGUUGCAUUUCUUCUCGGGCUUCCAUGUCUUCUAAGUCUUUGCAAGCAUUCAAUCCAUCUUUUGUUUUCCCACUAAUGUUUAAUAGUGUACCAAUAAUACUCUCGCAAAUAUUUUACUCAAUAUGCAUGACAUCCAAAUUAUGUCGCAAUGGCAAUUCCUGUAACAUUAAUUAAAAUUGAAUUAGAAAAAGCAUUUGGCAAUAAUCAAAAUAUAUUUAAAAUAUAUAUGAAUAUAUAUAUAUAUAUAUAUAUAUAUAUAUAUAUUUAGUGCUUUGUACCUUCCAAUAUGGUAAAUAAAAAACAUUAACCGCUUGUUCCAAAUUUGAGAAAUUUUAGAAUUUCCAUCACACCUCUUUCAUUUCUUGUUUCAUUUCCCCCAAUCAUUUUCAAAAUCUUUCAAAUCUUCAAAAAUUUUCUUACCAACCUUAAUCCUUGGACACAGUCCUUGCUCUUCUUUUCCUUCAAACCAUGCUUUAUUUUUAUUGCGAAAAGAAUGAGAUUGCGGUAGAAAAAGCCUAUGGCCUCGAUAUGCAAAUUUUCUACUAAAUGUCAACCAUUCUGAAUAAGUGUCACAAGCACAUAUUGGACAUGCAUGUCUACCCUUAGUUUUACAUCCAGAAAGAUUUCCAUAAGCUGGAAAAUAAUUUAUUGUCCACAUCAAAAUUGCCUUCAAGUUAAAAGAUUCUUUAGCAAAUGCAUCAAAAACAUUUACUCCAGUUUCCUAUAAUUCUUGAAGGUCGUCUAUUAAGGGCUGUAAAUACACGUUAAUUUCAUUACCCGGCUGUCCAGGCCCUGGAAUCAGUGAAGUCAGCAUGAUAUUUUCUUUUCUCAUAUAUAACUAAGGAGGUAAAUUGUACGUGACAAGCAUCACAGGCCAACAAUUAUAUGCAGUGCUUAAGUUAGAAAAUGGAUUAAAUCCAUCAGCAGCUAGACCUAGCCUAAGAUUUCGUGGGUCAUUUGAGAAUAAAGGCCAUUUUUUAUCAAUUAAAUCUCACGCUAAAGAGUCCACAGAAUGCUGCAUCUUACCAUCUACACUUUUAUGAGUAAAGUGCCAUCUUAAGUCUUCUGCCAAUUUUUUUCUAAACCUUGGUAUUACUGGAAAACCUUGGUAUUACUGGAAAGUAUCUUAAAACUUUAGCUGGAACAUCCUUUUUUAUUUUAGUAGAGCGCCUAUCCACCUUCCAUCUUGAAGAACCACAUUUUGGACAACAAUCUAUUUCCUUAUUCUCCUUUCUAAACAAGCAACAAUCAUUAACACAGGCAUGGAUCUUCUCAUAACCUAAAUCAAAUGCCUUGAAAAGUACAUUAUCCUUAGGCAACAUGUCAUGCAGCAUCUCUAAAAGUCCAUCAAAGCUCUUAUUAGACCAUCCAUUUACAGCUUUGUGUUUGUAUAAAGCUAUAAUGGCUGACAGUUUUAUGUAUUUGGUGCAACCUAGAUAUAAAAGUGCUUUUGCAUCUUCCAAUGAUUCUUUGAAUUCUUCAUUUCUUCUCUCUUCUAAAGGUUCUAUAUUUCCACCUUCCAUGUAUCUAGCUGAAAAUAAAUUAUACGUAUCUGAUAUUUUUUGUUCUUCUUGUUUUCCAUCAGUUUGUUCCCCAUGAUAAAACCAAAUUGUGUAUGUCGGAUCCAUACCCUCAAUGACUAAAUGCUCAUAGACUGCCUCAAUAGUUUGAUGACUUAAAUUUCGACAGUCUCUACAAGGGCACAAAAUCUUUUUAGGGUAACUAUUAUUCUUUUCAGCCAUCUUCACAAAAUUCCAAGCUGCAUUCAUGUAUCAUCUGUAGCUCUACCCAAUCAAAUGCUAAAAGCAUGUUAACAAUAUAUUUACAACACAUUGGGCAACAGAAAUAUCUUUCAUUGCCUGUUUAGAUGUACCCACUCCUUAUUCAUUAAUGUUAAUAACACUGGAUAAUAUAUUUCCUAGUACACAUACAAGUUUUAUGUACCAUCCUCAUGAAAUGAUUUUCAAAAGCAACAUCAUAAUUCUAUAUAUAAGUAAAUAGAAUGGCAAAACAAAUAUUGGAAACAAUAAUGUAUGACUAAGAUUACAAGAAUAAUAUGCAAAAUGAAAAAACUAAAACUAAAUUAAAAGAAAAAAUAACUCAAUGAUAUAUUAUGGACAACUACUAUAACUAAAAAAUAACUCAGUAAAAAAUUUCAUAAUUUUAAAAAGAAAAAUUAAAAAAAUUCAACAAAAUAAAAAAAUACCAAAACUAAAUUAAAAGAAAAAAUAAUUCAAUGAUAUAAUCUGGGCAACUACUAUAACUAAAAAUUAACUCAGGAAAAAUUCAGAAUUUUAAAAGAAAAAAUAACUCAAUGAUAUAAUUUGGGCAACUACUAUAACGAAAAAAUAAAUCAGGAAAAAAAUUCAGAAUUUUAAAAAGAUAGCAAACAAAAAGCAAAUAGGCAAAUAAUAAUAAUAAUAAUAAUAAUAAUAAUAAUAAUAAUUUGACAAGAAAAUGCCGAAACACUCACCUUUGGCAAAGGUUACAAAACUAGUUUAGUAUGCAAUUGGCCAAAAGUUAUAGGAGUAGGAGUUGUGUCUUCUUCAAUUGGGAGGCAUCAUUUAUCAUAUCAAAUCCCAGUAAAAAAAAUAGUCAGACAAUUAAUUUUCUACAAAACCCAAAUUCACAAUUCAAUCCAAAAGCUAAAUUAAUGAUAUCAACAAUUUUAAGAGAGAAAUUGGAAAAAAAAAUUAUAACAAAACUUUAAAGAUCCAAAAGGAAAACUUGUGAAUUACCUUCAUGAAACCAUUUUUGGGAACAAAAUCCGUCAAUUACUUCUGUCAAGCUCAAGUCGUUUGGAGAUUCAGUUGCUCAACAAAUUAAUGGAUCAUUAGAUGAUAUGAUUUCUAAGGAAAUUUUGAGGGAUUAGGUUUUUAGGCCUUUAGUUACUUUGGUGUGUGGGCAGUGACAACUUGAGGAAAGAAGAAAACAAAGGCUUUGACUUUUAGGUGGGUGUUAACGUGGAAGUUGAGAGAGAGGCAAAAGGAUGUUAGAAUUAAGUUAUAGAAUUUCAUUUUUAUUUUUUUUUAUUUGGCGGCAGUCUUAGAUUCCCACUAUAGUUUUUGCUCUUUUUUGGUAGCAAUUCUUAUGUGCUGCAAAAUUAAUAUUUAUAUUGUAGCUUUUAUAAAAUGCUAUAUUAUUAAAUGUUAUACAUAGCUCUUCUAAAAUGCUACUGUAUGAUUUUUUUCAAGUGCAACAUAAAUUUGUAACAUUUAUAAAGUGCUACAUUAUUAAAAAUUUAUGGUAGCAUUUACUAUAUGUUACAAAUUAAAUGUUAUAUCUAUCAAAAAAAUAAAAUGUAACUAUUGAGUAGUUAAUAGUAGCUUUUAUGGGCAAAAUGCUACAAUAGAAUGACAUUUAGUAGCACUUAAAAAAAAGUGCUACAAUCUAUUGCCACUAAAGGUGAUAUUUGUUGUAGUGAAAUUUGUUAAUGGUUGUGUACUAUUUUUUGAGGUAAUAAUUUUUUUAAAAUGAUUUCAUCAAUUAACAUGUUAUUUUCUUUUUGCUUUGUCUUGAUCAUUUUGUUAAUUAUAUUGCAACUUUUUUACAUGGAUACUAUAUCAUUCCCAGGAAAAUUUAUUGAUAAAUCUUUGAGUCCAAUAAUAACAUGGACAAAUUGAGAUGUUACUAACUUCUUGAGUUUUGUUAAGAAAAACGGUGGUUAUGGGAGCUCAAAAGUAUGGCAUCUACUUUUUAUUAAUUAAAUAUUAACGUAUCAUAUUAAAAUGACAUGUAUUUAAUAGUAUGUGGUAUUUAUUAGGUUAAUUUGUGAGAAAUCCGUCCUCAACAAAACACGGCCCAAGAAACAUUUGAUGGAACAAGUCAGAAGAAUGAAUAGUGCAUACAUAAUUGUCAACAUUAGAAGGAAUUAUCACUUGUUCGAAAAGAUAUUGGCCGCAUGGCAUUGGAGCCUUUUGGUUUAAAACAUUCAAUGGGUAACUUGAUGCAACAAAUGCAACAAGUAAUGGAAACAUUUAAAGAGAGCUUAAACCAACAGCAAGUAGAGUAGUAAAAGGAGAAUAAUGGCACUCAUUUUGGAAUUACUUCUCUUUCCCGAAAGCGACAAAAGUAUGAUGAAUCAAGCCAUGAAAAUUUUAAUUUUGACAAAGUAAUGAAGAGAGCCAAAGAAAGGCAAAGGGAGAUGAUAUUCUUAAAGAAAUUACUGGAUGAGGAGAAUGCUGAAGAGAAACAUGAUGAGAGAAUUUUGUUGAGUGAGUCAUACCUAAAUGAGGGAAAGUGUAAACAAAUUUUCAACAAUGCAACUACAGGUAUUUAGCAAUAAACUAUGAUCUUUUUUUUCACAAGCAAAACAGAAUAGUGCAUAGAUGAGUUUUAAGUUAUAAAACGUCUUUCUUUUUUUCCUUUGUAGGAUAAUGGCCAAAAUGAGGAUUGUUCUGCUGAAGAGGAAUCAUCAAACCAACUUAGUGUUAGUAGGACAGCUGUAUAAGGACUUAGCAAUUGGUCCUGCAGUCACUGGAAGAAGAGGUCGAAGAGUGAUUAGUGUUAAAAAUUAUAUGUUUAUUGAGGGGUAAAAAUGUUAUUUUGUACUUAUAAUAUAAUUUAUAUUUGUAAUUAUGUAACAUAUUAUGAAUUUCUAAUUAUUUUUCUAAAUAUUUGAUUUCGUGUAUUUUUGUGUGUUUAUUAGAUAAAAAUAAUAAUUUCACGCAAUUUGAGGCUCUAAACAAAUGUACGGAUGUCAAAUUUGGAUUCUGAAAGUUUGAGAAAUUAGGUCAUUGUCGAGGAGAAUUUGUGAUUUUUGUUGUAAAUUUAUAAGUUUUUUACCACGAUAAAUGAGGUAAUUGUGAAAUUAUAAGAUUUUACUAUAUUAGAUGUGGUAAUUGUUAGUGGAAUCUGUUGGAUGUGCUUGAGUGGAUUAAGUUAGGUUUAUAUUUUGUUAGCGGGACAAUUGUAUGGCUAAGAUGUAAUUAGUUUUAUUUAUUUGUGUAGUGUGGAUUAAUCGUGUAUUAGUAUAAAUAGAGGGGGGUAACACACCUCUCUACACCUUUCCUUAUUUUCUUUCCCCUGAAAUUCUUCUUCUCAUCUCUCUUUGUAAUAUAUUUUCAAUAAAUAAAAUUACUUUUAUUUUCAAUUUUCAAAUACUUUUUUAACAAUGUUUUUUUAAUUUGAAUAAUUUCCUUUAUUUCAAAUAUGUUUAGCUAAAUACUAAUAGUUAGGAGAAGGUGAAACUCUCCGUAAAAAAUAUGAUUUAAUCAAAAUUUAUUUUUAAUUACAUAAAUUAAAUUAUUUUCCAUCUAAUUUUAUCCAUAUUUUAAAUUUUGAAAUUUUACUUUAUUUAUAUUUUAAUAUCCUAGUAUAAAGUAUGGUAAAAUGGUAUUUUGACUUAUUGUAGACAAGUUAAAUUUUGGCACACUAGGUACUUAAUCUAUAAUAAAAUUAUUGGGAAAAUAAUUGUAAUUUAUAAAAUUAAUCAUUUGGGCAAUAGAAUAAAAAUAAAAAGAACUUAUUAAAUUGUAUUUAUUACUAAGAGUGGAUUCAUAACCCUAACUAAUUUAAUUUUAUAGUUUUGCUCAAAUUAAAUUACAUAUAUUUAAAUUUUAAAUUCAUUUUUAGAUAAACUAAAAUAAACAAAUUAAAUCUUUUUCUAUGUGGAUUGACCUCGGACUCACCGAGCUAUAGUAUAACUAGGCAUUAUUAUACUUGGGAGUACGUUAAACACUUUUGAAUCGUGUCAAAGAAAAACAGUGCAAGCAGGAAGCCAGACAAGCAUAAAAUCCGUUACUCUGGCCAUUAUCUAGGAUGCAUUAUCUAUUGACUACAAGAAAAAUGGUAUUUUAUUACAAAAAAUUUAGUCACUAAAAAUAAUCGAUUAGUCACCUUAUAUUUUUUACGACAAAAAAUAAAUUGUCACAUGUUAGUCAUAGAAAGACCGUCUUAAAAGGUUCUAGCGACCAAAAUUAUUUCAGUCGUUAAAAAUAUGUUUUUUACGACAAAAAUGAUUAUCUUAAAAUUAAGCUAAAAUUGUCACACAUGAUAUUCAAAAUGGUCAAAUUAGAUAUUAAAAAAUGCAAUCAAUGACACUUUAUAUCUGUCACAAUAGGUGAUUUGUAGCGGCUAUAAUAUUUGUCUCAUGAAUAUGUAAAAGUUUACAUAUCACGACAUUACAUAAUCGUCUCAAGUAGUUGUAAUUUGUGACAAUUUCUGCAAAUACAAUUGGUAAUUAAUUUAGUCUCAAAUUUGUUUUAAGAACAAUUUAUAUGGUGUCACAUAAAUUUUAAUAACAAUAUGUAGUCAUAGAAUUCAAAAUUUAAUGACAAAAAAAAUUUAAAAUAAAAAAUAUUAUUAACAUAAAUAUAAUUCAUCACAAAGAGAUCUAAAAUCUAAAUAGUAAAAUGAUCAAUAGUCUAAAAAUAAGAUUACAUUGUGGAAGAAAAAUUAAAAUAACAUUACACAAAAGGAGAAUUAAGUAAACAAAGGUUGUUGUUUCAUGAAUGCUUCAACUUCCUUAAAUUUGCUAACUUGUUACUUGAUUUUAAUUUUUAUCCUUGAUUGCUAAGACAAUGUUGUAGUUGAGGAUGACUUUGAUCAUCUAUUAUUGGUACAUCAUUUUUCUCCAUCUGUCAUUUCAUUUGGCCCUACAUGAUUAAAAAAAUAAAUAUUAAUAAUAAUAAAAACUUGAGAAAACACUUAAUUGAUUGUAGAAGAAUAAUCUUAUAAAAGAAAAUCUUAUUGCCAAUGCAUAAAAGAAUAGUAAAUAGCAAGGCUAAACAAAAAUAUUUAGGUUAGAAUGCAACAUUAAUUAAAUCUCUCAAUGAAACAUGUCCACAAUCAAUUCUUUCAUUCAAAAAAAUUAGAUGAAAGACUAGGAGAUUACAAGCACAUACUUGCUUUCAUUAUUCAGAAUAACAAUAUUAUCAAAAGAUUACAAAUACGCACAUAAUCAACCUCGAUUCACUUGCACAAAUUUUGCAUCCAAAACUCUUAAGUCAAUCUAUUAAAUAGUUGGUGUCACAAAACUAAAUUAAAUUAUUAAGCAGUCAAUGGAUCAACAUUUACAGAAUUACAGUAAAUAUAAAGUUGAAAGAAAUAAGAGAUUAAGUAAAAAAAAUAAAAUAAAAUGGCUCACACAUUUAGAUUAAUCAUAUGAUUAGAGAUAUGGAUGAUAUUUCAAAACGUCAAGUUAAAUGACAAUGCCAAAAUAAAUACAAUAAGAAUAAAACAUGAGAAAAAGAUGAAACCAUGAAAAUGAAAUACAGGGAAAGAGCAAGAGGACAACCAAAAACACAACAUAAACGUUCCACAAAUAUGUGAUCUACUUUCUUUGAAUGGAUUCCAAUUGAAUCAUGUAAAAGAUGAUCUACUUUCUUUGAAUGAUUGCGUGUACUUCUCCAUUCACUGGCAGUGCCAUUUCCAUUAACUUCUCCAUCAUUAGAUGCAGAAUUGGAGCAGAAAAGUAAAUUAAACACAAGCUGAUCCACCAAGUAGUUCAGCAGCAUCAGCAAGAAUGGACUAAGUCCAUAAUAUACGCAAGUUGUCAAUCAUGUAUUUCCUUUCAAAAGGAUAAGUUUCAACUAAGCAAAUACUUCAUCCAACUUAGAAGCCACAUGAUCAAUAUCUCUAAGCCUUACUAGAAGUGAAAGAAUGGGAAAGGAAGGGGGCAGAAAAAAAUGGCAGAAACUCUCAACUACUUGCUUGCAAAUAUUAGGACCAGAUCUUACUCUAAUGAACCAAAUUAAUUUUUUUUUUCUGUAACUUUAAGUUCCUUCUCUAGGAAAAUAAUAGCAAAUCAUUGACUAUUGGGUAAAACAUUUAUAAUAAUAAAAAUAGUAAAAAUAAUAAUGUGGGCCGAGAGGUAUUUAAUCCAACCAAAUGAAUUAUGUUACAUCAGCUUGUAGAAAACAAAUUUAUAGAAGAGUUUAUAUGAUAAAUAAAAAUAAAAAUUAAGAUGCAAACAUAUAUACAUGCAAGGAUGACCCGACCCCACUUUUAGUCCAAUUGACUUGACCUAAAUUUUAUGGGCUUUGACAUGAAUUUAAGGGAUUACAAUCGGGCUCGGCCUAAAUAUUAGAGCCCGGUUAAAUUCAAAUCAGGGUUCAGGCCCUACAUGUCGGACUCGACUUGACCUGACCUUAAAACUUAAAAAAAAUGUUUAUAUAUGUUUAUUUUAUGUUUAUUAUUUAUGUAAUAAUAUGGUUGCAAACUUGAGUAAUUUUAUUUUUAUAUUGUUUCAAACAAUUUCUAAAGCUUUUAUAUUUUAAUGAAUAUAAGGAGGCUAUGUCCAUUUUUUUAAUUUUAAAUUAAUAAAAAAUUAAAAAACCUUUAAGAGAAACUAUGAUCGGGCUCGGGCUUUCAAAUAAUCGGAAUAUUUUGGGCUUGAAAAUUUUAUUUCAAUUAUAGGGUCAGGCUUGGAAAUGGCUAAGCAUGAGCCUGACUCAACCCACUACCAUUCUUGCAAAUAUACUAUUGAUCCAUUAUGAACUCAUCAAUUAAAUUAGCAUAAAAAAAAACUCAUCAAUUAAAUUCAUACUCACUGCAAAGGUGUUAUUAUCAUUCAAAUCUCAUGCAAUCUAAAAUUGUAAACACAUAAAAUAGUUUUCAAAGACUUCCAAAAGAAUGCCAAAAGUCUAACUCUCUAAUUAAUUCCACCCAGGAUCUAGGUCAGGUUAACUAAGCUAAUCUAAUGACAGAAAAAUGAGUAAAUUAAUGUUCAAAUGGUCAAUGGGUCUUUAGAAUUGUAAGAAUUAUAAAAACUUAGAAAAAUGACAUAAAACUCGUAAAUUAACAUUAACUGUGAAAUAAAACAAACAAACUAUAAACCACACAUAGGGCUAAUAAAUUGAUGGAAAAAUGGGCAAAUUAAUGUUAGAGUUGCAAAUUGGUCUUCAUAAUUUGAAGAAAUAAAAAACCUAAGCAAAAUAACAUAAAACUCAUAAAUUGACAUUAAGUGUGAAAUGAAAUUAAAAAAAUAUAAAUCAUACAUAAGACUAGUAAAUUGACAGAAAAAUGGAUAAAUUAAUAUUGGUGUGGUAAAUUGGUCUUCAGACUUGUAAGAAUUACAAAAACCUAGAAACAUGACAAAAAAACUCAUAAAUUGAUAUUAAAUGUGAAAUGAAACAAAAAAAUAUUAAACCGCACAUAGGACUAUUAAAUUGACAAAAAAGGGAUAAAUUAAUAUUGGUGUGGUAAAUUGGUUUUUAGACUUGUAAGAAUUACAAAAACCUAGAAACAUGACCGAAAACCCAUAAAUUGAGAUUAAGUGUGAAAUGAAACAAAAAAAAUUGUAAACCGCAUAUAGGACUAGUAAAUUGAUGGAAAAUGGGUAAAUUCGUGUUGUAGUGGCAAAUUAGUCUUUAAACUUGUAAGAAUUUCAAAAACUUAGAAACAUGACAUAAAACUCGUAAAUCGACAUUAAGUGUGAAAUGAAAUAAAAAAAAAUUGUAAAUCUCAAAUAGGACUAGUAAAUUGAUAGAAAAAUGGAUAAAUUAAUAUUGGAGUUGUAUAUUGGUCUUUAGAAUUGGAAGAAAUACAAAAACUUAAGCAAAAUUACAUAAAACACAUGAAUUGAUAUUAAGUGUUAAAUGAAACAAAAAAAAUUGUAAAUUGUACAUAGUACUAGUAAAUUGAUACAAAAAGGAGUGAAUUAAUACUGCAGUGGUAAAUUGGUCUUCAGACUUGUAAGAAUUACAAAAAGUUAAAAACAUGACAGAAAACUCAUAAAUUGAAAUUAAGUGUGAAAUGAAACAAAAAAAUUGUAAACCGCUCAUAGAACUAGUAAAUUGACAGAAGAAGGGAUAAAUUAAUGUUGGAGUGGUAAAUUGAUCUUCAGACUUGUAAGAAUUAUAAAAAUUUAGGAACAUGACAUAAAACUCGUAAAUUGACAUUCAGUGUGAAAUGAUAUAAAAAAAAAAAUUGUAAACCAUACAUAAGACUAGUAAAUUGAUGGAAAAAUAGGUAAAUUCAUGUUGGAGUGGUAAAUUGGUCUUUAGAAUUGUAACCAAAGCAAAAACUUGUAAAUGUUAUGUAAAACUUAUAAAUAACCAUCAAGUGUCAAAUAACACAUUGAUUUUGUAAAUCAAAUAUAAGACUAGUAAAUAUAACCUGCAACUUGGGUAAAAAAUGGUAAUUUUCUUUCCUCAGUUUCGUCUUAAUCUUCCGACGUGAACAUGCACAAGUAGUUGCUCUGCUAUAUCUAUUGGUUUUUGCUAGACUAGUCAUUACUGUUUGAGUUUUAAAUAUUUGCCUUCAUUACUCAAUUGUCGCACAAGUUAAUCAUACGUUAUCAUGCUUAUGCUGGCCUUAAUUCGGAACAAAAAAAUGUUGGUUGACAGAUGGGCACAAAAGACUGGCUUCGUUUUUGCUAAAAAAGAAAUAAACUCUGCUUCUAUGGCCUCUGCAAACCAACUGCUUCCAUGCCCCAUUGAACGCGUGCUUCAUUUUCAAUAUUUCCAAGUUCCAUUUCUCGCCUAAAGCUUCGCGAGAUGUGUUCAAAAAUGUCCUUAUCGCCACAGUUUUGCCACAAAAGCCAAUAGAAUUAAUGAUUCUUAUAAACUAUGAAUUACAUCCUAAUCUAGUUGCACAAUUUUGGGUUGCUUUGAUCAUUAUACCGCUUGGAAAUAUCAAAUUCCAAGAUCAUCAUUAGUUGGGACAAAAUUUUAAUUAUAUCUCAAAUUUAUAACUAAAAGUAGUUAUCAUUGAAACUUAAAGUACCAAGACGACAUCUGAAGUGUAAAAAGAAAAGGAGAGAGAAGGGUAGAUGGAUAAGAUAUAGGUUAGAAGAAGUCAAAAUUUGAUAAACUUUUUUAGGAUUUUAUCUAACAACACUUUUUUUUUCCAAUUUUUCUGGUUGUAUCUCAGUGUUUAUAUAAAGCAAAGAUUUCGAUGACUAAAAUAUGAGCUAUACUUAUAAAGUGGAGAUGUAGAGCUUAUCACAGAUGUAACAAAGACACGGUCCUCAUACAAUUAAUUGACCAUUUGACGGUGAGAUGAUGAGAAGAUAAAUUAUCAAUUUUAUCAAUUAACACAUGACAAUUUGUAAUAACGUUAGAUCAUAUGUCACACUAAUUGAGAUUAAUUCGAAGUGGUUCUAACACAUUGUGCAUGCAAUUCAAUGCUUAAAGGGAUAUGUGCGGGCGUGGCAAUUGCGACAUGGCCGCUCUUUGCUGAGCAGUUUUACGCAAUGAGAGGUUUAUUUAUUACAAGAAGAGUAUAUAGUUUGGGCACUGGGUUAAUAUAUUAUCAAAUUAAAUUUCUUUGCUUUAGGCAUAAUUCAUGACUUGCCCUUAGAUAACUAAGUGUGAAAAUUAAGCUCAAACUGUUAUAUCCACUAAUCUUUUCAUAUUAAUUACAAGCAUUCUUUGUAGUUUGUGAACUAAUCUGAUCAAACUGUUACAUGAUGCAAAUCAAACUGUGGCUACAAUGUUAGUAAAUUGGAAUAAUAGCUAGUUUUGACAAAUUCAGAUUAGUUUUGUUUGUUCAAAAGCGGGUUAACAUAAAGAUGAGAAGAAAUCUAAUUCAACAUCUAAAGUCUCUCUGUCUCAGCCAUUUUAUUAUCUUAAUCAAAGUGUUGUGAAAAUUUUAAUGUACUCGCAAGCGCACGAAUCUAGAAAUAGAGUAGUGGUAACGAGGUCGAUCCCACAGGGAUUGUUAUAAAUUGAAAAGUCUAAUUUAAAUCUAAAAUUAAUAUUAAUUCUAACCUAGUUGACCAAAUUGAGUUUUAAGAGAAAUUAAACUAAUUAAACUAAGAAAACAAUUAAAGCAAAUGAGAAUUCAAUGAGAUAAAAAUUACCAAGGUUUCGGAAUCCACCACUAUUCAACUAGUAAUUAUCUAAUUAUUAAUUAAUCCCCAAUUUUAGAGUGACAACUCGAAAUCAAUCUAUGUCAUCUCAUGGAUAUAACAAUUAAGCCCAAGUAAUUAAAUCUAAUGUAGGUUCUUUUUCUGCUUAAUAAUAUGACAUCCAAGAAUCUCAUGUAAACAUAUUGAAUAACAAAGAGUCAAAGUUUUCAUAAGCACUCUAUGUAAACAAUUUAAUAAAAGACAUAAAAUUAAAGAUAAUCAUGUAUAAACUUUAUAGAUCCAAGCAUAGAAUUAAUUGAAUAUUAAUCCUAACAAUCAAUAAUGCAUGACAGAAUUGAUGAAAAGAUUUUAAUAACAUCCAAUUAAUCAUGUGAAAUAAAAACCAUAAUCAUUAAAGAACAUAUAUAGGGAAUUAAUUAAAUAAAAAGAGAUAAUUAUUUCAUUGAAUAGGGUUUCAUCCUUAACCUCAGUAUAAGAAAAUUAGCUAGACAUACUUGAAUUGAGAGCAACACAAGAAAUAAAAUCAGCCAUGAAGCCGAACUGCUGCACUCGUCCUUUUCUCCCCUCUUCUGCCUUGCGUUUGCACUCCCUUCUGGCAGCUCUCCCUCUUCUCCAAAAGCCACAACUCCCUUUUAUAAUCUUUGAAAUGGGCCCCAUCUCUCUUAAAUCCUAAAGCCACAAGGCUUGCCCUUUUAUUUACUUGGCCACGUAAUUGAAAACUAUAAAAGCCAAAAGUUAUUGAUUUCCUUCCUUUAUUCUACUUUGACUUUCCAUUCAAAGCUUUAAUUAAAAGCUUUGUUUAAUGUGCUGCCCACUUUAGCUUUAACCUUCUUCUUUGUUUGCACGUGGAUGGUGAAUGCAUUUGUUGAGUUCGGUUUCCUUGGCUUGAAUUAACAUGCAUAUAAGCAUAAUUGCUUCCAAGUUAAUUAAUCUUUAAUGCUCACAAAUUGAACUCCUUUGUGCUCUUUUUAUCCAUAAUCUCCAAUUAAUUCCUAUUCAAUAAAAUAAUUUAAUUAAUUAAAAAUAACAAAGAAAAAUAACUAGCAAUUAAAUAAUUAAGGGUAAAAUAUGUAUGUAUUAUAUGCUCAUCACAAAGCCAAUGUGAUGACAAAAUUAAGGGUAAUUGAAAUUUAAAAAGCGAACCCCAAACUAUUUAGAAUUAGAGAGAGAGUGCUUGCUGAAGUGGAAGGAUCUACUUUCCUUUCUUUCUCUGUUACAAGGAGACAAAUGCCCAGUAAACAUGUUUGUCAAUUGCUCUUUUGCUUCCGCUGUGCUUGUUUUCUGUAACAUUGUUAAAAUAUAAGUGUUCGAAAACCUUUUCAAUUUCAAACAACUUUGGUAUUAUCUUAAUUGUUUUGAUUCCAUUUCUCUGUGAUUGAUCUUCUGUUUUUCUAAUGGGGUCACCGACCUUGAAUAUAGUACGUAGUAUUGAUCCUAUUUUAUGUCUUUAAUUUUUCACAUACUGUUUUUAUUACAUUUUUUUUUAUAAUUUGAUAACAUUACCUUCAAAAGAAAAACCCAGAGAUGAUUUGUCCUGUUGUUCACAUUUACAAAGGGCAUGGACAUGGACAAUUUUUGUCCAACCAACGCUAGUCCCAUGUUUGGCAAAGGGUUUUAUAUGGGUGAGGGAUAAAUAGAGAAAAACAUAUCCCAUGGGAGCCAAUCUAAGGUGUCGUUAACAUAAAUUUUAUUUGAAUAUUUUACUCUUAUUAUAAGUACCAAAUACUCAUAAAACUAUUUUAAUAACUUCAAUAACUUUUCAGUAAAAAGUUAUAUAUUUCCGAAUGAUUUAUAGUUAUUACUUUAUUAAUAUGAUCAUUAAUUUUCAAUGAAACUGACGAGAACUCUUUGUGAUAUGAUAUCUCAUGGAAUCUAUUGACUAUCAAAUGUUUUGCUAUUUACACGUAAGAGCAUUGAAAAUUAUUGCAUUUCAAUUCAAAAUGCUAGAUUAUAUAGGGUACAAAACUAAAUACCCAAAUUAACCCUAUCCUUUCUUUACAACUUCAAUUGCAAACUUCAUGUGGCAAGUUAACUACAUUAGGGUGCGUUUUAGAGCCAUCAAAUCUACAGUAAUGUGGCAACUAAAACAUGUGAAUAAAUUUCUUGGGUCAAUGGUAACAAAGUCCAAGAGUGAUUUAUGAUGCCUGAUUACCACGAGCACACGUAAUUUGCAUGCAACAUGCCUAGCUCAUUUGAAAAUUUGGAUCAAUGAGUGUUUCACAAAACACCAUUCAAGUUUUCACAUCGUGAAAAUAGAAUUUGAACCAAUUAUCAACACUAUACAGCAUGUUUAUUGCUCAAAUUGAAGAAAAUUAAGAAGACAUACAGAUCGAAGAUUACGGAAAAGUCACUUCAAGGAAAAGGCUCUUAUAUGUGACGUCAUACUUUGCCGUCUCACAUAGCUACAGUCAAUUUUUCUAUUUUCUUAAUGCUAGCUAAUAAAAGAAAAAUGUAGAAAUAUAUGACAGAAUCCAUCACUUUCAUCAGUCGAAUAAGCAAGAGAGCAACAUGAAACAAGGGUGAAAAGAGUGAAACCUUCUUAUUGUUUGAAAAAACUGAUUGAAACUCCCCUAAUGUUUUAAAACACACACACACAUUAGUUUUGCAUUUAAUUUUUCAUAAAUUUUGAAAAAAAAAUCAGAAUUAAUUCUGAAUACUACAAAGUGUCUGACUCAGAUCGGAAGAAUGAAUCUGAAAUUUUCUUUAAGGCAUGGAAGAAUCAUUGCAUAAUCAGUGUGUAUGGAAGAAAAAAUUAAUAAGCCAAGUGACAUGGAAAUAAAUGAAUUCACAUUAAACAUGUACCAUGUGCGUCGGUUGUCGCAAAAAAGAACAACAUUUUCCAAGCAAUAAUCAUGCCAGUCUACACAGAAGCACAAUUCACGUUUAAACUUUCUCCCCUUUUUUUUUCGGAGAAAAGAACAUCUACACUCUAAAACUUGGGAAAAUGAUCACCAAUACCAUCAAGUUUUUAAAAAGGGGCAUUAAGACCUAAGACCCCCUUUUUAACUAUAAUACCCUUUACCUCUACGAUCCCAAAAAAUUAACUCUAAUAUUUUAUAAUAAAUAGGAAUAUAACAUUAAAAUAAAUGUAAUACUAUAUACAUUUGAAAAUAAUUUCAAUAUUUAAUUUUUUUUUAAUAUUUUACAAUCUAUUGGAUAUAUUUUAUUAUAUUAAAGUAAAUUUUAUAAUAAAUAGAAUCAUAAUAUUAAAAUAAAUGUAUUAAAAUUUAAAUUAUUUUGAAUAUUAUGUAAAAUAAUAAUUUUAAUAUUAUUAGUAUGUGAGAUUUAUUUUAAGUGUAAAUUUAUUUAAUGAAAAUAUUAAUUUAAAAUCUCUACAAUAAAUAAAAUUUAUUAUUAAAAUAAAUAUAAUAAAUUUACAUAUUUAAAUUUAUUCAAAAAUUAAAAUAUUUUAAUAUCGUUGGUCUACUGCAUAGAUUACAUUAUUCAUAUAAUAUUUGUAUUUAUUAAAAAUUUUAAAGUCAAUUUUUUUAGGAACAAUAGAGGUAAAAGGUAUAAUGGUUAAAAGGGGUCUUGACGUCCUUUUUUAAAAACUUGGGUGUUGGUGACUGUUUCUCUAAACCUUGGGGAUAUAGAUGUCCUUUUUUCUUUUUCUUUUUUUUUUCCAUUUCACACACCAUAACCCCCAUUCACGUUUAAAGUAAAGCUUCCCGAUUGUGAGGGGAAUCGAUCUCAACUAAGCUAUGUGAGCAUAGAUGGAUUAGAAUUUUUACCAUUCAAUUGUGUGUUUUUUCUGGAAUGAUUGGACAUUGGUGAUGAAAUGAAAUAUUAAAAAUUUAUCAAGGAACAAAGUAGUAAAAAUAAAUUCAAGAAGCUGUGUUUUCUGUAGCAAAUGUGAGAUCCUAACAGGUCAUUUGGAUUUUUUUUUUUAAACAAAAGCCAUAAUAAAUUAAACUUACAAAAUUUUAGUGAAUUAAUAAUUUUUUAUAUUUAAGUAAAUUAACUUUCUGAAAAUUUUAAUAAUUCACAAAUGCCCUAAAACUUAUCGAAUGUUUGGCAAGGGUUUACUGCGUGGGGAUAAACUUGGUGUACCAAAUUUGGCAUACCAAACGCACCCUAAAUACAAUAGAAAUAACUCGUGGCAUUCCUCCAAAUAACUCCAAUGAUUUUUCCAGAAAUUAAAAUCAUAUUCUUUAGACUUUAACCUAUACAAAAAAAAAAAAAAAAAAUUAGUAUCUUAAUAAAGAGGCAUAUAAUGACAAAAUUAAAGGGUAGUGAAAAGACAAUCCCAAACGGUGUGUUAUUUUCCUUUCAUUUACUGGCAUGAAUUUUCGGGAGACAAAAGCCCAGUAAACAAGUUUGUUCGGUACAAUAGGAUCCAAAAAAACCUUAGUCAAUUUGUCCAUUAAUCUUGACCACAAAUAUUUUUUUAUUCUAUUUCGUAGGAUGACUUUUCAUGCUCUUCUAUGAAAAAAAAAAAAAAAGGAGAGAGAGAGAAGAACCUUUGUGGAAAAACUUUGAUCAUUAGCUUGAUUGUUUGUCAGCUUUAGUGGAAAUGCCCAAGCGUUUUAACAUUUUCUGAAUUGUUGCUAUCCAAAUGAGAAGAAUCUCUGAGAAAAAAUUUUGAGCACUAAUCUAACAGUUUGUUAGCUUUAGCGGAAAAGGCUAGAUAUUUUAACAUUUUAUGAAUUGCACAUUGAAGACGCAACGCGAAUAUAGUUUUGUGACGCCAAGCUAAAUUAACUUACUCUCAUUUACCGUACCAAAGAAAUUUACCCUACAAGUUAAUUAACCAACAAGUAGUAGACGGACAGCUACAAGUUGUACAUUGACGUAGAAGAAGAUGCAUUCGAUACGAAGAUUGAUUUGACAGAACUGCAACAAAGUGAACCAUUUUUGGGAUAAGUUUAGAGCAGUACUAAUUUAUAUCAAGAAAGAAACAGUAUUACUGCUUUCUCUCUUUAGCAUUUCUACUAAUUUUAAUACAUUGAUCUUGGAAGACUUUUCCACAAUAUCAAUUGAUGCAUUGACUUGUUGACCUCUCAAUUGCUCUUGUAUGUGGUUUCUAUAAAUUUGGCAUCCUAUAUGCUUGUUUUCUGCACCGUUGUUAAUUUGUAUGUUUUUGAAAGCUGAGAGUCCUCAAGUGAUCUUAAUUUUGAAUUUUAACACAUUUUGGUUUAUCUUACUUUGUUUUAUUGUGUUUUAUAAUGUCAAUGGGGGCAACAAACAUGAAUAAAGUAGUUUCUUCACUAGUUUUGUUGAUCCUAUUUUCUUUGCUAGAUUUUUCAAUUGCUGUUUCUUCUGAUUCUAAUGAAGAAGCUGAUGCUCUUCUCAAAUGGAAAGCCAGCCUUUAAAGCCAUAACCGAUCUCUCCUUCCUUCCUGGACUAACGCCACCACCAAUGUUUCGUCCAAAAUAAGCCCGUGUGCUUGGUAUGGAAUCAGUUGCAAUGACGCUGGAAGAGUCACCAACAUCAGCCUCAGAAAUACGGGAUUAAGUGGUACGCUUCGUGAUUUGUCAUUCUCAUCGUUUCCUCAACUUGUGCAUCUUGAUCUCAGUCUUAAUGGAUUCUUUGGUACCAUCCCAUCUCAAAUUGGUAACCUUACGAAACUCAGCUACAUUUCUUUAGAUUCCAAUCAGUUGUCCGGAAAAAUUCCAGCGGAGGUUGGUCUUCUGACUCAUUUGAAGGUCCUUAGCUUUCAAUUCAAUCAAUUAGAUGGCUCAAUUCCACCAGAAGUUUGUCAGUUAAGUUCUAUCGAGGAGCUUUUCUUAUACGCUAACCAUUUAAACGGGUCCCUUCCCCCUUUUUUGGGUAACUUGAGCAAUAUCAUUCGAUUGUAUAUUAAUAAUAAUUCACUUUCUGGCUCUAUUCCUACGAACAUUGGAAACUUGAAAUUUCUUUUUGAAUUAGAUUUUAGUAAAAAUCAACUUGGUGGUUCAAUUCCUCUUUCUUUUGGUAACUUGAGUAACUUGGCUCGAUUGUACCUUUAUAAGAAUUUACUCAUUGGUUCUAUUCCGUCAAGUUUAGGAAACUUGAAGCUCAUUGAUUUACAGUUGAGCUCUAACCAACUCACUGGUUAUAUCCCAUAUUCCUUAGGUAAUGUAACAAGUUUAUCAUCUUUACUUCUAGCCAAAAAUAAGCUUUAUGGUUCUCUUCCUCCAUUUGUUGGUAAUUUUACCAACCUGAGACUAUUUGACGUUUCUGAUAACUCUCUAUAUGGCUCUAUUCCAAGGGAAAUAUGGAACUUGAAAUCUCUUGUCCUCCUAGAUCUGGGCAUUAAUCAAUUUAGAGGUUUUCUUCCUCUAUCUGUUGGUAAUUUGACCAACCUAAAAAGACUAGGUCUCGUGGAUAACCACCUAUCCGGUUCCAUUCCUCCCUCCCCUGGGAAUUCCGUGUUAAGAGAGCUAGAAUUGUCUCUAAACCAUUUCACUGGUUAUUUACCCCACAAUAUUUGCCGAGGCGGAGCACUAGAGAUUUUUACUGUUAGUGAAAACCAUUUUCAAGGAACAAUCCCUACAAGCUUGAGAAAUUGCACAAGCUUGAUCCGAGUACGCCUUGAUGGAAACAACCUUACUGGAAAUAUAUCAGAAGCUUUGGGCAUUUAUCCUAACCUGACUUUCAUAGAUCUCAGCCGCAAUAAUUUUUACGGUGAAAUCUCAUCUAAUUGGGGGAAAUGCCCAAAAUUAGGCACUCUCAAUGUUUCGAUGAAUAACAUUACUGGAGGUAUACCGCGUGAGAUUGGAAACUCGUCUCAACUACAAGCACUUGAUCUUUCAUUGAAUCAUAUAGUUGGGGAUAUUCCAAAGGAACUGGGAAAGUCAAAUUCUCUAACCAAGCUCAUUUUGAGAGGGAAUCAACUGACAGGGCGUCUACCUACAGAAAUCGGCUCACUCAUUGAACUUGAAUACCUCGACUUUUCUGCUAAUAGGUUCAACAAUUCAGUCCCAGAAAUUCUCGGCAACUUGCUGAAAUUGCACUACUUGGGCUUAAGCAACAACCAGUUUGUCCAAGAAUUGCCAAAGGAAUUGGAGAAGCUAGUUCAACUUUCAGAAUUAGAUGCAAGUCAUAACCUUUUUGGAGGAGAGAUACCAUUUCAAAUAUGCAGUUUGAAAAGCUUGGAAAAGUUGAAUCUCUCCCACAAUAAUCUUUCUGGUUCGAUUCCAAAUUGCUUUGAUGGAAUGCACGGUCUAUCAGUCAUUGACAUUUCUGAUAAUCAAUUGCAAGGCCCAGUUCCAAAUACUACAGCAUUUCAGAAUGCCCCAGUAGAAGCAUUAGAGGGGAAUAAGGGAUUGUGUGGAGGUUUGAAAGGAAUGCAACCAUGCAAAGUUUACUCGUCACACAAGCAAAAUUCUGGAGCCAAGUGGUUUGCAAUAGUGUUCCCUGUUUUAGGAGCACUAUUUGUUUCAAUGGCGUUGAUAGCAAUUUUCAUUCUUCGAAAGCGGAAGUCAGACUCAGGAGAUCCACAGAGUAGCAGCCAGAACCCUCAGGGAUUGUUUUCUAUUUUAAAUUUUGAAGGGAAACUUGUGUACGAUGAAAUUGUUAGAGCAACAAAUGAUUUUGAUGCAGAGUAUUGCAUUGGAAAUGGUGGACACAGAAGUGUUUAUAGAGCUGAACUACCAUCUGGGACAGUCGUAGCUGUUAAGAAAUUUCAAUCACCACUCCCAUGUGAUCAGAUUGCAUAUCAAAAAGAAUUCUUGACCGAAGUUCAAGCCUUGACAGAGAUACGACAUCGAAACAUUGUGAAGUUUUAUGGAUUUUGCUCACAUACCCGACACUCUUUUUUGGUCUAUGAAUUUCUUGAAAGGGGUAGCUUGGCAGCGAUGUUGAGCAGUGAUGCAGCAGCACAAGAACUGGGUUGGAGUCAGAGAAUGAAUGUGAUCAAAGGCGUAGCUGAUGCUCUGUCUUACUUGCACCAUGACUGCUUUCCUCCGAUUGUCCAUCGAGACAUAUCAAGUAAGAACUUGUUGCUGGAUUUGGAAUAUGAAGCUCAUGUUGCAGACUUUGGAAUCGCUAAGUUUCUGAAGCCAGACUCGUCCAACUGGACUGAAUUUGCAGGCACAUACGGAUACGUUGCACCAGGUAUUUAGUAUUCGUUUGUUACCAUUUUGAGUAAUAUUUUUAUGUUAUGUGUGUCGUAACAUAACAAUGUACCUAGAUAUUGUUGAAAAAAUUAUGUAGUACAUUCAGCAGACCUGUAAAAGCUUACUAGUUUAUGCACAUUUAUCUCAUAAACAGAGUAAACAUUUUUUUUUUGGGUCCUUGACCUUGCAGAGCUUGCUUACACAAUGAAGAUCACAGAGAAAUGCGAUGUGUACAGUUUUGGAGUGUUAGUGUUGGAAGUGAUCAAAGGGAAGCAUCCAAGAGAUUUUCUUUCUUCGAUUUCAUCUUCAUCUCUCAACACGGAUACAGCACUUGAUGAAAUGUUGGACCCGCGUCUUCCAGCUCCAUCAUGCAGUGUUCAAGAAAAACUGAGAUCAAUCGUGGAGGUUGCGUCUUCAUGCUUAAAUGAGAGUCCGAAGUCUAGACCAACUAUGAAGAUAGUCAGUCGACAAUUGCAGAUUUCAGCUGCCUUGACUGAGUCUUAAUUUUCUAAGUAUACUUCUAAUUUGCUUGGUGUCUUUUUUUUUUCUUUCUUCUAAUUUGCUUGGUUUAUUUUUCUCAUGUACUGCAGUUUGUUUGGUUUAGUUUUCAAGAAUCAGGAGGCGUUGGUUAUUACGUCAUCCAUAUAUGCUUGGUAUAUGGUGUACUCUUUCAUUUAUAAAUAAAAUAAAGUUUGCACAUGGGGCAGUGGUGAGCACAUUUGAAGAACAAGAUUAGUAAGACAGUUUGUAAUAACUAAAAAUAAUAAUUUCUGGCGACAUGUACAAAAAGGUGAACCCCUCAAAUGUAAACUAGAAAGUGCGUUAUUGAUGCGAGAUUCUGGUUGCCUUCUCUACCAAGACCAGGGCCUCUGCUCGAUCAACUCUACUACGACCAGGUUCCCUCCUCGCAAGGCUUCUUCUCCGAAAGUUCCUGUGUACACAGAAGCAGGUCAGAGUACGCCGGUUGUUUCCCCGGCGUAUACUCUCCGACGCUCAAGUCAGAUAUGAAGGUCUUUUGCGCUCUUGGGAACACUAGCCAAUAAUCUUCUGGCUUUUCUCUAGUACCCGUUCUUUAGAGCUUUCUUUUCUUAGUUAUAAUAUCAAAAAUGUUAACCCUUUUACCUUCGUUGGCUACCUUUUUAUAGGCCACUUCUGAACUCCGGCCUCCACUCCAUUCGUGCCCACCUCUCGAAAGUGGAUACUCCAUUUCCGUAAUCGUGGGUGGUUGCGUGGGCUUCGUGCCUUGAUUCUCGGACUGGAGAGCACGUCUCGUCAAUUGUCGUUGACCGGGUCUCCUCAACUCAACCCUUAACAAGAAUGUAGCAGGAAUGACUUUAUGCUUCCAGAAGGAGACUGGCCUCGUGAAUGGCGUGCUCGUGGACGAGCAGGAUAUUCCUGCCCCUGCUCCCCUGGACACCAGACUCUUACAAGAUAUAUCUGCUCGAGGAACCCUGCUACCAGAUGUCUGCUAAUCACUUCUGGUCUUCGUCGAAGCAUACCCCACAAACAUGCGUACCACUGUAUUAAUUAAUGGCUGGCUCUUACUUACCGAUAAUGUUAAAUUAAAUGUUAAAAGAAAGGAAUAGAUAUGGGGAAAAAAUUAAAAAUUGAGGAUAAUUUACAAUGUAGUCCUAGUGAUUUAACCGAAGAUCAAAUAAACCAAUAAUAAUCAUUUUUUUUUGAAUGAUUUGUCUUAGCUUUGAGUAAACGAUUUGAAGGAACUUAUCGCUCUCACCAAUUGUCUUGAAUGCUCUAAUGGCUUAUACUUUGUAGAAUCGCCAAUGUUGUGAUAACAACUUUGAUGGUUAAAGUUUGAUUGUGAAUCUCGAUUGAAUGACUUAAUUUACAUUUGAUUCUUAUGCCGACCUGUACCAAGUUAAUCUUUUUUCUGGAUGUUUAAUUUUGUUAUGUCAAAGUUAAUUAGUUGAUGUCCUAUAUUUGAUCAAUGUGGAUGGCUGAUCAAAAUUAAAGAAUCCUUGAACGAAUUGCGGCCUUGACAGAGAUACGACAUCAGGGCAUUGUAAAAACAUGACUGACAUUCAAUUUUAGUUUAUGAAUUUCUUGAAAGGGGUAGCUUGGCCAUAAUCUUGAGCAAUAAUGCAGCCGCUGAAGAGUUAAGUGGGUUGGAGUCAGAGAAUGAACGGGAUAAAAGGCGUUGUCGAUGCCUUGUAAUAUUCAUUUGUUGCCAUUUUGAGGAAUAUUAUCAUCCAACACAUUCUAUAGAGAUAUAAAAGCUUACUAAUUUAUACGCAUUGAUCUUUCAAAAGCGAGUAAACAUUUUUUUUUUCUUUUUUAUUUGUCCUUGACCUUGUAGAGCUUGCUUACACAAUCAAGAUCACAUAAAAAUGAGGUGUACAGUUUCGGAGUGUUAGUAUUGGAAGUGAUCAAGGGAAAGCAUCCAAGAGAUCAGAUGUUUUUUUCCGCAGUUUCAGCUUCAUCUUCCAAUGCUGCUUGAUGAAAUGUUAGAUGUUCAGAGCAAGUUGAUCAUUACUGUUUGAAUUUUAAAUAUCUGCCUUCAUUUCUGCUGCACAAGUUAAUUAUACCCAUCAUGCUUAUGCAGGCCUUAAUUCGGGGCAAAACAAUGUUAGUUGACAGAAUUUUGCAACUAGAGAAGGAUGUAAUUCAUAGUUAAUUAGUCUGUCUUCAACACAAAAUAGAAAAUUUAGUUGACAGAUGGCCACAAAAGACUAGCUUCGUUUUUGCUAAAAAAUAAAUAAAAUCUGCUUCAAUGCCCCCAAUUUCAAAACUAUCAUUGAUAUAGAGCCAUUGAACCUGGGCUUCAUAUUCAACUUUUCAGCGUUCCAUUUCUAGCCUGAAGUUUUUGAGAGCUUGGACGCACUUGAGUCUUGACAGUACUACAUAACCCUCGCGAGAUAUGUCCCAAAUCCCCUGGGCCAUAAUUUUGCUACAAAACCCGACAGAAUUAAUGAUCCUUAUUAAUUAUGAAUUACAUCGUCCUUUGGUUGCACAAUUUUGGAUAAAAAAAUUGGACCAGUUUCGGUGAUCGGCUGAGCUUGUAUGGACUAUUAAGCACUAAAUCAAUAGUUUAGAUUUGUCCAACAUGAGUUUCACGUGGAUCCCAAUCAACUCUUGACCAUAGAUUCUGUACCUACACAACAUGCUUAUGGUUUAAAAAUAAAAUAAAUCAUGUUAAUGCUUUGAAUCAAUACUUAAUGCAUUGACAAUCAUUUUCUUUGUGCACCAAGAAAGUUUAAUGGUCCAUCUAUUAGUUUACAUCUGCUUAAUUUGAUUGGAAUGAAACGAAAUUAAUAGUUUCUUUGUUUUAAAAAAUAAAUAACUAUAAUUUCUUGAAUAUUCGAUGAAUUAACAAAAGAAUUGUGAAUGAAGUUUUGUUUGGUAUUAAGGUAUUGUUAUCUUUAAAUCACAAUUAUUGUGAAAAAUAAAGGUAUAAUAAAAAAGUAAAAGUUGGUAAUUUGUAAUAAAUAUAACUUUUAAUUGAUAAUUUUGAUAAAAAUAAUAAAAAUACAUAAUUUUUCUAUCAUUAAAGUAAAGUUAUUUCAACUUCUAAGUCAUAGUGAUGAUAGAGUUACAAACUCUUAUAUAAAUUUAUUUUAUAUAAACUGAUGCAUAAAUUAUUUGUUAGAUAAAAAUACAAAAUAAUAAAAUAAAUUAUGUGAAACAAAAAAUAUUUAAUUUAAUUUUAUUAAUUUUAUUAUGUCAUGUUAAUUUAUAUAAAAUAAAUUUAUAUAAAAAUUUGUAAUUAGAUUAUUGAUAUGCACCCAUAUAUAGAGUCUUCUAUUUAUGUUAGUGUAAACCAGCACCGAUACAUACAGUAUUCUAUUUGCUUGAGUGUUCUAUCCAAUUUUUCCGUCCAAUAUGAUUACUCUUAAAAUGAAGGAAACCAUGGACCCCAUGAACGAGACAUCACGUGGGCCCACUAAUCUUGAUGAUAAGUAUUGAUAACAUCUUUUUCAUGUAAAAAAAACACCCCCGCUUUACAACGACACCGUCUUUUCUUUGUCUUUCCUUUCGUUUUCGUCAGCCUCCACCAACCCUUAAAUAGCCGCCCCAUUUUCUUUCACUCCUAUCCGUUGUCCACGCGUCCCACCAUGAUUGCUUCUCCGGUUCUAAUCACAAGAUUUUCGUCAAAUGGACGUACGAAAUGGGCCCCAUCUCUGCGCAGACCACACCGUCUAUUCUCUUUGUGAAAGGAAAAUAAAACUAUUAAAAUCUCUAAAUCACUCUAUCUUCUCGUGAUAAAUUGAAUUCAACUCUUUUUUUAAUCUUUUAUUUAUAAAUAGUAAAUAAAAAAAUCAAAAGAAUUCAACUGAAUAUUCCUUUUGAGAAAUUAUAAAAACAGAAUUAUACAGUGGUGAACUUCCUUGCACGAACAUGACCUUGAUUCAAUUUAUUGAAUAUACGUAUAUGUUACUUUAAUAUAUUUUUUCUUAUCGUUUAUAAAAUGUGGUGCUUAUUUUCUUUCGUAUACCAAACAAUAGAUGUGUAUGUAGGUUGAAGCAAAUAUAAUUUUAUAAAAUAACACUAUGUUGUAUGGUAUUUGGUAAAAUAUUUAAUCUUGACAUCUUAUGACAUUAUUAUUAUUAAAUCUUCAAUAAAGAUUCUUCAUUGUAUUGAACAAUUUUUUAUAUAAUAUAAACUAUGUAUUUCGUCAUAAUGGAAGCUGUCAAGAAAGGUUGUCUCAACUCUAUAUUAAGAAUUUGUAUUCAUAAAUAUAUAAUAUGAUAUAAACCUUAAACAUUAAAAUUGUUUCAUAACUUGGUUAUCAAUAAAAGAUUUAACAAUUUUUUAAUUAUUGAUUGUAAAUAUUAGCACAUUAUAAUACAAUAUAAAAAUAACCUUACAGUUAAUUUAUUAUUGUCACAUUAUAAAUCUAUAGAAUUAAUUUGAAUUAGUAAAAUUAUUAAGACAAAGUUAGAAAGAUAUAUCAAAAUUGGCUAGGUCCAGCUAGUUUGCAACCGUGAUUUGGUACCUCAUUUUUUUUCUGUUUGUGAUCCAACCAUUAAAUUCAACCCAAGAGUUGCAAAAACUAUUUCAACGAAAAGGUUGCAAUUACUUGGUUAUUAACGCUGCAACCCCUCCUAUUUCAUAAAAAAAAAAGAAAAUGUUAAAUUUCAAGAUUUUGAUACAUAAGUCCAUCAAAAUAUUUUAUGAUCUUUAUAUAAGUCAAGAGUAAUUUAAUAAAUAAAUAUAUUUAGAUAUACAAAAAUAUGGAUGGAUUAUUUUAACUUAGUAAACACUCCCCACACCCAUUUAUUUAAAAUAUCAAUUACAAAAAAUCCCAUUUUUAGUAUAUUUUUUUAAAAUAAAAUACCCAUUUAAUGUUUUACCAUUUAAGAUAGUGUUACUUAUAAGGAUAAAUAAUUAUUUUAAUUAAAUAAAUGAAACUUAACUUUUAUUUCUAUAAAUUUGCUCAACAUCAAAUAACCUUAUAAUUGUUAGCAUAAGAUAUAAAUUUAGUCUAAAAAAUUUAUUCAAAGGGUCCCCUUCGGGCAAAAAAUAAAUUAUCAUAUGAUAAUUUGGUUGGCACAAAUUGUAUUAUUCUUAAUUUACUUAUUAAUGUCAAACACUAUAUUAGAAUUAAAUUUUAGUAAAAUAAACCUAUGUCAUCAUCUUUAACCACAUUCAACAGACCCUAAUUGUUUAGAUUUUGUUAUAAAGAGCAAGAUAUAGUUCUUCUCUUAUUACGGUAGUAAAAAAAAAUAAAAAUAAACACAAUAGAUUUCUUUUAAGAGAAUGCAAGCAUUAUUUUUAUGAGAUUUUGUGUUCAAGAAAUUAAUCUAAUUAUGUGGUUAGAAGACUCUAUUUUUUGAUAUUUUAGAAGAAUUAUUUGUUGGAUAAAUGAAUAAAUUAAGGUCAAAGCAGAACAAAAUGAUUGAGAAGAAAACCGAGAGAGAAUAAUUUUUUAGAAUUUUAAAAUUUUCAUAUUUUAAUUAGGGUUUAUUAUGUAAAUUUAUUGAAAUUUAUAGUUUUUAAUAUUACAGAAAACAGUAGAGAUUGCUGAAGAAAAUGCCAAAUAAAUUUUUUAGAAUUCUAAAAUUAUUAUAUUUUAAUUAGGGCUUAUUGUGUAAAAUUUUUAAAAUUUAUAGUUUUUAUUAUUUGCCAAAAACAAUGGGGACUGUUAAAGAAAAUGUUAAAAUUGGGUGUUUGGUAUAACAGAGGCAAGAUAGUUCUGUCCAAAUUGGGAAAUAAAAAUUCAAAAAUAUCUUGUCAUAUUAGUACACCCCCAAAACGUCACCGUUUCAUUCUCACUCCUUCCUCACACCCCUCUACUUUUCCCCACAUUCCUUUGUUUCGUAUCAACUCAAAAAUUCAUUCUUUUAAAUGCCUGCAUUCAGCCACUGAUGCACGCAUUUGAUAAAUAUGCUGCAGCAUCAGGGCAGAUUUUUAAUUUCCAGAAAUCCUCAUUGUUCUUCAGUGGAAAAAUUCCAGAGCAUCAACGGGCUGCUAUAAAGGGUAUUUUUAAUUUAAAUGUUGUCUCAAAGCACGAGAAAUACCUCGGUCUACCGUCAAUGAUUGGGAGAAAGAAGAUGGGGUUCUUUAAUGAUAUCAAGCUGAAAGUGUUGAACAAGAUUGCAAGAUGGCAGCAAAAAAUUUUGUCUAGUGGGGGGAAGGAAGUUUUGAUCAAAGCGGCUGCCCAAGCAAUUCCGACGUAUGCAAUGAGUGUUUUCAAGCUCCCAAGAGGCUUUUGUGAUGAUAUUCAGCGAGCUAUAGCGAAGUUCUGGUGGGGCUCGAAAGGGGAUAAGCGCGGAAUCCAUUGGCGGAAAUGGGAGAAGCUCAGCCAGGCUAAGAUUAGAGGGGGGCUAGGAUUUCGAGAGUUUUCUUGCUUCAAUCAAGCGCUGGUAGCUAAGCAAGCUUGGAGGUUACUGCAGUACCCAAAUUCGCUGGUCUCCAGAGUCCUUCAAGCAAGAUAUUUCAGGAAUUCCAGCUUUUUAUGUGCAAAGGCAGGAGCCAAUGCCUCAUAUAUUUGGAGAAGCAUCAUGUGGGGUAGGCAGGUGAUUGAGAAGGGUAUGAGAUGGCGGAUAGGCAAUGGCAAGAAGAUUGCAAUCUUCUCGGAUAACUGGCUGCCAAGACCAGAGACCUUCAGACCUAUCUUCCCUCCAUCUUUGCCCGUAAGCUCAGUUGUGGCAGAUUUAAUUAAGGCUGAUAAUCAAUGGGAUGAAAUAAAGAUUCGACAGCACUUCUUGGAUGUGGACACAACAGAGAUCCUCAAGAUUCCCCUUCCAGCUGAGGAAGCUGAAGACGAAGUGCUUUGGCAUUACGACAAGAGAGGGAUCUACUCUGUCAAGAGUGGGUAUCAGCUAGCAUUGAGAUCAAAAUUUCCAGAUUCCACCAGCUGCACAGAGGCUUCCCACAAGUACUGGAGUGCUCUUUGGACUCUGGAGCUGCCUGAGAAGCUAAAAAUUUUCAUGUGGCGGGCCUCUAAUAAUCUGCUUCCAUCGGCGGAAAAUCUGUGAAAAAGGAAGGUAGUGAAGGAGCCAACUUGUAAGCGAUGCAAGCUUAGUGUUGAAACUAUCAGCCAUGCUCUCUUGGAAUGUAAGGCAGCAAGGAAAAUUUGGCUCCAAUCCCCCUUUCCAGCCCCUAGAUUAGAAGCUAAUUCUCAGGACAUUUUCAGCAUUCUGCAGAAAAUGGCUAAUGAGCUGAGGAAAUCAGAUAUGGAAUUAAUGGUAGCUCUGUGUUGGUCAGCCUGGUAUGCUAGGAACAAAUGUAUCUUUGAUGGUAGGGAGAUUAAUCCUAUUAUAUCAGCGGCUAAAGCGGAGUCGGUUGUGACAGCUUUUCAGAGAGUCAGGAAGCCCCAGCAAGCUCACAUCUCCAUCUCCAUAAAAGAGAAGCAGUAGGAGUGGCUCCCCCCUCCCCAGAAUGUUUUUAAAGUCAAUGUGGAUGCUGCUCUUAAUUCGAAGAAUCUGAGUGCAGGAGUGGGAGCUGUGAUUAAAGACUCUCAUGGGAAGAUAGUUGCGGCUGGGGUAAAUCAGAACCUCCUAAAGGGGUCAGCGAGCUUGGCUGAAGUAGAGGCGGUGCUUUGGGGCCUUCAGCUGGCAAGAAAGGUGGAUGUAUCCUCUUUGAUUAUUGAGUCUGAUUGUUUAGAGGUGGUCCAGCUAGUGAACAACACCAAGGGCAGCAGAUCAGAAAUUUAUUGGACAAUUCUGGCGAUGAAGUUCUUCCAGAAAGUGGUUGUCAAUCACAUUCCAAGACACUGUAAUGCUUGUGCCCAUUACCUAGCUAAGAUAGCUUUGGGGAAAAUCUCUCCCUGUAUGUGGCUGGGGAAUAUUCCAGUUGAAUUGUAUGAUAUCAUUAAGGUGUUGUGAUUAAUGAAAGGUUUACUUUCUUUUCAAAAAAAAAAUUCAUUCUUUUAACAUUAAUAAUAAUACUUUUAACAUUAAUAAUAAUAACCCCAAAUAUCUCCUCUAGCUUUUUGCUGCUUCUUAAUUUUGAUCGACUAUGACGAUGUACUAAAGCUUCUUAAUUUUUUUCAGUUUUUUCAGUCAACGCUUUUGCUUCAAGAUUUCGUUUUACCUUCCUUGAAAAUUAAAGCUCACCUAAUUGAUACAAUUAAAACUCUUUUUUUAGCUGAAAAGUGAUAUAAUUUUCACUACUUUCAGGAAAUUACGUGGUUCGACUUUUAGCCUACGUCCACGGACGAAGACAAAAGGAAAAUAUUUUAUUAGUGAAAAGGAAUUACAAGUAUUGUGGUAUUUUAGCUUAUUAUCCAAAAUCCCAAUACACCCAAACUCUCAAAACACUAAUCACUCAAGAGUUUAUUAAACUCUUAAUACUCUCAACUUUCUAAAGGAAGGAAAUGCUUCUCUGUCGAUGGAAUGAAUUUGCUCAUUCUCUUCGUUUCUAUUUAUAGAGAAAGUUUUGGCACUAUUCAUCAAUUAUAUAUUAUUUUAUUAAUUUUUUUUCUUUGCCCUUUUCGGCCCGGUACCCAUUUUUCCUUCUUUCUCCAUUUUUUCUUUUCUUCCCGUCAAAGACGGAAGUAAUGCUUUCAUCUUCAAAAUGGCCAGGCCCACCUUCUAGAAGGGUGGUGCCCACAUGCCAUUUUUGUCAUAUUAGUAUACCCGAAAUCUGGCAAGGAUUGAGAAAUUAAACUUAGUUUUGUUUGUUAAACUGGUUGAUAUGAAUAUGAAAAGAUAUUGUAAUUCAACUUUUAAAGUCUGUUAAGAUAUUUGAAUUGAUUAAUUACAUUUAGCUUUCUAUUUUAGUUAAUUAAGUGAAUUUGUUACUAGUGCUGAUGUGGCAGUCCAGUCAGCUAAAUCUGUUAUGAUCGUUAGCUUAAACAAACACAUUACUCACAUGCAGAGUAAAGAAUAUUCCAUACAGCCUUUUGUAUAAAUGCUUGUAAUUCAGCUCGUUUGAGCUUUAGAUAAAUACAACAUUCUCUCUCUGUUUUCUCAUUCAUUUUCUCUGCAACCAAACAACUCUUUUAUCUUUACAUGGUAUCAGAGCUAGAUCUGUAAGCUGAAAAUGGCCUUAGCUCAUUCUAAUCAAAACACAGUAACCUCCAUUUCUUCUUUUACGUUCACAUCACCAAUUAAGCUUGAUCGAUCGAAUUACACAAUCUGGAAAUCUCAUAUCCUUUCUUCAGUUCGUGCUAAUGGACUUGAAGAUCUUCUUGAUAGUUCAAAGUGUUGUCCAGAUCAAAUUCUUCCUCAUGAUUCUGAAGACUCAACAGCUGAAACUUAGAUUAAUCCAGCCUUCACAGCUUGGAAGAGGAAGGAUCAAAUGUUGCUGAGCUGGUUGAUGUCAUCUAUUAAUCUCGAAAUUUUUAGCCUCGUGGUAAAUUCUGAAACCUCUCUUGAUCUGUGGAUAAGUCUUGAACAUCAGUUUGGAUCUGAAACAUUUGCUAAGAAGGUUCACCUAAAAAUGAUGCUUAACAAUCUGAAAAAAGGAUUAAUGUCUAUGACUGAUUUCUUUGGGAAACUAAAAACGAUAACUGAUGAAUUAGCCAUUGCUGGAAAUCCUAUCAGCUCUUUAGAUUUCAUUACUCACCUGAUCUCUGGAUUAGGUCAACCUUACUACCCUGUAGUCGUAUACAUUGAAGCAAACCUUGCCAAAAUGACCAUCAAUGAAGCAUAUUCUAUGCUUUUAACUCAUGAAGCUAGGCUGGAAGCACAUCAGUCAAGUGCUAGCAAGGAGGCUAAAUUGAACUAUGCCGCUAACAUUGCUCAAACUGGAUCUAAUAAUAAAUCUAGCAAUCAGUUCAAUACUAAUUAGAACAAAAAUGCUGGGAAUAAUAAUGGAGGCAGAGGUGGCUAUGGUAGAGGUUAUACACAAGGUCAGGGGAGAAGUAAUUGGAAUAAUAAUUGGAAUGGUAAUGGUGUGCAAACUAAAAACUAUCAAGGAAGAGUAUCAUUCCAAACUGGGAACUAUCAAGGAAGAGGUUAUGCUGGAAAUGGAGUUUAUGUUGGUGGCAAUGGCAAUGGCAACUUUGCCAAGAAUGAUGGAGGUUUUAAUAAUGGCAAGAAUUUCCUUGAUCCAAAUGUUGCCACUGUCACUUGCCAAAUCUGCUUUAAACCAAGGCAUACUACAGCUGAGUGCAGAAACAUGUUUAACCGAGAUUUUGUUCCCUUUUAUCCAACCUUUGGCUACAAUCCAGCUCAGUCUCAAGCACCAAGAGCAGUUUUUCUCACAACCUCUGAAGGAGAAAUGGCUGAUCAAGGCUGGUACAUUGACAGUGGGGCAACCCACUAUCUCACCAACAAUUUACAAAAUCUGAAUUUUGGAAAAGAGUAUUCAGGUAAUCAGUUACUGCAUGUUGGUAAUGGUCAAGGAUUAUACAUCUCACACAUUGGAUAUACAUGUCUAUCUACAUCAUGUGGCUCAUCUUUACAUUUACAUGAUAUCUUAUAUGUUCCUCAACUCACCAAAAAUCUUAUUAGCGUUUCCAAGUUGCUUGAGAAUAACAAUUUAAUCAUUGAAUUUGUUGCAAAUAUGUGUUUUAUUAAGGACAAGAAGAGGGAUGUGCAUCUGGCUCAAGGGAUUGCUAGAGGAGGAUUGUAUCAACUGCUAUAAAAAAAUGACUUUGUCUCCAACUCUUGUAAUCUGACAUGUGGUCCUAGUUCUAUGCUUUCUAUUUUCAAUAGCUCAACUUGUAAUCAUUCUGAUUCAGCUGAGAAUAAAACAUGUAUUCCUCAGUGUCAUACAAACACUGUUAAGUCAAUAAUGUCAGCAAACUUGUUUAAUCAACGUUUUGGUCACCAUAGCAAGCAUGUAUUAAAAUGUAUUUUGUCUUCACUGUCACUUAACUGCCCUGUUACUAUGCCUGAUUUUUGUGAUGCAUGUCAAUAUGGAAAAAUGCAUCAGCUUCCUUUUUACUCAACAAGCAUCGAAACCAAAGCUCCCCUAGAACUUAUCCAUACUGGUUUUUGGGGUCCAACACCAUUACCUUCCUCAAAUGGUUAUAGAUACUAUAUAAGUUUUGUGGAUGACUACAACAGAUACUGUUGGAUAUUCCCCUUAACUCUAAAAUCAGAAGCUCUAGACACCUUCAAAUUCUUCAAAACCUUAGUUGAAAAACAAAUUGGGUGUUCUGUCAAAGCUUUACAAUCAGAUUGGGGGGAGAAUACAGGAGUUUUCAACAUUUUCUUGAACAAGAAGGGGUAGUUUUUAGGCAUAGCUUUCCUCACACACAUCAUCAAAAUGGUGUGGUAGAGAGGAAGCAUAGACACAUUGUGGAAACAGGGCUGACCUUACUUGCUCAAGCCAAAAUACCCUUAUCCUUCUGGUGGGAGUCAUUUCAUACUGCUUAUUUUCUUAUAAAUCGAAUGCCAACACCUAUUUUAAAUAAUCUGUCACCUUUUACCAAACUCUAUGGUAGAAAACCUGAUUAUCAUUUCCUUAGAACUUUUGGUUGCCCAUGCUACCCUUUUCUCAGGCCUUACAGUAAGCACAAAUUCAAUUUUCAUACACAAAAAUGUGUUAUGAUUGGUUACAGUCCCAUACAUAAGGGGUAUAAGUGUCUUGACUCCUCUGGGAAGAUUUAUGUUGCUAGACAUGUGACAUUUAAUGAAUCUAAGUUUCCAUACUCAGAACUUUUUCCUUUCUAUAAGCCAAAUCAUAAAAUACAGAUAAGUCAGUUUCUUUCUACAAAUAUUUCUCUUCCAGCAGUCAUUGAAGAUAUAAGCAGCACACAAUCCUCUCUCAGCUCUCCAACUCCAGAUGCCGCUCCUAAUUCUGGUCAUUCUGAAACACAAUCUAUGCAACAAUCUCCAAACACUUCAUCACAAAGUUCAUUCUCAUAGCCAUUAUCUACUAAUCAUUCUACUCAGCCACAAACACAGCUUCAAACACAACCUUUAUCAACACAUGUCAUCCAAAAUACCCAUUCCAUGGUAACUAGAUCAAAAGCUGGAGUGUUUAAACCCAAAACAUACCUAGCAGCAGUCCAAGAGCUUGAGCCACAUUCUGUAAAAACUGCUUUAGCAGAUCCUAAGUGGAGACAAGAUAUGCAAGAUGAAUAUGAAGCCUUGCAGAAAAAUGAAACCUAGGUUCUGGUUCCCAAAGAGUCAGGAGGGAAGAUUGUUGGCAACAAAUGGGUAUUCAGAGUAAAGUAUAAUCCUGAUGGCAGCAUAUCCAAGUAUAAAGCAAGACUAGUUGCAAAGGGGUUCCAUCAAACACAAGGUGUAGAUUUCUUUGAAACCUUUAGCCUAGUUGUUAAGCAAUGCAUUAUUCUUAGCCUUGCUGUUAUGCAUAACUGGACAGUAAGGCAGCUAGAUGUUAAUAAUGCAUUUCUUCAUGGCAUACUUACUGAAAAUGUCUUCAUGCAUCAACCUGAGGGUUUUGUUCAUCCUCAGUUUCCAUCACAUGUAUGUCAACUUACCAAGGCACUUUAUGGACUUACGCAAGCACCAAGGGCCUGGUAUGAUAUAUUGAAAUCAUCCUUACUGUAGUGGGGGUUUAUUGCUUCUAAAUCUAACACCUCAUUGUUCAUUCAUCAUGUGGCAGAAGACAUUAUUGUAAUACUUAUCUAUGUGGGUGAUAUCUUGAUAACUGGUUCUAGCUCUAAGCUUGUAGAAGGAGUUAUAAAUAAAUUGGGUACAGAAUUUGCUUUAAAGGAUCUUGGAGAGUUUAAUUACUUCCUUGGUCUUGAAGUUACCCCAUCUGUUGAAGGGCUGCAUCUCUCAUAGACUAAGUAUAUAGGAGAUUUAUUGAAGAAAGCUUAGAUGUUAGAUUGCAAAGGGUGUCAAACUCCUAUGAGCUCAACAGAGAAGCUGAUUAAGGACAAAGGAGCUGUGUUUGAAAAUCCCUCACUUUACAGAAGCUUGGUUGGUUCUCUGCAAUAUGUUACUUUAACAAGGCCAUAGAUUGCAUUUACAGUGAACAAGCUCAGUCAAUUUCUUGCUUAUCCAUCAAUCUUUCACUGGCAGGCUUGCAAAAGAGUGCUGAGAUACUUACAAAGUACAGCAAACUAUGGCUUGCAGUUCUAUAAUUCUGGAUCUCUUAAUCUCACAGCUUUCUCAGAUGCAGAUUGGGGUUCAGAUUUAAAUGAUAGAAGAUCAGUGGGAGGCUAUUGUGUUUACUUGGGAAAUAGUUUGAUUUCAUGGUCUUCAAAGAAGCAACACAUAGUGUCCAGGAGCACUGCUGAAUCUGAGUAUAGAGCUUUAGCUCUAGCUGCAGCAGAGGUGCUAUGGAUUACUUACUUACUUAAAGAAUUAAAGGUGUCAUUGUAGCAAACUCCAGUUCUCCAGUGUGAUAACAAAAGUGCUGAAGCAUUAGCCAGCAAUCCAAAGUAUCAUUCCAGGACUAAACACAUUGAACUUUAUCUUCAUUUCAUUAGAGAACAUAUAGCCAAAAAAGAACUUCAAGUUAGCCAUGUUCCCAGCCAUGAACAAGUUGCCGAUAUACUUACAAAACCCUUGGCUUAUGAUCAAUUCAAUUAUCUGCGUUCCAAGCUCAAUGUUCUUCCCAGACCUUGAGCUUGAAGGGGGCUAUUAAGAUAUUUGAAUUGAUUAAUUACAUUUAGCUUUUUGUUUUAGUUAGUUAAGUGAAUUUGUUACUAGUGCUGAUGUGGCAGUCCAGUCAGCUAAAUCUGUUAUGAUCGUUAGCUUAAACAAACACAUUACUCACAUGCAGAGUAAAGAAUAUUCCAUACAGCCUUUUGUAUAAAUGCUUGUAAUUCAGCUCAUUUGAGCUUUAGAUAAAUACAACAUUCUCUCUCUGUUUUCUCAUUCAUUUUCUCUGCAACCAAACAACUCUUUUAUCUUUACAAAGUCUCUUUAAUUUGUCUCCAACAUUUUGAUAACUUAAACAAAGUAUGUAUAUUUGAUGACAAAAAAAGAAGGGCAUUGGAAAAGCCAACCCCAAAAUAUUUAGUCUUUCCGCUCUUUCUCUGGCAUAAUUUUCGGGGAGACAAAAUGCCCAGCAAACAAGUUAAUUUGAUCCGUUAGGAUCGAAAGAAACGUUAAUUAGUCAAUUCGUCCAUUAAUCUUGGUCACAAAUGUUUAUUCUAUUUUCUGGGACGACUUUCCAUGGACUUUAAUUGUAGUUCGAAGGAGAAUGGCUGUCAAUACAAAGAUUUUUUUAACAGAACCGCAUGCAACAAGUGAACCUUUUGUUUGGAUAAUUUUAAUAUCCUAGAUGUCUUUGAAACUUUUGCCUUAAGGAAUAGGGGAAAACUCUUCCCUACUUGAUCAGGCUUUGAAUCAUACGCCUCUCAAACACUCCACACGUUCAAAAUACAAAAGGUAUAUGAGGAGGAAACGAUAGGAGAGCAAGGCAAAAAAAAAAAAAAAAAAAAAAAAAAAAACUAAUUCAAAACAAAGUCAAUAACUAUACAAGAAUUCCACAUCUUUGCUAACUUAAGCAUCGGAGUGGAAUUCGGAAAUCUCAUUUUCUAAUUGUCCCAUUUCACAUUUUGGGUUAUUAUGUGUGGAAAUGACUUCCAUCUACCGCACUUGGUUCAGUUCACAUAGAAAAGAAAUAAGUAUUAACAAUCACAUGCAUUUUUUAUUAUAUUUCCGAUAUGACUUUUCAUGUCCUUGCAUUAUAUAAAUUAAAAAAAAAGGAGAAAGAGAGAGAGAAUUGAAGAAUCUUCCCGGAAAAACAUUAACGUCAAUUCAAUCCCAGAAAUUAUGCAAUUCACGGUAAGCAAUUCACGGAAAAACAUAAACGAUAUGACUUUUCAUGUCCUUGCAUUAUGUUGAGUUUUAUUACAGUCUCUGAUUCAUACAUAUAAAGCAUUUAGUGACAGAAUAAAUUCAAAGAAUUAGACUGUAAUUUUUUAUAAAAAUUAAUUCGGUUCUCUUUUUGGUGGUACAAGGAUCAUUGACAAUAACUUAUCUUGGGACCAUACCUUUUUAUCCUGAGCCACACUCUUACAAGGUAAAAUCAAUAGUUUUUAUAUCAUGAGUGACAUAGAAUUUGCUUCCCAACUUUUUACAUAUAUUAUUAAUUUAAAGAGAACUUUACAUGGAGUGAUUUAAUUCAUAUAAAACUGAGCUAAUAUACUUUCUUUCUUUUUUUUGCUAAAAUAUUUUUAGUAAUGACGUCUGAACUAACGAAAAUUUUCACUUACAUAUUCGAGUUCCAACAUAGUAUGCCAGUGAAAAAAAUGAAACGUCAUCUUACUGUUUAUUUGAUGAAAACCAAAUGUUCAAAGUGACUUGAUUUACAAGAACCCGAUUAGCGAGCCUAUGCUUUGCGUAGGUAGCCUCAGUAGCCCUGCGUUGUAAUAAUUAAUAGAAGCAUCAAAAAUAAAAUUUGUUUUGAUGUAACAAAGAUUUGUAAUUACUAAAUUCAGCAUUUCAGUUCGUUAUGGUGAAGUUUCUGAGUUUCUUAAUCAAGUAAAAUAGCAUCCUUUAUUAGACGAGUCAAGUAUAAAAUUAAGGUGCUGAUGGGCAGAUGCCAAAGCAGAGUGAUUUGAGAUUAUCACACCAGUGAUCUUUGCUAGCUCUGAGUGCAAAGAUAAUGUUUGUAAUCUUGUUAAUACUCUGUAUAAAUAAUACUCUCUUCUGAAAUCCGUUGAUCAUAUUUGUCUUUCACCUUGCAGAACUUGCUCACACAAUGAAGAUUACUGCAUAUUUGUCAUUUCUUUUUUCCAAGGAAAUUAUUAUGACAGUAUUGAGAUUUGAAAUGAUUGUUUGCAAAUUUUAUAGUUUAAAAUUAAGUAUGGAUUUAUUAUCAUAGUAUGUUUAUUCUUUGCUUUAUGCUUAAUUCAUCUUGACUUGCUUACAGAUAAGUAAAUUAAUUUGAAAAUUAAGCUCGAAGUGUUGUAUCCAUUCUUCCAAUAUUAAUUACAAGCAUUCAAUAGGAUGCAACUGUUACAAGGUGCAAAUCAAAAUUAUGGUAACAAUGUUAGUAAAUUGGAAAGCUAGCUAGUCUCUACAAAUUCAAUAUAGUCUUGUCUAUUAAAUUGGUGGAUACGAAGGUGAAUAGAAAUUAUAAUUCAACAUUUAAAGUCUUUCUGUCUCACUCAUUUUAAUAUCUUAACAAUGUACAUUUGAUGACAAAAAAGAAGGGUAUAGAUAAGCCAACCCCAAAAUAUUUUGAAUUUCCAUUCUCUCUCUGCCGUAAUUUUCGGGGAAGCAAAUGCCCAGUGAACAAAAGUUUGAUCAAUCAAUGAUUGGAUCCAAAGAUACGUUAAUUAGUCAAGUCUUUCCAUUAAUUUUGAUCACAAAUGCUUAUCCUAUUUUGUGGGACGACUUGCCAUGGACUUUAAUUGUAGUUGGAAGGGGAGUGGCUAUCAAUACAAAGAUUAUUUUGACGGAGUCAGAAUUGCAUGCAACAAGUGAACGUUUUGUUUGGGCAAUUUUAAAAUCGUAGAUGUCUUUUAAGACUUUUGCCUUAAGCAACGGGGAAAACUCUUCCCUACUUGAUCAGGCAUCGACUCAUACACCUCUCAAUUGCUAGUCUGGAUUCUAUAUAAUUUUGGCUCGCGUGGAAAAAGCUACUCGUGGAUUCCACCUAAUAACUCCAAUGAUUUUUCCUGAACUUAAAACCAUAAUCUUUAGCCUUUAACCAUUUAGACUUUGGGCACGGACGAACGGUGUGUUAUGUAGUUCAUAGUUGAAGUGAAUGACGAUGAUGAUGAUGUGGUGUGUGUGCGUGUUUAGAAAUGUACCUUUAAGUAGCGUUUGUUUUUAAGAAAGAGGAGGAGACGAGGGGUAAAAAAUGGAGAGGAGUGGAGAGGUAAUGAGAGGAUAGGAGUGCAAAAAUUGAUAUUUAUUGUUUGGUAUCAAAAAAAAAAUAAAAGGGAAAGGAAUUACAUGUUUUUUUUAAUUUGGACAAGUAUAGCCAUUGGAAUUUAGUGUUAAAAUGUUAAUAUUAGCAGUAAAUAUAAUAAAAAUAAUUAAACUAUAAGUUAAAUUAAUCUAUAAUAUAAACUAAUAAGAAAACAUUUGAGUUUAUAUUAUAUUUUUAAUUCAUUCAUUAUUAUUUUAUAAUCAAAAUAACUAACCAACAAGUAGUGGAUGGACGACUACAAGUCGUAUAUCGACGUAGAAGAACAUGACAUACGGCUCAAACGGUGAUUGAUUUACUGAACUGCAACCAAAGGAACCAUUUUUUGGAUAAUUUCAGAGCAAUAGUAUUCAGACUACUAUGUAAAAAACAUUCUAAUCUUGGAAAACUUUUCCACCUUAUGAAACAUUGGAAAAAUCUUCCCAACUUGACGCAUCGACUUGUUGACCUCUCAAUUGCUCUUGUGUGUGGCUUCUAUAAAUUUGGCGUCCAACGUGCUCGUUUUCUGCACCGUUGUAUGUUUUCCAAAAGCUAAGAGUCAUCAAAAGAUCUUUUGAAUUUCAAUAAAACUUCGGUUUAACUUUAUUUAUUUGAUUGUGUUUUUGGAAUAUCAAUGGGGUCACCAACCCUCAAUACAGUUGUUUCACUUGUUUUGUUGAUCCUAUUUUUUGUGUUAAGUUUCUUAAUAACUGUUUCUUCAGAAUCUAAUGAAGAAGCCGAUGCUCUUCUCAAAUGGAAAGCCAGCCUUCAAAUCCAUAACCGAUCUCUCCUUUCUUCUUGGAUUAAGGAUACCUCCAAUGUUUCAUCCAAAAUAAGCCCAUGUGCUUGGUCCGGAAUCAGUUGCAAUGAUGCCGGAAGAGUCAUCAAGAUCAGCCUCCCAGGUGUCGGAUUAAAAGGUAAGCUUCACGAUUUCUCAUUCUCAUCGUUUCCUCAUCUUGCUUAUCUUGAUCUCAGUAGGAGUGGACUCUUUGGUACUAUCCCGCCUCAAAUUAGCAACCUUACGAAUCUUAGCAACCUUUAUUUAACAUCCAAUCAAUUGUCAGGAAAUAUUCCGCCAGAGGUUGGUCUUCUGAGUCAUUUGAAGUUCCUUUACGUUGAUUCGAACCAAUUAGAUGGCUCAAUUCCACCAGAAGUAGGUCAAUUAAGUUCUCUGGUGGAGCUUUUCUUGUUCUCUAACAACUUGAACGGUUCAGUUCCUCCUUUAGGUAAUUUGACACACAUCUCUUUGUUGUACAUUCGUGAAAAUUCAUUUUCUGGUUUUAUUCCUCCAGACAUUGGAAACUUGAAAUCUAUGUACAUCCUAGAUUUGAGCAGAAAUCAAUUUAGUGGUCCAAUCCCUGUUUCUUUCGGUAAUUUGACCAACCUAAAAAACCUAGACCUCCUUGAUAACAACCUAUCCGGUUCCAUUCCACCCUCCCUCGACAAUCCUCUUUUAACUAUGCUAGGAUUGGAUUUCAAUCAUUUUACAAGUUAUUUACCGCAGAAUAUUUGUCGAGGUGGAGCAUUACAGUAUUUUACUGUUUCUGAAAACCAUUUUCAAGGAACAAUCCCUAAAAGCUUGAGAAAUUGCACAAGCUUAAUCCGAGUACGCCUUAAUGGAAACAACCUUACUGGAAAUAUAUCAGAAGCUUUGGGCAUUUAUCCUAACCUGACUUUCAUAGAUCUCAGCCGCAAUAAUUUUUACGGUGAAAUCUCAUCUAAUUGGGGGAAAUGCCCAAAAUUAGGCACUCUCAAUGUUUCGAUGAAUAACAUUACUGGAGGUAUACCGCGCGAGAUCGGAAACAUGUCUCAACUACAAGCACUCGAUCUUUCAUUGAAUCAUAUAGUUGGGGAGAUUCCAAAGGAACUUGGAAAGUUAAAUUCACUAACCAAGCUCAUUUUGAGAGGGAAUCAACUGACAGGGCGUCUACCUACAGAAAUCGGCUCACUCAUUGAACUUGAAUACCUCGACUUUUCUGCUAAUAGGUUCAACAAUUCAGUCCCAGAAAUUCUCGGCAACUUGCUGAAAUUGCACUACUUGGGCUUAAGCAACAACCAGUUUGUCCAAGAAUUGCCAAAGGAAUUGGAGAAGCUAGUUCAACUUUCAGAAUUAGAUGCAAGUCAUAACCAUUUUGGAGGAGAGAUACCAUUUCAAAUAUGCAGUUUGAAAAGCUUGGAAAAGCUGAAUCUCUCCCACAAUAAUCUCUUUGGUUCGAUUCCAAAUUGCUUUGAGGGAAUGCGGGGUCUAUCAGUCAUUGACAUUUCUGAUAAUCAAUUACAAGGCCCAGUUCCAAAUAGCACAGCAUUUCGGAAUGCCUCAGUGGAAGCGUUAGAGGGGAAUAAGGGAUUGUGUGGAGGUGUGAAAGGAAUGCAACCAUGCAAAGUUUUCUCGUCACACAAUCAAAAUUCUGGAGUCAAGUGGUUUGCAAUAAUGUUCCCUGUUUUAGGAGCACUAUUUGUUUCAAUGGCGUUGAUAGCAAUUUUCAUUCUUCAAAAGCGGAAAUCAGACACAGGAGAUCGACAGAGUAGCAACCAGAACCCUCAGGGAUUGCUUUCUAUAUUAAAUUUUGAAGGCAAACUUUUGUACGAUGAAAUUGUUAGAGCAACAAAUGAUUUUGAUGCAGAGUAUUGCAUUGGAAAUGGUGGACACGGAAGUGUUUACAGAGCUGAACUACCAUCUGGGGAAGUCGUAGCUGUUAAGAAAUUUCACUCACCACUCCCAUGCAAUCAGAUUGCAGAUCAAAAAGAAUUAUGGACCGAAGUUGAGGCCUUGACAGAGAUACGACAUCGAAACAUUGUGAAGUUUUAUGGAUUUUGCUCACAUGCCCGACACUGUUUUUUGGUCUAUGAAUUUCUUGAAAGGGGUAGCUUGGCUGCGAUCUUGAGCAUUGAUGCAGCAGCACAAGAACUGGGUUGGAGUCAGAGAAUGAAUGGGAUCAAAGGCGUAGCUGAUGCUUUGUCUUACUUGCACCAUGACUGCCUUCCUCCGAUUGUCCAUCGGGACAUAUCAAGUAAGAACUUGUUGCUGGAUUUGGAAUAUGAAGCUCAUGUUGCAGACUUUGGAAUAGCUUUUACAAGUCUAUUUAGUAUUUGUUUGUUGCCAUUUUGAGGAGUCUGCGGUAACAGAACAAUGUAACUAGAUAUUGUUGAAACAAUUAUGUAGUACAUUCAGUAGACUUGUAAAAGCUUACUAGUUUAUGCACAUUUAUCUGAGAAACAGAGUAAACAUUUUUUUUUUUGGGUCCUUGACCUUGCAGAGCUUGCUUACACAAUGAAGAUCACAGAGAAAUGCGAUGUGUACAGUUUUGGAGUGUUAGUGUUGGAAGUAAUCAAAGGGAAGCAUCCAAGAGAUUUUCUGUCUUCGAUUUCAUAUUCAUCUCUCAGCACGGAUAUAAAACUUGAUGAAAUGUUGGACCCGCGUCUUCCAGCUCCAUCACGCAGUGUUCAAGAAAAAUUGAUACCAAUCGUAGAGGUUGCGUUUUCAUGCUUAAAUGAGAAUCCGGAGUCUAGACCAACUAUGAAGAUAGUCAGUCAACAAUUGCGGAUUUCAGCUGCCUUGACUGAGUCUUAAUUUUCUAAGUACACUUCUAAUUUGCUUGGUUUUCUUUUUUCAUGUACUCUAGUUUGUUUGAUCUAGUUUUCAAGAAUCAGGAGGCGUUGGUUAUUUCGUCAUGCAUAUAUACUUGGUAUAUGGUGUACUCUUUCAUUUAUAAAUAAAAUAAAGUUUGCUCAUUCCUUAGAGGUUUAGUUAAAAGAACGUAUGGGGCAGCGGUGAGCAUAUUUGAGGACAUGUGGAGUCGGUACAAUGAAGACCAAGAUUUAGUAAGACAGUUUGUAAUAAUUAAAAAUAAUAAUUUCUCGCGACAUGUAUGAACCCCUCAAAUGUAAACUUGAAAGUGUGUACCACUGUAUUAAUUAAUGGGUGGCUCUAACUUAUUGAUAAUAUUAAAUUAAAUUUUAAAAGAAAGGAAUAGACUGGGGAAAAAAUUAAAAAUUGAGGAUAAUUUACAAUGUAUCCUUGUGAUUUAACCGAAAAUCAAAUAAACAGAUAAUAAUUAGUAUUUUUUUUUUUUUUUGGGAAUGAUUUAAUUUACACUUGAUUCUUAUACCGACCUCUACCAAGUUAAUCUUUUUUCAGGAUGUUUAAUUUUGUUAUGUCAAAGUUAGUUGAUGUCCUAUAUUUGAUCAAUGUGGAUGGCUGAUCAAAAUUAAAGAAUCCUUGAACGAGAUUGAGGGCUUGACAGAGAUACGACAUCAGAGUAUUGUAAAACAUGACCUGACAUUCAAUUUUAGUUUAUGAAUUUCUUGAAAGGGGUAGCUUGGCCAUAAUCUUGAGCAACAAUGCAGCCACAUAAGAGUUAAGCGGGCUGGAGUCAGAAUGAGUGGGAAAAAAGGCGUUGCCGAUGCCUUAUAAUAUUCGUUUGUUGCCAUUUUGAGGAAACAUUUUUCUUUUUUAGCAAACAUUUUUCUCUCUCUUUUUAUUUGUCCUUGACCUUGCAGAGCUUGCUUACACAAUCAAGAUCCCAGAAAAAUACGACGUGUACAGUUUUGGAGUGUUAGUAUUGGAAGUGAUCAAGGGAAAGCAUCCAGAGAUCAGAUGUUCUUUCCACAGUUUCAGCUUCAUCUUCCAAUGCCCCUUGAUGAAAUGUUGGAUCCUCGGCUUCCACCCGAUCCAUUGUUCGAUGUUCAGAGGAAGUUAGUAUCAAUCACGAAGGUUGCCUUCUCUUACUUAAAUGGGAAUCCAGAAUCCAGAUUGAUCAUUAUUAUUGUUCGAGUUUCAAAUAUUUGCCUUCAUUUCUCAUUGUUGCACAAGUAAAUUAUACGUAUCAUGCUUAUGCAGGCCUUAUUUCGGAACAAAAGAAUGUUAAUAGAAGAAUUGUGCAACUAGAGGAGGAUGUACUUCAUAAUUAAUUAGUCUGCUUUCAACACAAAAUAUAAAAUUUAGUUGACAGAUGGCCACAAAAGACUAGCUUCGUUUUUGCUAAAAAAGAAAUAAAAUCUGCUUCUAUGACCUCUGUAAACCAACUGCUUCAAUGCCCCCAGUUUCAAAACUAUCAUCGAUACAGAGCCAUUGGACCUGGGCUACAUAUUCAACUUUUCAGAGUUCCAUUUCUAGCGAGAAGCUUUUGAGAGCAUGGACACACUUGACGCUAGAUAACCCUCGCGAGAUAUGUCCCAAAAUCUCCUCAGGACCUCAGCCAUAAUUUUGCCGCAAAAGCCGAUAGAAUUAAUGAUCCUUAUUAAUUAUGAAUUAAAUCCUCCUUUGGCUGCACAAUUUUGGAUAAAAAAUUUGGACCAGUUUCGGUGUUUGGUUGAGCUUAUGUUGACUGUUAGGCACUAAAUCCAUAGUCAAUAUUUAUCCGACAUGAGUUUCACAUGGAUCUCAAUGAACUCUUGACCAUAGAUUCUGUACCCAACACAAUAUGCUUAUGAUUUAAAAAUAAAAUAAAUCAUGUAAAUACUUUGUAUCAAUACUUAAUGCAUCGACAAUCGUUUUCUUUGUGUACGGACUUGUCGAUAAAAAAAAGUUUAAUUGUUUCUUUGUUUACAUCUGCUUAAUCUGAUUAGGAUGAAACGAAAUUAAUUGUUUCUUUGUUUUAAAAAAAAUGAAUAACUAUAAUUUCUUGAAUAUUUGAUGAAUUAACAAAAGAAUUGUGAAUGAAGUUUUGUUUGGUAUAAAGGUAUUGUAAUCUUUAAAUCACAAUUAUUAAGAAAAAUAGAGCAAUAACAAAAAAAUAAAAGUUGAUAAUAUAUAAUAAACAUAAAUUUUAAAUAAUAGUUUUAAUAAAAAUAAUAAAAAUAUUAUAAGUUUUCUAUCAUUAAAAGCAAAUUAUUUUAGUUUUCAAGUCACAAUUAUGAUAGUUACAAAUUUUUAUAUAAAUUAAUGUGGUAUAAAUUUAUUAGUAAGUUAAAAAUAUAAAAUAAUAAAAAUAAAUUAUGUGAGAUAACUAAUAUUUAAUCUAAUUAAUUUAAUUAUGUCAUGUUAAUAUGUAUAAAAUAAAUUUAUAUAAAAAAAUUGUAAUUAGGUUAUUGCUCUUGACUCUUGUAAACACUUGCUUAAUAGCCGCCCCAUUUUCUUUCACUCCUAUCCAUUGUCCACGCGUCCGACCAUGAUUGCUUCUCCGGUUCUAAUCACAAGAUUUUCGUCAAAUGGGCGAACGAGAUGGGCCCUAUCUCUGCGCAGACCACACCGUCUAUUCUCUCAGUGAAAAGAAAAUAAAACUAUUUAAAAUCUCUAAAUAUAAAUUGAAUUCAACUCUUUUUUUUAUCUUUCAUUUAUAAAUAGUAAAUUAAAAAAUCAAAAGAAUUCAACUGAAUAUUCCUUUUGAAAAAUUAUACGGUAGCGAACUUCCUUGCAUGAAUAUGAUCUUAAUUCAAUUUAUUAAACAUACUUAUAUGGGGUUCAACUAUGUUGCAACAGUUAUAAAGUAUCUCACUUAGGGAUGGCAAAAUCCUCCACGGGUUUGGGGCCCCAUGGAGCCUCACCCCAAAUGGAAAAAAUUUUGAAUAAUUUUUUAGGAAUGGGGUGGGGAGUGGGGAAAAAUAAUCCCCAAAUUCUUAAUGGGGUGGGGUUUGGUUUUGUACUCCCCACCCCCACCCCAAUCCCCAUUAUAUAUAAAUAUGUUUUUAAUUUUUAUUUAAUAAUUUUUAUUUUAUCAAUUAUAAUGUCAAUUAAUAAUUUUUUUUAAUUUUUAUGCAAUAUAAACAAGAUAUGAAUGAAAGAAAAUCCUAUAAUAUUUUUCAACUCUGAAACAUUGUUAUAUUUUCUUUUCUCUUUUAAGGUGCUACGCUCUUUAAAUAUUUUUCAUUUUUAAUAUCAUUUUAAGAUAUUGUUUCAAACUUUUAGAUUUUUUUUUAAAAGAAUUUAAAUACUUUAUAAUAUGAUGAUGAUUUUAUUUAAUUUUUAACUUACUAAAAUAAUAUAUUUAUACAUAUUAUAAAAUAGAUAGAUGGAGAAUGGAGUGGGGAUGGGGAAAUCAUUCCCCACAUGAGAAUUCUCCAUCCCCACCCCACUAAAUUUAUUGGGGAAUGGGGUGGGGAAUGGAGGCAAAAAUUUCUAACGGGGUGGGGAAUGGGGUAGGCCUCCCCACCCCCACCCCACCCCAUUGCCAUCCCUAAUCUCAUUUUUUGUCUUUUGUGAUUUAACUGACGUCAAAUUUAACAGAACACCUUUUACUCCAUUUUAUAUUUACAUACAUUAUUAAAAUUUUAUUUAGCACCUUACACUCUUUUUAUUUAUUAUUUUUAUAAAUAUUAAAGUACUUAUUUGUUUACAUCCAAUACUAGUAUUGAUGGAAAGACAACAAUACCCCUAAAUUUAUAAAUUAAAAAUAAAAUUUUAAAAUUUUUUGCUUGUUCCUCUCACCUUCAUCUCCAUCAUCAUCAGUCAGUAACGAUUAAAAAAGAAAGAGAAAAUGUACCACAAAAAAAAAGAGAAAAAAAAAUCUCAAAGACUCACCCAUCACCCAUCACCUUUAUUCUCUCAAUGGUUCAUGAACAAUACAACAAUACCAAUAAAACAUAAGAACACGACUCUGACUCUUUUGAUUCUUGUUUCACCAACACAGCAAAUUCCGAGUUUAAAAGGCUUCAUUCAUAUUCUUUCAAAACUUGACAUUUCAUCAUGGUAUGGUUUAAGUUAAAAGAGUUUAUUGUUAGUUUCUACAAACUCCUUAAAGUGAUUACAUUUGACUGAUAUCUUACAUGGGGCUUCUUCUCCUUGAUGUUGAUAACUUACAUAUAAAAUAUUCUCUUCGUGUUGGGUACAAAACAAAACCAGUGCAGCCAUCACAACUUCCAAAGGCUUUACUUCUUUAUACCAAACAUUCCAAACUAUCAUAAUUGUGAAGAUAUGUGUAUAUGGACUUAAAUGAAGAAACUGGAAAAGUAGAGAGCUGUUGUGCAGAUUGACUUCAGUUGAUGGGGUCUAUUUGAUAUCUUCCGCUGACGUGGCAUGAAUUCGUUAGAAUCUGUUAUAACGAAGCCCAGCACACUGAUAUAAAACAGAGGCUGACGAAUGGUGCCUCAUACUGUGCUAAUAUCGUCUUCAUUUGUUCAUCAUUUUGCAUAGAAUCUGUUUCAUUGUGAUCUGUGCAUAAUCUUCUGUAAAUCACCUGUGAUUGGGUUAGUUCUUGAUCAAUAAUAAUGAGUAAAUUUUCCUUCUAAGUUUGCUGGUCUAUGUCUUUUGUUUUGUCUCUGGUUUAGCUUCUUUGUUCUGGCUUUUCUUGAUUCGAUUGUGUUCUUGGUGUUUCUACUCACCAAGAUUCGUGAGUCUUGCUGUGGUUUAGACUUAAAAUCUUAACAAGUGGUAUCAGAGCCUGGUGAAUUUCAGCCAUGUCUCUUCCAAGGCAUGAAAUCGAAAAAUUCACCAUUGGUGGUGAUUUCUCGCUUUGGAAGCUGAAAAUGAAAGCUCUCCUUGUGCAUCAAGGGCUUGAAUCUGCCCUGGACGAAGAAGAUCCAGAGGCCUCUACAGGUUCUGGGAUUGAUGACAAAAGGAGACAAAUACAGAAUCGAGCUCAUAGCACUCUGAUUUUGAGUCUUGGUGACUCAAUCUUGAGAGAGAUCUCUGAAGAGAAGACAGCCUUAGGAAUUUGGAACAAGGUUGAAACCCUGUGUAUGAAGAAAUCCCUGGCUCAUAGAUUGUUCUUGAAGAAAAGGUUGUACACAUUCUCAAUGAGAGAAGGGGUUACAAUACAAGAUCACAUUGACACUUUUAACAAGAUCAUUCUUGAUCUUGAAGGGGUGGAAAAUGUAAAAAUCUGUGAUGAAGACAAGGCAUUCUUCCUGCUGAGCUCUCUACCAAAGUCUUAUGAAGGCUUUGUAGAUACAAUGCUCUAUGGGAGGACCACUUUGACUCUUGAAGAUGUCAAAGCAUCCCUCAGCUCAAAGGAGAUUCAGAAGAACUGUGAGCUUGAAACAAGUAAUGGUGAGGGGCUGAUGGCAAGAACAGAAAAGAAGAAAGAUCAGAAGAACAAAAAUCAAGGAAAAGGGCAUGGAAAGAACCAAGAAACUGCAGACAAGAAGAAAAAGAAAAGAAAGUGCUUCUACUGCAGAAAGGAGGGGCAUUACAUAAGGGAUUGCUUUGAGAAGAAGAAGAAAGAAAGUCAAGAAAAGUCAGGGGAUGCAGCAGUAGCCUCUGAUGAUGGUUCUGAUGGAUAUCAAAGUGCUGAUUUACUUGUGGCCUCAAACAGCAAUACAAAAGGUCAGUGGGUCAUAGACUCUGGGUGCUCUUUUCAUUUAUGUCCUGAAAAAACCCUAUUUUACAAAUAUGAAGCUGUUGAUGGUGGUAGAGUCUUAAUGGGAAACAAUAAUGUGUGUAAUAUUGUUGGUAUUGGUUCUGUAAAGAUCAAGAUGUUUGAUGGAACUAUAAGAUCUCUACAUGAGGUGAGGCAUGCUCCUAGGCUAAAGAGAAAUUUAAUCUCUUUAGGCAUGCUAGACAGCUUAGGGUACUUCUUUAAAUCAAGAACUGGUGGUUUAGAGAUAAGAAAGGGGACUGAGAUAGUAAUGAAGGGGGUUAAAGAGAAUGGCCUAUAUGUAUUGCAAGGCUCAUCAGUGCCUGUUCAAGAGGGAGUUUCUGCUGUUUCUGAGGAAGAUAGAACCAAGUUAUGGCACCUUAGGCUUGGUCAUAUGAGUAUCAAGGGGCUGCAAGAGCUUAGUAAACAAGGGCUACUUGGUGGGGAUAGAAUCCAGCAACUGGAGUUUUGUGAAAACUGUAUUUUUGGCAAAACACACAGGUCCAAGUUUAACAAAGGGGAGCAUAUGUCUAAACAAGUUUUGGACUAUGCACAUACUGACCUUUGGGGGCCUGCUCAGGUCCCUUCCUUGAGUGGUGGCAGAUAUUUCAUGUCACUUAUUGAUGAUUACUCAAGGAAGGUAUGGAUCUACAUACUCAAGACCAAAGAUCAAGCUUUGGAAAAAUUCAAGGUCUGGAAAUCAUUGGUAGAAAAUCAGUCUGGCUUCAAGCUGAAAUGCUUGAGGACUGAUAAUGGCUUGGAAUUUUGUAGCAAAGUAUUUGAAGAAUAUUGCCAAAAACAUGGCAUAAAGAGGCACAAAACAGUGAGGUUCACCCCCCAGCAGAAUGGCUUGGCUGAAAGGAUGAACAGGACCUUGGUGGAUAAAACCAGAUGUAUGCUGAUAAAUUCAAAGCUUCCAAGGAGUUUUUGGGCAGAAGCUGUCAAUACAACAAGUUAUUUAGUUAACAGAAGCCCAUCUUCUGCAAUUGGCUUCAAAACACCAGAAGAAUUGUGGAAUGGAAAACCAGCAAACUACCAAAAUCUCAGAGUUUUUGGGUGCCCUGCUUACCUCCACAUCAAUCAAGGCAAGCUGGAAGCAAGGGCCUUGAAAGGAGUCUUUGUUGGAUAUCCUGAUGGGGUUAAGGGGUACAAAAUCUGGUGUAAGGAUCAAGGGAAAUGCAUAGUCAGCAGGGAUGUUGUGUUUCAUGAAUCUGUAUUGCUGAAAGAAAGUGCAGAACAUGAUGCUGGACUGCAAGACAAUCCAGCAGCUAACAAACAAUCUGGAUCUAAAACUUCCAAGGUUAAGGUGGAGCUAUUGACUGAUAAAAGCAGUGAAAAAGAAGCAGCUUCUGAUGAUGAGAGGGCCACAGCUGAAAGUGAGGAACAUGAGGUAUCAGAAUUGCCAUAAGCUGACUUACAUAACUAUCAGUUAGCUAGAGAUAGAGUUAGAAGGGAAGUCAGAGCACCAGCGAGGUAUGGCUAUGCUGACUUAAUUGCCUAUGCACUAUUGUGUGUUGAUGAAGUGACAAUUGAAGAGCCUGCUAACUUCUCUAAAGCCAUGGAAAGUGUGCACUGUGACAAGUGGCUUGAGGCAAUGCAAGAUGAAAUGGAGUCACUUCAAAGAAAUCAGACCUGGACACUUAUACCAAAUCCAGGAAACAAGAGGUUGAUCAGCUGUAAGUGGAUUUUCAAGAGGAAUGAAGGAAUUCCAGAUGUUGAACCUCCCAAAUAUAAAGCAAGGCUAGUGGCUAGGGGUUUUACACAGAGGGAAGGUGUAGAUUUCAAUGAAAUUUUUUCUCCUGUAGUGAAGCACAGUUCAAUAAGAAUCUUAUUAGCCAUGGUAGCUUUACUUGACUUAGAGCUGGAGCAGAUGGAUGUAAAAACAGCCUUCCUUCAUGGUAAUCUUGAAGAACAAAUAUUGAUGGCACAGCCUGAAGGAUUUGAGUGUAAAGGAAAGGAGGAUUAUGUUUGUUUGCUGCAUAAGUCCUUGUAUGGACUCAAGCAAUCCCCUCGACAGUGGUACAGAAGGUUUGAUGAUUUUAUGGUCUCAAAGGGCUAUCACAGAAGCAGAUAUGACAGCUGUGUUUACUUUGGUGGAUCAGAUCAAGGUGGAGUUGCUUAUUUGCUUCUGUAUGUUGACGAUAUGUUAAUUGCAAGCAAAUACAAGUCAGAGAUAGAGAGGUUAAAGAAUCUGUUAAAGGCUGAGUUUGAAAUGAAGGAUCUUGGCAAUGCCAAAAGAAUCCUUGGGAUGGACAUUAUCAGAGAUAGAUCUGCUGGCACUUUAUUCUUGAGUCAAGAGAAAUAUAUCAAGAAAGUUCUGGAGAGGUUUGAGAUGCAAGACUGUAAACCUGUUCAGACUCCACUUGGUCCACAAUUCAAGUUGUCAGCAGCUCCAACAUCAGAAGAUGAGUCUCAGAUGAAUGAAUUCCCAUAUGCACAGGCUGUGGGGAGCUUGAUGUAUGCAAUGGUAUGCACCAGGUCAGACAUAGCUUAUGCAGUAAGUGUUGUCAGCAGAUAUCUCAGUUGUCCAGGCAAGGUUCACUGGAAUGCUGUCAAAUGGAUAAUGAGGUAUCUAAAGGGUUCUUCUACUUGUGGUUUGCUGUAUGGGAAGACUAAGAGUGACAAAAUUGAAGUCAUGGGGUUUGUAGACUCUGACUUUGCUGGAGAUCUUGACAAAAGAAAGUCUACAUCAGGAUAUAUGUUUGUGUUAAAUAGUUGCCUGAUCAGCUGGAAGUCAUCUCUUCAGUCUGUUGUUGCUUUAUCCUCAACUGAAGCUGAGUUCAUUGCAACUACAGAGGCAGUAAAAGAGGCCAUGUGGCUGAGGGGCUUGCUUAAUGAGCUAUGGUUAAAUCAGAAAACUGUUCAGGUUUUUUGUGAUAACCAAAGUGCCAUACACUUGGUGAAGAAUCAAAUGUAUCAUGAAAGAACCAAGCACAUUGAUGUGAAGCUCCAGUUUAUCAGAGAUGAAGUUGGAAAGGGUACAGUGGUUGUGUCCAAGAUCCAUACCAGUGUGAAUCCAGCUGAUGCUCUAACAAAAUCACUUCCCACUGCAAAAUUUGAGUUCUGUGUGAAUCUAAUGGGCAUCAUGCCCAAAUCUAACUAAAUUCAAGAAGAUGAAUUGUAGUUGAAUGAAGGUUUUUAGGUGCUGUAUUAUUGAAGGGAUCAACUGAAUCAACUGCAAGGUGGAGAUUGUGAAGAUAUGUGUAUAUGGACUUAAAUGAAGAAACUGGAAAAGUAGAGAGCUGUUGUGCAGAUUGACUUCAGUUGAUGGGGUCUAUUUGAUAUCUUCCGCUGACGUGGCAUGAAUUCGUUAUAAUCUGUUAUAACGAAGCCCAGCACACUGAUAUAAAACAGAGGCUGACGAAUGGUGCCUCAUACUGUGCUAAUAUCGUCUUCAUUUGUUCAUCAUUUUGCAUAGAAUCUGUUUCAUUGUGAUCUGUGCAUAAUCUUCUGUAAAUCACCUGUGAUUGGGUUAGUUCUUGAUCAAUAAUAAUGAGUAAAUUUUCCUUCUAAGUUUGCUGGUCUGUGUCUUUUGUUUUGUCUCUGGUUUAGCUUCUUUGUUCUGGCUUUUCUUGAUUCGAUUGUGUUCUUGGUGUUUCUACUCACCAAGAUUCGUGAGUCUUGCUGUGGUUUAGACUUAAAAUCUUAACAAUAAUUAUAUCAAUUCUAACUUAACACCUUGUAAUUCAUUUUACACAAAAUGGAUCUCCUGUAAGAAUGUCGCAAAAGACAGCUUCAAACUGGCUAAGGGCAAGAAGAGCACUUGCAGCACCAGAAGUUUCUUUCCUAAGCUCAUCAGCAAAACCAAAACUUACAGAAACAGGCAAAUAAGCAUGAACCGUGAAAAGUGCAGAACCUUCCUGCAUUCCCUCCUUCAGCACCCAGGCCCGCCUUCGGGAAACCACUCCAUACAUUUUACUCAAAGAAUCAACUGGUGUGUUCAACUCACAAAAAUACAUGGCUUCAACAAGUCGGGGUUUCUUCUUGAGCACAGCUUGUCUACAUGCAUCUUUAACAGCUGUCAUAACUUGCCCAGAGAAGAUGCCAUGCUGCUCAGAUUGUUGGGAAGUUUCAGAGUCAACUUAUUUCCCAGCCAUAGGAGAGAUGUAAGCCUCAACAAUUGUCGAAGUUCCGUCCUUGACAACCAAGAUCCGUCGGUAAUUGGCGUCGGAAACAACCUCAGUCUCUCCCUACUCCGUGCUCCCAAACUCAGCUCAUUCUUUGACUAUUUGUUGUACUUCGUCACCGCAAACUGCCCGAUCUCUCUCAUAUGCGGCUCCUUGGGGUCUUCUAUCGGCUUCCAUCCCUCACCCAAGACUCCUUUACGGUCGACGACGGCCAGGAGAGGGAUUGUUGCCACGGCUUUUCAUGACCCCAAAAUGCCUAAAUCUUGCGCUUUAUCCGUUUUCUUAAACCUUUGUCAAGAAGGGUAAUUUUGUCUUUUUAAGAUUUAUGAACAAAUUAUACAUGAAAGGAGUGCAGGGUGCUCAAUGAUAUUUAAAUCAUAAAAAACAAAAGUCGGGGUACGGUAGAACUGUUGCAACAUAGCUGAACCCACUUAUAUGUUACUUUAACGGACAAAACUAUGGUGCAACUGUGGUACCAUACCACAGCUGCACCUAACCAUUAGAUCCAGCUGCACUCAUGUACUAUAGCUAGAAUCCAUGGGNNNNNNNNNNNNNNNNNNNNNNNNNNNNNNNNNNNNNNNNNNNNNNNNNNNNNNNNNNNNNNNNNNNNNNNNNNNNNNNNNNNNNNNNNNNNNNNNNNNNNNNNNNNNNNNNNNNNNNNNNNNNNNNNNNNNNNNNNNNNNNNNNNNNNNNNNNNNNNNNNNNNNNNNNNNNNNNNNNNNNNNNNNNNNNNNNNNNNNNNNNNNNNNNNNNNNNNNNNNNNNNNNNNNNNNNNNNNNNNNNNNNNNNNNNNNNNNNNNNNNNNNNNNNNNNNNNNNNNNNNNNNNNNNNNNNNNNNNNNNNNNNNNNNNNNNNNNNNNNNNNNNNNNNNNNNNNNNNNNNNNNNNNNNNNNNNNNNNNNNNNNNNNNNNNNNNNNNNNNNNNNNNNNNNNNNNNNNNNNNNNNNNNNNNNNNNNNNNNNNNNNNNNNNNNNNNNNNNNNNNNNNNNNNNNNNNNNNNNNNNNNNNNNNNNNNNNNNNNNNNNNNNNNNNNNNNNNNNNNNNNNNNNNNNNNNNNNNNNNNNNNNNNNNNNNNNNNNNNNNNNNNNNNNNNNNNNNNNNNNNNNNNNNNNNNNNNNNNNNNNNNNNNNNNNNNNNNNNNNNNNNNNNNNNNNNNNNNNNNNNNNNNNNNNNNNNNNNNNNNNNNNNNNNNNNNNNNNNNNNNNNNNNNNNNNNNNNNNNNNNNNNNNNNNNNNNNNNNNNNNNNNNNNNNNNNNNNNNNNNNNNNNNNNNNNNNNNNNNNNNNNNNNNNNNNNNNNNNNNNNNNNNNNNNNNNNNNNNNNNNNNNNNNNNNNNNNNNNNNNNNNNNNNNNNNNNNNNNNNNNNNNNNNNNNNNNNNNNNNNNNNNNNNNNNNNNNNNNNNNNNNNNNCACCAUAGCUGGACCCUACUUUAACAUGCCUUUUUCUUAUAGUUUACAAAAUGUAGUGCUUAUUUUCUUUCGAAUACCAAACAGUGGAGGUGUAUAUUAAGUUGAAGAAAAUAUAAUAUUAUAAACUAACACUAUGUUGUAUCAUACUUGGUAAAAUAUUUAGUGUUAACAUCUAUGAAAAUAUUAUUAAAUCCUCAAUCAAAAAUCUUCAUCGUAUUAAACAAUUUUUUAUGUAAUAUGAACUAUGUAUUUUGUUAUAAUGGAAGCUGUUAAGAAAGGUUGUCUCAACUUUAUAUUAAGAUUUUGUACUUAUAAAUAAAUAUAUAGUAUGAUCUAAACCUUACAUUUAUAAAAUUUUUUCAUAACUUAGCUAUCUAUAAAAGAUUUAACAAUUUCUUAAUUCUUCAUCAUAAAUAGUAGCAUAUUAUAAUACAAUAUAAAAUUUACCUUAAAGUUAAUUUAUUACUGCCACAUUAUAAAUCUGUAGAAUUAAUUUGAAUUGGUAAUAUUAUGACGCCAAAGAAAGGUAUAUCAAAUUUGGUUAGAACUGCCUAUUGAAGUAACAUAUACGUAUUUGUAUGGAUACAUUAUGUAGCAAAAAAAAUGAAGAUUUUUGUAACAAACUUGACAAAUAUCUAAAUUGCAGUGUUGAUGAUAAAUAAUUAAUCUCUUUUACAAUCCAUUUGCUUUUAGUCUAAAUCAAAAGAAAGAUAAUAAAUUCACGGAACUUUUGCCUUAAAAAAGCAAACGAUCCAAAUUAGAUAAAUAGUCAACCAAUUAAUCAAACAAACAAGGUCCCCUGCAUUUAAUGAGAACUUAAGCUUUUGCUUUAUCUCAGCAACAAGUUGGGUUUUAUGUGAUUUAAGAUUAAAAUAUUAAUGAAACUACAAAAUUAUGUCAUUUAAGAAAUUAUAUUUAAGUAUUUACUUAAUUAAAGUUUUAGUUAACCACUGAGUGACUUAGAUUUAAAAUUUUAGAUAAGACUCUAGUUGAUCUCUCAUGUGAGAAUGUUAAUUCACUUACUUAGCAUUAUGUGGCAUUUUCUUUAAAGAUUUUGAAUUAUUUGAUGGUUGUGAGAGUCAUAUUUAAAAUAAUAAAAAUUAAUGUAAUUAUCAUGUUAAUGGGACCGCAUUAGAGUCAUUAAUUCAUAAAAGAAUAUUAAUUCAUAAAAGAUUUUGAAUUUCUUAAAGUAAAAUUUAAAGAAAGCGGUUUUACUUUUUUUUUUCCUUACGCACUAAAGCAUUGAAUGUGUGGUGCUUUUUUUUUAAUUGAUAAAAAUAUUAAUGGAUAACAACAAAUGUGUGGCUUCUAUAGAGAUAUAAAUAAAAUAAUGUUAAAUAGAGAUUUUGUAUGAAUAAAUAAGAUUAAAAUCGUCAUUAUAACGUUAAAAAGGAGAUUUUGUAGGGAUUUGAUAAUUUAUUUAUGACAAUUUUGUAGGAUUAAAAUUGUUAUUAAAUAUAAAUGAAUAAUUUUAUAGCUAUAAUGUUAGAGAGAAAUUUGGGGCCUUUAUAUUUAGUGGAGCUCAUUGCCCAAGUUACUUAGAGAAAGAGCUGUUCUUAGUUAACAUCACAUCUACAAAUUGACUUUAAAUUUCUAAUGAAUCGGUCAUAACAUUCUUUUUUUGCUAAAUACUCAUAAAUAUUUAAGUUAUUACAUAAAGAUCCAAUGUUAACACUUAAUAAAAUUGUAUAAAUUCGAUAACAAAAACAUUGAAUUCAAAUAAAAGGAAAAUUUACGUGUAGUUCAGUUAGUCUUGGAAUGACAUAGUACUCAUAUAGAGUUAUGAUGUUCAAUAAUUAUUACGACCAAAAUAAAAUUUUUGAUUGGCCAUAUCUUUCAGAUUUGUAAUCAAAUGGUAGAUGUUUUAACUAAAUUUGUAUUCUAUUGCUUUGAUUUUUAUGUUUGGCUAGAUCCCAGCUAAUUAUCUUGUUAUUUUUUAUAGGUUAUUUGUAAAUAAAUGAAGUCUAUUAUUCAGAAAAAUAAUUACCUGCAAAAAUCGUACUCUAUUUUCAAUUAUUCGUAUCCAAAAGCAAAAUCUUACAAAAAGGUAAUAAUAUUCCGAAUUAAUUAAAAAACGACACGUAAGCAGGCAAGUCCACACGAAACCACCGAAAAGCACAAAAAAAAAAAAAGAAACACGUUCAUUCAAUUUAUUGUGAUACGAUAAAUGCUUAACAAAAUGUCAUAUCAAUUUCACCAUCAAAACUACGGUAUUUUUUUCUAUAUAUUAAAGAAUUUUUUUAAAAGCAAAUAAAAACCCAAAAAAACAAAAAAAAAGCGACAAUUGUGCUGAAACUCACCGUUCCCAGUUUCCCAAUGAAUAAAAUAAAUAUAAAGGACUCGUGCGUGCCUUCCAUUUCCCUCCUGUUUUUGUUACCCGCCUCCUCCUCAUCUCGCCACCUGUUUCCCCCACUACACCCCCAAAACGUCACCGUUUCAUUCUCACUCCUUCCUCACACCCCUCUCCUUUUCCCCACAUUCCUUCGUUUCAUAUCAACUCAAAAAUUCAUUCUUUCAACAUUAAUAAUAAUAAUUUUAUUGAAAUAAAUCAAUCAAAAAGGUAACCCCAAAUAUCUCCUCCAGCUUUUUGCUGCUUCUUAAUUUUGAUCGACUAUGACGAUGUACUAAAGCUUCAAUUUUUUUCGGUUUUUUCAGUCAACGCUUUUGCUUCAAGAUUUCGUUUUACCUUCCUUGAAAAUUAAAGCUCACCUAAUUGAUACGAUUAAAAUUCUUUUUUUAGCUGAAGAUUGAUACAAUUUUCACUUCAUUUUUUUCUUAACUUUGUAUCCGGAUUUGCUACUUUUGUUUAAAGUUUUUUAUUUUUUUUAUAUUUUUCUGUGGAGCUAAGCAUGACUUUGGUUACAGCUUUAUAUUAUUUUAACAUAUAAUUAGACUAAUUUAUUUAUUUGUGGAUUUAUUAUUUUUUAAAUAUGGUUUGAGACUUCUGAUGUUUCAAUAUUUAUUGCACACGUGUAGUGCAGUGGCUUUAAUGAAUGUGGUAUUGUAAAGUUUAAAGCUUUUUGCAUGUGAAUGAGUUGGUGUGUACUCUUCCAUUGAUGUUUAGAUUCAUGUAUGUGGUGAUCUCUGAUCUGGGUACACGUUAGAUUUUAAUUUUAUUGUUACUUAAACUGAUGAACACGAAUUUUGAAGUGAAUACGUGUGUUUGAUUGACUGGAUUUUGUAAGAUUCCUUUGUAGAAGUAUUUUAAUCCCACGAAGAGUAUGAUUCAGCAAAUAGCUUUGGGAAUGGUAUUGAUUCUAUUCUUGUUUGUUUAUUCAUAUAAUAACUUUGAUGCAACCUUCAGAUUCCUUUUGAACCAUGUAGUUAUAUAUUUGGAUUAGUUUAUAGCAUAUCAACUGUUGAUUGUUGCAUUUAGAUGUUUUUUGUUACUUCCGCUCUUGAUUGCUUAUUAUAUGUCAGUUAAAGAGCAAACAUUAUACAAGUUCUUGAUUGAUUAGUGCUCUUUCGUAUAACGGGUUCGUGACUGAUGUUCACUUUCUUAUUUGAAUAUUCAGAUACUUCCGUAGCUGAUGGCUUCGCCGGAUAUUGAGUCUCCCUGGCUUUGUGCCGCUGGUGAAUCCGUCUGUGGGUCGUUUAAUAUACGCGUGGAGGAGGGGAAUGCAGCCGAUAUUUUACAUGUGCUGGAAGUUCCCACCUCUUCUGUACCCUAUAACUGUAGUAUACCCAAGCCACCCCCUCUCCCUAUUAAACCCUGUACAAAAAACAAAUAUCCCAAUAGAUUUUUACAUUGUAGUUUUGUUCCAAAGGAAACAAAGGAUGUAUGGGAUAAGCUUUUCAAGGAAGGAAAUGGUGCAGAUGUCUAUAUUAUCACCAAGGACGAAUCCUGUAUUCAAGCUCAUUCCAGUAUACUGGUGAGUUAAUUGAACUUUGCCUUCUCUGUUAAAGUAGAGCUACCCCGGGUUUUCUCAAUGACAAUUGCUUUAGUACUGUAAAGUAAUUUCACUUCGGAGAUGUUAUGGAUGUUAAAUAGAUGGUCCAGUGGCUAAGUUAGCAAUUUUAGAACCUGGCUGAAGAGUUGGCAUCUAUUCAACAUAAAUAUACAGUGUUUGGAAUUACUCUGUUUAUAAAUGGAUAGAAGAAAUCCUGGGACCAUCUAACCUGUGCUGGGGAAUAUUCUGCAGCAAUCAAAAGCAAAGAAUGGUUUCAGAUAUAUCAAAAUUCCUGGGAUGCCUCAUGAAGCUGUCUAUGCAUUCGUUCGUUUUCUCUAUUCCUCCUGGUAUGUUGAAAGAAUGUUGCUAUAUUCUCAUUGUGCUUAAAACGAUCAAUAUGGUUUUCGGAGGAUUUGCAUGUUACUGAUUUAUUGGGUCCUAGAUUCCUUGAAAAUGAAUUAUUAUGGGUGUUGAUGAUUGAAAAAGGGGUCCAUGAUAUAUCAAAAUUGCUUGGUUUAUUUUUCUCAUGCACUGUAGUUCGUUUGUUCUAGUUUUCAAGAAUCGUGAGGCGUUGGUUAUUACGUCAUCCAUAUAUGCUUGGUAUAUGGUGUACUCUUUCAUUUAUAAAUAAAAUAAAGUUUGCUCAUUCCUUAGAGGUUUAAUGACAUCCAUCUCUGUAUAUAUAAAAGACUACGUCCAAUCAAAGUUUUGAUUUUAAAUAUAUUUUAGUUUGAAGGGCAUACGGAGCAGUGAUGAACACAUUUGACGAGUUGGAAUGGGGGAUAUGUUGAAGAGUUUUGUAACUAAAAUGUUGUAGCUCAAAACCAACUAACUUUUUCCUUUUCAGUUGAUUAAAUUCAUGACAAUACAAGAAAAGCUUUUAGUGUACGAGCCUUAGUAUAAUUUUUUAAAUAGAGCUUAUUUUACUAUAGCUUUAUUAGUUGAGCUUUUACAAGUAAAAUUUUUAAAUAAAAAAGAAUUAAUUAUUUGAUUGUUAACGAUAUUUUUUAUUUCUUUUAAAAUUAUGUUGUGAAAGAAAUGAAAUAAGAUUGUCAAAUAAGUAAAUGAUAGUUUUAAAAUUUUAACAUUUUAAAAAGCUUAUCAACCUUUACUGUCAAAAAUCCAAAAUUUGAGCUUUUGUUUGCAACGGUAAAAUAACUUAUUUAAUCAUCAAAAAUUCUAUUAAAAAAUUAACUAACAAUAAUAAUAAAUUUUAAAAGAGAUUAUGAGAUUAAAUAAAUACUUAUGGUCAUUAGAUAAGUGAUGCUAAGCAAAGACUAAAAAAUCAAAAAGAAAUAAAAAAACGCAACAGAUCAGCUUAUGGGAGACAAAAUGAGUUUUACCUUAAUUAAAUACAAGAAAUAAAAAAAUUGAGAAGCUCCACGCAGAGAGCAAGAAAAGUAGAGAACCAAAAGUUAACAUAAAUAAUAGUUUGAAAAGCCAUUAGCAUCUCUAGAAAGAAAAACUGAAGCUUAUGCAAGAGGUCAAGACCACAAGUGAAAGAAAAGGUAAAGCGUCUACAUGAGGUAAAGAUCACCAAAUAAAGUCUGUACAAUGAAGCUCAGGAUUAACAAUGACAAUCUUGAGCAGUAAUGCAACAUCAAAAGAAUUUAUUCGGUUGGAGUCAAAGAAUGAAUGUGAUAAUUGUUGAUGCCAAAAUCUGCUCGUCCGUGGACCGACCAGAUUCGCUCACCAACGUUUAAGUUCUCGACUGCUGCUUGAACCGCUAAGGCUGCAAUUAACCUUCUCUCUCUCUCACUAGACCUGCGUACACCAAAAACGGAUCAGAGACGCCGGUGGUUUUGCCGGCGUAAACCCUCCGAUGCCUAAGUUAGCACAAGGUGUUUACGGGAAAGCGAUUAAAUUUGGAUUUACGAAUGGUUCGAGAUUUGCUCAAAGUUUAUAGGAAAAUGGCCUGGUUGCAAUUUGGCAGCGUUUUCCCUCUCUCAGUUUUUCUGUCCCUUCUUCAUCGAUUUCUUCUCAUUUUAUAGCCGCUGCCCCCACGUUUUCGUUUGCCCUUCAUCCCACCUUUUUCGGGUAGUGGCAACCCCUCAUGGGACUCUAACUGUUACAUUGUGGGCAAACGUGGAUCUCGCGUGUCCUUCGACGGUUCUGGAAAAGCGUAACUACUGUGAUUUCGUGGGAUCGUGUUCCCGCUUUUCCGGGGAUGAAUGUCGGCUCGGUAUAUACCUCUGGUCGGUAUGUUUCCUUGGUUGUAUCCAUCUCUGGUCCGCUCAUGCUCGCCCCCGUGUUCUGCUCAUAUCAUUUUGGCUGAAGCAAUCCGUGCCGGGGCGAGAAUAGUAGCAUGGUCGACCUGGUGCCGACCUGGUGCCGACCUGGUGCUCUUAUGUACUCAACACCAGUCCCCCAGUUUCUGGUCUGGUGAGUGAAAUGAAUGAAGAGCAGAAACUGAUGGUCAAAUCUCGCCAACCCGGGGAACUUCUCAUCUGGUCUUUUGUUUGCUGGGGCGGACCUGAGGUACCAUCCUUGUUCUGGGGGGAUUCCGACCUGAGCAUGGGCCUAAAUAAGCAUGCCCAUUGCAUAUCUGGGCUUGCAUCUAUCCUGGCCUCUCGUAACGGUUGGUGACGUGGCGCUUCCCGACUCUCCGUAUUUGAAAUUUGAAACGACGGGCUAUUCGUCCUCGAUAUAUGGGGGGUGAGCUGGCAUAUCCCAUCACUUAAAUGCUUCCAUUUCCCCCUUUUUCGUUUCAAAUCCCUAGACUGGAGUCAUCAUCCUUUUGUUAUUCGUUUCUCCGCCGUCAACCAAAUUUUCUCUGAACUUUGCUUACACUUCCAGCGUCCGGAGUAUCCAUUUGCCGGGUGUUUUCUCUGUCACGGCAGCGCUAUCAGUGUCAGUCUAUUCCAGGUAUAGUCUUUUAACUUCUCCUCUGGUUGUUGUUGAUUGGGUUCUGUGUUGCCCUCUUUGUGUCCAUAUACUUGAGUUUUCUCUGUUUUCUUUUGGGGAUUCCGGUAUGUCAAAUCGGAAGAGGAAGUUAAUUAUUGAUGAGGGUGAUGAAGAGUCAGGGGACUCAGGCCUCAAUGUGCCAAUGCCCACUGAUUACUUAGACCCCUCUAGUAGUGUAGGUCCUUCCCAUGGCAGGGAUACCCUUGAAUACCCACGCCCUUUGGUUAUCUCUCCUUCCCCCGAACUAGAGCUUGUAGGGAAUAGAGGUGGACCUGCGUCGGGCUCUGGUGAGAAUCACGGUUCUGGUGGGGUUGGGGUCCUUGAAGGAGUUGGUGAUGGUGAGGGGAGCAGUUCCGGACCGAGCCGACCUGCUCAGAAAAGGAACCUAGGCCAUAGGGUGGAGGCUGAUUCCUACCCUAUUGAUUUCAUGGCUUGUGCCACCACCCCCACCGAUCUAUUUAAACUUAGGAAUCUCUACAACAUCCCCAGCGAUGUUCUUCUUGUAGUUCCUGGGAAGGGUGAUGUUCCUAGUCGGCCUCCGCGGGGGUAUGUGACGAUGCAUCUGGAGAGCUUCAAAUUAGGAGCUCGGCUACCCCUUCAACGCUAUUUUGCUAAGAUACUAGGUGGUAUGCACCUGGCCCCAGGUCAGCUACACCCCAACGGUUGAAGGGUUCUCUCGGCUAUGUAUGUGUUGUGGGAGAGGUGUGGAUCAGAGGAGCCCUCCCUUGUUGAAGUGAAACAUCUGUAUCAGCUGCGGAGCAGCCCAAGGGAGGCGGGCUGGUACUACUUCAUGUCCAGUUCUGCGAAGAGAAAGCCAAUCACCGGUUUCCCCUCCUCCUGCAAAAAUUGGAAGAACAAAUUCUUCUUUGCUGGGGGAAAUUGGUGUUCAGCACUCCGUUCGUUGGGUGGUGAUGUUUACGUUCCAACGCAGUUUGUCACCCCAGGUCGUUCAUUUUUUACCUGUAUUCUUUCUCGAAUUGCCACUUAUUGGGUUCUUUAACCUUGUUUGUUAUUUCAGAGUCAUGGGGUUUGAUCGGGGGGCUUGAAGAUCGACCCUUGCUUCAGGUGGAAACUACUCUGGUGAACGCUUCUACUUGCCAAGACCUCCUGUCUCCAACAAACCUGGUCGAUUCGGGCCUAGUGGAUAUAGCUGCUGGAAUGGAUAACAAGAUCCUCAGCGCGAUGAGCAGGAAGCGUGGUCGGGCCCCGAGUAGCUCCAGCAACCCCCCUCCUCCUCCGAAGAAACUUAGCGUUGGUCCUUCCAAGGCGCCUGUUCCUGCUCUGCCUCCUCCUCCACCUCGUAAGAGUGGUGGGGAGAAAACCUCUGACAAGAGUCCUGAGGUCAGCUUGCAGUCUGGGGACCGAUCUUCUCCUCUACCAUCUCGGGAUCAAGUGGACUACCUGAGCCCGUAUCAGAAGGAUUACAAAAAGGCGGUGGGGCCCAAGAUGGUGAAGGACAUCGAGAGUAUGAAUCUCUCCGAAUUAGCUGCUUCUGUUCAGAGAGUGUCCUUCAAGCUGGCCACUAUGGUUUCGUGCUACAAGAUUGGGACUGCGCGCCAUGAGAAGAAGCUCCAAGCUGACAAUCAGGAAUUGAAGAAGAAAGCUGACUCUGCUGACCGCUCCAAGGAGAAACUGGCUGAGCUGAACAAGCAGAUUGCGGAGCUAGAGGAGAAGGUUGCGGUUGCUGAAUCCACUUCCUCCAAACUCGAGGGCGAGUUGGGUGACUUGAGAUCUGAUCUUCAGGCUACUCAAACAGAAAGGGAUACUUUGAGGGUCGCCCUUGAGGAGGAAAUCAAAUCCUUGGGUGAGCAGCUGGCCGAGGAGAAAGGCAAAUCCGCUGAUGUGGAUGAUCGGGUUGAUGCCGAGUAUGAUUCUGGGGUUGGCUUCUCCUACAAGUGCAUCAUGUCUGUGCUUAAGACAGAAUAUCCCGAGAUGGACAUGAGCAAACUGGAGGCCGGAGUACAGCGGUAUAUGGCGCAGGUCGACCAAGCAGAUAAGGAGCAGGGUGAGCAGGAGCAGGUGGAGGCCCCUUUGGAUGGGGGGCAAGAGGGGGAAGCUGGGGGACGCACUUUCGAAAUGGGUCAAGGGUCCAUGCCUCCUCCUUCCGGCAUUGCUGAUCUCCCACCUCCUGAUGUUGCUGAUCCCUUACUUCCCGGGCUCGCUGAUCCUUCAGCUGCUGGAGCCGCUGACUCUGCUAAGCUUUGAGUCUAUUUUUUGUAUAAACUCUAGAUUUGCAUUUGUUUUGUAAACGACUGAACAUUUAUAAAAUUUCUGGAAUGUUCUCCCUUGGCUUUCUUAUCUGGUAUUGCUUGUGAUUCUUUAGUGCAUCGAACUGGAAUAGGCAUCCGUUUGCCUUAGUAAAGUUUUCGCAGAUUUAGCUGCUGGUCUCUCGUUGACCGAACAGAAACAGACCCUUACUUGCCUUAGUGCAAAUUUGGAGAAAUUAGCUGCUGGUCUUCGCUGACCGAGCAGAAGUAGGCACUUUCUUGCCUUAGUAGAUUAGCUGCUGGUCUUUCGUUUGACCGAGCAGAGGCAGGCACUUUCUUGCCUUGGUAAAAUCUUCGUAAAUUUAGCUGCUGAUCGUUCGUGGACCGAGCAGAAGUAGGCACUUGCCUUAGGAGAGUGUUCGUAGCUUUAGCUGCUGGUCAUUCGUUGACCGAGCAGAAAUAGGCACUCUGUUGCCUUAGUAGAUUAGCUGCUGGUCUUUCGUUUGACCGAGCAGAGCUGAAUUCCUCUUUAUUGAAAUUUGAAUGCGUUACAAAAGUACAAAACAUAUGCAUGUGCACCAAACCAUCAUGCAUUUGAUCAAUAUAACUUAUCAAAUUGAAGAUUUAGUAGAGUAUUUUGCUUACUGGAAAUACUUCUUCAAAUGCUCGGCGUUCCAUGACCUCUUCACGUCUCGUCCAUCUCGGUAUGCUAACUUAUAAGCUCCCGGACCAGUUGCUCGUAUCACCCUGUACGGGCCUUCCCAUUUCGGACCAAGAGCUCCAUGGUUAGGAUUCCUGGUGUUCUGGUUCACUUUCCUAAGUACCCAAUCUCCUGCUCGGAACUGCCUCACGCGUACAUUCUUGUUGUAAUAACGCAUGACCCUUUGCUGACAUUGGGCCACUUUCUUCGAGGCCCCUUCCCUUUUCUCUUCCAGCAGGUCUAGGCUUAGGCAGAUCUGCUCGUCAUUUUGCUCCUCAGCGAAAUGUUCCGUUCGAUGUGUCCCCACUCCAAUCUCUGCUGGGAUUACCGCCUCAUGACCAAAGGCUAAAGCGAACGGUGUUUCUCCUGUGGCGGUUUUGUGAGUUGUCCUGUAGGCCCACAGUACCCCUGGAAGCUCGUCAACCCAAGCUCCCUUCUUCUCUCCCAAUCUAGUCUUCAGGAGCUUCUUUAUCACCUUGUUGGCUGCUUCCACUUGUCCGUUUGCCUGGGGGUGUGCGGGGGUGCAGAACUUCAGGUCCACCCCCAGGUUUCGGCAAAACUCUCUGAAGUUGCCGUUGUCAAACUGCCUCCCAUUGUCUGUGAUGAUGGCAUAGGGGAUCCCAUAUCUGCAGAUGAUAUUUUUCCAAAUAAAAUCUGUUGUCUUCCUCUCUGUGAUCUGGCUGAGGACUCCCACUUCCACCCACUUGGUGAAGUAGUCUAUUGCCACAAUUGCAUGUGUCGCCGCUCCUCGUUCCUUAGGUAACGGACCAAUCAAGUCGAUUCCCCAUUGAGCGAAAGGCCAUGGGGAUGUCAUAGCCGUCAGCUUUUCCGGGGGUUGUGUAGGAACCUCGGAGAAGCUUUGGCAUGUUUUACAAUUCUUUGCCAUCCUCUUGGCAUCCUGGUGCAUGGUUGGCCAGAAAUAUCCUUGCCGGAGUGCCUUGAAGGCUAAAGUUCUUGCUCCCGAGUGAUUGCCGCAUAUUCCCUCAUGAAUCUCUCUCAGCACAUAAUCCGCCUCCUCAUCAUCCAAACAUCUCAACAGGGGCAAGGUGAACCCUCGGCGGUACAACACCCCAUCCAGUAGCGUAUACCUUGCUGCUCGGCAUUUCAGUUUUCUUGCUUGUCUCUUAUCCUCUGGUAAAACUCCAUCGCGGACAUACGCGCAAAUCGGGUCCAUCCAGGAUUCUCCAAUACUUACUCUCAUCACCUCUGCAUCUUCCUCAAUACUUGGUGAGGUCCUUAUCUCUAGUGGAACUGACUUCGGUAAUUUUGGAUCUGCAAUAGCAGCCAUCCUAGCCAACAUAUCUGCUCGGUAAUUCUCAUUCCGGGAUAUCUGCUUUACUUCCACCUCUUGGAAAAACCCAACCAUCUGCUUUGCCUUCUUCAAAUAAAGUCCCAAUUUCUCUUCCCUUACUUGGAACUGAUCAGUGAGCUGGUUACAUACUAGCUGGGAGUCUGCUCGGAUUUCUACCCUUUUCUGCUCGCAGCGCAUGUGCAAGACCGAGCCCAGUAAUGAAGGCCUCAUAUUCAGCUUGGUUGUUCGUAAGCUGGAACUCGAACUUCACCGCAUAGGAUGCCUCAACACCUUCUGGGCUUCGUAUUAUAACUCCUGCCCCGGAUCCCUGUUCACUACGCGAUCCAUCAACCAUUACCAGCCAUACCCCCUUUGAAUCCUCAUGUUCAGCUGAUUGUUCCUCGUGAACCUCUUCCCCUGGUUCAGCACGAUCAAUCAUAAAAUCUACCAGGGCUUGAGCCUUGAUUGCUCCUCGGGGCCUGUAGGACAAGUCGAACUCACUUAGCUCCACGGACCAUUUUACUAGUCGACCAGACACAUCUGGUUUUUGAAGCACCUGCCGAAGGGGCUGGUCAGUCAUCACAAUGAUCUGGUGGGCUUGGAAAUAUGGUCGGAGUUUGCGUGCUGCCGUUAUCAGGGCGAGCGCCCACUUCUCCAUUAGUGGAUAUCUGGUUUCUGCGUCUACCAGGGCCUUGCUUGUGUAGUAUACUGGGUGUUGCUUUCCUUUUUCUUCCCUGACUAAGACCGAGCGGGUAGCCCACUUAGAGAUUGCCAAGUACAAAAGCAGCUGGUCACCCUCUCUGGGAGUUGAUAGUAACGGGGCGCGGGCUAGGUAUUCCUUCAACUGUCCAAAUGCCUCCUCGCAUUCUGGUGUCCAUUCCAUCUUCCUCCAUUUCUUUAUGAUUUGGAAGAAAGGGUGGCACUUAUCAGUGGCUCGCGAAAUGAAUCGGUUUAAUGCUGCCAAUUUCCCCGUAAGGCUCUGCACCUCCUUAACUGUUCUUGGGGACCGCAUUUCUAUCACCGCCCGUAUCUUUUCCGGGUUGGCCUCAAUCCCUCGAUGGCUCACCAGGUACCCCAAAAAUUUGCCCGAGCUGACCCCAAAUGCACAUUUCUCCGGGUUCAGCUUCAUUUCGUACUUCCUCAGCAAAUCAAAGGUCUAUUCCAAGUGCUUCACAUGAUCUCUCGGUUCUCUUGACUUGGUGAUCAUAUCGUCCACAUAUACUUUCAUAGUGUGGCCGAUCAAUGGUUUGAAGACCUUGUUCACUAACCUUUGAUAGGUAGCUCCAGCAUUUUUCAGGCCAAAGGGCAUCACCCUGUAACAAAACAAACCCAUGUUAGUUAUAAAGGUCGUGCUUUCCUCAUCCUGCUCGUUCAUGGGUAUCUGGUUGUAUCCGGAGAAGGCAUCCAUGAAACUGAGCAGACUAUGACCCGCGGUUGAGUCCACCAACUGGUCUAUUUUUGGUAGUGGAAAGCUGUCCUUCGGGCAUGCCUUAUUGAGGUCCGUGAAGUCUACACACAUUCUCCACUUCCCAUUGGCCUUCUUUACCAGCACUACAUUGGAAAUCCACUCCGGGUACUUGGCUUCCCUUAUAAACCCUGCUUUUAGCAGUUUUUCCACCUCGGUAUUUAUGGCUUCGUACCUCUCAUGGUUGAAGCACCUCCUUUUUUGCCUCACCGGCCUUGCCCCUUUCUUGAUUGCCAGCUUGUGGCAUGCUACCCUGCGAUCAAUACCUGGCAUAUCCUCAUGAGACCAGGCAAAUAUGUCUGCAUGGGACUGUAGACAUUUCACCAGCUCGCCUUUUAUUGGUUCGCCCAAUUCUGUUCCGACCUUAACCACUCUGCUAGGGUCACUCCUGCUUACAACAACUUCUUCCAGCUUCUCAACAGGUUCCUGGCGACCGUUUUUUGAAUCCCCUCGGUUAUCUAGAGACGUAACCUGCAGUGUUUCCUUGGCCGCUGUAGCAUAGCAGCUCCUGGCCAUUCUCUGGUCGCCCUUCACGACACCCACAACUCCAUUUAUUCUGUAUUUCAGUGCCAGGUAAUGCGUGGACAUUACACAUUGGCUUAUCCUCAUGAACGGUCUACCCAAUAUCAUCUGGUAAGGGCUCCUCUCCUCUACCACUACAAAGUCCAGCAUCAUUGUUCUUUCAAAUGGCUUUGUCCCCACAGUAAUCGGGAGUUCAAUGACCCCCAUGGGAGUUAACCGUCCCCCUCCAAAUCCCUUCAAGGAUGUAUUCGUUCGCUCCAGCUUUAAGUCUGAAAUCCCCAUAUCAUCUAGGGCGGACUUAAACAGAAUGUCUACUGAGCUGCCCGUGUCUACCAAUAUUCGCCGCAAUUCUGUGCUGGCCACCAAUGCUCUAAUCACCAGUGCAUCCUCGUGAGGGUACAAAAUGCCCUCUUCGUCGUCCUCUGUCCACAUAAUAGGGACUUGCCGCACUUUUGCCCUCUUGGCUGCUGGCAAAUUGAGAAGCACUUCCUUGCCAGUCAUGGCAUAUCUCCCAUAGUUUUUGCGUGCUCUGUUUGAAUCCCCGGCCAAUGUUGGCCCUCCUGCUAUCACCCGGAUAGUCGGCUGUUCUCGUUCUAAACCCCUUUCAACUCCUACAUCCUGUGCAUAUUGCGGCUCACUGACGGGGGACACUCCAUCUACGUACUCACCCAAGUACUGGUUUCUCACCAAAUCCUCCACCUGAAUCCUUAGGUCACGGCAUUGGUUGAUAGUAUGACCAUGAGUGUUGUGGAAUUUGCAGAACCUGCUCUUAUCACGCCGGUGAGCGGGUUUUGUUAUAGGGGCCGGAGGGUACAAUAGGCCUCGUCCCUCGAUCCUCUCAUAUAAUUCCUCCAUGGAAAUCUUUAAUUGCGUGUACUGUCUAUAUGCCGAGCUCUGGUCUACUAGCUAAACUGUUCGGCUAUCAUGAAUGUCACCUCGGGUUGGUAUAGCGGAUGGCUGCUCUGGUCGUCCCGACCUGUAAUUAGGUGCACUUAAACUUCUGGGAGUGCUGUGAUAAGGGUGGGCGGCCAUCUACCUGAAUUCUCGCUGCCGCUCUGGGAUCGGAGGGCGCGGAGGUUGGGCCCGGCUGUGUUGGAACUGUUGUGCUCUCGGAGCUAUGGGGUAAGGGCGGGUCCGAACUGAAAUUCCACCCAUCCCUGAAGAUUCUCCAGCUCGCUUUCCCGACCCGCUCCCUUUCGGGGCUCUCCGUUCCUUUUGCCUCAGCUCUUCCAGCUGUUCACUUUUAAUUCUAGCUGAUUUCUCCUCUUCGAUUUCAAUAUCUCGUCUCGCCUGCUCAUACCCUGACGAGUAAUUCUGUACGAGGGGGCUCCUUAGGUUAUACCACAAUCGGCCGAUUCUUACACCUUCUUUUAAUCCCCUCAACGCCUGCGGGUGAUUAAAAGCUCCCAAAUCCAGCACGGCUCGGUGAUAUCGUUUCACAAAGUCUCGCAGGGAUUCAUGAUCCUCCUGUUUCAUCCCCAUCAGUUCCAUCAUGUCGUCCUCCGGGGCCACUGCCCCUCGGAACUGCUCGGCCAACUCCUGGCACAUCUGCUCAUACCCUUUUAUUCCUCCUCGGGGCAGCUUGCGGUACCAUUCUCGGGCUCGUCCCUCUAGUGUCAACGGGAACACCCUGCACCUCUGAGCUGGUGUCAACCCCUGCACACCCGUCAUGUCGUUGAAACGCUCAAUGUGCACCAACGGGUCACUUCGCCCGGAGUAUUUGAGGUCGGGGAAGCGGAAAUCUCUUGGAAUUAUGGUACUCAUGAUCUCAGUUGAUAACGGAGAUUCGUCAUCUAGCAUUAUCCUCCAGCUCGGGGGCUUUCUCUUUCCCUGCAUCUCCUCUAUCACCUGCGCCAAUCUGCGCACCUCCCCCUCCAAUUCUAUGGCACGAUUAGGGUCACGUGCAGCUACCUGGUCUCGCUCCUGCUCGACGUUCUGCAACCGCUGUCUGAGCUCUCCUUCAUCGACACUUGCCCCUCGGUCAUUUAUUUCCAGUAUCCGUCCGGGGCGAGGUUGAUCUCUCCCUUCAUCCACGUGCUCCCCUAGGACCCGACCAGUACUUCGGUGGGGAUGCACCCCGUUAGGUUGGUCUGCGGGCGGAGGGAUCUCCCCGACUCUACGCCCCUGGAGGCUGGGUUCAGCUCCAACUCCAUCUCUUCCCUCGGGGGUUUCACAAUCCCUUCUCCGCUCGUCCCUCAGCUCAAACAAUACGGCCGCGAGAGUCUCCAUUUGUUUCUCCAUUCGCUCCAGUCUAUCUUGCAUCAUCCUCUCUCGGGCUUCAUUUGCAAUCUCCCGGAGAGUGAUUGUCUCCACCGUUUCAUUGUCCUCCCUUAAAGUAUCCUUUCUUGACACAUCCAUAUCCAAUCGCUUGCUGCUUCUCCGAUAAUUACUAAGUUGGUGGUAGCUUUUUAUUCAGCUCCCCACAGACGGCGCCAAAAUGUUGAUGCCAAAAUAUGCUCGUCCGUGGACCGACCAGAUUCGCUCACCAACGUUUAAGUUCUCGACUGCUGCUUGAACCGCUAAGGCUGCAAUUAACCUUCUCUCUCUCUCACUAGACCUGCGUACACCAAAAACGGAUCAGAGACGCCGGUGGUUUUGCCGGCGUAAACCCUCUGAUGCCUAAGUUAGCACAAGGUGUUUACGGGAAAGCGAUUAAAUUUGGAUUUACGAAUGGUUCGAGAUUUGCUCAAAGUUUAUAGGAAAAUGGCCUGGUUGCAAUUUGGCAGCGUUUUCCCUCUCUCAGUUUUUCUGUCCCUUCUUCAUCGAUUUCUUCUCAUUUUAUAGCCGUUGCCCCCACGUUUUCGUUUGCCCUUCAUCCCACCUUUUUCGGGUAGUGGCAAACCCUCAUGGGACUCUAACUGUUACAUUGUGGGCAAACGUGGAUCUCGCGUGUCCUUCGACGGUUCUGGAAAAGCGUAACUACUGUGAUUUCGUGGGAUCGUGUUCCCGCUUUUCCGGGGAUGAAUGUCGGCUCGGUAUAUACCUCUGGUCGGUAUGUUUCCUUGGUUGUAUCCAUCUCUGGUCCGCUCAUGCUCGCCCCCGUGUUCUGCUCAUAUCAUUUUGGCUGAAGCAAUCCGUGCCGGGGCGAGAAUAGUAGCAUGGUCGACCUGGUGCCGACCUGGUGCUCUUAUGUACUCAACAAUAAUAUUUGCUCCACGAUUUCUUUCCACCGAUUGUCCAUCGACCCGUAUCAAGCAAGGAUGUGUUGUUGUAUUUGGAAUAUGCAGCUCACUUUUCAGAUCCAGCCUUUGGAAUUGCCAAGUUUAUGAAGACAGACUCGAGCAAUUGGACUGUAUGCGCAACCACGUAUGGAUUUGUCAUUGUUGCUCCACGUAUGUAAUAUUCUUUUGAUUCCAUUUUGAGGAAUAUCAUUAUGUAACACAUUCCGUUGACUUAUGAAACAGAGUAAACCAUGUUUCUUUCUUCUUCUUUUUUUCAGUUGACUUUGCGGAGCUUGCCUACACAAUGAAGAUCACAGAACAACCCAACGUGUACAGUUUCGGAGUGCUACACUGGAAGUGAUCAAGGGGAUCCAAGAGGUUUUCUUUCCUCAGUUUCGUCUUCAUCUUCCAACAUGAACAUGCACGAGUAGCUGCUCUGCUAUAUCUAUUGAUUUUUGCUAGACUAGUCAUUAUUAUUUGAGUUUUAAAUAUUUGCCUUCAUUACUCAUUGUUGCACAAGCUAAUCGUACACAUCAUGCUAUGUAGGUCUCAAUUCGGAACAAAAGAAUGUUAGUUGAAGACACACAACACAAAAUAUAAAAAAUUAGUUCGCAGAUGGCCACAAAAGACUAGCUACAUUUCUGUCCAAAAAAAAAGAAAGAAAAGAAAUAAGAAAUAAUCUGUUUGUACGGCCUCUGUAAACCAACUGCUUCCAUGCCCCAAUUUCGAAACUAUCAUUGAUAUAGAGCCAUUAGUUCCAUCUCUCGCCUAAAGCUUCGGGAGAUAUGGUCAAAAAUCUCCUUAUCGCCAUAGUUUUGCUACAAAAGCCAAUAGAAUUAAUGAUCCUUAUAAAUUAUGAAUUACAUCCUAAUCUACUUGCAUUAUUUUGGAUUAAAAAAAUCUUGCUUUGAUCAUCAUUCCGAUUGGAAAUAUCAAACUCUAAGGCUUGUCAUUAAUUGGGACAAAAUUUUAAUUACAUCUCAACUUCGUAAAUAGAAGUACUUAUCAUUGAAAUAUAAUUAAAGUAGCAAGAGGCCAUUUGAAGUGUAAAAGGAAAAGGAGAGAGAAGGGUAGCUAUAGAUGGAUAAGAUAUGUGUCAGAACGAGUCAACAUUUGAUAAAACCUUUUGGGAUUGUAUCUAACAACAUUUUUUUUUCUCGGUUGGAUCUCAGUGUUUAUACAAAAGCAAAGAUUUGGAUGACUAAAAUUUGACGCUAUACUUAUAAAGUAGAGAUAUAGAGUUUAUCACCAGUGUAAUAUAUACAUGGUCUUAAUUUACACAAUUCACCAUGUGACAGUGAGAUGAUGAUAAGGUAAAUUAUCAAUUAAAAACAUGACAGUUUGUACUAAUGUUAGAUCAUAUGAUAUGCUUAUUGAGUUAAUGGUCAUGUUCGGUCCAAUUGAAUAAGUCUAAAGUAGUAGUAAAGUUGAAUAAGUCUAAGUUAGUUGAGAUAUUAUCAACUUAGUUUGUCAAUUAAGUAUCCAGUUCUUGAUUUGUUGAGAUUAUUUUGUUUCAUUCCUGUUUCUGUUUUGUCUGGCUUGUAUAAAUAAGCCAUUGUUGAAUAAUGAAGGCAUGAAUCAUUUUAUCAAAGAAAUACUUGUGUUACAUCUUGGAGGGAUUGGCUUCCUCGAAUCAGCCAACUGUUAACGUUACCAAGUGUAAGGGCAAGAUAGGAAGAGACAAGCAGAAUAAAAAUAGCUUGCCUGUUCCAUCACAUGUGGUGAGCACAUGUGAGGAGAUGGAAUGGGGCAUAUGUAUGUUGAAGAGUUUCGUAACCAAAAUUUUUGGGCUAAAAAACGACUGACUUUUUCAUUUUUACUUGAUUAAAACCGCGAUAAACGAGAAGAACUUUUAGCGGGGGACAAAAUGAGUUUUACGGCUCAUUCAAUACAAGAAACUAAAAUAUUGAAAAGCUUCACGCAGGAAGCAGGAAAAGUAAGGAACCAAAAGUUAACAGAAACAAUCGUCUGAAAAGCCAUUAGCAUCUCUAGAAAGAAAAGGCAAAGCUUCUACGAGAGGCGAAGACCACAAGUGAAAGAAAAGGUAAAGCAUCUGCAAGAGGUGAUAUUAGCUCAUUUUCGACAAAAUAUAAUGACAAUUAAGCUAAAUAAUUACGAAUAAUCCAAAGGGGUUGGAGACUAAAAUUGAAGGUGAACUGCCAUUGAAGGGUCAGAAUCAAUCACUAAAACAAGUGCCAUAACCUCAGCAUAGUAAUAAUUAAAAAAUAAUUUCUUGCGCAUGUACAAAGAGGUGAACCACUCGAAUGUAAACUUGAAAAGUGUUCACAACUGGAUUAAAUAAUGGACAAUUCAUAGUUAUUGUUAAUGUUAAAAGAAAGGAAUAGAUUGGGAAAAAAAAAUUAAGGAUAAUUUACAAUUAAUGCAGUCCUUGUGGUUUAAGGAAAAAUCAAGUAAGCCAGAAAUCAUUAGUACUAUUUUUCAAAUAAGUCCUCUGACCGUGUUUGACCAUUCACCGUACUGCAAAGUAAGCGAAAAUAUCUACUUCUUAGCAGCCCACUUUUAUGAUGCGAUUAAUUUCAACCAUUCGCUGAUUCGCGUGCUGGUAGUUAGGCAAGUUCAUUUGUUGGCUGGAGAAAUUUGAUAUUUUUGGUACCAAAUUUAUACAUAUGUGUGCGUGUGCGUGUGUGUGUGUUUCCUUUAAUUUGUGAAUUUGGUAUUACUUCUCAUCAGGUGUGCGAAACAGAAACAACGGCAUUUAUUACAUAAAUAUUUCUAAUUUGCAGUAUGGAAAGCUUGGAGAUGUUAAAUCUCUCCCAAAAUAACCUGUCAGGUUCAAUUCUAAGUAAUUUUGAAGAAAUGCAUGGCUUGUCAUUGGUUGGUGCAUCUCCUACAUUGAAUUACAGGGCCCAAUUCCAGUUGACAGAUACACAGCCAGAAAAUAAAUAAACUCCGUACGGACAAACUUGACACUCCCGCGGCCAGAUAUGUUCCAAAAUCUACUUAUAGCCAUAAUUUUGAUACAAAAGCCAAUGGAAUUAUUGCCCCUUAUAAAUUAUGAAUUACAUCCUAAUCUAGUUGCUUAAUUUUGGAUAGAAAAUCUUGCUUUGAUCAUUAUACCGCUUAGAAAUAUCAAAUUCCAAGGCUCGUCAUUAAUUGGGAUAAAAUUUUAUAUCUCAGCUUUCUAAAUAAUUUACUUAUCAUUCAAAUAUAAAGUGGCCAGAGGACAUGCCGAGCGUCAAAAUGAAAGGAGAGAGGAGUAGUAGAUAAGAUACGGGUUAGAAGGAGUCAAAAUUUGAUAAACUUUUUUGGAUUGUAUCUCACAAGUCACAACUUUUUUUCCUUUUCUCCUGUUUGGAUCUCAGUGUUUAUAUAAAGCAAAGAUUCAAGGCCCACGUGUCCAUAAGAUGAGCGAUGGUGUCUACCAGAUUAGUUCUCUGGAGUUUAGAUCACCGGGGUAACACAGACAUUGACUCCUUCACUUCUCAAUUGCUCUUUUGCUUCCGCUGUAAUUGUUUUCUGCAACGUCGUUAAAUUAUAUAUGAGUGUUUGAUAACCUUUUCAAUUUCAAUCAACUUUUGUAUUACCUUAAUUAUUUUGUUUCCUUUCUGCGUAAUUGAUCUUGUGUUUUUAUAAUAUCAAUGGUGUCACGAACCUUGAAUAGAGUAUCUUUUACUGUUUUGUUGAUUCUAUUUUAUACGUGUUUGUAUUAGAAUUUUUACUUAUCAUUGAAAAACCCGGGGAUGAAAUCUAACACGUACUAAUUAAUUAAAUUUAUUUCAUAAUAAUAAACUAAAUUAAUUUUUUUUAAUANNNNNNNNNNNNNNNNNNNNNNNNNNNNNNNNNNNNNNNNNNNNNNNNNNNNNNNNNNNNNNNNNNNNNNNNNNNNNNNNNNNNNNNNNNNNNNNNNNNNNNNNNNNNNNNNNNNNNNNNNNNNNNNNNNNNNNNNNNNNNNNNNNNNNNNNNNNNNNNNNNNNNNNNNNNNNNNNNNNNNNNNNNNNNNNNNNNNNNNNNNNNNNNNNNNNNNNNNNNNNNNNNNNNNNNNNNNNNNNNNNNNNNNNNNNNNNNNNNNNNNNNNNNNNNNNNNNNNNNNNNNNNNNNNNNNNNNNNNNNNNNNNNNNNNNNNNNNNNNNNNNNNNNNNNNNNNNNNNNNNNNNNNNNNNNNNNNNNNNNNNNNNNNNNNNNNNNNNNNNNNNNNNNNNNNNNNNNNNNNNNNNNNNNNNNNNNNNNNNNNNNNNNNNNNNNNNNNNNNNNNNNNNNNNNNNNNNNNNNNNNNNNNNNNNNNNNNNNNNNNNNNNNNNNNNNNNNNNNNNNNNNNNNNNNNNNNNNNNNNNNNNNNNNNNNNNNNNNNNNNNNNNNNNNNNNNNNNNNNNNNNNNNNNNNNNNNNNNNNNNNNNNNNNNNNNNNNNNNNNNNNNNNNNNNNNNNNNNNNNNNNNNNNNNNNNNNNNNNNNNNNNNNNNNNNNNNNNNNNNNNNNNNNNNNNNNNNNNNNNNNNNNNNNNNNNNNNNNNNNNNNNNNNNNNNNNNNNNNNNACAUAUCUAUUGGAACCGUACCUCCAACAGGAUAAGUUGGGAAAAGCAAUCAAUAAUUUAACUAAUUAAUUAAAAUUAUUAAAAAAAAAAGGUUGAGGGUGGGACAAAAUCAAAAUUAUUUUUUAUCCUUUACCUCCCCAUGAUACUAUUCAGUCAGGGCCUAGAGACAAAUUAAAUUAAUUAUUACUAAGAUAACAAUAUUAUAGGUAAAACAACUUAUUCUAAUUGAAUUAUUUAAUGAUACAUAUAUUACAUAAAUUAAAAAAUUAUAGAAAUUUUUAUUUAUAUUUAAUUAACUUCCAUUUACAUUGAUUCAAAUAAUAAGCAGUACCAAAUUUUUUUUUGUUAAUAAUAUAAAAUAUGUUAUUGGCAAUAAUAAAAGAAUGUAUUACAAAUAAUAAUACAUUUAAAUAUCUUGUAAUUUAGAUGUAUAUUUUUAUUAUUUAUUUCAUGUGGGAAUCCUCCUUGUUUUUCAGCAUCAAGUUCGUUUGAUUUAUUUAGUCUCAUGUAGCAGUGGUUGAUAAUUGUGUAGGUUAUUACGACUUCCAUACUAGGUGAUCUCUUCCUUUUAAAAUGUAGUUCUUGUUGUAAUAACUAAUGAUUAGUAUUUUCCAGAUAAGUUCUCUGACCGUUUUUAAUCAUUAACUAACAAUUCAUAUUUUUAACGUUUAUUAAGAAUUUUAGGUUUGUCUAUAAAUAAAUGAAAGGAAUUAAUAACAAAUUUAGUGAAGGAUGAACAAUUUUGGUAGAGUUAGGAUGUAAACGAAAAUAUAAACAAUUAAUUGUGGCAUUAAGUAUGAGAAAAACUCAAUCUAGACUACUCAUAUUUUGAUAUAUCAUUUGCCAUUAGAUCUUUAAAAGUCUAAUAAACUUAGGGUUACAAAUCCUUUUUUUUUCUAUCGUGCUCGAGUUCUACAGGACAUUGGAGAAGUCCUAGAAAAUUGAUCAAGGCAACCUGGCUACAAUUGAUAGAAAGGAAACGUUUAAAGUGGCUUGAUUAAUUUACAAGAACCCGGUUCGCGAGUCCAUGGUUUCUCUAGGAAGCCUCAGUCGGCUUAAGGUACCACAAUUCAUAGAAGCAUAAAAAAUAGCUUGAUGUAACAAAGAUUUGUGCGUUCUUUUAAAUUCAGCAUUUGAGUUCGUUAUGAUGAAGUUUCUGAGUUUCUUAAUCACCUAGAUAACAUCCUUUAUUGGCGGAGUCAAGUAUAAAAGGUGCUGAUGGGCAGGUGUGUCAAAGCAGAGUGAUUUGUGAUUAUCACACCAGUGAUCUUUACUAGCUCGGAGUGAAAAGAUCAUCCUUGUAAUCUUGUUAAUACUCUCUAUAUAUAACUUUACUCUCUUCUGAAAUCGAUUAAUCAAAUUUGUCUUUCACCUUGCACAGCUUGCUUAAACAUACUGAAUAUUUGCCUUCCUUUUUCCUUCAGGGUAGUUACUAAAAGUUUUAUAGUCUUGAGCAUGAUUUUAUUGUCAAAGUAUAAAUUUAUUCUUUGCUUUUUACGCUUAAUUCUGCAUGACUUUCUCUCAAAUAAGCAAAUUAAUUUGCAAAUUAUGCUCAAAGUGUUGUAUCCAUUUUUUUAAUGUUAAUUAUAAGCAUUCCCUCUAAAUGAAUAUGAUCAAAUUGUUACAUGGUCCAAAUUAGAAUUACGGUCACAAUGUUAGUAUACCGGAAAUUUGGCUAGGAUCGAGAAAUUAAACUUAGUUUUGUUUGUUAAGUUGGUUGAUAUGAAUAUGAAAAGACAUUGUAAUUCAACUUCUAAAGUCUCUUUAAUUUGUCUCGAACAUUUUGAUAACUUAAACAAAGUAUGUACAUUUGAUGACAAAAAAAGAAGGGUAUUGGAAAAGCCAACCCCAAAAUAUUUAGUCUUUCCGCUCUUUCUCUGGCAUAAUGUUCGGGGAGACAAAAUGCCCAGCAAACAAGUUAAUUUGAUCCGUUAGGAUCGAAAGAAACGUUAAUUAGUCAAUUCGUCCAUUAAUCUUGGUCACAAAUGUUUAUUCUAUGUUCUGGGACGACUUAUGGACUUUAAUUGUAGUUCGAAGGAGAAUAGCUAUCAAUACAAAGAUUUUUUUAACAGAACCGCAUGCAACAAGUGAACCUUUUGUUUGGAUAAUUUUAACAUCGUAGAUGUCUUUGAAAAUUUUUUCCUUAAGCAAUGGGGGAAAACUCUUCCCUACUUGAUCAGGCUUUGACUCAUACGCCUCUCAAAUGGUUGUUUAGAAAAAGCUUGUGGGCACGAUCCCCAUACCCCUAGAAACACUCCACCCCUUCAAAAUACAAAAGGUAUAUGAGGAGGAAACGAUAGGAGAGCAAGGAAAAAAAUAAUAAUAAUUCAAAACAAAGUCGAUACCUUUACAACAGUUCUACAUCUUUGCUAACUUAAGCAUCGCAGUGGAAUUCGGAAAUCUCAUUUUCCAAUUGUCCCAUUUCACAUUUUGGUUUAUUAUGUGUGCAAAUGACUUCCAUCUACCGCACUUGGUUCAGUUCACAUAGAAAAGAAAUAAGUAUUAACAAUCACAUAUAUUUUUUUAUUAUAUUUCCGAUAUGCUUUUCAUGUCCUUGCAUUAUAUAAAUAAAUAAAAAAAGAGAGAAAGAGAGAGAGAAUUGAAGAAUCUUCCCGGAAAAACAUUGAGCAUUAGAUCCUCACUGUCAGCCAUCAAUGAUAAUGGAGGUUCUUAUGUUGAGUUUUAUUACAGUCUCUGAUCAUACAUAUAAAGCAUUUAGUGACAGAAUAAAUUUAAAGAGUUAGACUGUAAUUUUUUAUAAAAAUUAAUUCGGUUCUCUUUUUGGUGGUGCAAGGAUCAUUGACAAUAACUUAUCUUGGGACCAUAACUUUUUAUCCUGAGCCCACACUCUUACAAUGUAAAAUCAAUAAUUUUUUAUAUCAUGAGUGACAUAGAACUUGUUUCCCAACUUUUUACUUAUAUUAUUAAUUUAAAGAGAACUUUACAUGAAGUGAUUUAAUUUAUAUAAAACUGAGCUAACUUACUGUUUUUUUUUUCGGGCUAAAAUUUUUAAGUAAUGACGUCUGAACUAACGAAAAUUUUCACUUACAUAUUCGAGUUCCAACAUAGUAUGCCAGUGAUAAACACAAAAAAAUUGAAAAAAAAAUAAAACGUCAUCUUACUGUUUAUUUGAUGGAAACCAAAUGUUCAAAGUGACUUGAUUUACAAGAACCCGAUCGGCGAGCCCAUGCUUUGCCUAGGUAGCCUCAGUAGCCAUGCGUUGUAAUAAUUAAUAUAAGCAUCAAAAAGAAAAUUUGUUUUGAUGUAAUAAAGAUUUGUACUUACUAAAUUCAGCAUUUCAGUUCGUUAUGAUGAAGUUUCUGAGUUUCGUAAUCAAGUAAAAUAGCAUCCUUUAUUAGCUGAGUCAAGUAUAAAAUUAAGGUGCUGAUGGGCAGAGUGAUUUGAGAUCAUCACACCAGUGAUCUUUGCUAGCUCUGAGUGCAAGAUAAUGUUUGUAAUCUUGUUAAUACUCUGUAUAAAUAAUACUCUCUUCCGAAAUCCGUUGAUCAUAUUUGUCUUUCACCUUGCAGAACUUGCUCACACAAUGAAGAUUACUGCAUAUUUGUCAUUUCUUUUUUCCAAGGAAAUUAUUAUGACAGUAUUGAGAUUUGAAAUGAUUGUUUGCAAAUUUUAUAGUUUAAAAUUAAGCAUGGAUUUAUUACCAAAGUAUGUUUAUUCUUUGCUCUAUGCUUAAUUCAUCAUUACUUGAUUACAGAUAAGUAAAUUAAUUUGAAAAUUAAGCUCGAAGUGUUAUAUGCAUUCUUCCAAUAUUAAUUACAAGCAUUCAAUAUGAUGAAACUGUUACAAGGUGCAAAUCAAAAUUAUGGUAACAAUGUUAGUAAAUAGGAAAGCUAGCUAGUCCCGACAAAUUCAAUACAGUCUCGUCUAUUAAAUUGGUCGAUACGAAGGUGAAUAGAAAUUAUAAUUCAACAUUUAAAGUCUCUCUGUCUCACUCAUUUUAAUAUCUUAAUCAAUGCACAUUAAUUUGAUGACAAAAAAGAAGGGUAUGGAUAAGCCAACCCCAAAAUAUUUAGAAUUUCCAUCCUCUCUCUGGCGUAAUUUUCGGGGAAGCAAAUGCCCAGUGAACAAAAGUUUGAUCAAUCAAUGAUUGGAUCCAAAGAUACGUAAAUUAGUCAAGUCUUUCCAUUAAUUUUGAUCACAAAUGUUUAUCCUAUUUUGUGGGACGACUUGCCAUGGACUUUAAUUGUAGUUGGAAGGGGAGUGGCUAUCAAUACAAAGAUUAUUUUGACAGAAUUGCUUGCAACAAGUGAACGUUUUGUUUGGGUAAUUUUAAAAUUGUAGAUGUCUUUUAAGACUUUUGCCUUAAGCAAUUGGGAAAACUCUUCCCUACUUGAUCAAGCAUCGACUCAUACACCUCUCAAUUGCUAGUCUAGAUUCUAUAUAAUUUUGGCUCGUGUGGAAAAAGCUACUCGUGGAUUCCUCCUAAUAACUCCAAUGAUUUUUCCUGAAAUUAAAACCAUAAUCUUUAGCCUUUAACCAUUUAGACUUUGGGCACGGACGAACAUUGUGUUAUGUAGUUCAUAGUCGAAGUGAAAACGGUCUAUAUUUUAGCCAAUAUUCGGUACAUAAAAACAUACUUUGAAAGUUAAUUAAUCUAACGGAACUCAUUUUUUAGGGGGAAAGGAAUCAAUUUACAGGCAUAUACCUUCAAAAAUUAGAUUACUCAAUUUACAGGCAUAUACCUCUGCAAAUAGAUUUAAUGUCAACGUAGUCAAUCCCAAAAAGUCUACACAAGUACAAAAAUGGUGCAAAUCACGGGAAGCUUAUCCGUCUUAUCAACGCUUGAAAACGUGCUGAGAAUUUGUUAGAUUGAACACCGUGUGGACUGACUCCAUCAGUUGCCCCACAAAAGUUAAUGCAGUCCGCAAUAGUUGUACGCCAAAGCAUUAUAAUUUUUCUAUUGCCUUUUAAAUUGGCCAGUUGCUAAUGAGAACUCAAAAAUGACAGUCGUAAUUUUAUGAACCACCAAUAAUAAUGGAGCCUCUUAUGUUGAGUUUUAUUACAGUCUCUGAAUUCUGACUUUUUUUUAUUUUUUUAUUUUUUUAAAGUCCUGUACGCUGGUGGCGUAUGUAUUAUACAAUCUGGGUAUAUCUAUUGGGAGUCUGAUUCAUACAUAUGAAACAUUUAGUGACAGAAUAAAUUCGAAUUAGACUGGGACCACACCAUUUUAUCCUGAGGCCACACUCUUAUAAGGUAAAAUCAAUAAUUUUUAUAUCAAGAAGUGACAUAAACUUUGUUUCCCAACUUUUUAAAUAUAUUGUUUAUUUAAGGAGAACUUUACGUGAAGUGAUUUUAUUUGUAUAAAAAUGAGCUAACUUACUGCUUUUUUUUUUUGCCAUAAUUUAUAAGUAAUAACGUCUGCGCUAAUGAAAAGUUUCAAUCAGAUAUACAAGUUCCAAUAUAGUAUGCUACUGAUAAAAAAAUAAAAAAAUAAAACAUCAUCCUGCUGUUUAUUUGAUGGAAACCAAAUGUUUGAAGUAGCUUGAUUUACAAGAACCCGCUUUGCGAGUCCAUGUUUUGUCUAGGAAUCCUCAGUAGCAUAGGCGGUGCCACGUUAGGACUAGAGCCCCCCUAACUUUCAAAAUUACAAAUUUAAUUUUAUAUUUGUCUCAUUUAUUAUAAAAUUCCUUAUUAAAAUUAAACAAAUAAUCAAAAUAUUAAGUAUUUAUCUUUAACUUCCAACCCACAAAGAUAUUGUUAUUUUGAGAUUUGUUGCACGCUAACUCUCCUCACACAAAGAAAAAAAGAAAUUAUUUUAUCUUAUUGCGUUUAUUAAAAUGAUUUUACUUCAAUAAAUCUUAUGACACUUAAAAUUCAAUUUGAUGUUUAUAUUACAUAGGUGGGUUCUAAUAACAAAUUUUCAAAAUUGAAAGAGAUUGAUAGGUUAACAAGAAAAAUAGUUGAUACUAAAAAAGAUAAAUUAUGUUCAUUAAUUUGUUUAUUGAUAACAUUAGUAUUAAAUUUACUUGUUGUCAUAACUACAGUAGUAAAAGGCAUUUUCAACUAUGAAUUUUGUGAAAAAUCGUCUAUGAAAUUAGAUUAGAGAUUAAUAAUUGAGUAAUAUUAUUAUUACACAUGUAGAAAAAGAUUAAUUUUGUAUUCUUGAUGAUAAGUUUAUUUUUUAACGUUUUUAACAUAUGAAAACACGUCGAGAUCAAUUAUAAAUGUAUUGAAUAUAUUAAUGAAUUUUUAUUUUUGAUACUUGUUAUUUAUUGACAUUUUUCAAAUUACAAUAUUAUUUAUACUUAGCCCCUGCUAAGUUUAAUUUCUGGCACCGCCACUGCUCAGUAGCUUUGCGUUAUCAAUCACAAUUAAUAGAAGCAUCAAAAAUAGCUUUUUUUUUAAAUGUAAUAUAAGAUUUGUACUUCUAAGUUCAGCAUUUGAGUUCGUUACGAUGAAGUUUCUGAGUUUCUUUACGAACUAACAUAACAUCCUUUGCAUUUUCUCAUCAAAUAAUAAUAAUAAUAAUAAUAACAUCCUUUAUUAGCCGAGUCAGGUAUAAAAGGUGCUGAUGGGCAAGUGUGUCGAAGCAGAGUGAUUCGUGAUUAUCACAAAUGUGAUCUUAACUAGCUCUGUGUGAAACUGGUCGAUAUGAAUAUAAAAAGAAAUUGUAAUUCAACUUUUAAAGUCUCUCUGUCUCAACCAUUGUAAUAUCUUAAUCAAAAGGUACAUUUGAUGGAAAAAAAAAUAUUUGAUGGCAAAAAAUAUUUAGACUUUCCAUUCUCUCUCCGCCAUAGUUUUGAGGAGAUAAAUGCCCAGUAAGCAAGUUUGAUCAGUUGCUGUUAGGAUCCAAAUAAACGUUACUUAGUCAAUUAAUUUGUCCAUUAAUCUAGACCAAAAAUGUUUAUUCUAUUUUCAUAAUUCAACCCCAACCUUGGGCAUGGAUUUUUUUUUUUAAAAUUGUUAUAAUAUGAGAAUCUAAAAAUUAAAAUUUAUGGUGUGUUUACUUGUGAAAUUGGAAAAUCAAAAUUCACAGUGGGAAUGAUUGAUAUUUUUUACUUGUUAAAAUGGAAUGGAGAAUCGGAAUAAAAUAUGUAAUAUCCACAUAUUUUUUAGUCAAGGAAAAGAAAUUUGAUUCGCAUGGGAUUGAGAAUCAAGCUUGCAUUCCUUGAAUUCACCAUUUUUCCCAACACACAUUUCAUAAUUUCAUUUUUUGUCCUCAAUUAAAAUAUUAUUUUAAGUUAUUGUCAUUAUUCUAAUAAUAAUAAUAAUUUUAAAAUAAUAAUAAUAAUCAUCAUCAUCAUCACCAUAAUGAUAAUGAUAAAUAUAAUAAUAAUGAAAAUAACAACAACAACAAUAAUAAUAACGAAAAAUAAUGAUAUUAAUAACCAUAAUAAUAAUAAUAAUGAUAAUCUAAUAAUACUAUAAAUAACUAUUAUUAUAAUAGUAAUAAUACUUUACAGUUAGUAAUUUCAUCAUUUCACAAGCCUCCUUCAGUGGCUGAUUUUGGGCAUCUUGCGGAUCUUCGCGUUUAUCAUAUCCACCUUUUAAAAGAAGAAGAAGAUGAUGACGAUGAUGUGGUGUGUGCGUGUGUUUAGAACUGUACCUUCAGCCAGUCUUUAGUUUUAAGAAAGAGUAGGAGAGGAGGGGGAAAAAAUGGAGAGGAGUGGAGGGGUAAUGAGAAAUUGAUUUCUAUUGUUUGGCUUUACAAAAAAAAUUAAAGGGAAAGAAAUUACAUGUUUUUUUUAUUUGGACAAGUACACCCAUUGGACUUUAGUGUUAAAAUGUUAAUAUUAACAGUAAAUAUAAUAAAAAAAAUUAAACUAUAAAUUAAAUUAAUCUAGAACACAAAUUAAUAAGAAAACAUUUAAUUUUAUAUUAUAUUUUUAAUUGAUUGCUUCUUAUUUUAUAAUCAAAAUAACUAACCAAAAAGUAGUAGAUGGACGACUAAAAGUUGCAUAUCGACGUAGAAGAACCUGACAUACGGCUCAAACGGUGAUUGAUUUACUGAACUGCAACCAAAGGAACCAUUUUUUGGAUAAUUUCAGAGCAAUAGUAUUCAGACUACUAUGUAAAAAACAUUCUAAUCUUGGAAAACUUUUCCACCUUAUGAAACAUUGGAAAAAUCUUCCCAACUUGACACAUCGACUUGUUGACCUCUCAAUUGCACUUGUGUGUGGCUUCUAUAAAUUUGGCGUCCAGCAUGCUUGUUUUCUGCACCUUUGUAUGUUUUCCAAAAGCUAAGAGUCAUCAAAAGAUCUUUUGAAUUUCAAUGACACUUCGGUUUAACUUUAUUUAUUUGAUUCUGUUUUUGUAAUAUCAAUGGGGUCACCAACCCUCAGUACAGUAGUUCCUUCACUUGUUUUGUUGAUCCUAUUUUUUGUGUUAAGUUUUUUAAUAACUGUUUCUUCAGAAUCUAAUGAAGAAGCUGAUGCUCUUCUCAAAUGGAAAGCCAGCCUUCAAAGCCAUAACCAAUCUCUCCUUCCUUCCUGGACUAACGCCACCACCAAUGUUUCGUCCAAAAUAAGCCCGUGUGCUUGGUAUGGAAUCAGUUGCGAUGACGCUGGAAGAGUCACCAACAUCAGCCUCAGAAAUACGGGAUUAAGUGGUACGCUUCGUGAUUUGUCAUUCUCAUCGUUUCCUCAACUUGUGCUUCUUGAUCUCAGUCAUAAUGGAUUGUUUGGUACCAUCCCAUCUCAAAUUGGUAACCUUUCGAAACUCAGCUACAUUUCUUUAGAUUCCAAUCAGUUUUCCGGAAAAAUUCCAGCGGAGGUUGGUCUUCUGACUCAUUUGAAGAUCCUUGGUUUUCAAUUCAAUCAAUUAGAUGGCUCAAUUCCACCAGAAGUUUGUCAGUUAAGUUCUAUCGAGGAGCUUUUCUUAUAUGCUAACCAUUUAAACGGGUCGCUUCCUCUUUUUGUGGGUAACUUGAGCAAUAUCAUUCGAUUGUAUAUUAGUAAUAAUUCACUUUCUGGUUCUAUUCCUAUGAACAUUGGAAACUUGAAAUUUCUUUUUGAAUUAGAUUUGAGUGAUAAUCAACUUGGUGGUUCAAUUCCUCUUUCUUUUGGUAACUUGAGUAACUUGGCUCGAUUGUACCUUUAUAAAAAUUUACUCAUUGGUUCUAUUCCGUCAAGUUUAGGAAACUUGAAGCUCAUUGACUUACAGUUGAGCAUUAACCAACUCACUGGUUACAUCCCAUAUUCCUUAGGUAAUGUAACAAGUUUAUCAUCUUUACUUCUAGCCAAAAAUAAGCUCUAUGGUUCUCUUCCGCCAUUUGUUGGUAAUUUGACCAACCUAAAAGAAUUAUACCUCCUUAAUAACAGCCUAUCCGGUUCCAUUCCUCCCUCCCUUGGGAAUUCAAUGUUAACCUAUCUAGUAUUGGAUUUCAAUCAUUUUACAAGUUAUUUACCGCACAAUGUUUGUCGAGGUGGAGCAUUACAGUAUUUUACUGUUUCUGAAAACCAUUUUCAAGGAACAAUCCCUAAAAGCUUGAGAAAUUGCACAAGCUUAUUCCGAGUACGCUUUAAUGGAAACAACCUUACUGGAAAUAUAUCAGAAGCUUUGGGCACUUAUCCUAACUUGACUUUUAUAGAUCUCAGCCGCAAUAAUUUUUACGGUGAAAUCUCAUUUAAUUGGGGGAAAUGCCCAAAAUUAGGCACUCUCAAUGUUUCGAUGAAUAACAUUACUGGAGGUAUACCGCGUGAGAUUGGAAACUCGUAUCAACUACAAGCACUUGAUCUUUCAUUGAAUCAUAUAGUUGGGGAGAUUCCAAAGGAACUGGGAAAGUUAAAUUCUCUAACCAAGCUCAUUUUGAGAGGGAAUCAACUGACAGGGCGUCUACCUACCGAAAUCGGCUCACUCAUUGAACUUGAAUACCUCGACUUUUCUGCUAAUAAGUUCAACAAUUCAGUACCAGAAAGUCUCGGCAACUUGCUGAAAUUGUACUACUUGGGCUUAAGCAACAACCAGUUUGUCCAAGAAUUGCCAAAGGAAUUGGAGAAGCUAGUUCAACUUUCAGAAUUAGAUGCAAGUCAUAACCUCUUUGGAGGAGAGAUACCAUUUCAAAUAUGCAGUUUGAAAAGCUUGGAAAAGUUGAAUCUCUCCCACAAUAAUCUCUCCGGUUCGAUUCCAAAUUGCUUUGAGGGAAUGCACGGUCUAUCAGUCAUUGACAUUUCUGAUAAUCAAUUGCAAGGCCCAGUUCCAAAUAGCACAGCAUUUCGGAAUGCCCCAGUGGAAGCGUUAGAGGGGAAUAAGGAAUUGUGUGGAAGUGUGAAAGGAAUGCAACCAUGCAAAGUUUUCUCGACACACAAGCAAAAUUCUGGAGCCAAGUGGUUUGCACUAGUGUUCCCUGUUUUAGGAGCACUAUUUGUUUCAAUGGCGUUGAUAGCAAUUUUCAUUCUCCGAAAGCAUAAGUCAGACUCAGGAGAUCGACAGAGUAGCAACCAGAACCCUCAGGGAUUGUUUUCUAUAUUAAAUUUCGAAGGGAAACUCGUGUACGAUGAAAUUGUUAGAGCAACAAAUGAUUUUGAUGCAGAGUAUUGCAUUGGAAACGGUGGACACGGAAGUGUUUAUAGAGCUGAGCUACCAUGUGGGGAAGUCGUAGCUGUUAAGAAAUUUCACUCACCACUCCCAUGUGAUCAGAUUGCAGAUCAAAAAGAAUUCUUGACCGAAGUUCAAGCCUUGACAGAGAUACGACAUCGAAACAUUGUGAAGUUUUAUGGAUUUUGCUCACAUGCCCGACACUCUUUUUCGGUCUAUGAAUUUCUUGAAAGGGGUAGCUUGGCUGCGAUCUUGAGCAGUGAUGCAGCAGCACAAGAACUGGGUUGGAUUCAGAGAAUGAAUGUGAUCAAAGGCGUAGCUGAUGCUCUGUCUUACUUGCACCAUGACUGCUUUCCUCCGAUUGUCCAUCGAGACAUAUCAAGUAAGAACUUGUUGCUGGAUUUGGAAUAUGAAGCUCAUGUUGCAGACUUUGGAAUCGCUAAGUUUCUGAAGCCAGACUCGUCCAACUGGACUGAAUUUGCAGGCACAUACGGAUACGUUGCACCAGGUAUUUAUGUAGUACAUUCAGCAGACUUGUAAAAGCUUACUAGUUUAUGCACAUUUAUCUCAUAAACAGAGUAAACAUUUUUUUUUUUGGGUCCUUGACCUUGCAGAGCUUGCUUACACAAUGAAGAUCACAGAGAAAUGCGAUGUGUACAGUUUUGGAGUGUUAGUGUUGGAAGUGAUCAAAGGGAAGCAUCCAAGAGAUUUUCUUUCUUCGAUUUCAUCUUCAUCUCUCAACACGGAUACAGCACUUGAUGAAAUGUUGGACCCGCGUCUUCCAGCUCCAUCAUGCAGUGUUCAAGAAAAACUGAGAUCAAUCGUGGAGGUUGCGUCUUCAUGCUUAAAUGAGAGUCCGGAGUCUAGACCAACUAUGAAGAUAGUCAGUCGACAAUUGCAGAUUUCAGCUGCCUUGACUGAGUCUUAAUUUUCUAAGUAUACUUCUAAUUUACUUGGUGUCUUUUUUUUUUUUCUUUCUUCUAAUUUGCUUGGUUUAUUUGUCUCAUGUACUGUCGUUUGAUUGGUUUAGUUUUCAAGAAUCAGGAGGCGUUGGUUAUUACGUCAUCCAUAUAUAAUUGGUAUAUGGUGUACUCUUUUCAUUUAUAAAUAAAGUUUGCUCAUACCUUAGAAGUUUAGUUAAAAGAACGCAUGGGGCAGUGGUGAGCACAUUUGAGGACAUGUGGAGUCUGUACAAUGAAGAACAAGAUUAGUAAGACAGUUUGUAAUAAUUAAAAAUAAUAAUUUCUUGCGACAUGUACAAAAAGGUGAACCCCUCAAAUUUAAACUUGAAAGUGCGUACCACUGUAUUAAUUAAUGGCUGGCUCUUACGUACCAAUAAUGUUAAAUUAAAUGUUAAAAGAAAGGAAUAGAUAUGGGGAAAAAAUUAAAAAUUGAGGAUAAUUUACAAUGUAGUCCUAGUGAUUUAACCAAAAAUCAAAUAAAGCAAUAAUAAUUAGUUUUUUUUUUUUGAAUGAUUUGUCUUAGCUUUGAGUAAACGAUUUGAAGGAACUUAUCGCUCUCACCAAUUGUCUUGAAUGCUCUAAUGGCUUAUACUUUGUAGAAUCGCCAAUGUUGUGAUAACAACUUUGAUGGUUAAAGUUUGAUUGUGAAUCUCGAUUGAAUGACUUAAUUUACGUUAAUCUUGUUUCUGGAUGUUUAAUUUUGUCAUGUCAAAGUUAAUGCAGCCACAAAAGAGUUAAGCGGGCUGGAGUCAGAGAAUGAAUGGGAUAAAAGGCGUUGCCGAUGCCUUGUAAUAUUCGUUUGUUGCCAUUUUGAGGAAUAUUAUUAUGCAACACAUUCUAUAGAGAUAUAACAGCUUACUAAUUUAUACGCAUUGAUCUUUAAAAAGAGAGUAAACAUUUUUUUUUCUUUUUUUUAUUUGUCCUUGACCUUGUAGAGCUUGCUUACACAAUCAAGAUCACAGAAAUAUACGAGGUGUACAGUUUCGGAGUGUUAGUAUUGGAAGUGAUCAAGGGAAAGCAUCCAAGAGAUCAGAUGUAUUUUUUCCGCAGUUUCAGCUUCAUCUUCCAAUGCCGCUUGAUGAAAUGUUGGAUUCUCGGCUUCCACUUGAUCCAUAGUUCGAUGUUCAGAGCAAGUUGGUCAUUACUGUUUGAAUUUUAAAUAUCUGCCUUCAUUUCUGCUGCACAAGUUAAUUAUACGCAUCAUGCUUAUGCAGGCCUUAAUUCGGAGCAAAAUAAUGUUAUUAGUUGACAGAAUGUGCAACUAGAGAAUGAUGUAAUUCAUAGUUAAUUAGUCUGUCUUCAACACAAAAUAGAAAAUUUAGUUGACAGAUGGCCACAAAAGACUAGCUUCGUUUUUGCUAAAAAAUAAAUAAAAUCUGCUUCUAUGCCCCCAAUUUCAAAACUAUCAUUGAUAUAGAGCCAUUGAACCUGGGCUUCAUAUUCAACUUUUCAGCGUUCCAUUUCUAGCCUGAAGUUUUUGAGAGCUUGGACGCACUUGACACUACAUAACCCUCGCGAGAUAUGUCCCAAAUCCCCUGGGCCAUAAUUUUGCUACAAAACCCGACAGAGUUAAUGAUCCUUAUUAAUUAUGAAUUACAUCGUCCUUUGGUUGCACAAGUUUGGAUAAAAAUCGGCUGAGUUUGUGUGGACUAUUAAGCACUAAAUCAAUAGUUGAGAUUUGUCCAACGUGAAUUAACAAAAAAAUUGUGAAUGAAGUUUUGUUUGGUAUUAAGGUAUUGUUAUCUUUAAAUCACAAUUAUUGUGAAAAAUAAAGGUAUAAUAAAAAAGUAAAAGUUAGUAAUUUGUAAUAAAUAUAACUUUUAAAUGAUAAUUUUGAUAAAAAUAAUAAAGAUACAUAAGUUUUCUAUCAUUUCAGUUUCUAAGUUAUAGUGAUGAUAGAGUUACAAACUCUUAUAUAAAUUUAUUUUGUAUAAACUGAUGCAUAAAUUAUUUGUUAGAUAAAAUCAUAAAAAUAUAAAAUAAUAAAAUAAAUUAUGUGAAACAAAAAAUAUUUUAUUUAAUUUAAUUAUGUCAUAUUAAUUUAUAUAAAAUAAAAUUAUAUAAAAAUUUAUAGUUAGGUUAUUGAUCUGCACCGAUAUGUAGAGUCUUCUAUUUAUGUUAGCGUAAACCAGCACCUAUACAUACAGUAUUCUAUUUGGUUGAGUGCACUAUCCAAUUUUUCCGUCCAAUAUGAUUACUCUUAAAAUAAAAACCAUGGACCCCAUGAACGAGACGUCACGUGGGCCCACUAAUCUUGAUGAUCAUAUCUUUUUCAUGCCAAAAAAAAAACACCCCCGCUUUACAACGACACCGUCUUUUCUUUGUCUUUCCUUUCGUUUUCGUCAGCCUCCACCAACCCUUAAAUAGCCGCCCCAUUUUCUUUCACUCCGAGCCAUUGUCCACGCGUCCCACCAUGAUUGCUUCUCCGGUUCUAAUCACAAGAUUUUCGUCAAAUGGACGUACGAGAUGGGCCCCAUCUCUGCGCAGACCACACCGUCUAUUCUCUUUGUGAAAAGAAAAUAAAACUAUUAAAAUCUGUAAAUCAUUCUAUCUUCUCGUGAUAAAUUGAAUUCAACUCUUUUUUUAAUCUUUUAUUUAUAAAUAGUAAAUAAAAAAAUGGGUAAUUUUUAAAAACCUCCCUUGAGGUUUGGGCUUGUUGCAAGUAGAUAGCGAGAAUUGAUUUAUUUGUAAAAAACCCCCUACCGUCAGUUAAGUUUAACAUUGACCGUUAGUUGACCGUGCAAAGACAAUAUUACCCUUAACAAUAGUUUAUAAACGAAAAUAACUAAAAAAAAACCAAAAUUAUUAGCUAUUUUACACUUUUUAAAUUAUUGAUAUUUUCUUAAAGUUUCUAUAAAAAAGUUAAAAUUAAAAAAUUAAAAAAUCCUCUUUAAAUUAUUGAUAUUUCCUUAAAAUUCCUACAAAAAAGAUAAAAUUAAAAAUUUAAAAAUGAAAUAGUCAUAAUCUUUAACUAUGAUAUUGUAAAUUUUUAAAAUUGACAAGGAUAAAAUUAUCAAAAAAUAGGGUUUGUGCUUUUUGCACCAAUAAUUUUAGUUUUUUUUUAGUUAUUUUCGUUUACAAACUAUUGUUAAGGGUAAUAUUGUCUUUGCACGGUCAACUAACGGUCAAUGUUAAACUUAACUGACGGUAGGGGGUUUUUUACAAAUAAAUCAAUUCUCGCCAUCUACUUGCAACAAGCCCAAACCUCAGGGGAGGUUUUUAAAAAUUACCCAUAAAAAAAUCAAAAGAAUUCAACUGAAUAUUCCUUUUGAGAAAUUAUAAAAACAGAAUUAUACAGUGGUGAACUUCCUUGCACGAACAUGACCUUGAUUUAAUUUAUUGAACAUACGUAUAUGUUACUUUAAUAUAUUUUUUUCUUAUAGUUUACAAAAUGUAGUGCUUAUUUUCUUUCGUAUACCAAAUAAUGGAUGUGUAUGUAGGUUGAAGCAAAUAUAAUUUUAUAAACUAACAUUAUGUUGUAUCGUAUUUGGUAUACUAUUUAAUUUUGACAUCUUAUGACAUUAUUAUUAAAUCUUCAAUAAAGAUUCUUCAUUGUAUUAAACAAUUUUCUAUAUAAUAUAAAUUAUGUAUUUCGUCAUAAUAGAAGCUGUCAAGAAAUAUUGUUUCAACUUUAUAUUAAGAAUUUGUAUUCAUAAAUAUAUAAUAUGAUCUAAACCUUAAACAUUAAAAUUGUUUCAUAACUUAAUUAUCAAUAAAAGAUUUAACAAUUUUUUAAUUAUUGAUUGUAAAUAUUAGCACAUUAUAAUACAAUAUUAAAAUAACCUUAAUCUAUUACUUCACAUUGUAAAUCUAUAGAAUUAAUUUGAAUUAGUAAAAUUAUUAAGCCAAAGUUAGAAAGAUAUAUCAAAUUUGGCUAGAACUACCUAUUAAAGAAACAUUUACGUAUUCUAUAUGGAUACAUUAUGUGGCAGAAAAAUGAAAACUUUGGCUAGUCAACCAAUUAAUCAAACAAGGUCCCCUGAAUAUAAUGAGAACUUGACCUUUUGUUGUAUAUUAGCAACAAGUUGAGUGUUGUGUGACUUAAGAUUAAAAUAUUAAUUAAACUACAAAAUUAUAUCAUUUAAGAAAUUAUAUUUAGGUAUUUACUUAAUUAAAAUUUUAGUUAGCCGCCUAGUGACUUAGAUUUAGAAUUUUAGAUAAGACUCUAGUUCAUCUCUCAUGUGAGAAUGUUAAUUCACUAAGCAUCAUGUGGCAUUUUCUUUAAAGAUUUUUUAAUUGUUUGAUGGUUGUGAGAGUAAAAUUUAAAUUAAUAAAAAUAAAUAUAAUUAUCAUGUUAACGGGACCACAUCUUAGUCGCUAAUUCAUAUAAGAAUAUGAAUUCAAAUAUCACAUAAAUAAAAUUAAAAAAAAAUAGAUUUAUUAACAUCGCAGUUACAAGUUGACUUUAAAUUUUUAAUGAAUCUGUCAUUAUAUUUUUUUCGCUGAAUAAUCAUAUUAAUAUUUAAGUUAUUAGAUAAGGAUCCAACAUUAACAUUUGAAGUUUAUGCUUUAAUAAAUUGUGUAAAUUCGAUAACAAAAACAUUAAAUUCAAACAAAAGUAAAAUUUACAUGUUGUUCAGCUAGUCUUGGAAUAACAGAGUACUUGUGCAAUACUUAUUACGACCAAAAGAAAAUUUUUUGAUUGGCCAUGUCUUUCAAAUUCGUAAUCAAAUGGCAGAUGUUUUAACUAAAUUUGUACUCUGUCGCUUUGAUUUUUAUGUUUGGCUCGAUCCCAGCCAAUUACUUUAUUAUUUUUUAUUGGUUAUUCGGAAAUAAAUGAAGUCUAUUAUUCAGAAAAAUAAUUACCUGCAAAAAUCGUACUCCAUUUUCAAUUAUUCGUAUCCAGAAUCUUACAAAAAGGUAAUAAUAUUCCUAAUUAAUUAAAAAAAAUGAUGCGCAAGCAGGCAAGUCCACACGAAACCGACCGAAAAGCGCAAAAGAAAAACAAAAGAAAAGAAAAAGAAACACGUUCAUUCAAUUUAUCGUGAUACGAUAAAUGCUUAACAAAAUGUCAUAUCAAUUUCACCAUCAAAACUACGGUAAUUUCUUAUAUAGAUUAAAAAAAAUUAAAAGCAAAUAAAAACAAAAAAAAAAAGCAACAACUGUACUGCAACUUAGCGUUCCCAAUUUUCCAAUAAAUAAAAUAAGAGUUAUUUUAAAUAUCCCUCCCGAUUUGAUAUAAUUCCAGUUAGAUGGUGAAAUUAAUUAUAUUCUCACUUAUCUUCUUUACGGUUAUUAUACAUACACAUAUAACGUUAGUAUUUGAGGGCAAAAAUGUACAAGACAUGUUGAAAAUCUAAAAAAAAAAUUAACAAUUAAAAAUGGUUUGAAAUUCAUUAGAUAAUUAUAUUAUCCAAUUACACUAAAUAUCUAUUGUGUAAAAUAGUGAAUUUUCUCUUUCUCCAGCACAAAAAAGUAAUGAAAAUAUCUUGCUCUCACAUCAAGAAUCAAAGCAUUUUCCACUCUACUCCCCUACUCUCAGUUGCUAGAACAAAAGUAAAUAAACAAUAUAUAACCCAUGAAAAAGACAAGCAUGGGUGGUCGGAAAAGGCCAUCGACCAGUGACGAUUGACGGCGGUCGGGAUAUGCCACUGGUAUUGGAGUUUGUAAGAAGUUAGUUACUUUAUUAAAGUCUAAAAUUUUUAAAUACCUUUAAUUUUUCUUAUUUUUAGAGAUUUCAUAAGUAGUUGUUGGUUGGGUUUGAUUUUCUUGUUCAUUGGGUUGAUGGUGGAAAAAUUGAUUAAAAAGAGAAUGGGUUUAGCAAUAUGUGGGCAUGAGUUGAAAAAAAAUUGUUAUUGGUUGUGUUUUUGUUUGUGAUUUACACCAUAAAUAGUAUAAUAAAACAUAUAAAACUAAUAAUUUGUGAUUUUUAUGACAAAUAUGUAUGUAAAAUAGAAGUAGUCUUAGCUGUAAUGUUUAUUUUUUCGGCCAAAGUUUACUAAAGUUGAUCUGUUUAUAAAUUUGUAGUAUUUUUGUGCGCCCGUCGCACAAACACAAUUUUUGUGUUUUUUAGCGACAGGGGCCUGUCCCCCGUGCGACAGACCCACGUUGCACGAACACAGUUUUUGUUUUUGGGCGACAGCAUUAUCGCCCGUGUGACGGGCUUAUGUCGUCUGAAUUCAAUUUCUGUGUUUUUGGGUGACAAUGCUUGUCAUACAGGCGACAACCCUUGUCGCCCAAAAAACACAGUUUAUGCUUAAUAUUAAUUCAAAAUAAAAAUAGUAAACAAACACACACACACACAUAAUUAAAACAUAUAUAUACAUUAUUAUUAUCACAAUUAUUAUUAAUAACUUUAUUAAAAUGUAUUACUAUUAUCAUUAUUUUUCUUUAUUAUUGUAAACGUUGUUUUUAUUUUUUAGUAAUAUCGUUGUUGUUGUUGUUGUUGUUGUUAUUAUUAUUAUUAUUAUUAUUUUUCUUCUUCUUCUUCUUCUUCUUCUUCUUCUUCUUCUUCUUCUUCUUCUUAAUUAUUACUUUGUUUUCACUUAUUAGUGUCUGCAUAUUCACAUAUGAUCGGGACGAAAUGCCAACUGAACCGUCUGUUGUUUCACUAGAACCUGCAGCAGAAAUGGAUUGGUUUGACUUAGCAGACGAGAAUAAGUUUGCUCUCCCUGAUUUGAAUGAUGAGGUUCACAUUGAGUAGGUGACAGCAAUAGAAGCUUCUCUUGAGAGGAUGCCAGCAAAUGACGAUGGAGAUCACUAUGCGGAUGAACCUACAAAAAAUGAUAUUGACAAUGAUUUGCCUCACGCUGAUAGCGAAGGAGAGUUUAAUGAAGUUGUUGGCGCUGCGCUUGAGUUUUUGUAUAUUCUGUAUAAAUGUGAUACUAACGAACUCACAUUAUAGUGACAAUGCCAUGUAUAAAGUAUAACUUAACUAUCAUAGCAUAUUGUUAGUGCAAUUGUUCUUUUUGUGUAUAUGAGUGACUGUUGGAUGUAUAGGUUGAUGAAAUUGAGUCAAUUUGUGACUGUCACCAACUGUAAGCUGCGGAAAUGCACAUGUCGUUGUAAUUUAAAUUAUGAUGUCAUUCUACUUAGUAUUAUUUUCUAAUUCAAUUAACUCAUACUAUUUUUUUUUCCUUUUGGUACAAAUUUAAAUGUUUGUUAUUUAUGUUGUUGGUUUGGUGAUAUACAACUUGAUGGUUUGGAAUUUACUUAUUUCUUUAAACAACUAAAAUACUACUAGUUUAGUGGUGAUGGAAUCCUUUAAUGUAUUUUGGAGACUGACAUAGUCUGUUGCUGAGAAAACUAAAUUAUAUUUUAGUGGUUUUGAUUUCACGCGACAGUUUCUGUCUCCCAAGAGACGAGCAUUCGUCACUCAAAAUUAGUUAAACAAGUUUUCUGUAAUUUGGUGAGACAGCCACCUGUCUCCCGGGAGAUGAGCAUUCUUCACUUAAAAUUACAUAAACAAGUUUUCUGUAAUUUGGGGAGACAAACACCUAUUGCCCAGGAGACAGUGCAUGUCACUUAAAAAGUAGGCGCGAUUGCGAUAGGCCCUGUUGCGUGCGCGAUUUUAUAGAAAUCCAAAAUAGCCUCUUAAGCUUGUUGUCGCAAACGUUUUGUACUAGAUGAUGAGUUUACAAAACAUGACUUUGCAUGAAUGCACCAUCAACACCUUAAUCUACCUAAAAUGAGACAAAAAAUCCCUAAUAGAUAUUUUGUCGAGCACCUCAUGUGCCAUUUAUUAACUACCAACUUCAUUAAAUCAUUUUUUAAUAUUUACUCGACAAUCAAUCCUAAUGCUCAUUUAUAAUCAUCUAUACACUCAUCUGUCAUCAAUCAAUCUUAGUAUAUGUUACUUUAAUUCAACUGAUAUUCCUUUUGAGAAAUUAUAAAAACAAAAAAUUAUACGGUAGCCAACUUCCUUGCAUGAACAUGACCUUGAUUCAAUUUAUUGAAUAUACAUAAAUGUUACUUUAAUAUACUUUUUUUUAUAGUUUACAAAAUGUAGUGCUUAUUUAUAAAAUUUUUUGAUUCGCCAUGUCUUUCAUAUUUGUAAUCAAAUGACAGAUGUUUUAUCUAAAUUUGUAUUCUGAUGCUUUGAUUUUUAUGUUUGGCUAGAUCCCAGGCAAUUACUUUGUUAUUUUUGAUUGGUUAUUCGGAAAUAAAUGAAGUCUAUUAUUCAGAAAAAUAAUUACCUGCAAAAAUCGCACUCCAUUUUCAAUUAUUCGUAUCCAAAAUCUUACAAAAAGAUAAUAAUAUUCCGAUCUAAUUAAAAAACGACACGUAAGCAGACAAGUCCACACGAAACCUACCUAAAAGCGCAAAACAAAAAAGAAAAAGAAAAAGAAACACGUUCAUUUAAUUUAUCACGAUACGAUAAAUGCUUAAUAAAAUGUCAUAUCAAUUUCACCAUCAAAACUAGGGUAUUUUCUUUAAUUAUAUUAAAGAAUUUUUUUAAAAGCAAAUAAAAACAAAAAAAAAAAAGCAACAAGUGUACUGGAACUCACCGCUCCCAAUUUCCCAAUGAAUAAAAUAAAUAUAAAGGACUCGUGCGUGCCUUCCAUUUACCUCCUGUUUUUGUCACCCGCCUCUUCCUCAUCUCGCCACCUGUUUCCCCCACUACACCCCCAAGACGUCACCGUUUCAUUCUCACUCCUUCCUCACACCCCUCUACUUUUCCCCACAUUCCUUCGUUUAGUAUCAACUCAAAAAUUCGUUUUUUUAACAUUAAUAAUAAUAAUUUUAUUGAAAUAAAUCAAUCAAAAAGGUAACCCCAAAUAUCUCCUCCAGCUUUUUGCUGCUUCUUAAUUUUGAUCGACUAUGACGAUGUACUAAAGCUUCAAUUUUUUUCAGUUUUUUCAGUCAACGCUUUUGCUUCAAGAUUUCGUUUUACCUUCCUUGAAAAUUAAAGCUCACCUAAUUGAUACGAUUAAAAUUCUUUUUUUAGCUGAAGAUUGAUACAAUUUUCACUUCAUUUUUUUCUUAACUUUGUAUCCGGAUUUGCUACUUUGUUUAAAGUUUUUUUUAAUUUUUUUUAUAUUUUUCUGUGGAGCUAAGCACGUCUUUGGUUACAGCUUUAUAUUAUUUUAACAUAUAAUUAGACUAAUUUAUUUAUUUGUGGAUUUAUUAUUUUUUAAAUAUGGUUUGAGACUUCUGAUGUUUCAAUAUUUAUCGCACACGUGUAGUGCAGUGGCUUUAAUAAAUGUGGUACUGUAAAGUUUAAAGCUUUUUGCAUGUGAAUGAGUUGGUGUGUACUCUUUCAUUGAUGUUUAGAUUCAUGUAUGUGGUGAUCUCUGAUCUGGGUACAUGUUAGAUUUUAAUUUUAUGGCAUGGUUCAUUUGACCAAAUUUUAUUGUUACUUGAACUGAUGAACACGAAUUUUGAAGUGAAUACGUGUGUUUGAUUGACUGGAUUUUGUAAGAUUCCUUUGUAGAAGUAUUUUAAUCCCACGAACAGUAUGAUUCAGCAAAUAGCUUUGGGAAUGGUAUUGAUUCUAUUCUUGUUUGUUUAUUCAUAUAAGAACUUUGAUGCAACCUUCAGAUUCCUUUUGAACUAUGUAGUUAUAUAUUUGGAUUAGUUUAUAGCAUAUCAACUGUUGAUUGUUGCAUUUAGAUGUUUUUUGUUACUUCCGCUCUUGAUUGCUUAUUAUAUGUUAGUUAAAGAGCAAACAUUAUACAAGUUCUUGAUUGAUUAGUGCUCUUUCGUAUAACGGGUUCGUGACUGAUGUUCACUUUCUUAUUUGACUUUGUUUAUGCAGUUCUUGUAGAGAGAUUGUGUAAUUUGAAUAUUCAGAUACUUCCGUAGCUGAUGGCUUCGCCAGAUAUUGAGUCUCCCUGGCUUUGUGCCGCUGGCGAAUCCUUCUGUGGGUCGUUUAAUAUACGUGUGGAGGAGGGGAAUGCAGCCGAUAUUUUACAUGUGCUGGAAGUUCCCACCUCUUCUGUAACCUAUAACUGUAGUAUACCCAAGCCACCCCCUCUCCCUAUUAAACCCUGUACAAAAAACAAAUAUCCCAAUAGAUUUUUACAUUGUAGUUUUGUUCCAAAGGAAACAAAGGAUGUAUGGGAUAAGCUUUUCAAGGAAGGAAAUGGUGC
rnacentral:lncRNA from 1 species